AGCGCGAAGAAAGAGGAUAGUCCGGAGGAAGGUGACUGCAUAAAUUUGUUGGAGUUAAUGUAGUCAAUUGCCCAAUUUUGCUGCCUGUCGAAGAGACACAUCAUGGAAGUCCUCAUCAAACUCUGAGACACCUAAGAAAUAGUAUGAGGUGGUGGUAUUCCCCUGGUGUUAAUUUCCUGGCAAGUGUGGUUCACAGAUAGAGGGAUUCUUUUCUUGAUGUCUAAAUACCGUAUGUGAUACAACGUCGUAUAUUCUAAUUUUCCUUGAGUUAAAUUCUAGUCAGUUAGGAAAGUUAAUUUUGUUUUCGCUAUGGAUUGUUUCCUAGAUAAUAAUAGUUUCCAUGUUUCUUUGGGGUCUUAUUAACUCUCUGUAACCCAGUUCAAGUUUGCAAAUUCUAUUUCAGAUUUCUCAUAUAGUGUGCCUUUGUCACUUCUGUGAUACACUUUUGAUCACAAGUUUCCAUUUGAAGUAACCAAUAUUCUUUAUAGACUAAUUAUCUAAGGAUUAUUUUAUACAAAAAAAUCAAAACUUUAAUUAAUUGAUCAUACUUAACUUGGCUUUUGUUUGAUAUUACUAGCUGUUGUGAGAACCAAAAAAAUAGCAGAAAGUUGACAAUGUGCAGUAAAUGUAUGACUUUUAAAUAAUAAUUUAAUAAAAUUAAUAAAGAUAUUAUAAAUUUUUUAAUAAUAAAGUAUGAGAUCAAAUCAAAUUAAUUUUUAAGUCAAAAUUGUUUAAUUAUGUAGUUUAAAAGUAUAGUUAUCCAACCUCAACACAAUAGAGAGAUUUCUAUUUACCAAACUCUACCCAACUUUGGUUGUACUGACUCGAUCAUGCAAGUCCAUACUCGACGCGUUGACCAUACAAGAUGUUACUCAACUUUAACAAAUCUUACUCAAACUUUGCACGUUUAGCAUGCCGAAUGGAAUAUGAUAGUAGAUGAUGUGAUAGAUAUUAUAGGAAUAGUCGUAACAAAAUUAUAUUUAGUACUUUUUUAUAUUUUAUGUGAUGAACAGAUGUAGUAUAUGAAUGGAUUAUAUUACAAAUUUUAGUGUUAUCAUAAUUAAAAAAUUGAAUUAUUUUUUAUUAUUGAAAAACUGUAAUAUGUUAAAUAACAGUUAUUUUUAUUAAUUUUUUUUAAUGAAUUAUACUUUUAAAUUGUAAUCGAAAAUUCUUAUUACUGAACUAAUAAAAAAUUAAUUAGCUCAAGAGAUAAAUUCACUUAGUGUAGAACGAAAUGGUGUGUUAUUUUUAUGUGGGAUCCACAUCCUUUCCACAUCAACCUCAACAUCCAAACAUGAAAUUGGACUAAAAAUAGUUCUUUCCCAUGUAUUUACGUAACCUCCUCCCACUAAACGCAAAUAUUUAUUCUUGAUUUUACUAACAUAAUUUUCUCCCAUUUCCAUAUUGUCCGCGUUGAGUGCAUGUAAUCCACAAGUUUAAUUUUUUUUUUUUUUUUAGAGAGGUAUGUUAAAAUGAAUAUAUCACUUUUUUUUCUUUUUUCCUUUUUUUUGUGUGAGUGAUGGCUUCGUUGAAUGACAGUUGGCUGAUAAUAAGUUAUCUUUUAAUUUUGUUUUUGAUUUAAUAGAAAAUAUUAAUUUUUGUAGUUUCGGUAGAUGAAAUUUCGAAUCAAAUAUUAAUAUUGUUAAAGUACGCAACCCAAUAUUUGCUUAAAUUACAAAAAAGAUUAAUUGCUUUGCAUAAAAAAGAAGUGAUCACUUGAUUUAACUUCCUUUACUAAAUUUACGAUUUAAAAUCCAAAAUAAAAAAGAGAGUUUAUUAUUGAUUAUCAUUUUCCCAAAUUUAAGCUAAGACAGUAAUAUGUCCAAAAUACCCUCCACGUUAUCCUAAAACUUUAUGAAUUCCCCCGUUCCUCUCAACAUCAUCUCUUCCAAAUCUUUCUUCCCCAAAAAACCAGCCAUGGCUUCAUAUUUAGUUACCUCAACACUCCAAUAUUGGCUUGUAAACAGCAGCGGUUCAACCUCUAGGCAACUUAGGUGGUUGCAUAGGACUCCGCUUUAUAUGAAAGCCCUACAAGAUGAUUAUUUUGUAUAUAAAAGAGGAAAAUGAAUUUAAAAGUCAUUAUUAUUCAUUUAAUUUAUUAUUAUUUUGUAAUUAUCUUUUUCUAAAUAAACUAUCAAAUUCUUAUCAAGUUUAUUUAAUGUAGUACUUAAUUGUUUUAAUUUCUACAAAACCAAUAAAUUAAUAGUUUCAAUCCUAAAAAUUCUCUAUUUCAUUGUUAGAAUUAAUAAGUUAUAUUUCAAAAGUUUUAUAUUUAUUUUAAACCUCUAUAAAAACCCCACAUUUUAUUACUUAUCCAUUAAAUUUUUCGUUCAACAAUCAAGACAUCUUGGUGUUUGAGAGAAAGAAAGAGAGAGGGAAAAAAAUCUUGCUUCCUCUACUUUCUACUCUAGAAGAAAAAGAAAAAAUCAAAUAGUUUUCUCUAUUUUCUAUGACUAUUGGUUGCUACUCAAAUUUUCAAACAACAGCCUUAAUAUAAACAUAAGUUAAUUUAUGAUUUCAUCUCAAAUUUCUGAUUUUAUCUUUUUAUUAUUCUCUUAAUUAAUUGUGUUGUUAUUUGUUCUUAUUUCUUUUUAUAUAUUCUUUUCUUCAUCUACUUUUUUUGUGCUUGUUUUAUCUAUUUUGAAAUAAAACUAUAUCAAAAAAUUUUAGACAAUAGGAGAAUAAAAAAAUUAGAUUAAUUUAAAAAAAUAGUAAAAAAGAUAUAAUUUAACUUAAAAAAAAGUGAAAAUGUUAUAAUUGAAUUAAAAUUUUAUGACUUAACAACAAUAGAAUAAAUUUGUAUUUAAUAAUUUUAUAUUUUAAAGUAUUUAAAGAAUUAAUUUUUAAUAAAUAAUAUUAAUAUAUAUAUAUAUAUAUAAGUUACUUAUCUCUCCAUCCGCACUUAUCUCUCCCUCACAUUCAUCCUCAACCACACAUCAACAUCAACAUCAACAUCACCUCUCAUUGGACCCCACAUCCUCAAGCCCAUCACAGCCGUCCAUAACCUCACCCUCCUCCUCCUCUCCCUCAUCAUGGCCGUUGUUUGCCCUCUCUCCAUCAUCCUCCAUUUACCGCACCUCCGUUACACCCUCUGUUUCCUCCUUACCAUUUCUCCGUCUGGCACGGCCUAAUUCCGACGGAAUCAACGACGGUCGUGAUGGGUUUUGGCUGCGACUAUUCGCGCUUCAAACGGCGGCGUUUCGGUUGGUUUUUGGCGACAGUGACGGUGGGAAAGUGAUGGCUGGCUCAGGAGCUUUCUUUGCUACCAUCCAUGGCCGGUGAGGUGGCCGAAAAUCGGAUAUAUGUCUGCGUCGGGUUCGCAGUUUUGGGUCGGGUUUUCCGGGUCAGUUUGACAGCUUCCUCUAUCCCUCUCCCCCAUAAAACAUUACCCAGCUUCCUCUUAUUAUUAUUUUUUUUUUCACAUACGUUACAGAACAUUAAUGAGAGAUGUUUAGUAGUAAGGACUAUUUUGAUAUUUCGAUGAGUAGUAAAAACUAAUGUUAAAAUUUUAUAGACGAAUGUAUAGUAAGAUGCUCAAAGUACUAGAACAUAUAUAAAUAAUCCCAGCUCUUAUAAAAUUUUGCCACAUAAUGAGUUUUAUCCCUUAAGCAAAACAUAUCGAUAAAGUAUACAAAAGCACAAUGCAUGAAUGAUGGUCUUACAAAGUUCGAAUAUAAAGUUUAAGAUACAGAAUAUGAUUUAUUUCCUUUUAGUUUAGUUUUUUUUUUUUUUUUUGGUUUCUUUUGAAAGGAGACCAACUAGAUCAUGCAAGAAGUUAAUUUUUUUCUAAAAUAAAAAGGGAGAAAUGAUGGUCUUACAAAGUUCGAAUAUAAAGUUUAUAAUCUAAAAUUAAUGAUGUGACAAUUAACCUAAUGGAGUAAGAAGUCCCAAAUAGAUUAUAUUUUGCUAAAGAAGUCAAUUCUACCAAGAAUACCUCUUUCUAUUGAAUUUAAAUGAUGAUUAUUUGUUUAUAUCAUAAAAGCUAAAAUAAUUGUGUGAGUAAUUUGAUUCUUUUACAGUAUAAAAAUAAAUUCAGAAAAUGUUAGGGAAAGGUCUUACACUAUAAAUGACCAAUAGAAGAAUAGAAAAGAAUUUUAGAUAGUGGAAUGUGGAAGGUAGAAGAGUUUGGGAAAGGUCUUUUGGCUACUUUGUUGUUAAGUUAUAAUGAUUUGUCAUCCAUAAUAAAACAAUAUUUCUCACAUUGUUCUAUCUUUUCAAAAGGUUACAAUAUGUGUAAAGAGAAACUAAUUACACUAUGGAUGGCUCAAAGUUACCUUUAAAUGUAGAAAAAGGCAAAGAGAUGGAGAUCCGAUCCAAUAUGAUAAUAGUAGUUUAUUUUAAUUUUUAUUAAUUUGAUUUCAUAGGAGUAGUUUUCAUUUUUUGUUGAAAAUUGGUAAAAAAAAACUAAAAUGAGAUAAUUACUUUAAAACAAUCUUCAAGAACUAAAAUAAUUAAAAAAACUCAAAAUAAACAAAAAGGCUUAAAAAUAACCCUAAUCCGAAAAUUGUUUGAAUCCAUCCUAACUGGCCCGAAUAUGAUUUUAACCCAAACCCAAUCUAACUCGCUUAUAAUUAUAACCUAAUGCGAUCCAAAUUCAACUUGAAUUUUUGAUCCGAUCUAAUCCAAUUUGAAUAUUCUAACCCUAUCAACCAGAAACCCAAUUAGGUUGAUCUGAACCUACAUUUGUCCACUCCUAGAGGGGAUCAUGACCCUACAAACUUUGAAAGUUUUUUGAGAUUUCUAAGUGAAUAUUAAAAAUUAUGUAUAAAAAGACUGAUUUGACCCCUAAACACUUGAUAUAGAAACUUUAUACAUAUAAUAGAAAUUAAUUUUAUAUUUUGUGAAAUAAAAUCAAAGUAACUGAAUUUUUUAAUUUUUAUUUUGUUAAUUAUUUUUCUACUAUGACAAAAUGACUAAUAGCCUGGUGCCUAGCUCUUUGACUUUUAUUUUGCUAAUUAUUUUUUUUCAUUUCUCUUGCAACAGUAAAUUCAAUUAUCAAUCAAAGUCGCCAAAUCAAAAUCUCUGCAGCCUGCAGCUACAAGCAAACUUCUCAAAUUUCGAAAUUCCUUAUGACUACAUAAUAGCUAUAAAUAGAAAAAGCGUCUAAAAUAACUAUGUUUUCCUAAGUUUGAGCUUGAGCCCCCUGAAGAUUUACUCCAUAUGUAACAAAAUAUUAGUUUUGCUAGUAAAAUUGCUAACUAUGUUUUUCUUUGUAUUUCCGCUCAAGGAUGAAGAAAUUUCCCUAGACUUUUGUGGUGAAUAUCUUACGAACAUAUGACAAUUUAAUCUUUGGCUGAGACUUGUUUAACAUAAGAGAUGACACUUUGAAGCAAUAGGAGAGAGAGCUGAUAAGCUUUGUUCCUAAAAAAAAAACUAUUACUUCUUUCUUUGAACAUAUGCGCAUUCUCUCUAAUUGUUGCAAUGGAGGAAUUUCCCAUCUAAAGAACACUUCAAUCAUCCAUUGCUUUGUAAGAUGUGAAAAGGCUACGAUUCUUGUACACAUACUUGAUUGCACCGGAAUCUAUUCACUAUGCAUUAUCAUGUUUGAGAAUAUUAAUCUCAGAUAUCAUGACCAUAAAUUUUGUCCACAAAAUUUGUGUUCAAACACUUCUUUUCUUUCUUAAGAAGUUGACAGUCUUUUUUAAAGUGGCUUGGCUUUUCACAUUGGCCACAUGUACACUUCUUUUUUUUAUUCUGUUGGUUUGAUUCUAUUUGGAAUCAAACUUUUGCUUUUGGUUAUUAAUGCGGUCAUUAGACUGCUUAAGCUCCUUCUCCUCCUCCACAACAUUAAUUUUAGAGGACAUAGCAGGCUGUUCCUCAAGACUAUUAAGUCUAAGUUUCUAUUCAAUAUGAAGACUUUGCCAUGCCUUCCAAGCUAAUUUCCUCUUUGCUAUAUUUAAGACUUUUUUCAUAGUCUUUUCAAGAGGGGGGAAGUUUAUCAAUAAUUGAAGAAGUGGUGCAGUCAAUUAAAUGAGCGAACUCGAGAAUCAUAAGAGUACAUACAAUAGUGGCUACAAUAAUUAGGCCUGCUUCCUCUCUCACCAGAACAGAACUGACGGCCCGAUCCGAUACCGCCAAAUACAUGACACAACUUAAAAGUAAAUUUUAACUCCCAAGUAUAAGAGUGUCUUGUUGUAUUAUAACUCGGUGAGUCCGAGGUCGAUCCACAGAGAAAAGAUUUAAUUAGUUUAUUUUAUUUUAUCUAAAAAUUGAAAUUAAAACUUGAAUAUAAACAACUUAAUUUAAAUGAAACUAUGGAAUUGAACUAGUUAGGGUUAUGGAUCCACUCUUAGAAAUAAAUAAAACUUAAUAAAUUCUUUUUGCCAAUUUGUUUUAGAUUUAUUACUCAAAAGAUUAAUUAUACAAAUUAUUAUUAUUUUCCCUUUAAUUUUAUGAUGGAUUAAGUAUUUAUUGUGCCAAAAUUUAAUUUGUCUACAAUAAGUCAAAAUACCAUUUCACCAUGCCUUAUAUUAAGAUCUUAAGAAUUUAUUGUGCCAAAUUCAUUUGUUUGUCUACAAUAAAUCAAAUUUUCAAAAUAUAAAACAUGUAUAAAAUUAAAUAGAAAAUAAUUUAAUUUAUAAAAUUAAACAUAGAAUUUGAUUAAAUCAUAUUUAUUUCUUAAGAGUUUCACCUUCCCCUAACUAAUAUUAUUUAGUUAAGCAUAAUUAAAAUAAAAAGAAGUAGUAAAAUUGAAUUACUUAUAAUUAAAAGAAAUAAAAACAACUAAAAUUGGAAAUAAAACUAAUUUUAUUAAUGAAAAUAAUUAUACAAAAUAUUAAAAACACACCUGGAAAUCAAGAUUAUAAGGAGAUGGAGAGAAUUUGAGAAGAAGAGAGUUGUAGAGAGAUGAUUAAAACAUAAAAAUGAGGCUCUAUUUAUAGAAAAAUAAAUUCAUAAUCCAGUGCUUUGCGGUCCAUCAUAGGCUUCAUGCAUGUGCUCCUCACAACCCUUAGAUCAAGAUCCAAUGGCUGGUCAAACUUCAAAAGUCAACAUCACACAUGGCAUCAUUUGACUCGUCCGAUUUACCCAAAGAACGGUUGAGAUUUGGCGGGUUAAUGGAUGGAUCGGGUCGACCCGAAUACAAAGAUUCGGAUCCUCCAACUUGCUUCACCAACCAUUGCCACGUGGCACAAUCAUGGCCAUUGAAUCAUGAACGGUUGAGAUUUAGUCAAGAUUGCCAAUUAUCCCAUGCACUCAUAUCUAUUGUAAGCUCAUUUCAUCAUCCAAUCAGUGCUCGGUCAACAGGAAAAGUCAACUUUUUUUACACAAGCCCAAUUUUAAGCCGAUCUUGACUGAUCUUAAGGUUUUCGGACCUCCGGAAUCCAAAUUUGACCUCUGUUUAUCUGUUUGGAGCCUCGAAAUACGUGAAAUUAAUAUUUUUCCUAAUAAACACAUAAAAAUACACAAAAUUAAAUAUAUUUAAAACAUAAUUAAUAAUUCAUAAUAUAUUACAUAAACGCAAAUAUAAAUUAUAACAUAAGCAUAAAAUAACAUAUUAUCGCUUGAUAAUUAAACAAUUUUUAAUACUAAUCACACCCCCCAACCAGCUUAUUGCUAGCCCUCUAGCAAUUAAAGCGUUAUAUUAAGAUUUAUAAAAUUCACAUGCAAGUUAAUAGUUGUUCAUCUAUCCUCUAAAUUACCAAAUAAAUGAACUCUCCCAAAUUCCUUUACCACAUUGAUGUUCACUCAUUAUCCAGAAUAUCAUCAAACCUUCUUUUGUGCUCAAGUAAUUAACACAAUACUUAUGGGGCUUCAUUAAAAGAAAAACAACAUUUUCGUUCUAAAAUUCAUUAGAAAUUAUAUCUUUAGGCAAUAGAUUAUUCACACAUUUUUUUUUUAUAUUACAUUUCUAACCCGUGUAGCGAGCUUUAGGUCAAUGACUCCCAGACCAGUUGGCCUUAGGGCACUAGGUGUUGAAGCACCCCUACGGACUUAAUUACUCGGGUUUCUAAUAAACAAACAAUAUAUCUAUUACCCAUGUAGCGAGCUUUAUGCCAGUGACUCCCAGACCAGUUGACCUUAGGGCACUAGGUGUUGAAACACCCCUACGGACUUAAUUACUCGGGUUUCUAGAUAUAACAAAAUUAAAAACAUUUUUUCUUCUUCUUUUUUUUUGAUUUUUUUUUUUUUUUGGUUUUUUUGUUUUUGGAAAUAUACACUUUCUACUACCUUAGAUACUAUUCCUAAUAAAUCAAAAGAACUAAAUGCUGUAAAACUUUAACUUACAACCCACUAGUAUGUGUCAUAGUGUGUGUGUGAAGAAUGAUUCAAUAAUACCUGUUAAAUGAGUAAACAAUUAAAUAACUUAAUAACCAAGUGGAGAGUUCACAAAUUUGAGUAAUUCAAAGAAAAGGGAACAAAAACAACUUACUAUGAAUCUCAAAAUCAAAAUAUAAUACAACAAGACUAUUAGGAUGCGUCUCAAAAGUCGUGACUCUUUACACGGCCAUCCUAGACAAAAAACAAAUUUUUUUUUUUUGGUUUUUUUUUUUUUUUUAACAAAGAAAAGAAAAGAGAAAAGAGAAAAACAACACACAUAUUUAAAACAUACGUCAAUUAUCCCCACCCCACAACCUAAUCUAAACAUUAUCUUAACAUUUUAUAAUUUUACAGAUAUGCAAAAAAAUAAAAAUAAAAGAGAAUAAUAAAAGAAGAAGAAGAAGAGAUCUCACCUGAACUUGAUGCAGAAGCUUAAAAGCAAAUAACAAAGAUGAAGAAAGAGUCAAUUUUUUUUUUAACAACACCCUUAAGAUUAAGAAGAUGCGUUUCUAGAGAGACUACAUUCUCUAUAUCCUGCCAUCUUCGACUCAAAUUUGUCCUAAGUUAGUCUUUACAGAAAAAAAAAAUUUUUUUUUUUUGUUUUUUGUUUUUUUUUUUUUUUUGUAAACACAUAACCAGGACUAAGACAUUCCACAAUUAUCAACUAUUCCCUCCCCCCAACCUGAAAAAGACAUUGUCCUCAAUGUUUUAAAAGGAAAGAGAAAGAGUGUAGAAGACAUCACAUGAACACUACAACAGAAAAUAUUUACAAACGGAGAGUUAAAUCUAAAUCGCACUUCUUAUUACUGCUACUGUUACCGUUACCGUCAUUAGUCGACCAAUUCAGUGCAACAGUCUGUGGAUCUGGCUCUGGUGUAUAAGCUUGCAAAAGAUCAAGUAACUCAUUAGCAGUAGAAGCAGAGAUAAAGAGUUUUUUUACAGAAUGUGGAACAAAAUGAUUCUUUAUUGCAUGGUUAAUAAAAGUUAGCAAGCCGUCAUAAAAAUUAUUAACAUUUAACAAACCGAUGGGUUUUUGAUGAAUGUUCAAGUGGGCCCAAGAUGCAAAUGUAAUUAGUGCCUCAAAAGUUGCAAGAUCUCCUGGCAAGAAAAUAAAAGCAUCAGCAUGAUUCAUCAUUUCAGAUAUUCUCUCUUGCAUACUUGAUACCACUAAUUCUUCUCCAAUUGGUGGGCCAGACAUGCACACUAGCGGUUUCAUGGGUUUUGGGAUAAUGCCGAGUACUUGGCUUCCUCUGGUAAAAACAGCUUCUGAGACAAGUCUUGAUAACCCUCGUUCACCUCCUCCAUAUACAAGAUGCAGUUUCCUCUCUGCUAUGACACGACCAAGAUCUACAGCUGCCUGAACGAACUCUUUGUACUUUCCAUAGUGAAACCCAGAAAGCACACAAAUAUUUUUGAAUUGUUUACUCGAAGAUGAUGCCAUUGGACUAAUUUUUCAAAAACAAGUUGUGAGUGUUUGAAAAAUGAGCUCAUAUUUAAAGAUCUUGGUAACAUAAAUAAUGAGAAACAGCUGUAAAUGGGUUGGCAAUAUUUGUCAAAUGACGAGUAAAGCUCGUGGCUCAAUAAUUCAAAAACAAACAGUAAAAAGAAAGUAAUGAUUAGAAAAAGCAAACAGUAAAAGAAAACCAAAUAUUUAUUAAAUACAAAAUCACAUCGCUAAAUGCAAUAAUGCAAAUGAUAAAAUAACAGUAAAAUAAAAUAACAGUGAAGUGAAAGGAUAUUUACUGGUAGUUGUGAUUGUGGCUCACAUCUUCCUCUGGUUUUACGUCCAGUAACGGCUUGAACGCCCUCUAUGGGUCGAGGAUCGGCUUCCCAUCCAGUUUUCUUAUAAACUGGCAAACAGGGUCUUUUUGAGUCAGAUUCCCAAGACUUAACUGUGCACUUUGUUUUUGGAAUAGUAUCCACAAAUUGUAAAUCUCACGUUGCACAAUUCCGCUUCGAUGCGUCUCAAGAGAUCGUAAGAUAUCAUCCAACGAUUCUUUACUCAUGCCAUCUUUAACGAAUUUAAUUUUAUCUUCACGAGUAUCAGAAACCAUUCCUAAAGAUUUACAAUCUGGUCGUUUGCAACCAAGUCUCACACAGUUAUGACAUUUUGAGCCAAGUCGUUUAGCUCUCCUUUUCUUAGCAAACGUACUUUUACCAAAACCAGGCAUGUAAGAAACAAAUUGACCAGAAAAUUCACCUGCUAAUCGGACCUUUGCUUCAAUUAACCAACGAAUGUCAGAAGGAAUGCCAUUGAUCAUUAACAAACGCAGUCGUUCACAACGAGCUUUGUAAAUUUUCCUGAGGGCAUUCUGAGGGAGAGAGGGAAAAUGCUUAUGGAGUUUAUGUUGUAUUUCUUCCAUGUAUGAUUUUGGGGUUUCAGUUAUUGUGGGAAACUGAAGAUACCGACUUAAAAAGUCACGGAGUACCGUUAUCCGCCAUUUAUACGGGAAAAUAAAUCAAAACACACCAAAAUCAAAUCUGCAAAAUCAAAUCAAGCGUGAAAGCGAGCAAAAAGAAGCACACAAUAUAAAAGGAAAAUGAACUUACAUUCGUCCUCUCAUUGAGUUAACCUCAAGCUCCAUUUGAAAUUCAUAUAUGCCACUCUCUACUGUUCUGAGUUGUCCCUCUAGAUCCUCAACAUAGGACACGAAUUCUGGUGGUUGCAGAUCCCAAAGUGGAUGUGAUUUACAGCUUUGUAUCAGGCCUCUUAAGUGAAAUUUUAUACGCCGAAAUCUUUUAAGAUGUGCGAACAGGUAUUUUCUCAUUGAGGUGCUCAUGAUGUAAAAUGAAAAUUGAUGAGAGAAUGUACAACUGUCAAACAAACACGCUUACACAAGAAAAACAAUGUUAAAAAAAAACUAUGUACAGUGCAUCAAUCUAAGGAAAAAAAAAAGUCAAACAAUGAAACGGUAAAAUAAUAGUAAAACAAAAAAAAAUCAUUAAAAACUUAAUCAAGAACUGGUGGGUCAUCCAAAUUAAUUUCGGUGUCCUCGUCACGUGGGUGAUGUUCCAGAUAUGGUUUUAAUCUUUGACCAUUAACUUUAAAUGUGACACCAUUAUUUGGAUUCUCAAUUUCUAUGGCCCCAUAUGAAUAUACAUUUUUUACAACAAAUGGGCCACUCCAUUUUGACUUUAACUUUCCUGGAAAUAAAUGAAGACGAGAAUUAUAAAGCAACACUUUUUGACCAAUCUCAAAUGUUUUUCGAAAAAUUCUUUUAUCAUGAAAUGCUUUUGUUCUUGCCUUAAUAAUUCUUGAAUUUUCAUAUGCAUCAUUCCUUAAUUCCUCAAGUUCAUUCAAUUGCAAUUUUCGCACAUUACUAGCAUCAACCAAAUUUGAAUUAAAAGCUUUAAUAGCCCAAAGUGAUUUAUGUUCAAGUUCAACAGGUAAAUGACAAGGUUUACCAUAAAUUAACCGAUAGGGUGACAUUCCUAAUGAUGUUUUAAAUGCAGUGCGGUAAGCCCAAAGUGCAUCAUUAAGUCUAAGAGACCAAUCUUUUCGGUUUGGGUUAACCGUUUUUUCCAAAAUUUGUUUUAUCUCCCUAUUUGCUAAUUCAACUUGACCAUUUGUUUGAGGAUGAUAAGGGGUAGCAAUUUUAUGUGUAAUUCCAUAUUUCUUCAUUAAAGACUCAAAUGACUUAUUACAAAAAUGCUUACCUCCAUCACUGAUAAUGGCUCGAGGGAUUCCAAAUCGACUUAAAAUGUUUUCUCUUAAAAAUUUAAUCACAGUUUUACUGUCAUUAUUUCGACAAGAAAUUGCUUCAAUCCAUUUUGAGACAUAAUCAACUGCAACUAAUAUAUACACAAAUCCAAAAGAUGAUGGAAAUGGACCCAUGAAAUCAAUUCCCCAACAGUCAAAUAUUUCAAUUUCAAGUAUGGGAUUUAAGGGCAUCAUGUUUCUUUUUGUAAUUGAUCCCAAUUUUUGACAUUUUUCACAACUUUUGCAAAAUUCAUAUGUGUCUUUAAACAUGGUAGGCCAAUAAAAUCCACACUGCAAAAUUUUAGCAGUAGUUUUUCUUGAAGAAAAGUGACCACCACAUGCUUCAGAAUGACAAAAAUUAAUGACACUACUUACCUCAUUAUCAGGAAUACAUCGCCGAAAAAUUUGAUCUGGGCAAUAUUUGAACAAAUAAGGAUCAUCCCAAUAAAAUUUCUUUACUUCAACAAAAAAUUUCUUCUUCUCUUGAGCAUUCCAUUGCAAAGGCAUUUUACCUGUAACAAGAAAAUUAACAAUAUUAGCAUACCAUGGCAUUGAAGUAACAGAAAAUAAAAAUUCAUCAGGGAAAGAAUCAUUUAUGGGUGUUAUAUCAUUGCAGAAUUCGGAUGUGAGUCUUGAUAGAUGAUCAGCAACAACAUUUUCAGCACCCUUUUUAUCUUUGAUGGUAAGGUCAAAUUCUUGUAGUAACAAAAUCCAACGAAUUAGUCUCGGUUUGGCAUCCUGUUUACUCAUCAAAUAUCUCACAGCAGCAUGGUCAGUAAACACAACAGAUUUAGAGCCAAGCAAAUAUGAACGGAAUUUGUUUAAUGCAAAUACCACAGCAAGUAAUUCUUUUUCAGUUGUAGAAUAAUUCAUUUGAGCACUAUCCAAAGUCUUGCUCGCAUAAUAAAUCACAAAAGGCUUACCAUCCCUUCUUUGUCCUAAAACAGCACCAACAGCAAAAUCACUUGCAUCACACAUUAAUUCAAAUGGCAAAGACCAAUCAGGAGAUUGCAUAAUAGGUGCAGAUGUUAAAAGACAAAUUAUUUUUUCAAAAGAUUUUUGGCAAUCAUCAUUCCAUUCAAACGGUGCAUCUUUUAAUAAGAGGUUACAAAGUGGUUUAGAUAUGGCACUAAAGUUUUUUAUAAACCUCCUAUAAAAUCCUGCAUGUCCUAAAAAGGAUCGCACAUCUCUAACUGUUUUUGGUUGUGGCAAUUUAGAUAUGACUUCGAUUUUUGCUUUGUCAACUUCAAUUCCUUUAAUAGAAACAACAUGACCCAAAACAAUUCCAGAAGUAACCAUGUAGUGACAUUUUUCCCAAUUCAACACGAGUUCUUUUUCAACACAUCUUUUUAAAACUUUCUCCAAAUUAUCAAGGCAAUCAUCAAAAGAAUUCCCAAACACAGUCAAAUCAUCCAUAAAGACCUCUAAACAAUGUUCAACCAUAUCACAAAAAAUGCUUAACAUACAUCUUUGAAAUGUUGCAGGAGCAUUACAAAGCCCGAAUGGCAUUCUUUUAAAUGCAAAUGUUCCAAAAGGACAUGUGAAUGUGGUCUUUUCUUGGUCCUCAAGUGCUAUAGGAAUUUGAUAAUAACCUGAAUAUCCAUCUAAAAAACAAUAGUAUGGAUGUCCUGCUACUCUUUCUAAGAUUUGGUCAAGGAAUGGUAAUGGAAAAUGAUCUUUUCUAGUGGCUUCAUUUAAUUUUCUAUAAUCAAUGCACAUGCGCCAACUAGAUGUAAUUCGUGUUGGAAUUAAUUCACCUUUUUCAUUUUUAACAACAGUGAUUCCAGAUUUUUUAGGCACUACUUGUGUAGGACUUACCCACUUACUAUCAGAAAUAGGGUAGAUAAUUCCCACAUCAAGUAAUUUAAGGACUUCUAUUUUGACUACCUCUUUCAUGUGUGGGUUUAUCUUCUUUGAGGUUGUUGACAUAUUUUAGCAUUUUCUUCCAAAUUAAUUCUAUGUGUGCAGAUUAAGGGAUUAAUGCCUUUAAUGUCAUUUAAAGUCCAUCCUAUUGCAUUUUUAUGCUUUUUAAGAACAGUAAGUAACUUACCUUCUUGGUCGCUUGUUAAAGUAGAAGAAAUCACAACAGGAUAAGUUUGUUCUUCUCCAAGAAAAGCAUAUUUCAAUCCUUCAGGCAAAGGUUUCAAUUCCAUUUUAGGCGCUUCUUGUUGUUCUAUCUUUUCAAUACUUCCAAGCUCCUCAAAUUUUGGCUCGUCAUCAUAAUUUUGCGAAGUCUGCAUAGAAUCAAGCAACGAAUUUAUAUUAGAAAUAUCAAGUUUAAGUUGCUUAUUUGACUCAAUUGAAUUAACUAAACAAACAUUAGAAAGUUCAGAAAAAUCCCCUUUUUGAAUAUUUUCCUCGAUACAAGAUUCAAACAAUUCCUUUUGUUCAUCAGUAUCAUCUUCAUUCUCAUUUUCUUCAUUAGGUUGCCUGCACAUGUUGAAAACAUUCAAUUCCAAAGUCAUAUUCCCAAAGGAUAAAUUCAUUAAACCAUUCCUACAAUUAAUCAAAGCAUUAGCAGUUGCUAAAAAUGGUCGACCUAAAAUUACAGGAAUUGGUUUGUAAUUAUUCACAACAGGUUCAGUUUCCAAGACAAUAAAAUCCACAGGAUAAAUAAAUUUAUCAACUUGUACUAAAACAUCUUCCACUAUUCCUUUUGGUACUUUAACUGAUCUAUCGGCAAGCAAAAGUGUAGUUGAAGUUGAUUUUAACUCACCAAGAUUAAGUUGAAGAUAAACUGAAUAUGGAAGCAAAUUAACACUAGCACCAAGAUCUAGUAAAGCAUGCUCAAUUCUGUGGUUACCAAUAAUACAAGAAAUGGUAGGACAACCAGGAUCUUUAUAUUUCAACUUAUUAUUAGUAGACAGAAUUGUACUUACCUGUUCGGCCAUGAAAGCACUCUUUCUUACCUUCAAUUUCCUCUUAACAGUGCACAAGUCCUUUAAAAAUUUGGCAUAUGAAGGAACCUGCUUGAUUGCAUCUAAUAGAGGAAUGUUAACUUUCACUUGCUUAAAGAUUUCAUAAAUUUCAGAAGAGUGGUUUGAUUUCUUUGGUUUAUUCAAUGCAUGCGGAAAUGGUGGUUCAGGUGGAACACUAGUUAUUUCUUCACUAGGUGUAAGUUCAUUUAGUCCUUCCUUACCCUUUGAAUUUUCAUCAUUUUCAUAAGGUUCAGGCAUAGGUCUAUCAACAACCUUACCACUACGAAGAGUUAUAACUGACUUGACUUGGUCUGUGGGUGGAUUUUGUUGAAUUUUAGGAUUUGGUUGUGGUUGGGCUGGAAAUUUUCCUUUUUCUUGAAUGGUGAGUGCAGAAGCAAUUUUAGCAAGAGUAUCUUUCAAAUCAGAAAAAGUUUGUGCAUUUUGAUUGUUAAUAACAUCUUGCUUUCUGAUGAAUGAAUGCAUUGUGUCCUCCAGAUUUUUCCAAGGUGGUGGAACAUAUGGUGCAUAAGGCUGAGGAUUUUGAAAAUUUUGUGGAGGUGGUGCUUGUGAAGAUUGUGCAUUAUUAUUAUUCCUCCAACUGAAAUUCGGAUGAUUUUUCCAACCAGGAUUAUAAGUCUGUGAAUAUGGGUUUGGUUUAUUGAAAGUGUUAAUAACAUUAGCUUGAUCAUUUAGACAUUCUUUAAGUGCAGGCAAAGUGGGACACUCUUGAGUGAAAUGAUCAUUCGAAUUACAUAUGUUACAUGCAAUUUCUUGAACAGAUUUUACUUGAUCACUCUUUUUAUGCUCCAAAGCUUCAACUUUCCUAACUAGGGAUGCAAAUUUUGCUUGUAAAUCAUGAUCUUCCCUAAGGUUAUGGAUUCCUCCACUAGAUGGAGAUGAUUGUUGCUUAUUUGUCAAUUCAAAAGUUCCAACAGUAUCCCAAUGUUGUGCAUUUUCAGCUAAUUGGUCAAGGUAAUCUAGUGCAUCUUCAGGAUUUUUAUCCCUAAAUUCACCAUUACACAUCAUUUCAACAACCUGUCUACUUUGGGGUAUUAAGCCUUCGUAGAAAUAAGUGACCAAUCGCCAAGUUUCAAAACCAUGAUGUGGGCAUAUGUUAAGCAACUCUUUAAACCUAUCCCAACAUUGGUAUAAUGUUUCUCCAUUUUUUUGAGUGAAAGAAGUGAUUUGCCUUUUAAAAGAAUUUGUUCUAUGAGGUGGAAAGAAUUUUUUCAAAAACUGUUCUUGCAUGUUAUUCCAAGUUCUUACUGAUCCAGAUCUAAGGUUUUGUAGCCAAGUUUUAGCUUUAUCUUUUAAUGAAAAAGGAAAAAGCUUUAAUCUAAUUAUGUUCAUGCUACAAUUUUGGUCCGUGUAUGUAUUACAAACUUCCUCAAAAUCUCUUAGAUGCAAGUACGGAUUCUCAGAUUCUAAACCAUGAAAUGUUGGUAAAAGUUGGAUAAUACCUGGUUUAAAAUUGAAUCGAGAUGCUUCUGGAGGAAAUACUAUACACGACGGUGCUCCGGUUCUGGUUGGAUUCAUGUAGUCUCUCAGAGUCCUUGGUUGAUUCUGAUCAUGCCCAUGUUGAGAUUGGUUGUCUCCCUGAUCAAUUUGAGGAUUAGGUUCGCCCAAAACGUUUUCGCCUUGAUUCUCAUCCAUGAUUGGUGGUGGAGAUUGAGAUCUACGAAUUAACCUGCCACUUGAAGAUCGAGACCAAUGUCUCAUGCAAGGGUUAUGUUAUAAAGAUAAUAUUUACACAAAUUGAUAACAAAAUAAAAUAAAAAAAUAAAUAAGUAAAUAAUAUAAGUAUACAAAAGAAAAUUAAAUAACAAAAAUGGUGGUUGAACCCACCAAUUAAAAAAAUAAAAAAUGCAAAAUUAAAUAAAUACUGAAAAUUAAAUAACUGAAAAUAAAAGUUAAGGGUUAGUAGUUAGUUUGGUGGUUAAACCCACCAAUAAAGCAAAAAAAAAUAAAUAAAUAAAUAAAUAAAUACGAAAUAAAAUAAAUGCAGAAAAUUAAAUAACUGAAAUUAAAUAAAAGUUAGGAGUUAGCAGUUAGUAAGUUAAGAGUUAGUAAUUAGAGUUAGUAGUUAAAGUUAGUUUGGUCCAAAAUAAGUCCAAAUAUGUCCAAAGUAUGUCCAAAUAUGUCCAAAGUAUGUCCAAAUAUGUCCAAGUCUUGAUUAUGUUGAGGAAUUUCGUCUAGGGAUUCUAUUGCAAAUUAUUUUUAAUUUUAUGGUCAAACUAUAAUUUUUAGAAGUUUAGAAUUAGCAAUUUGGGAUGAAAGUGAAACAAUUGAAAGAUAUCGCGGUCCGAACAUAAUUACCAGAAGAUUGGGCUAGAAACGGAAAUUGUUGGGGUGAAAUUAGAAUUAUGAAAGAUAUGGGGACAAAAGAGAAUUUAAGAAAAGGAAAAGGGGGCAAACGAAAUUUUACAUAUAAGAGAAAAAUAAAAACGGAAAAACAAACCAAAUAAAAAACUUUUCCCCGGCAACGGCGCCAAAAACUUGACACAACUUAAAAGUAAAUUUUAACUCCCAAGUAUAAGAGUGUCUUGUUGUAUUAUAACUCGGUGAGUCCGAGGUCGAUCCACAGAGAAAAGAUUUAAUUAGUUUAUUUUAUUUUAUCUAAAAAUUGAAAUUAAAACUUGAAUAUAAACAACUUAAUUUAAAUGAAACUAUGGAAUUGAACUAGUUAGGGUUAUGGAUCCACUCUUAGAAAUAAAUAAAACUUAAUAAAUUCUUUUUGCCAAUUUGUUUUAGAUUUAUUACUCAAAAGAUUAAUUAUACAAAUUAUUAUUAUUUUCCCUUUAAUUUUAUGGUGGAUUAAGUAUUUAUUGUGCCAAAAUUUAAUUUGUCUACAAUAAGUCAAAAUACCAUUUCAUCAUGCCUUAUAUUAAGAUCUUAAGAAUUUAUUGUGCCAAAUUCAUUUGUUUGUCUACAAUAAAUCAAAUUUUCAAAAUAUAAAACAUGUAUAAAAUUAAAUAGAAAAUAAUUUAAUUUAUAAAAUUAAACAUAGAAUUUGAUUAAAUCCUAUUUAUUUCUUAAGAGUUUCACCUUCCCCUAACUAAUAUUAUUUAGUUAAGCAUAAUUAAAAUAAAAAGAAGUAGUAAAAUUGAAUUACUUAUAAUUAAAAGAAAUAAAAACAACUAAAAUUGGAAAUAAAACUAAUUUUAUUAAUGAAAAUAAUUAUACAAAAUAUUAAAAACACACCUGGAAAUCAAGAUUACAAGGAGAUGGAGAGAAUUUGAGAAGAAGAGAGUUGUAGAGAGAUGAUUAAAACAUAAAAAUGAGGCUCUAUUUAUAGAAAAAUAAAUUCAUAAUCCAGUGCUUUGCGGUCCAUCAUAGGCUUCAUGCAUGUGCUCCUCACAACCCUUAGAUCAAGAUCCAAUGGCUGGUCAAACUUCAAAAGUCAACAUCACACAUGGCAUCAUUUGACUCGUCCGAUUUACCCAAAGAACGGUUGAGAUUUGGCGGGUUAAUGGAUGGAUCGGGUCGACCCGAAUACAAAGAUUCGGAUCCUCCAACUUGCUUCACCAACCAUUGCCACGUGGCACAAUCAUGGCCAUUGAAUCAUGAACGGUUGAGAUUUAGUCAAGAUUGCCAAUUAUCCCAUGCACUCAUAUCUAUUGUAAGCUCAUUUCAUCAUCCAAUCAGUGCUCGGUCAACAGGAAAAGUCAACUUUUUUUACACAAGCCCAAUUUUAAGCCGAUCUUGACUGAUCUUAAGGUUUUCGGACCUCCGGAAUCCAAAUUUGACCUCCGUUUAUCUGUUUGGAGCCUCGAAGUACGUGAAAUUAAUAAUUUUCCUAAUAAACACAUAAAAAUACACAAAAUUAAAUAUAUUUAAAACAUAAUUAAUAAUUCAUAAUAUAUUACAUAAACACAAAUAUAAAUUAUAACAUAAGCAUAAAAUAACAUAUUAUCGCUUGAUAAUUAAACAAUUUUUAAUACUAAUCAUUUCUUACUUGUGGUGUCUUCCUUAAUGUACUUAGACUCCAAUAAGUCCUCUAUUUCUUUUGCUGUGGAUUUUGUUGUGGUACUUAUCAAAACAAAGUACUAGCAAUGGCAUUGUAAAUGUGUCCUAUGCACAGGUAGACAUCUUGCUUCCACUUUUGCCACACUCAAGUUUCUCAUCCUCACGUUCUUCAGGCUUUCAUAUUGUAAGAACAUAAACAACAUUGAGGCUUGUCAACAAGAAAUGUAAUGUUUUUUGCCAACGUAUAAAAGUUGUGACUAGGGGUGGGCAUGGGUUGGUUUGGGUUGGUUUUUAAGUCAAUCCAAACCAAACCAUAAAAAUUUGGAUCCAACCCAAACCAACCCAAAUAUUUUUAACCCAAACCAAACCAAACCAUUUGGGUUUGGUUUGAAUUUUAUUAUCAAAAUAAUUUUUAUUUUAAUAAAAUUUAAUUAUAUCAAAAUUAUAAUAAUUAUUAAUUGUUAUUAAUUAUUAAAUUGAUAUUAAAAUAUAAAAAAAUAUAGUGGAUAAAAAUUAUAAAUUUUACAAUAACUUAAUCCUUAAAUUAAAGAAUACUAGAAAAUCAAAAUAAAGUUUAAUCACAAAAAUUAUUAUUUCUCAAUAAAUAAGAACAUACACUUUAAUAAUAAACUUUCACAAACAUGACAUUAACAAUCUAAUAAUAAAUUAUUUUUAACAUAUAUUAUUUUUCCCCCUUCUCCUUUUAUAAUGGCCAAAAACCCCUCUAAUAGUAUAAGUUUACAAUAUUACCCUUAUUUUCAACUACUCUUUUAUUUCUAUUUAUUCUAAAUUAAAUAAAUCAUAUGAAUAGAAACUAAAUAAAAAAUAAAGCAUUAAAAAUAAGAAAUAUAUGUUUUGAUAUGAACAAAAAAAUUAAUAAUAAAAUUUUUUUAUACUUAUUUAUUUUGUGAAAAUUUUCUUAUAAUAAAUAUAUAAGAAAAUUAUUAGUCAAAUGAUAAAAAAAUUUUAUAAGAAAACUUGAAUGACAAAUAAAAAUUUAUUAUAAGAUAAAUAAUAAAAUAUUUUACCUAUACUUUUUACAUUUAAUUUUAAAAUAUUACAAAAUAUUUAUUAUAAGAAAAUGUUCACAAAAUAAAUAAUUACAAGAAAAAAUUUUAUUAUUAAUUUUUCUGCUCAUAUCAAAACAUAUAUUUCGUGUUUUAAUACUUAAUAUAGGCAUUACAUUCAAUUAUUGACCAAAAAUUAGCCGCCAUCUAGCAUAUCGGACCCAGUCCAAGCCGAGUUAUUAUUGAUCAUUAGUAGAGUCUCCUGCUCUUUCUAUGAUGAUCCUUCCAUGUGGGAGGAAUUAUUUUUGUAAAUAAGAAAAAAAAUUAUUUAUGUUAUUUACAAUAAUAUUUAUUUAAUUUAAAUUUAUUUUUACUAUUAUUUUCAUUUUCUAACUGUUGACAAUUGAUCACGCUGUAAAAAAUUUAAUGGUGGUCUUUCACUUAUUUGUGUUCAUUUAUUUUGUUUUCAUUUAUUUCAUUUGAAAAAUUUGAGUGUUGGGGUUUUGUCAAUAACCCAUGGGUAAACCAUACCCAAACCAUAAUGAAAUGGUUUUCUACAUAAAACCCAUAUCUAACCAAUUUUCAUGAUUUACCCAACCCAAACCAUUUAAUUUGGUUUGAGUUUGGAUAAACCCAUGGGUUGUGGGUUUAUGCCCACCCCUAGUUGUGACCAUCAACUGCUCUAAUUUAACAAAAUCUACUGUGAAUUGCGGAUGAGAUGAGCUCAGUGUCAUUGUUACAGAAAGAACGUCUUAUGAAUGUCGGGAAAAUAUAUUUUUAGGGAAUGAAAAAUGUAAUAAUGGCAAACGUAGAGAGUUACAGUAAUAAUGAUUAUGCCACAAAGAUAAUGAGUCAAUUAUGUAAUAAUGACAAACAUAGAGAGUUGCAGUAAUAAUGGUGGAAUUUUUUUCUAAUAAAAUAAUGAGUUUACUACUCUGUAGGUACAACGAAAAUAAUAGUAAUAAGUAAAUUGUAGAAAUUAACGUGUAUUUCAAGGCACUUUACAAAUAUUACUUUCUUUAGACGUUAUUCGCCCCCAUCAAUUGAGUGAUGAAUAUGGGUUAAACAAAUACGCAUCUACGAUACAAUGAAACACUUAUUUAUUUGUUUGCAUUGGGUAUCGACAAAAGCAAACCUAAAUACUCUUGAAUGUUGCAAGCUUGUCAAGAAUCAAUAUAAUUGUUCCUGUAGUAAACAAUAUGUUGGAUAUUUAAUGCAUAAAAUAUAGAUGUUAUAUGAUAAAAUUCGUUUUAGAAAGGAGAGUUUAGAAAAGAGUGUUAUAAGAAUGUUAUUUUCAUGUCUAAAUGGCCUAAACAUGGCCUCUAUUUAUAAAUAUAAUUGUGCCCUCCAUUUGGAUUGUCAUUUUUCAUGAUACCCAUUCGUUUAUGGUCAUUGGAUCAAGAUUUGAUUUUAAUCAAUUGUCUAAAUAAGUACAUCACCAUUUCAAAUGAAAUGACAAUGUGAAAUGAUACAUUUUUAAGUGGAAAGAUACCUUUUAUAUGGGACAAUUACUAGGACAAGUUUUUAUAAUAAAACAUCAUUUAUUUUGAAAUUGUUACAGCCCUAAGAUUAUUCUAGGUUAAGUUAAUCUAUUAUGUAUAACUUCAGAAGGUUCAUCGGUAGAUUGCUUUAAGUUUUUGUCAUAGUUUACAAAUAUUUUGUUACUUAUAAUGUAAGAAAUUUUACAAAUGUUGGUGCUGAGUAAUCUGCAUAAUUAUUAUGAAUCAGAGAAACAGGGCAGAUGUUGUACAAUUAUUGUUGUGGUGGAGCGGAAAGUUAGCCCGGACGGUGACUGCUAUUGGGAUUUCUUUAAUUUGCAGCAUAAAAGCAUUUACAUUGACAUCGACUCAAGGGUAAAAAUUAAAUAUCUCAUGUAGCAUAAGAAGAAUGCAAAAAUGCUUGAAUGAGCAUUCUCACUGAAUACACAAAAGCUACUUUCCCUUGAGCACUUUCGCAACAAAAGCAAAUGUAAAAUGUAGCAUUUAAUUCUAACAUCAAAUGGUUGAUGCCAUCGUUUCCAUCCCUUGGGGAAAUUGAAUUCCUCUAUCUGAUAUUACAGUCUGGAGCGGCUCUUAAGUACCUCAGGCAACUUAGGGCAAUUUAGGCGGUUGCUCAGGGCCCCACAUUUAACCUAGGAUCCCAUUAUAAAUGAAGGUUUCUAAGUUAAUUCUUAAAUUAUAGUUAUUAAUUAUUGAUUUAUAUUUAUUAUUUAUAACUAUAUUUUCCAUAAACAAACUACUAGAUUCUUUCAAAUCCCCUUUUAAUAUUAUAAUUAACAAUUUUAAUCCAUUUAUUUCCUCCGUAUAUUUCAUUUAAAACUCUAUAAAGGCCACACCUUUUUUAAAUUAUUAUCCAUUAAUAUCUUUUUCCAAUUAAAGAAAAAAACAAAACCUUCAUUACUUUGGUGAAAAAACUACUUUCUCUACCUUACUUUUUGCAUAAGGAAGAAAAGAAAAUCAAUCGUUUUACUUUCUUUUGAUCAUUGUUGCUCAAAGUCUCAAUCCAUCAAAGUUAAAUUUCUCAAAUUUUCAGGUUUUAUCUUCCGAUUCUCUUAUUAAUUAAUUGUGUUAUUUAGGUGUUUUUGUUUCUUUGUAAAAAUAUUAUUCUGUUCAUAGGUUGUUUUCUUUUAAUUAUCUAGCAUAAUAGUUUGCAUGAUUACUCUUGUUUCAUUAGAAAAAAAAAAUGUCUACUAAAAACUAUGCAUCAUGAUACAAAAAACUUCAUAAAAGGAGAAGAACAGAAAAGUUAGUUUAAUCUAAAAAACAAUGCUAUUGAUAAAAAAAUAUUUAAGAUCACCCAUUUCAUAAGAAAGAUUAAAUAGGUUAACUAUAUUGUCUAUUGAGAAAGAUAUAUUAGCAAAAUUAGAAUAUAAAAAGUUGACUAAUAAUUUUGCAUCUAAGAAAGUUAGAGAAAUUGAUUUUAAAUAAAUAAAACUUUAAUAAAUUAAUACAUAUAUUUCACCUCAAUUUUUUUAGAAGGCCUAAUUAAAUCAAUUUAUUUAAGACCUAAAAUAUGAUUGAGCCGCCUUGAAAUUGCAGUAAGAUAGAAAAGUGAAAUAGACAGAACACUUGCUCAUACGUAAAGAUGCGACGAAUUUGAGAAUACUUAUUAUUAUGUGCCAAAUUCCUAAUGUGUGGGAAUUUAAAAAUGUUAGUGCAUAACAUGUGUUUAUCGGUGGAGUAGAAUCAGGGAAAUUAAAGAUAAGCAUAAUUUUUGCAUCCAAUGCCAAAUUCCCCCAGGGAGAGAGUGGGGACUCCUUUGCAUAAAAGUUGUUAAAAGUUUAUUGUUAAUAAUAAAAAUAACAUGCAGAUACAGUAUUUUAGGUUAUUGUUAAUAGUUUUACAAUAAUAAAAAUCAUUUUGUUAGAUCGUAAAAUGUAGUACUCAUACUCUAUUUUGUGCAAAAGUCUGCGAGAAAGGAUUUCAGAUUUACCUAACGGGGAAGUUGGGAACUUGCUUUUUUACCUAGGCUAAAAAUAUUUCAAUAAAUUCUGAUCGUGGAGACUACCUGAAACGACCCGCCCCGAAACCCCCCAGGCGAGUCUAUCUAGUUACAUCAAAACAGACUUAAAAAUAAUAUUAUACGUAAAGAAUCUGCUGAAAAUUCGACAGAGUCUCCUUUAUAUAUAUAACACUCCCAAAGUACAAAUAUGAAUAUACAACAAACUCCAGUGCUCAACAUACUCAACCAAAAAUACUGAGUUAUAUAAUAUACAACCCCAAAAGAACAAGAUGACCAAGAUGUCCCAACAGAAACAUUUAUAUACUCUAGCACCAUCACGUGGCCAAGACUCAAAAUAUAUACAGUCGCUGGGUCGGUCUGGUGUACCUGCAACCUCCUGGUGAGGGGGGGAAAAUAUAAUAAAAACGGGGUGAGUUUAAAACUCAGUGAGAUUAGUGAGUGGAUAGUAGGUUUGAAAAUUGAUCUUUACUUUAAAAGAAAUAAGCAUAUCCAAACACGGUUUCAUUAAACCAUAAGUGAGAAAUCAGAAAUAAAUCAUUAAAUAUUUAAAUCAGAUUACCAACCAUAGAAAUCAUAUCACCAAAUCAUAUCGAUUUCACAAAUCUGAAAAUCAUAUCUCAUCAUAUCUCUGCAUGCAUAAUCUAGUCCCCAAAGGACAAAAGCGCCCAAGCACACGGCCCAAAGCCUCUGUGUGUACUCAGACGGGCCCCAAAGGCCUCCUUACAAUCAGAGCGCGCACCUCCCUUAUUACCCCUCAGUUUGGCGGGCCUCCCUUAUUACCCCUCAUCUAUAUCACUGUACUCAUAUUCACAUACCUCUUUACCACAUUUUAAAUCAUACCACAUUUGAAUCCACUUUUCUUAACUUUCAAAUAAUAUCACACUUUAUUCAAAAUCGAUACGCAAAAUUAUUAACCAAACAUUUUCAUAUAAUAUCAACAAGUGAAUAAAAUCCAUUUCGAGAAAUCAUUAAAUCAGCACAUUUAAAAAUACUUAUUCCGCAACCAUGCUUUACUAUCAUAAUUAACUCUAAAAAUAAGUUUCGUAUAUUCCACUCACAGUGACGGUGUUCAUAGUCGGUUAUCGUCUACGUCCGCGGACCGGUUCUCGCUCGCGGAUCCUCCUAAAUCAAGGAAACGACAUAAUUAUUCUCCGUAAAUCGGAAUUCCGACUAAAUAUAUGCAAUAACUCGAAACGAACAUUUAUCCAUAAUUAACAACUCCCGUGACGAUAAAAUUACUAAAAUGCCCUUGAGUCCGUAAAUCAUUAACAUGCUCCGAAAUCGUAAAUCACCGAAUUAUCCUCGAAAUCGUAAUUACACCCAAUUCACAAUUCUAUGAAUUACUGAAAUAUCCACAGGCUCAGAAAUGACAAAAUUGCCCUCAUAGUGUGAAAUUACCAAAAUGCCCUUGCCGGUCAACGGUCACCGGAAUUUGGUCAACGCUGGCCAGGAAGCUCAAAUCUUAAAGUGCCAAUCACGCUGAGUUCAAUGGUACCGGCGGUGAGCUCCAACGCGCGGCAACGACGCCGGAAUCUAGCUCGACAGCCGUGAGUUCCAACAAUCGACCGGCAGCAAAACGACGACUCUCGGUGCCUAUGAAUGGUCGGAAAUGGAAGAGGGAGUCAUGAGGAACAAAAUCCAACCGGUGGUGUCACUCAAAACCGGCGAAAAUCUCGGCGGAGUAAAGUGAAGCAGUCGCGGGUUUCAAGCUUCGAUCGCCGGCGUUCCGGUUCGUUUUCGGCAGUGAGGAUGGCAGGGGAACGACGGUCGGCUUCUAAGCUUCAGAUCGGUACCAAGCUCGGCCAAAACGGUGGUCGGAAACGUGAAAUCCGUCCGGGUUAAAGUCGCGGGUCGGGUCGGAUCCGGCGGGUCAAGAUCGGGUAAGUUGGCAGCUUCUCUCUCUCUGUUUUGCACGUGCAUGUGUUUUUCCUCUGUUUCCAACAUAUUCCUUUGCUUAUAAACUCUUUCACCGCCUCAUGCCAUUUUACAUUCACAGGUAUUACACUACCAAGAGUUUUUUUUAGUCAUAUAUAUUUAUUUUUUAGGGACCAAUAUGAAUAUUACUAAUUUUAUCGAGAUUAUUAAAAAAACAAUGUGCUAAUUUACCAAUAUGAUUUCUCCAAUCUUUUUUCUUUUCGUCAUUUAUUCCUUUGUGAAUUUGAGUUAAUGCUUGAUAUUAUUUUUGUGCUCAUUUUUUAAAGUAGAAGAUUAUGAAAAAGUGAACACACAAAAAGCAUAAAAAUUAUUAUUAGAUCCAAAUUUGUGCUAUUUCAUACAUAACUUGAGAAUAUUUAUAAUUACGCAUCACAACUAGUGGAGUAGAAUCAGGGAAAUUAAACAUUCUACAGUCAUUGACGUGUGGGGUGGGGAUAAGCAUAAACCUUUUCUAUGCAGUAUAAAAGAGUGCAAUAACUCCUUUUCUUUCAGUAUCAUCGCAACAAAAGCACAUCUAAUAACUCUUCAGAAUUCUCGUCUUCUUUGUCAGAAUGGUUGAUGCAAUCGUUUCCUCUCUCCUGGAGCAGCUGAUCUCUGUUGCGGCCGAUAAAGUGAAACAACAGGUGAGGCUUGUGACUGGUGUCCGAGAAGAAGUGAAAAAGCUUACCAGCAAUCUUCAAGCCAUUCGAGCUGUGCUGGAGGAUGCAGAGCAAAGGCAAAUGCAGCAAGACAAAGCUGUUACUUUUUGGCUGGAUCAGCUCAAAGACGCAUCCUACGACAUGGAAGAUGUGUUGGACGAGUGGGUCUUUGCAAGGCUCAAAUUGCAAAUUGAGGGCGUUGAUGAUGACAAUGCUUUUUCCCUUGCUCCUCACAAGAAGAAGGUACGUUCCUUCUUUCCUGCUGUAUCAAACUGCUUUGGUAGUUUCAAACAACUUAGUCUUCGUCUUGACAUUGCUGUCAAGAUUAGGGAAAUCAAUGAAAAGCUAGAUGAUAUUGCCUCCCAAAAAGCUAGGUUUAAAUUUGUUGAAAAUGUGAGUAACCAUGUUAAAAAACUGAAACAAGCGCGAACCACCUCCUUGAUUGAUGAGGGAGAGGUCUGUGGUAGAGUUGACGAGAAAAACGAGCUCUUAAGCAAGUUGUUGUUUGAAAGUAGCGAACAACAAAAAGGCCUUCAUGUCAUCUCACUAGUUGGGUUAGGGGGCAUAGGUAAAACCACUCUUGCACAACUGGCCUAUAAUAAUGAUGAGGUGAAAAGAAAUUUUGAAAAAGUUAUAUGGGUGUGUAUCAGACACUUUGGAGGAGAUUAGGGUUGCCAAUGCAAUCAUUGAAGGUCUAGCCGAGUCAGCUUCUAGUUUAAGCGAAUUUCAAUCUCUUCUAAGCCAUAUCCAUAGAUCAAUUGAAGGAAAAAAAAAUUUUCUUGUCUUAGAUGAUGUAUGGGAUGGGGAUUACAAAAAAUGGGAACCAUUCUUCCUAUGUUUAAAGCAUGGUCUCCACGGAAGUAAAAUUUUGGUUACUACACGUAAUGAGUCAGUUGCACGUAUGAUGGGAUCAACAAAUAUUAUUUUCAUUGAGCAAUUGACUGAAGAGGAAUGCUGGUCGUUGUUCAAGCGGUUAGCAUUUUUCGGUCACUCUUUCGAGGAUUGUGAAAGAUUAGAACCAAUCGGGCGAAAAAUUGCACGCAGGUGCAAAGGCCUGCCUCUUGCUGCAAAGGUAAUAGGGAAUCUCUUGCGCUCUAAAAGUACAAUAAAAGACUGGCAAAGAAUUUUAGAUAGUGAAAUGUGGAAGGUAGAAGAGCUAUGGAAAGGUCUUUUGACUCCUUUAUUGUUGAGUUAUAAUGAUUUGUCGUCCAAUUCUAUGGUAAAACGAUGUUUUUCAUAUUGUGCUGUCUUUUUGAAAGACUACAAUAUGUAUAAAGAGGAACUAAUUUCACUAUGGAUGGCUCAAGGUUACCUUAAUGCAGAAGAAUAUGAAGAGAUGGAGAUUACUGGGGAAGAGUGUUUCAACAUUUUAGCAGCACGCUCUUUCUUUCAAGAGUUUGAGAAAAAUGAUGAUGAUGAUAUUAUGAGUUGCAAGAUGCAUGACCUAGAACAUGAUUUUGCUCAAUUUGUAAGUAGCAAUGAAUGUUUGUGGCUAGAAUUUAGUGGUACCAGAGAAUCAGUCAUAAACCCUUUUGGUGAGAAAGUCCGUCACUUAGGGUUAAAUUUUAAAGAAGGCGCUUCAUUUCCUAUGUCCAUUCAUGGACUUAAUAGAUUGCGUACCCUCCUAAUUGAUGAUGAAAGUCCUUUCAAUUCAUCUCUUAAUAAUAGCAUCCUUCCAGAGUUAUUUAGUAAUUUGGCGUGUUUGAGGCCAUUAGUUAUAAGGCAAUCAUCCUUGCUUUUUCGUUAUCCCCCAAAUGGGAUUAGAGAAAUUCCAGAAAAUGUCAGAAAAUUGAUACAUUUGAAAUGUCUUAAUUUGUCUGAAUUACACAUAAAGAGACUACCUGAGACUUUGUGUGAAUUAUAUAAUUUACAAAAGCUAGAUAUUAGGGGGUGCCGAAAUCUAAGAGAAUUGCCUGUGGGGAUCGGGAAGUUAAAGAACAUGAGGAGUUUACUAAAUGGUGUUACUCGUUCGUUGAAGUACAUGCCAAUAGGGAUUUCCAAAUUAACCAGUCUUCGAACAUUAGACAAGUUUGCUGUGGGUGGAGGUGUUGAUGGUGGCAGUACGUGUAGGCUUGAAUGUCUGAAAAAUUUUCGACUCAUUCAAAAAUGUGGAAUAGAAGGGCUGAGUAAUGUGUCACAUUUAGAUGAGCCUGAGAGAUUAGAACACAAAAAUAUGGAAAACCUCCUUCAUUUGUAUCUUUUGUUUGAAGUUGUAGAUUAGGAAGAUAAAGAAGAGGAUGAAGAUGAAGGUGGGGAAGAUGAAGGUGAAGAUGGAGGAUAUGAAGAAGAAGGAGGUGAAGUUGUAAAUGUGGAAGAUGAAGAAAGGAGGAGGAAGAAUGAGAAAGAUGAACAACUUCUUGAAGCCUUAAGCCGCCUUUGAAUGUAGAGGAAUUAUGGAUUUUAUUAUAUGGAGGCAGCAUUUUUCCCAAAUGGUUGACUUCGCUAACCAAUCUAAGGAAUUUAUUUCUUCACGGGUGUCUUAACUGUGAGCAUUUGCCUCCUCUGGGAAAAUUGCUUCUGGAAAAACUCGCCCUGCAAAAUUUGAAUAGUAUAAAAAGAGUGGGCAAUGAGGUUUUGGGAAUAGAGGAAAGUAGUGAUGAUGACCCGUCUUAAUCUUCAUCAUCAUCAUCAGUUAUUGCCUUCCCCAAAUUGAAAUCACUCAAAAUUUGGGACAUGGAAGAAUUGGAAGAGUGGGAUUACAGGGUUACGAGGAAGGAAAACAUCUCCAUCAUGCCACGUCUUUCUUCCUUGGAAAGGUGUUGCCAGAUGACCUUCUUCAAACGUCGACACUGCAGGAAUUGAGUAUUGGGGGAUGUCCUAUUUACUUCAGUGUACGAUAAUUUGUUACGUGAAACUUCUUGAGAGACUGAAUUUCUGGGGUACUUUGUAGUAAUGUUGAAAACUAAGUGAUGGCUGGGUCUGCUCUGUUUCAGUUGAGGAUGGUUUGCUUCCUGGAAGACAUGCUGAUUAUUAUUGCAUGAUAUUAAGGUGCUGAGAUCAUCAUUUCUAUCUUGUUUCUUUCUUUGAUCGGUUUAUCCUCUAUAAGCAUAUGGAAUUAUGCUAGUAUUAUCACUUCUUCACUCAAUUUUCACUGUUGGUUGUAAUAACCAUUUCAGGUUCUCAAAAGCCUCAAAGCAAAGCAUCUUUGGGCUGAUCAUAUAUUUCAAUUGACGAAGCAAUUCGAUGUUGGCACUAUUAUGCAGGUAACCAGAGUUGAUAAUUUGCACAAAUUUGCAUUGUCAGAAUACCCUUCAUAUUCACUGUGUUUCUUUGUGUAGGUAUGUAGAGUAUCAUCUUCAAGGGUUGUAAGAGCCUUUGCAGUAAAUUUAGCUGCUCGUGCAAUUGCUCAUUCAUCGGAGUACAAUUUUGGAUUUUCAAGGUUUGUAUGCUCAGUUGUAAUUAAAAUGCUUAGUCACUUAUUCCUAAUCUUUCUGAUUUUCAAGUUGUUUUAGGUCCAUAAACAGUUUUCAAACAUGUUUCAAUGCUUCUUGUAAUGACAAUUUCAUAUCUUGCAUCUCUAACGUGCAUCACGUUUGAAACAGCUUUCGCGGUAAAGUCUUCGAUGCUUCUACAAUGGCUGUGAAGAGGCACAUUAAAUUCGGUACAUUUUGGUACGGCCUCCCAAUGCUGGUAUAAUGUUGUGUAUAUUUAGUUUGCAAUUAAAACUUAGGUAUACAAAUCUUAAUCUGCAAUAGAUCGUAGUGUACAAAGUUUUCUAUUAAUGAUAUGGUGACUGAAAGUUUAAUUAUCUUAAAAUUUUUCUAUGACUCUCUUUUACUUUCUUUGUACAGAGUACCUGUUUUGGCUGAUGUGUCUAAUUCAUAGAAAUUCAUUUCCAUCGGUUUCCAUUGGUUUGAGCACAAACAGAAACAGAGGUCUGAGGAAAAGUUUUAUUUCUUGCGGUAUUAUGCCUUUGUUUCUUUAUUCACCAUAUUUGUUCGAAUUCAUGCCCUCAUUAAGAAUUUAAAGCCUUUUCCAGGCAGCUUUGUAGGCUACCUUAUGAAAUUGGAAAGUUAUUAUUGCUUGAAUGCAAGCACCGUCUUCUGUUGCGAAGGCUUUCCCCACAUGAUGAGAUGCUGUGAUUGUUACCGGACCCUUAAUUAUUUAACUCAGGAUUUUAUCAUCAACCACAUCAUCUUAUUCACCAUUUUGGAUAUAUAUAAAGAUUAAAAUUUCUAACAGUUGUUUCGGAUUCUUGUGUAAUCAGAUAAAUGGGGCAAAUGUCAGAACAAAGAUUGUUCAGUGUUGCUGGUAGGGCAAGGAUGAUGAUGGUGAGGAAGAUUGUUCACAAGCCAAGUAGAGCUAGGGAUGGCAAAACAUCGGGUCGGGCUCGGGCUUGGCCAAACCCGACCCGACCCGAUCAACAAAGAAUUAAAGCCCGACCCUAAAAAAGCCCUACCUAUUUAUAAUUAGGGUUGGGUCGGGCUCGACCCGAAUCGGACCAACCCUACCGAAAUCUAUAAUAGCAACAGCCACCACAGAGCUAUUUUCCAAAUUCACCAAAUCGAACUCUGAAAAUCCAAUCAAACUUUGGCUUAUAAAGCCAAAAUCAUUGCUUAAUUAAACCUAUACAGAAAAUAAUACUUCCACUCGCUGAAGAUUUUCCUCGAGUCCUCAUAUGUUUCUCUGUUUACUUGUCUACGAACAGCAAACAAGAAGUUUGCUAUUUCAUAUCAGUGUCGCACAAUAAAAUAAUUAAUUAAACAAAUUAUUAAAUUUACAAAGAAAUCAAUCCCUAAGCUGGUAUAGCAUCCACUAGACUACUCUUUUUAAUCGUUAAUUAAUAAAUAGUUACUGAUCUAUAACAAAUUCUUUCCAUCACCACAAAAAUAAAAUAAAAAUUCAUUGCCAUCUAAUUGGAUUAUAAGAUACAAUAACAAUUGGCAAUUGUAUUGCCAUCUAAUUUCAUUACCUAAACUUAAUUAUAAGAAACAAAUUGGCUGCUGGAAUAGAGGACAUAAAGAAGUCAAAAAUUGAACUUACAAUUUUGGUCAUAAACUUAAUUUGAACUUACAAUUUUGGUCGGAAAUAAUUACAGAACCGAUCGAGAGUAUUGCUGGUUUUAUGGGUAAAUAAAAAAUUGUAUGCAGUGCGGCGACGGGCGGCUGGCUGGUUCACUCACGUCGCGGCGUCGCGGACGGUCACGAUGGCGGAUUGGCGGUGAGANNNNNNNNNNNNNNNNNNNNNNNNNNNNNNNNNNNNNNNNNNNNNNNNNNNNNNNNNNNNNNNNNNNNNNNNNNNNNNNNNNNNNNNNNNNNNNNNNNNNNNNNNNNNNNNNNNNNNNNNNNNNNNNNNNNNNNNNNNNNNNNNNNNNNNNNNNNNNNNNNNNNNNNNNNNNNNNNNNNNNNNNNNNNNNNNNNNNNNNNNNNNNNNNNNNNNNNNNNNNNNNNNNNNNNNNNNNNNNNNNNNNNNNNNNNNNNNNNNNNNNNNNNNNNNNNNNNNNNNNNNNNNNNNNNNNNNNNNNNNNNNNNNNNNNNNNNNNNNNNNNNNNNNNNNNNNNNNNNNNNNNNNNNNNNNNNNNNNNNNNNNNNNNNNNNNNNNNNNNNNNNNNNNNNNNNNNNNNNNNNNNNNNNNNNNNNNNNNNNNNNNNNNNNNNNNNNNNNNNNNNNNNNNNNNNNNNNNNNNNNNNNNNNNNNNNNNNNNNNNNNNNNNNNNNNNNNNNNNNNNNNNNNNNNNNNNNNNNNNNNNNNNNNNNNNUGUUAUUAGAGUGAGUAGAAAUUAAGCACAUAUCUGCGAUUUGGGUUGUCGGUGAAUGUUUUCCUUUAAUAUUUGUACACACCCAUUUCUUAGUAAAAUUUUCUUCAUGUCUAUUACUAUGACAUAGGCUAAUAGCCGUACCAUAUAACAUUAUCUUCUUAUUUCUUUAUGCUUGGUUUUGCUACAUAUCAUUUCUGUACAUUCAAGAAUGCAAUUUUGUAACUACUUAACUCUGCUUCGGCAAAGUUAAGUAGUUACAAAAUUCUUUUUUUUUUCCUUUUUCUUUCUCCGAUAAAAUUGCCACAAAUGGAAGCGAUUGGCUUGAUUUUUGCUUCUGUAAAAAGUGGUGGGAGCAAUGUCUUGUGUACCCGCAAGUUAUAAAUCGUCAUAGUUUAAAUGAAGAAUCCAGAGUUGCCAUCCAAAACUAAAGAAAUUGCAAAUUAAGUAGUUCAUUACAAAUGAUAUAUUUUGAGUUGCUAAUUAUUAAGUAUUUUAUUCAAAAAUGUUCUCGUUCCCACAAUUCCUAAUGUUUAAAGUGCAUCAUUGCUCUACUUCCGUCAUAACAGCAUAAGAGAAUUUAACAUAAUACUAAGAAAAUGAUUAUUUUACCCUAAAUGUAAAUGAUUAUUCUACCCUUGACAUAAAAUAACUAAUUUGCCCUAAUUUAAUAACGAAAAAAAUAGAUGACUGCAAUAUAGAUAUUAAAUAAUAAAUAAAAUAAAAAAUCAGAAUUAAGCUAAUUUGUUCAAGACAAUAUCUUUAGUUGGCAUGUAAUUUUCAUUAGCCGGCGUCUACUCUUAAUUUAUGUCAAAUUAAGUAAUCGCUUCGCCCCAAUAAUGUUGCCUUUGAUCUCUCAGCCCCAGUAAAAGAAUUGGCUGAAAGAGAAUGUUGGUCACUGUUUAAGCAAGUAUGCUUUUGGCGGUCCUUUGAGGAUCUUCAAAAUUUAGAACCAAUCAAAAAUAAAAAAUUUCAUACAAGUGUAAAGGCUUGCCUCUUAAUGCAAAGGUAAUACGAAGUCUCUUGCUGACAUAUACAUCCUUUACUUUAUAAUCUUUUACUUUUGCUCUUAAGCUAAAGCAUUAAAAGGCCCCAUAUCCACUCUUUAUAUAUAUAUAGGGAGAAUGACAAUUUUCUCCCAUACUAUAAUCAAUAUAUAUCAUUUACGUCCUACUUUUUUAUAAUAACCAAUAAUCCUUGGAUAGCAUAAUUUAACAAUAUUAUUUUUGGUUUAUUUUAAUUUUUGUUCAUUUGAUUUCAUAGUAGUAGUUUUCAUUUUUUUAGUUUAAAAUUUGUAAAAUGAACUAAAAUGAGAUAAUUUUGAAAAAGAAUCAAAACAAAAAAAGGCCCAAAAUUACCCCUGUUCCGAACAUUAUCUGAAUCCAUCAUAAUUGACCCAAAUUCAAAUUUAACUCAAACCCAACCUUGGCCUCAUAUAAUUAUAACCUGAUCCGAUCUAGACUCAACCCCAAAGUUUUGAUUUGAUCUAAUCCAAUUCGAAUAUUCCAAGCCAAUCAACCUAAAACCCAAUCAAGUUGAUCCAAACCCAAAUUUGCGCACUCCUAGAGGGGACCAUCACCCUAUAAGCUUUGAAUUUUUUUUGAGGUUUUUAAAUGAAAUAUUCAAAAUUAGGUAUAAAAUGACUGAUUUGCCCUGGAAUACUUGAUACAUAUAAUGAAACUUUAAUUGUAUAUUUUGUGAAAUAAAAUCAAUUAAACCUGAUUUUUUUAUUUGUUAAUUAUUUUUCAUAGCCUUUUUUAAAAGUUUGUAAGUUUGGGCCUACCUCUUUGAUUUUUAUUUUGUUCAUUUUGCUUUCUCUUGCAACAAUAGUUUCAAAUACCAGUCACAAAAUUCUCAAAUUUUGGAAUACCCUACAUACUAGCUAUAAAUAGAAAAAACUGAAUAAAAUUAAUCCCCAACUAACACUUGAAAUUUGAACUUGGGCCUCAUGAAGAUUUACUCAGAGCUCCGCCCCUGAUAUGCAAUAAAAUAUUAGUUUUGCUAGUGAAAUUGCCAAUUAUGUUUUUUUUUUUUGUAUUUUCCGCUUAGGGAAGAAGAAAUUUCCUACAACUAUUGUGGUGAAUAUCUUGUGAAUUUAUGACAGUUUAAUCUUUAGUUUGCCACUUGCUUAAAAUGAAAAAGGGAAAAGGGUAUUUAUAUCUCUAAGGUUUGGAGAAAUAGUCACCAACACUACAAGUUUUUUAAAAAGGACAUCAAGACUCCUUUUUGACCACAAUACCCUUUACCUUUAGUAUCUCGAAAAAUUUAACUUGCAAAUGAAUAAAUACAAAUAUUAUAUAAAUAAUGUAAUCUACGUUGUAGAUUAAUAAUAUUAAAAUAUUAAAAUAAAUUUAAAUAUGUAAAUUAAUAUAUUUAUUUAAUAAUAUAUUUGUAUUUAUUGUAGAGAUUUUAAAUAAAUAUUUGCAUUAAAUACAUUUUACAAUUAAAAAAGUCUCACAUACUAAUAAUGUUAAAAUUAUUAUUUUACAUAAUAAUUUAAAUUUUAAUACAUUUAUUUUAAUAUUAUGUUUACAUUUAUCAUAAAAUUUACUUUAACAUAAUAAAAUAUAUUAAUAGAUUGUAAAAUAUUAAAAUAUUUUUAAAUAUUGAAAUUAUUUUAAAAUGUAUAAAUUAUUACAUUUAUUUUAAUAUUAUAUUUCUCUUUACUAUAAAAAAUUAAAGUUAACUUUUGGGAUAAUAAAGGUAAAGGGUAUUGUAGUAAGAAAGAAGUUUUAGUAUCUUUUCUUGAAAACUUAAGAGCGUUGGUAACCAUUUCUCCAAACUUUGGGGAUAUAAAUGUCUUUUUCCUAACAAAAAAUGACAUUUUUAAUAGGAAAUAUAAUAAGCUUUGUUCUAUAGAAAAAUCCAUCAGAUAUAUUAUGCCCCCGGUUGCUAUGUUAAAAAUAAGUAAUUCUUCUUUUUGUAUAUUAAAAUAGUAAAAGGGUGGAUAAUAUUUAAAUUUUUUUUUUACCUUUUAUCUUUUUUGACAUUCGAAUUUUAAACUCGAGAAAUAGACUUCCUGAGAGGUUAACUAAAUUCUUAGUAAUUUGAUAUAAUUUCAUAACCGUUCUCCAAAAGCAAUUUUAUAAAUCAUUGUGGAAAAGCUUUAUUCCUUAGUUAUCUUUCGCAUAUUUUCUUUGUAGUAUGAUAUUUAUUAAAAUCAUUAUGGGACUGAUUUUAUUCUCUUUUUUUUCUCAACAAAAUAUCCGACUGCAGAUGUAAUAAAUUACUAAUUACAAUUAUUUGAGUCCCACUCUAAAUUAGAUUUUGAAAUAAAGUUACAUUCUCAAAUGACCAAAUGAAUUAACGAGUCUGACAAAAAGAUGUUGUCGGCCAAGUUGAAAAAUAUAAUAAAUAAAUUGUCAGGAGAUGAUUUUUUCUGAAAUUUCACUUUCAAGGUCCAGAACACAUUCAAAUUUCCGUUGAAAUUCAUAAUGGAUUCAUAUGAUCGGGCGAAAUUACACUAUACAAUUUCAUCAAUACCUAUUAAACGAUAAAAAAUUUAUUGAUUAUUUAUAAUUAAAAAAAAUCUAUCUACUAAGACUAUUCUAGAUCAACAAUUAAUAUAUUAAAUAUAACUUCAGAAGGUUCAUCGGUGUAUUGAUCUAAGCCUUUUGCAGUAGUUUAUAAAUAUUUUGUUGCUUAUAAUGUAAGAAAUUUUACAGGAGUUGAUGCUGAGUAGUCUGAAUAAGAAAAUUAAUUAUAUUGUAAGUUAUUGGGUAUUCAUAAUAAAAUAAACAAAUAAAAAAUGAAUAAAAAUUUAAAUACUUAAUUAAUUUUUAUCAAAUUCUUAUCAAAUAUUUAAAAUAUAUAUAAAAUCAAUUAAUUGAUGAUGUUGUUAAUUUUCAUGAUAUUUUUAAUAUUAUAUUAGUGAUUAUUAAAUUUAAUACAAUCAAUAAUGCUAUAAAUUAUUAAAUGGUUAAUUUUAUUGACAAAUUAUCAAAUAUGCAAAUAAUGAAAAAUUAAUCUCAAGAGUUGGUAGAAGUAAAGUUCCAAUUUAAUCAGAUGAUAGAUAAUAAAUAAAAAUAAUUUUUAAGUAAAUUAUAAAUUAAAAAAUAAUUAAUAUUAAGUAUAAAUAAACAAUAAUGAUAGAAAUUAAAGUCUCAUAAGAGUAUCUCCAAAAGACUCUUCAAAUAAGAUUCUACUUCUUAUUUGAAGAGCCAUAUCAAUAUUUAACACUCCAAAAGACACGUUAAUUUAGAUUCUUCAAAUAAGAUUUGUUUCUCACUCUUCAAUAUUGCCGAGUGAGUUUCUCCCUCUUCUAUUAAUAUUUUAUUAUUAUUUAUUGAAAAGAUAAGACUGCAAUAAUUAUUAUUUAUGUUUCUUUUAAAAAAUAUAAUAACAAUACAAUUUGAUAGUGGGAAAAUUUGAUUAAAAUAAUAUUAAUUUAUUCUUAUUUGGUGAGUCUUUUGGACGGGAUUAUAUUUUUUUAUACACUUAUUUGCCACAUCAGUAAGCAAAUUGAAAUUUAAAGAGUAAAAUUUAAAGAUCCUUUUGGAGAUGCUCUAAAUAGAUAACUUUUUUUCUUUAAUUUUAUCCCAACUAAAAUCAUGUGUAAAUUAGAAUGAUUAAUCCCAUAAUUGUAGGAUGAAACUUAAAUUUAGUCCCCGAGUCCAAUUCAAUUAAGUUUAACAAACAUGAGAUAAAUAUUUAAUCACAAAAUUAGUCCAAUUUCGUACUUAAUCCUAGUAUAUGAACAUGGAUUGAUAAAAUAAUUUAGGUAAUAUGCUUCUAUGACUUACAAUUUAAAUAAAUUUGAGAAUUUAUAUAAGGGAUGGAAAAUUCAUAAUAAUCAUAACAUGUGCUAUCUUUUCUUCCUUUUCUUAAUUAAAUAAAAGAAAAAUAUUCAUCACAGAACCACCGCUGUUUAAAAUGACCCGAUGAUCGAUGAAGUCGCAUUCGCCUAUCUAAUAUUGCGCAAUCAGAUAAAUUCUCAAAUUUAAAAUGAAUUUAAUCUGCAAUUAUAUCAAUAACUACACAAUAAAGAUUAAAAAAUUUCAAAUUAUACUUGAGUUAAAAUUUAAUUCUUUUUUAUUGUUUAAAGUAAUUUAUUUAUAAUUAUUUUAACCCAAUUAGAUUUAUUUUUUUUAAUGCUUGUUCUAUGACAGAAUUGGUCCUCAAAGUUUAAUUAAGCUUGAGAUGGAUACUCUCAGCAAUUUAUUACCUAUUUUAUUAGAAUCUAAGAGGAAAAGAGAGUUGCGAUUUGUAUGUGUAGAAAGAAAAUGUCAAAACGAAAUGUUAAUGUCACUUGUAGAGAGAGAGUUGGGACUGAUGACCAUAUACAUUUUUCCGCCCCUAAUAAGAGCUUGCUUGACGAUAGUGAAGAACUAAUGAGACUGAGGAUCUGCAAUUUAGUCAUGAAAAAUUAGUGACUAAAUACAACUAAAUUUCAGUUUUCUCUUUCUAAUUUCUUUGGGAUCCAGAAAAAAACAUUUCCCCCUCAAUUUUCUGUUUGCAAGGGGGUAACUGUAAGCACAGUCUGAUUUUAUUUUCAGGGAAUAAUAUCGGUGAACCACCGUCGGGAAAAAUUUGAAGUCUAAACAGGUCAUUCACAGAUAAGGCCAAAGAGUAAAACAGGUCGUUCAUCGUGCGUUUGGAUUCCUUUCAUCUUGUUAAUUAUUGAAGACAAGAUGAAAACGCAACUAAUGGGGGCCGUGUAUGGUGUAUAAAAUAGCAUUAAUUGUUGUCUGUGUUUGUUGUUUAAUGCUAUUUUAUACACCAUACAUGGCCCCAAUUCCAAUUAGGGGAAUUCAAUAUUUUAAUUUUUUGCAAGAUGACUUUCAUCUAUCUCAUUGGCAGGCCGGCCAAGACAGUAAUCAUCCAUUUCAUCUUAUGAAUUAUUGAAGACACGUAGCUGUUCGACGCCUGCACUUUUCAAAUCUGAAGAGCAAUUAGACAAUAUUUCUAUUUCAAAUUGGGGCCACACUCCAAAAACAUUGCAAUAAUUCUCUGUUUUAUACCUAAUAUUGCGCAAUCAGAUAGAAAAAAGGGUCGGCUGCAUGAUUUUUCCAACUUUUGUUUUAUUUUUUCUCUUUUCCACGGGCAUGGGCCCCGACCACCACAAAAUAAUUUGAGAAUGUUAUAUUUAACAAUUCUCUUUUUGUCGUGACAUAAUGGACUAAAACGGAAUCACAACUUUUUCAAAUGACCAAAUGGCUUCGCCCAACGUGAUAAUAAAAGGCCAUAUAGAUGAGAAAUGGAUCCAUACGUUAAAGCUAUAUUGAAACAUAUAAUAAAUAAAUAGUCAGGAGAUGAUUUUUAUCAAAAAUUUCACUCGCACGGUCCCGACCAAAUACAAAUUUGUGAUGAUAUUCAUAAUGAAUUUAUACAAUUAGGCGAAAUUACUCUAUAUAGUUCCAUCGAUAUAUAUUAUAUCAUUAAAAAUAUACUAAUAUUUAUAAUAAAAAAAAUUUAUGACUAUUCUAAAUCGACUGUAUUAUAUGUGAACUCACAAGAUUCAUCGAUAGAUUGCACUGAGCUUUUUGUUGCAGUUUACAAAUAUUUUGUUACUAAUUAUCUUAAGAGCGGCAAGUAACUAAAUACAAAUGUAAGAAAUUUUACAAGUGCUGAUGCUGUGUACUCCGCAGAAAGCUAGCCCACGACGGUGACUCCUGUGGGGACUCCUUCAAUUUGCAGCACAAAUUGACAUUGACUUGAGGGUAAAAAUUAAAAUAUCUCCAAUUAGUAUAAGAAGAAUCCAAACAUGCUUGAAUGAACAUUCUCUCAGAAUACAUAAAACCUACUUUUCUCAGAGCAUUUUAGCAGCAAGAAAAGCAAUUGCAUCAUUUACCAUUUGAUCUAAUAUCAGAAUGGCUCAUGCGCUCGUUUCCUCUCUCUUGGACCAGCUGAAUUCCAUUGCUCAAGAUCAGGUGAAAGAAAAGUGGAGGCUUGUGACGGGUGUCGAACAAGAAGUGGGAAAGCUUACCACCAAUCUUCAAGCCAUUCAAGCUGUGCUGGAAGAUGCAGAGCAGAGGCAAAUGAAGCAGGACAAAGCUGUUACUUUUUGGCUAGAUCAGCUCAGAGACGCAUCCUACGACAUGGAAGAUGUGUUGGAAGAGUGGAUCACUGAAACACGGAAAUUGCAGCUUGAUGAGCGAGGCGAUGAUGAUGAUGAUGAUAACGACAGUGCUUUUGUUACUUUUUUGACGAAGGUAUGUUCCUUCUUUCCUGUUGCCUCAAACUGCUUUGGUGGUUUCAAACAACUCAGCCUUCGUCAUGAUAUUGCUGUCAAGAUUAGAGAAAUCAGUGAAAAGCUAGAUGUUAUUGCCAGACAAAAAGAUAGUUUCAAAUUUGUUGAGAAUGUGAGUAACAAUGUUAGGAAACCAGAGCGAGUGCGAACCACCUCCUUGAUUGAUGAGGGAGAGGUUUUUGGUAGAGUUGAUGAGAAAAGUGAGCUAUUAAGCAAGUUGUUGGGUGAAAGUAGUGAACAACACCCUCAUAUCAUCUCACUGGUUGGGUUCGGGGGUAUAGGUAAAACCACUCUUGCACAACUAGCCUAUAAUAAUGAUGAGGUGAAAAGAAAUUUUGAAAAAGUUAUAUGGGUGUGUGUAUCAGACACUUUUGAGGAGGUUAGGGUGGCCAAAGCAAUCAUUGAAGGUCUAGGCGAGUCAAAAGAAGCUUCUGAUUUAAGCGAAUUCCAAUCUCUUAUGAGCCAUAUCUAUAGAUCAAUUGGAGGAAAAAAAAUUUUUCUUGUCUUAGAUGAUGUAUGGGAUGGGGAUUCCAAUAAAUGGGAUCCAUUCUUCUUUUGUCUAAAGAAUGGUCUCCACGGAAGUAAAAUUUUGGUUACCACACGUAAUGAGUCAAUUGCACGUAUGAUGGGAACAACAGAGUCAGAUACUAUCUCCAUUGAACAACUGGCUGAAGAGGAAUGCUGGUUGUUUUUCAAGCAGUUAGCAUUUUUUGGUCGCUGUUUCGAGGAUUGUGAAAAAUUAGAACCAAUCGGGCGAAAAAUUGCAUGCAAGUGCAAAGGCCUGCCUCUUGCUGCAAAGGUAAUAGGGAAUCUCUUGCGCUCUAAAAUUACAGUAAAAGAGUGGCAAAGAAUUUUAGAUAGUGAAAUGUGGAAAGUAGAAGAGAUUGGGCAAGGUCUUUUGGCUCCUUUGUUGUUGAGUUAUAACGAUUUGCCCUCCAAUUCGAUGGUAAAACGGUGUUUCUCAUAUUGUGCUGUCUUUUCAAAAGACUACAGUAUGAACAAAGAAGAAUUGAUUAGUUUGUGGAUGGCUCAAGGUUACUUUAACGUAGAAGAAGACGAAGAAAUGGAGAUGAUUGGAGAAGAGUAUUUCAACAUCUUGGCAACACGCUCUUUCUUUCAAGAGAUUGAAAAAGAUGAGGAUGAUGAUGAUUUUAUGAGCUGUAAGAUGCAUGACAUAGUACAUGAUUUUGCCCAAUUUGUAUGUAGAAAAGAAUGUUUGUGGCUAGAAAUUGAUGGUAACAAAGAAUCAGUCAUAAAUUCUUUUGAUGACAAAGUCCGUCACCUAGGAUUAAAUUUUGAAGGAGGCGCUCCACUUCCUAUGUCCAUUCAUGGACUUAAUAGAUUGCGGACCCUCCUAAUUGAUGAUGGAAGUUUUCUCUAUCCAUCUCUUCAUAGUAGCAUCCUUCCGGGGUUAUUUAGUAAAUUGGCGUGUUUAAGGGCAUUAGUUAUAAGGCAAUCGUCCUCAUUUUCUGAUCCUAGCCCAUAUUUGAUUACAGAAAUUCCAGAAAAUGUUGGAAAAUUGAUACAUUUAAAAUAUCUUAAUUUGUCUAAAUUAUGUAUAGAGAGACUGCCUGAGACUUUGUGUGAAUUAUAUAAUUUACAAAAGCUAGAUAUUAGGGGUUGCGUAUAUCUUAGAGAAUUGCCUGCGGGGAUUGGGAAGUUAAUGAACAUGAGGAGUUUACUGAAUGGUGAAACUGAUUCGUUGAAGUACCUACCAAUAGGGAUUUCUAGAUUGACCAGCCUUCGAACAUUAGAAAAGUUUGUUGUGGGUGGAGGUGUUGAUGGUGGCGGCACGUGUAGGCUUGAAUCUCUGAAAAAUCUUCAACUCCGUGGUAAAUGUUGUAUAGAAGGGCUGAGUAAUGUGUCGCAUGUAGAUGAGGCUGAGAGGUUACAACUUUACAAUAAGAAAAACCUCCUUCGUUUGUAUCUUGAGUUUGGUGGAGCCGUAGAUGGGGAAGGCGAAGCAGGGAGGAGGAAGAACAAUGAGAAAGAUAAACAACUUCUUGAAGCCUUACAACCGCCUUUGAAUGUAGAGGAGUUAAGGAUUAUAUUCUACGGAGGCAACAUUUUUCCCAAAUGGUUGACUUCACUAACCAACCUAAGGGAUUUAAUACUUUUCUUCUGCGUUAACUGUGAGCAUUUGCCUCCUUUAGGAAAAUUGCCUCUGGAAGAACUCGGACUAUUGAACUUGAAAAGUGUAAAAAGAGUGGGAAAUGAGUUUUUGGGAAUAGAAGAAAGCACUGAGGAUGAUCCAUCUUCAUCUUCAUCGUCAUCAUCAGUUAUUGCCUUCCCCAAAUUGAAAUAUCUCGAAAUUUGGGGAAUGGAAGAAUUGGAAAAGUGGAAUUACAGGAUUACAAGAAAGGGAAACAUCUCCAUCAUGCCACGUCUUUCUGCCUUGUCGAUUUGUGAUUGCCCCAAAUUAAAGGUGCUGCCGGAUUACAUUCUUCAAACAACGACACUGCAGGAAUUGAGGAUUGAGGACUGCCCUAUUCUAGAAGAACGUUACAGAGAGGGGAAAGGAGAAGACUGGCAUAAGAUUUCUCACAUUCCCCACAUCAAGUGGUCGCCGUAAGAUAUCACUCGCCGGUAAUUCCUCCUCCUCUGAUUUACUUCGUUAUUGCUUGUAAUGAAAUUAAUGAAAAUAAUUAUAUUUUGAAUUAAAAUUCUAUAUUAUUAUUAUUUCUCUCCUCGAAUGGUUGAAAUUUCACUCGCCCCGUAAAUUCUCGAAUGGUUGCAAUUACUAUCACCCGCCGGUAAUUUCUCUCCUCUGUUUUACUUCAACCAUUAAUUUAAUGGGUCACUCUAUGAUGUUGUUAUAAAAAUUAUAGAAUCAAUCAUGGUAUAAAUAUGUACUGUUAGAUUUAAUCAAUGGUUCAUGAAGUUAAAAGUUAAUUAGGAUAAUAUUUUAAAUUCAAUUAUUUAAAAUUUAAACUUCCUAGUUAUUAAAUCUAUUAAACUUGUUUUAUCAAAGCUAAAUAAUUAAAAAAAAAGUAUAGUCUGUUGAAAUUUCUAUAUUUUCUUUUAAAAAACAUGUAGUCUUUUGUAAAAUUUCAUACAACAUCAUAGAAAACCUAACGUAUUUUAUUUUUUAAUGCACGAAAAUUUGUUAUGUGUAACUUCCUGAGAGACAAAAUCUCUGUGAUGCAUUUGCAGUAAUGUUGAAAACUAAAUUAUCAAUUUUAUCUUGUAUAAUGAUAAUCGUGUUUUUUUAUAUAUAAUUUAUGUGACAUUAAUUCUUUAAAGUAAUUGUGUAAUUGUUUUUAGUAGUACAUUAGCCCACUUUGUUUUAUUUCAUACGAGUUUAAUAAUGUUCGCCAGGGAUUCGAGGAAAUGUCAGAACUACACUAAGAAUUCACAGGUCCAAGCUAAUUUAGUUUUAAUGAUGCAGGUAGGAGAGCAAGACUAAGAAAAUGAAAAGUUUAGCCAAAAGAUUACUAAAAUGUUCUGCUGGUAAUUCACUUGCCUUGUUUAAUAGAAUUUCAUUUCCAUCUUCUUCUAUUGAUAUCUUGUUGUGAAUAAACAAGAACAUAGAAGUAAAUAAUUGAAACGCAGAGAAGUAAAGAUAUAUCAAAAUUCGCUAUUAUGAUGAUGUUAAAGCAAGCUCAAGCAUUGCAUUUUUAUUUUAUUUAAUUUAUAGAAUUUUCAUUUCCACCUGCAUUGCAUUUUUACUUCAUUUUUAGGUUGACGUUGAAGACUCUUAUGGAGAACAUUGGAGUAACCAAGGAUUAUUACUGUGGUUAUUGUGCAACGUUUGGUUGCUGGACUUUGAAGAAGGAAGUGAUGGCCGGGUCUGCUCUGUUUCAAUUGAGGAUGGAUAGCUGCCUGAAAGACAUGAUGAUUAUUAUUGCAUGAUGUUUAGGUGCUAAGAUCAUCAUUUCUAUCUUGCUUCAUUCUUGGAAUCAUUUAUCCUAUAUAAACAUAUUGAAUUGUGCUAAUAUUAUCACUUGUGUCAAUGGAGGCAGGAAUUUGGUGCUGAAACUAUUAUGCAGGUAACCACACUUGAUAAUUUACACAAAUUUGCGUUGUCAGAAUAUCCUUUAAUAUUCAUUGUGUUUCUUUGUGUUAUCAGGUUAUCAUGGUAUAUAGAGUAUCAUUUUCAAGGAUUUGUAAGAGCUUUCGCAGUAAAGUUAGUCAUCACCACCUUGUGCAAUUGCACAUACAUUCAUAGUACUUCAAUAUUAGAUUUUCAAGGUUUGUAUGUUUAGUUGAGAUUAAAAUGUUUAGUCACUCAUUCUUAAUCUUUUCUGAUUUUCAAGUUCUUUAGGGCCAUAAACAGUUUUUCCAACUCAUUCUUAUUUUUUAGGUUGAUUUCGAGUACUCUGUGGAGAACAUUGGUGAGACAAAGGAUUAGACUGGCGAUGGAACUGCUGCCUCUGCUGUUAUUGUGCAAGGUUUGAUCACUGGACCUUGAACAAGAAAGCCUUACACGCAUUCUGUAAUUCAAGCGUUCUCUAAAACGAACGAGCAGUAGAAGGAAUAGUAUGACCGGAUCUGCUCUAUUUUAAUUGAAAAUCUCUGUGAUGUUGACGAGCUUAAAGUAGUUGAUGCUUUUUGAAAAUUGUUAUUACGAAUGAAUUCAUUCCUGAAGACGAGUAGCUAAUGAUUGUUAAGGCUUAUUUUCUUAAAGUUCCUUUCUUAACAAAUGUUUCAAUGCUGGCUGUAGUAACAUUUUCAUAUCUUGCAUCUCUCGGGUGCAUCAUGUUCGCGGGUUUGAAAAAGCAUUUUUGGUAAAGUUUCAAAGGUUGUACAACGGCUGUGAAAAGGCAUAUUCAAUUCGGUACGUUUUGGUGUGGUCUCCUAAUGCUAAUAUCAUAUUUUGUAUAGCAAUUAAAAUUUAGGUAUACAAUCUUAAUAUGCAAUAAAUCAUUGUGUACAAAGUUUUCUAUUAAUUAUAUGGUGACUGAAAUUUUAAUUAUAAUUUUAAUUAUCAUAUCAAUCUUAAAUUUUUUUGUAACUCUUUUUUACUUUGCUUGUACAGAGUACCUGUUUUGGCUGAUAUGUCUAGUUCGUAGAAAUUCAUUUCCACUGGUUUCCAUUUGCUUUAGCACAAACAGAAACAGAGCUCUGGGGAAAAGUUUGACUUCUUGUGGUAUUAUGCCGUUGUUUCUUCAUUCAUCAUAUUAUUCGAAUUCAUGCUCUCAUUCAGAGGGUGAAGCCUUUUCUAGGCUGCUUUGUAGCCAAAUUUUUACGCCAUUGAUGCAUGACUGUCAUUUAGAUUUUCCAAAUAACUGCUAGAUUAGAGAAGAAUAAGAAGAUAUUGUUAAAAGGGUAUUUAAUUAGCGCCCUCUGAAUUUAGUUGCCAAUAAUGCAUUGAAAUAGUCGGGGAAAGUUAUUUUCUUAAUUAAAUUACAGGUGAUAAGAUGCUGCUUCAAUUUUGCAAGCAUCUCGUAUUGCGAAGAUUUUGCCCACAUGAGAUCCCACUAUUCUUGACAUCAGGGUAACGCAGGUCAAAUUUUAGUAUCAAUAUAUAUCUUCUUCUUUACUGUUCUGCCUCUAAAUAUUAAACUUUAGGCAAGUUGUUUUUGUUUGUGUAAGUUAUCAGGUUCAGGAUACUAAGCAGCUUAAUUGUUCGCCACACCUAGUAUGAAUGAUGGCCAGGAACAUUAAUUGUUCACAAGCCAAUUUGAUUAGUGUUAGAUUUUUUGCCUUCCUUCGAAAGAUAUCAUCAUCAAAUUUGAGUUGAGAAUAUUUGAAGAGAAUUUUGUUUUGAGAGUUUCACUGUAGUGAAUUUUGGGUUUGCGUUUGAGCACACACAAAGGAUGCACUAAAUAUAACAAAAGUAUAUUUCUACUUCUUGUGGUUAUUUUAAUUUUGUUUCUCGUGUCAUCAUAUUUGAUUAAUUCGUUCGAAUUCACACUCACACAUUUCCAUGAAUAAUUGUUAGGCUGGUGGAGAUAUUUUUAAAAGGGCAUUAACCUACCUUAUGGAAUUGGAAAGUUAUUAUUUCUUGAAAGCAGGCAGCAUCUUCGUUGCGUAGGCUUUCCCCACUUGAUAAGAUGCUGACAUUGUUACCGGCCCCUUAAUUAUUUAUUAACUCAGGUAUUUAUUAUCAAGUACAUCAUCUUAUUCAACAUUUUGGCUAUAUAUAAAGAUUAUAAUUUCUAACAGUUGUUUCGGAUUCUUGUGUACUCAGGUUAAUAGGGCAAAUGUCAGAAUGAAGACUGUUCAGUUUAACCCGUAUAGCAAGGAUGAUAGCGGUGAGGAAGAUUGUUGGCAAGCCAAAUAGAGCCCUCCAUUUUGAGAAAUAUCAUCCGCAUAUUUGAAUUGUUGAGCAUGUGAAGUGAACCUUCUUAUGGAAAUACCUUCCUGUUUGACUUGCAAAAUACAUUACAAAAGCUCCCAAACAGUAUAUUUGAACAGAGUUACCCAUUUUGAGAAUUUUGACUCCCAAACAAGACUGCAGAGUUGUGUAUGGUGGGAUUAGCUGCAGGAGCAGUGCAAGAUUCUUUGUCAAACUAUCUGGCUGGUAAAAAGACUGUUGCCAAACUUCCUUUUCAUUCCUUUGUUCACUUACUCGUUAUAAAUAAAGUAAAAUUAGAAUAUUGUUCCGUUUACUGUCUAAGCCGGUCUAACAUUUGUUUAAUUUGGGCAAUUUUUAAUGCCUGACAGGUUAUCUGUGACAAACCCAUCUGUGAGUACUAAUGUGCUUGGUUAUGGUGCUUUCAUUGGACUACAUGCAAACAUGAGAUAUCAGCUAUUGUGUGGAUUUGAUAGAGACGUCGCCAACCAUUUUGAAGUUAUUGGAGUAGCAAUGUUGUUAAGCACGGCUUUGAGGUCUCUCCCACCCUCUUUUACGUAUUUGUCAAUGAUCGACAUCUCUAUAUAUACAUUGAUACACCAAAUUACUCUUGUUUUAAUGUUUUGUUUGUUGAACUUUGACUGGGUUAUUUGUUUAUUUGUCUCAUAUGAUGUUAAUGCGGUUCCUAUAAAAGUGGAUAUAGAUCUAUCACCUCAAAGUCUGAUUUCAACUUUCCUUCACUUAAUCAACUAGCAUCCUUUCCAAGUCCAGAUACUUACCAAUAGUGAGACUUUGCUACGGAAGUACAAUUUCUCUUGUUUUACAGUUAAAUAUGUAAGAAUAGUUUCAAAUUUACAGAAUUCUGAUAUAGUUCUCUAAGGAAAUGCAGGUGGUGAAUAUGGUUCCAACUUUUAAUAGGCUUUAAUAGGCCCAUUUGUUCAGCCACAGUGAUUGCGGUCUAAAUUCUUCUUUACUGUCUGUAUGUGUUGGAGUUUGUCUAUUGUCCAACUUCUCCAAUGGAUUCCAUGCAGGGUUUUGGAUGUCUAAUUAGGAGAAAGAUCGACAGAUGACCUUUUGAAGAAGGCUUACACAACAGGCCAUCUCAGGAUGUCAUGGCUCAGCACAAAAGUGCCCAGGUGGUUACUGAGCAAGAUAGAGAGAGAAGUUUUUUCUUCUUCAGGCUACCUUCCGCAGCUGUGGCAUACAUGAACUAAGUAGCUACGCGAUCAACAGAAAGUUAGUGACGUGACUUGGGGAUCGAGGGAUUGAUACCAAAGAAUGCCAUUUUUCUGAGCUUGGGCUCCUUGGCUUCAAACAAAACAGUGUUGACUCUAUUGAAGGGGAAAUAGGGGCAACUAAAGCUCGAAGAAAGAGGAUAGUCCGGAGGAAGGUGACUGCAUAAAUUUCUUGGAGUUAAUGUAGUCAAUUGCCCAAUUUUGCUGCCUGUCGAAGAGACACAGCAUGGAAGUCCUCAUCAAACUCUGAGACACCUAAGAACUAGUAGGAGGUGGUGGUAUUCUCCAUAUUUCCUGACAAGUAUAGUUAAUUUUGUUUUAGCUAUGAAUUGUUUCCUAGAUAAUAAUAAUUGCCUUGUUCCUUUGGAGUCUUAUUUACUCUCCGUAACUCAGUUCAAUUUUGCAAAUUCUAUUUCAGAUUUCUUAUAUAGUGUGUCUUUGUUACUUUUGUGAUGCCUUUUUUAUCGCAAGUUUCCAUUUGAAGUAUCCGAUAUUCUUUACAGACUAAUUAUCUAAUGAUUAUUUUAUACAAAAAAAAUCAUAACUUUAAUCAAUUGAUCAUACUCAACUUAGGUCUUGUUUGAUGUUACUAGCUGUUGUUAAAAUAAAAAAAGCUGAAAUUUGACAAUGUGUAAUAAAUGUAAGACUUUUAAAUAAUAAUUUUUAAUACAAUUAAUAAAGAUAUUAUAAGUUUUUUUAUUAUAAUAAAAUAUGAGAUCAAAUCAAAUUAAUUUUUAAGUUACAAUAGCAAAUAUUUACCAAAACUGUUUAAUUAUGUAGCUUAAAAAGUAUAGUUCUCCAACCUCAACAUUAUAUAGGGAUUUUCCAGACUCUACCAGACUUUAGUUGUACUCACUCGAUCAUGCAAAUCCAUACUCAAUGUGCUUGGCCAUACAAGAUGUUACUCAACUUUAACAAGUCUUACUCAAACUUUGCAUGUUUGGCAUGCCGGAUGGAAUAUGAUAGUAUAUGAUGUGGUAGAAUAUUAUAGGAAUAGUAAUAACAAGAUUACAUGUAGUACUAGGUUACAUUUUACGUGAUGUGGUAUAUGAAUGGAUUAUAUUACAAAUUUUUUUGUUAUAAUAAUUAAAAAUUUGAAUUAUUUUAUUAUUGAAAAAAUGUAAUAUGUUAAAUAACAGUUAUUUUUAUUAAGUAAUUUCUUUGUAAUGAAUUAUACUUUUAAAAUAUAAUCGAAAAUUCUUAUUACUAAACUAAUAAAAAGUUAAUUAUUUGAGUUAUCUCCUAAACUACUUAGCUCACGGGAUAAAUUCACUUAGUUUAGAACGAAACAGUGGAUUUUAGAGCAUCACCAAAAGACUCUUCAAAUAAGAUUUUAUUACUUAUUUGAAGAACCACAUCAACAUUUAAAACUCCAAAAAACACUUCAAUUAAAACUUUUCAAAUAAAAAAUGAUUCUCUUUCUUCAAAUUUGGAGAGUUGCUUUCUCCCUCUUCAAUUUAUAUUUUAUUACUUUUUAUUAGAGAGAGAAAGAGAAGUGCUUUAAUUGCUAUUAACUUUUCCUCUAAAAAAAAUAAUUAUUUGAUUAAAAUAAUAUUAACUUAUUUUUAUUUGAAGAGUUUUUUGGCGAGUAGUAUAUUUUUUACCUUUCUAUUUACCACAUAAGUAAGUAAAUAAAUAGUUGAAAAGUAAAAUGUAUUAAAACUUUGAGUGGGACUACUGGCACCCCUCUAAAUACCUUUUAACACCCCUUUAGUUAUUUUAUAAUUUUAACCUUUAUUAAAAUUACAUAAUAAGACAAUCAUGAAUUUUACAAUUCUAAAUACCUCUUAACACCCCUUUCUUUUGUUUUUAUUUUAUUUUUUUAACAUUUCCGAGUUUACUCCAACUGCAAAUUAAUUUAUGAAUUAUGAUCUACAUACUAUAAAUUUAAGUAAUGCUACAAGCGACUGUAAAUAUUAAAAUAUCAGCAGAAAAAUAAAAAUAUCUUGAUUAAGAGACAAAAUAAAUAGUACCUGAAAUUGAAAUUCAGCAUUUUAAAAAUUAAGAAAGUUACUUUUUCAUCUUAUUUUCUGGUGAGGAAUUAUCGACAUCAGCAACUCAUCAUCAACAAACUUCAGAGAAGAAACUGAGACCUAUGAGGGAAAUUAAGAAAAAAGAAGGUAAUUAUGAAGCAAAGGACGAGCUUAACAAUCAUCAGAAUUAUUUUCCCACCGACAUGUUUUCCAGUGCCCCAGUUGUCUUUCUCCACAAAGGCACGCAGUCUUUCGAAGAAUUCGUGAUUCUGCAUUUUCAGAAGCUUGUGCUCAACAUCUUCAUCAGUAAACCAAAUUAGCACUUGGCCUUAUAAUUACACGCAUGGUAGCCAAGUGUUUGCAAGGUGUCAUUAUCAAUUACAAUGAGUUUAAAGUGCUGGCCAUGUGGUGUUUCAAUGAUUUGCCACAUUGAAGUCGAAGUUUCGUGGAGCAAGUUCCCUUUUCCUUUUUUUUUUUCCUUCUCUCUCUCUUUUUUUUCAAUAGAUGAUUAAUUGUCUCAAAAUCAGUCAAAAAUUAAAUGGGGUUUAUAUUAAUAAAUUUGAAUUAAGGAUAUUUUUAUCAUUAAAAGGGUGUUAAAAGAAUUUUAUAAUAUUUUUAAAUAUUUUAAUAGGGUUAAUAAAAAAAAGAGGUGUUGAGAGAUAUUUAGAGGGGUGCCAAUAGUCUCACUCAAAAACUUUUGAAGAUGCUCUUACUAACAUAAUUUUCUCCCAUUUCCAUAAUGUCCGCGUUGAGUGCAUGUAAUCCACGAGUUUGAUUGAGCAGAAUAGCCGAAAGUCUAAUGAUACCCACAUCCAACUUUGUCACAAAGGCCUGGACGCCAUUCCUUAAGCCCAUGUUGUUUCGGUUUUGAUGUUGUAUUAUCAUUUCACGGGUUUUGGUGCUCUAGGAUUUGGGGAUGGUGCUUCAACGCUGUGUUUAAUGCGUCCCUUUUGGCACUUUUUGUUAAUUUUUAUUCCAAGAGCUAUGCUAAGAAAAAGAAGCAGGGAUGAUCAAAGUGUUGUGAUUGUUUUGUGUUUUCUUUUUUAAUUUAUUUGAUUUUGGUUAAUUAUGAAUGGUGGUAAUUGGUUGAAUGCAAUUGAAGAGAUGCUUUCAAUUGCCUAAACUUUGUUUUUUCAAUUUUUGUAAUAAAUGUCAUUUGUCACCACAUUUUUUUAGUCUCUCCCUUUUAAAUUCCCUCACACAAACUUCGGAUUUGUAUUUUGUAAACUAGUACUUUUCAUUUUCGUUAAUGUGUUAGCUAUUAUUAUCUACAGUUAUGUCAUACGACACACAUGUCACAUUAGCUAAAAUUAGAUUAUGAAUUUUGGGCACAGGACCAAGUCCCACCGUUUGGUAGGAAAUAAGUGUUGGAUCAUAAACUUGAUCCAAAAUAAAUAAAUUCAAGUCCAACUCAUGGAAGAUUCCAUGAGUAGGUAUACUUGGUGAGGUUUGAAUUAUUUGUGUUAGGUGUGGUAGGUUUUAAUGGAUGGUGAGAAUUUGUGUAUUAGUUGAAUAAAUAGAUUGUUGUGAUUAGUUUGUUUCAUGUUUAAAUACCCCCCUCCCCUUUGGUUUAAAUAUAAAGUGAAGUAACAAAAUCUCUAAGGUGUAGAGAGUGAAAAAUAAGAGUUGUAAUUAGUGAGGAGUGUUAUUGAAGAAAUAAAAUAGUGUGUUUUAUUUGUUAAUUCUCCAAAAAAUGGUAUCAGAGCUAGUGUUUGAUGCUAUAUAUAGUAAUAUAGCAUAUCAAAUCGAAGAUCUCGACGAGAGGAACGUGACGCCGCAAAAAUCAUCCCGAUCCGAGACUGGACGCGCCCACACAUGCCGCCGGAAGCUUUAUGUCCUGAAGCUAAGUCGACUCACCGAGUUGAACCAAGCUGAGCCGAACCGAACCAAGCCGAGUCGAGCUGAACCGAAUCAAGUCGAACCAAGCCAACUGGAGCUGAAUCAAUCCGGACCGAACCAAGACUAUUAAGCCAACGCUGACCGUUGACCGUUGAUUGAAAGUUGACUCGAGUCCUUCCCAAGGUUUUUUGAUGUGCCAGAUCCAUCUGUGCUUUUAGAAUCUCCAAAUUCUCACUCAAUUUAUGAGUUAUGGAAAAUGGUGGUAUGAUGUCAUUUCAAGUUCUACAAUUAAAGGGAAGUAAGUUUGACCAUUGGAGUAUUAAAAUGAAGACUCUAUUGGGUGCACAGACGUAUGGGAUGUCAUGGAAAAAGGAUUUAUUGUGCUAGAAAAUGAAGCUACUUUAACUGUGGCGCAGAAGGAGAAUUUAAAAGACUUGAAGAAGAAAGAGAAUAAAGCAAAGUAUCUCAUCUUUCAAUCAUUAGAAGAAGAUGCUUUUGAAAAGAUUGCUGGUACAACCUCCUCAAAAGAAGCAUGGGAGAAACUAGAGAUCUCUUACAAAGGAGCGGAGCAAGUUAAGAAGGUUCGUCUCCAAACAUUAUGAGGAGAAUUUAAGUCCUUACACAUGAAGGCGUCGGAGUCAAUUUCUGACUACUUUACUCGGGUUGUGACCGUUUCUAAUGAAUUAAAUAGAAAUGGCGAGGAGUUAAAAGAGGUAAGGAUCAUUGAAAAGAUACUUCGAUCAGUAGACUUGAAGUUUGACCAUAUUGUUGUGACAAUUGAGGAAACAAGAGAUCUAGAGGAUAUGACGAUCGAGCAACUUCAAGAAAGGCUGCAAGCCUAUGAAGAAAAACAAAAAAAGAAGCAAGGAAUCAAAGAACAACUUCUCAAGAUGGAGGUCAAUCCAAAGAAAAGAGAAGAAAGCUCCGACAACGGAAGAAGACAUAUUUAUCUCCCAUGAAAGCUAUACAAAGGAGAUUCUAAAAAGGUUCAAGAUGAAUGAUUGCAAGCCUAUAAGCACGACAAUGGAAUGCAGAGUCAAGUUAUCCAAACAUGAUGAAGGGGAAGAUAUAGAUCCAACAUUCUUUAAAAGUUUGGUCGGAAGCCUAUGUUAUUUGACAUGCACGAGACUAGAUAUCUUUUAUGUUGUUGGACUUGUGAGCCGAUACAUGAAGAAUCCAAAGACCACCCAUUUUAAAGUUGCAAAAAGAAUCCUUUGCUACAUCAAAGCUACAACUAAUUUCGACUUGUUAUACUCAUUUUCUAAUGACUACAAGCUUGUUGGAUAUAAUGAUAGUGAUUGGGGUGGAGAUGUAGAUGAUUGAAAGAGCACAACAUGAUUUGUGUUCUUCAUGGGAGAUACUGCUUUCACAUGGAUGUCAAAGCAGCAACCAAUUGUCACGCUAUCCACUUGUGAAGCUGAAUAUGUAGCUGCCACAUCAAGUGCUUGUCAUGCAAUUUGGCUUAGAAAUUUGUUGAAGGAGUUGGGUUUGCCACAAGAAGAGCCAACCAAAAUUUAUGUUGAUAACAAAUCAGUAAUUGCCCUCUCCAAGAAUCCAGUCUUUCAUGAUCGAAGCAAACACAUAGGCACUCGCUAUCAUUUCAUAAGAGAGUGUAUUGAAGAAAAGAAGUGCAAGUCAAGUAUGUAAAAUAACAAGAUCAAGCAGUUGAUAUCUUCACUAAGCCACUCAAGCAAGAAGACUUCGUAAAAUUCAGAAGUUUGCUUGGUGUCACAAGAUCAAGUUUAAGGGGGGGUGUUGGAUCAUAAACUUGAUCCAAGAUGAAUAAAUUCAAGCUCAACUCAUGGAAGGUUCUAUGAGUAGGUAUGGUUAGUGAGGUUUGAAUUAUUUGUGUUAGGUGUGGUAGGUGUGGUUGGUGAAGUAGGUGAGUGGUAGGUUUUAAUGGAUGGUGAGGAUUUGUGUAUUAGUUGAAUAAAUGAAUGGUUGUGAUUAUUUUUGUUUCAUGUAUAAAUACCCCCUCUCCCCUUUGGUUUAAAUAUCAAGUGAAGUAACAAAAUCUCUAAGGUGUAGAGAGUGAAAAACAAGAGUUGUAAUUAGUGAGGAGUGUGGUUGAUAGAAUAGAAUAGUGUGUUUUUUUGUGUGUUUUGUUUGUUAAUUCUCCAACAAUAAGGAGCAUUAAUGAAAUAUGUUUAAUUAAGUAAUAAUUUGUUAUUUUAGAGUGAAAAAUAAGGGUAAAUUGUAUUCUACCCCAUAUUAGAUUGACAAACUUCAAUUUACCCCCUAAAAGUACAAAAACUUCAACUUAUCUCCAAAUACCAUUUUCUUCCCGUUAAAUUCAACUAUCGAAAGCAUAAAAUUAUAGUCUUACAUUCUCUUAACAGUCAACUAACGGAUAAGGUAAUUUCCAUAAAACCCAAAUGUAGGGGCGGGCAACGGUUUGGUUUAGAAGUUAGGAACCGAAUGGUUUGAAAACAAACGAACCGAUUGGUUUAUAUUUGGUUUAGUUUGAACUGACAAACCGAUUGGUUCGCUUCAACUUAAUUAAAAAUACAUUUAUUUUAAAAUAUAAAUGCUUAAAAUAUUUUUUUUUUCAUUUUUCAGUUUCCUAAUCUAAAAAUGUUUCAUAACCCUAAAUCAACAGCCAUCUCUCUCAAGUUCGGCGGAGGCACAACAAGCUCUCUCGGUCUCUCCCUCGCAAUCUCAUGGUGAUUGAAUUCUUGUGAUGUCUCCACUUUUGUUUCUUGUUCUUGUGUGAUCGAAUUCUCUCUAUACACACAUACCCCAGCCUCUUGUUCUUUGGCUUAAUGGAGUUUCGUUUCUUUUCUCUCAGUUUCUUUCCUGUUGAAUUCUCGUGAUGUUUCUAUUUUUUUCUUGUUUUUUAGACGUGUUUUCGAAAUUGGCAUAAUGCGAACCAAACCCGAACUGAAUUUCAAAAUCGAAUCAAAUUGAACCAAACUGAAAUUUUUAUGUUCGGUUUGGUUCAAUUAAAAAAUUUGGUAUGCAUUCGGUUCUCUUUCUUAAGAACCAUUUGGUUUUAGUUCAGUUCGGUUUUGGUCUAGAAAAGAACCGAACCGAACCAAAACAAACCAUAUACUGGCCACCUUGCUCAAAUGUUUCAACAAAUUUCAAUGCACACUUAAACAUGUCAAUAAAAUUCGCUUUGUACCCAAAUUGAUAAUUUUUAUUUUUUAAUUAGUUAAUUUUUAACUGCAGAAGCAUAAAAAAUUAUUUCUUUUUAAAAUAAGAAAAAUAAUUUUUUUUCUAACUUUUUUCCUUUUUUUAUUUUCUAGUUAAUUUCUUUAUCUGGUUCGGUUCAUUUUUCCCUUUUUUAUUUCUUACUGUUUUCUGCAUGUUCUCCACGCUUCAACUUCGCCAAGCAUCAUAAGGCCACAAUAGCCAUGCCAGCAAUGGUGCAGCAACGUUAACGCCACUGUUCCAAGUCUUGGCCCAUCAUCUGCUUUUCAACAAACCUUAGCUUCUUCCCAAAUUCAUCAAUGAACCCCAGAACCAGACUAAUCAUUAAAAUUAUUAACAACCAUUUGCUUGGAUCAAUGUAUGCUUGGCAUGUCUAUGGGCUUACUUGUUAUGGUCGCUGAUGGCCUUGGGCUUGCCUGGAAUGGUCGCAACGCGCAGCCAUGGGCUUGCUUGGAAUGCCCGAACCCAGCUGCCAAGGUUUUGCUAGCGUAUCCAUGGAUUUUGCUGGACAUGGCAGUGCGAGGCCAUGGGUGUUGCCGGGCAAUGGACAUGGGUUUUGCUGGGCUGAUUUGGAAUUAACAGUGGCUAUGGAGUUGUUAAGUGUGUGAAAGAUAAAAAAAAAACGAACCAAGAAGAAGAUGAACAGGGAAUAGAACGAAGAAGAUGAAGAAAGUAGAAGAGAGGGAAAAAAUAUUUUGCUUUUUUAUAAAUUUUCGGAUUUUUAUUUCAAAAUUUAUAAUUUUUGUUUAAAUUUGAGAAUCUUAAGGGUAAAAUUUUCUUUGUAACUAUGUAGAAGGAGGUUUUCAGAUGGUUUUUGGUUGGGUUAACAUGAAAUAUGCUUGUUUUAUGAAAUAUUAUUAUUGAGGUUUUGUUUUAUUUUCUAAAAGUUAGAUUAGAGGAUGAUUUUCAUUAAUGACAUCCAUAAAGUUUGAAUUAGUUAUAUUAUAGAAAAAUAGGGAUUUAAAUGAUAUAUCUUUCCAACAUAAAUAUAUCAGUAACAUAAGUUAUUCUAUAAUUAACAGGGGUAUUAUCGUAUUUUAGUGAGUCAAUAUUGGUUGAUAGUUAAAUUUAACAGAUUUUAGAGAGUAAAUUGAAGUUUUUAUUUUUAUUUUUGAGUAAAUUAAAGUAUGUCAAUCUCAUAAGGGGUUAAAAUAUAAUUUACCCAAAAAUUAGUGUUAAAAUUUUAUAGAUGAGUGUAUAUUAAGAUGUUCAAAGUAUUAGGACAUAAUGAAUAUUAUCCUCAACCUCAAGAGAAACAUAUCAAUAAAAUAUACAAAAAUAGAAUGCAUUAGUACAUGUCAAUAAGAAGACCAAUUAGAUCAUGUCAUAUUUGUUAUGUGGUUAUUUUUAAAUUAAGAAAAGGAACAAUGAUGGUUUUACAAAGUUUGAAUAUAAAAUUUAUAAUCUAAAAUUAAUGAUAACGUGUUAUUAAGCUAAUAGAGUAAGAAGUCCCNNNNNNNNNNNNNNNNNNNNNNNNNNNNNNNNNNNNNNNNNNNNNNNNNNNNNNNNNNNNNNNNNNNNNNNNNNNNNNNNNNNNNNNNNNNNNNNNNNNNUUAGCUAUAGAGUAGAGUCCCAAAUGCAUGUACAUCAUAUCUUGGUAAGAAAUUGGUUCUACCCAAAAUACUUCUUUGUAUUGAAAUCAAUGAUGAUUGCUUGUUUAAAUCAUGAAAGUUAAAAUAAUUUUGUAAAUCAUUUCAUUCUUUAAUUUACGGUAUAAAAAUAAAUUAAAAAAAUGUUAAUUUCUCCCAUACUUUUAGGACUCAAAAAAUAACAAAAAGUCUUAACAUAUUUAAUGGUUAUAUAUAAAUCAUCCGUAUGUAUUUUUCUUGAGAGAAGCUCAAUUCGAUAGGCAAUGCUCCCCAUAGUUUUCUUUUCUAAUUAGAUAAAAGAACAAAAGAAAUUGAUUACAAUAAUUCACGGCGAAGUCACCUUGGUCUACCUGAUAUAUAUUACAGAGGUAAGCUUCUUUUUAAUGCCAAACUAGAAUAACAAACUUUAAUUUACUUCUUAAAGGGUAAAAACCUCAAUUUGUCCUUAUAUUUGUUCAAAAGAUACAUUUUGUCUUCUUAAUAUAAACAAGUUAAAUUGAUGUUUCACAUCUUUUAGAAAUAAAUUAAAAAUUGUUAUUCUAAGUAGGAGGUAAAUUUCAAAUAAAACAUGUGUUCAUAUGAUAGAUGUGCAUUUUACAAUAAUUAAUAAACAAAAAGGGUAGUGAUAUUUUCACCCUGCAAUUUUUGUAAAUCCACCCCCACUCCCAAGAAAUAAUUACAAUAAAUUCACAUAAUUUUUUAAAAACUCAAUAAAGAAAAUUUUUGGAGAUUUAAACUAUUAUAUACAAGAGGAUAGGAGUAAACAUUUUUCAUGCAGUAUAAAAAGAAUGGUGACACUCCUUUUCUUUCGGUAUUUUCGCACAAAAGCACGCUUAAUAACUGAUCAAAAUUAUUUCUCCUUUUCUUUGAUCGCUGAUUCGCUUCCCCUCUCCUGGAGCUGCUGAACUCCUUUGUUGCUGAUGAAGUGAACAGGUGAGGCUUUUCAAAUGACCACAAUAUGUAUAAAGACGAACUAAUUACACUAUCAGUGGCUCAAGGUUACCUUAAUGCAGAAGAGGGCAAAGAGAUGGAGAUUCGAUUCGAUUCGAUAAUAGUAGUUUAUUUUAAUUUUUAUUCAUUUAAUUUCAUAGCAGAAAUUUUUAUUUUCAUUUUUUUGUUGAAAAUUGGUAAAAACGAACUAAAAUGAGAUAAUUACAUUAAAACAAUCUUCAAUGACUAAAGUAAUUUGAAAAAAUAAAAAUAAAAAUAAACAAGCUCAAAAUUUACCCCUAAUCCGAACAUUAUCCGAAUUCAGCCUAAUUGACCCAAAUCUAAUUGUAAUCCAAACUUGACAUGACCCGCAAAUAAUUAUAACUCGAUCAGAUCCAAACUCAACCUGAAUUUUUAAUUCAAUACGAUCCAAUCCAAAUAUUCCAACCCCAUCAAAUUGAAACUUGAUCGGGUUGAUCCGAACCCGAAUUUGCCACUUCCGGAGGAGACCAUGACCCUAAAAGCUUUGAAAUAAUCUUUGCGGUUUCUUAAUGAAAUAUUAAAAGUUAUGUGCAAAAAGACUGAUUUGACCCUAGAAUACAUGAUAUAUAAAUUUCAGACAUUAUAUUCUGUGAAAUAAAGUCAAAGUAAACUGGUCGUUUGAUUUUUUAUUAAUUAUUUUCCAUUAAGACAAAAUGACAAAUAGACUUUUUUAAAAGUUUAAUAAAGUUUGGGCCUAACUCCUUGAUUUUUAUUUUUUAAUUAUUUUUCAUUUUGUUUUUUACUUGCAACAUUAGCUUUAAUUAUCAAUCAGUCUCCAAAUCAAAAUGACUGAAACCUGUAGCUACAAGCAAAAUUCUCAAAUUUUGAAAUUUCUAACGACUACUUAAUAGCUAUAAAUAGAAAAAUCAUCUAAAAUUAAUCCUCCUUCAGAGGCAGAUUAAAUUCUUAGUAAUUUCAUAUAAUUUCAUUUCAUCAGAACAAUUUUUCAAAAGCAAUUUUAUAAAUGGUUGUCGAAAGCUUUAUCCCUUAAUCAUAUUUCACGUAUUUUCUUUGUAAUAUGAGGCGCGUCCAUAGACCAUAGUAUGAUAUUUAUUGUAAUUAAAAUCAUUAUGGAACUGAUUUUAUUCUUGUUUCUCAAACAAAGUAUCUAACUGCAGAUGUAAUAAAUUACUAAUUGCCAUUAUUUGAGUCGCGCUCUUUGAAUUCGAUCUUGGAGUUUCAAAUGACCAAAUGAAUUAGUAAGAUAAUGGCUUUUCGUUCCGAGAGCUAUGCUAAGAAAAAGCAGGGAUGAUCAGAACAAAUAGUGUGUUGUGAUUGUUUUGUGUGUGUGUGUGUGUGUUUUUUUUUUAAGUUUUAUUUUGUUUAAUUAAGAAGGGUUAUGAUCUGUUCAUUGCAAUUGACAGAGAUGUUUUCAGUUGCCUAGACUUCGUAUUUUCAGUUUUAGUAAUACAUGUCGUUUUUCACCACAUUUGUUUAGUCUCUCCCUUUUAAAUCCCCUCACACACAAAAAAUUAGGAUUUGUAUUUUGUAAACUAAUAUUUUUCAUUUUGUUAAUGUAUUAAUUAUUAUUAUCUACAUUUAUGUGAUAGGGCACAUGCCACAUAAACUAAAAUUAAGUUAUAAAAUUUUGCAGCCCCUGAGCACUCAAUGUUUGUAGGCACAAGUUCAAGUCCCACCAUUUGUUAGGAUUUAAAUAAAGAACAUUAUAACCAUGCGUCCAAGAACUUAAAGUUAGCUUAAGUGCAUGGAUUCGAGUCCUAGUUAUUGUUGAAAUUCGAUUUCCUUUCUAAUUAAAUUAAGUAAGGGUAAAAUUAUCUCUCAAUUAAUAAAGACAGAGUAGAUAUCUCUCUUGAUUUUCCUCCCAAUUAAAUUAGUUAGAAGUAAAAUUAUCUCUCGAUUAGUAAGAGUAGAAUAAAUAUCUCUUUAGUAUUAUGCAAGGGUAGAAUUUUGGGUUGUACCAUGUUAGAAUUAUCAAGGAUAGUUUUGAUAGAAUUCUAAUUGUAAUAUAUAAGUGUAUAAAAAAAAUGAACAUUAAUGAAAGAUGUUUAGGUAAGGACUAUCUUGGAAUAGAAUUUUGAUUGUAAUAUAUCAAUAUAUAAAAAGAAAUUUAUGAAAAAUGUUUAACAAGGACUGUUUUGAUAUUUUAAUGAGUAGUAAAAAUUAAUGUUAAAAUUUGAUAGAACUUAUAUAAAUAAUCCUAGCUCUAAUAAAAUUUUGCUACAUAAUUAGUUUAUCCCUUAAAGAAACAUAUCAAAAAAAUAUACAAAAACACAAUGCAUGAGUACAUGUCAAUCACAAAUGAAAGCAAUUAAGAUAAAGAAUAUGAUUUAUUUUAUUUUAUUUUAGUUAUUUUUUUGUUUCUUUUGAAACAAGACCAAUUAGAUCAUGCAAGAAGUAAUUUUUUUUAAAAAAAUAAAAAAAGGACAAAUGAUGAAACCCACGUCUAAAGAUGCCGUUGUCGCGGAGGCCUAGAUCUCACUACACCCCAUCCCCUUCUACCAUAUUUUAUAAUUGAAGAGGUCAUUAUUGAAUUGAAAAAUUAUGAUUCAAAAAUCCAAAAGUAGAAAAAGAAAAGCAAUUGUUGGAAACACACUCGGAGUUUUAAAUUGACAUGAGAAAAGAAUAUAUUCAUCAACCUCAUACGUUAAAGAUGCGACGAGUUUAAGAAUAUAUUCCUAACGUGUGGGAAUUUAAAGAUGUUACUACAAAACAUGUGUUCGUCGGUGGAGUAGAAUCAGGGAAAUUAAAGAUGCUACUACAACCACUAACGUGUGGGUGGAGAUAAGCAUAACUUUUUUCAUCAAAUGCCAAAUCCCCCCAGGUGGAGAGUGGGGACUCCUUCGCAUAAAUGUUGAUAAAAUUUUGACUAUGAUGUUAUUAGAAAUUAGGGAAAACUUAUGGUGCAACUGUGAUAUCGUGUCAUAGUUGUAUCCAGCCGUUGGAUGUCAAUGGACUCUACCCAUACAAGUGUAUCCAACGGCUGGAUGUAAUUAUGGCACGGUACCACAGUUGCAUCGUAGCCGGACCCUAAAAAUUAAGAUAUUCUCUCUCUACGUAUGUCUGCACGAAAUAAUAUGCAAAUAUAGUAUUUUAGUUUAUUAUUAAUAGUUUUACAAUAAUAAAAAUCAUUUUGAUAGACAGGAAAAUGUCAUAUUCGCAUUUUAUUUUGUACGGACGUCUGCGAGAAAGAACAUAUAUAUAUAUAUAUAGAGGAACGUGUAUUUAAGAUUUAGCUAGUGUGAAGUUGGGAAAUUUUUUUUUUUGAACCCAAGCUAAAAUUAUUUCAAUAAAUUUUGAUCAUGGAGACUAACAAGAUUUUUUUAGUUAUAUUUAUUAAUUUUUUAGGGACUAAUAAAUUUUGAUCAUGGAGACUAAUAAGAUUUUUUAGUUAUAUUUAUUAAUUUUUUAGGGACUAACAUGAAUAUUAAUAAUUUUAUUGAGAUUAUUAAAAAAACAAUGUGCUAUUUUACAUCUAUGACUUUUCCAAUCUUUUUUUCUUUCGUUAUUUAUUCCUUUGUGAAUUUUAGUUAAUGCUUGAUAUUAUUUUUUUGCUCAUUUUUUAAAGUAGUAAUUAAAUCUGAACCCUUACAGUAGAAGAUUAUGAAAAAGUAAAGACACAAAAAUCAUAAAAAUCAUUAGUAGGUCCAAAUUUGUGCUAUUUUCAUACAUAACUUGAGAAUAUUUAUAAUUACGCAUCAGAACUAGUGGAGUAGAAUCAGGGAAAUUAAACAUUCUACAAUCAUUGACGUGUGGGGUGGGGAUAAGCAUAAACAUUUUCUAUGCAGUAUAAAAGAAUGCAAUAACUCCUUUCUUUCAUAUCUUCGCAACAAAAGCACAUCUAAUAACUCUUCAGAAUUCUCGUCUUCUUUGUCAGAAUGGUUGAUGCGAUCGUUUCCUCUCUCCUGGAGCAGCUGAUCUCUGUUGCGGCUGAUGAAGUGAAACAACAGGUGAGGCUUGUGACUGGUGUCCGAGAAGAAGUGAAAAAGCUUACCAGCAAUCUUCAAGCCAUUCAACUUGUGCUGGAAGAUGCAGAGAAAAGGCAAAUGCAGGACGACAAAGCUGUUACUUUUUGGCUGGAUCAGCUCAAAGGCGCAUCUUACGACAUGGAAGAUGUGUUGGAGGAGUGGACCACUGCAAGGCUCAAAUUGCAGAUUGAGGGCCUUGACGAUGACAAUACUCUUGCUCUUCCUGCUCAUAAGAAGAAGGUAUGUUCCUUCUUUCCUUCUGCCUCAAACUGCUUCGGUAGUUUCAAAAAACUCAGUCUUCGUCAUGACAUUGCAGUCAAGAUUAGAGAGAUCAAUAAAACGCUGGAUGAUAUUACCUCUCAAAAAGAUAGGUUUAAAUUUGCUGAGAAUGUGAGUAACAAUGUCAAGAAGCCAGAGCGAGUGGGAACCACCUCCUUGGUUGAUGAGGGAGAGGUUUGCGGUAGAGUUGAUGAGAAAAAUGAGCUCUGCAAGUUGUUGUGCGAAAGUAGUGAACAACAACAAGGCUUUCAUGUCAUUUCACUAGUUGNNNNNNNNNNNNNNNNNNNNNNNNNNNNNNNNNNNNNNNNNNNNNNNNNNNNNNNNNNNNNNNNNNNNNNNNNNNNNNNNNNNNNNNNNNNNNNNNNNNNNNNNNNNNNNNNNNNNNNNNNNNNNNNNNNNNNNNNNNNNNNNNNNNNNNNNNNNNNNNNNNNNNNNNNNNNNNNNNNNNNNNNNNNNNNNNNNNNNNNNNNNNNNNNNNNNNNNNNNNNNNNNNNNNNNNNNNNNNNNNNNNNNNNNNNNNNNNNNNNNNNNNNNNNNNNNNNNNNNNNNNNNNNNNNNNNNNNNNNNNNNNNNNNNNNNNNNNNNNNNNNNNNNNNNNNNNNNNNNNNNNNNNNNNNNNNNNNNNNNNNNNNNNNNNNNNNNNNNNNNNNNNNNNNNNNNNNNNNNNNNNNNNNNNNNNNNNNNNNNNNNNNNNNNNNNNNNNNNNNNNNNNNNNNNNNNNNNNNNNNNNNNNNNNNNNNNNNNNNNNNNNNNNNNNNNNNNNNNNNNNNNNNNNNNNNNNNNNNNNNNNNNNNNNNNNNNNNNNNNNNNNNNNNNNNNNNNNNNNNNNNNNNNNNNNNNNNNNNNNNNNNNNNNNNNNNNNNNNNNNNNNNNNNNNNNNNNNNNNNNNNNNNNNNNNNNNNNNNNNNNNNNNNNNNNNNNNNNNNNNNNNNNNNNNNNNNNNNNNNNNNNNNNNNNNNNNNNNNNNNNNNNNNNNNNNNNNNNNNNNNNNNNNNNNNNNNNNNNNNNNNNNNNNNNNNNNNNNNNNNNNNNNNNNNNNNNNNNNNNNNNNNNNNNNNNNNNNNNNNNNNNNNNNNNNNNNNNNNNNNNNNNNNNNNNNNNNNNNNNNNNNNNNNNNNNNNNNNNNNNNNNNNNNNNNNNNNNNNNNNNNNNNNNNNNNNNNNNNNNNNNNNNNNNNNNNNNNNNNNNNNUAGAAAAGAAUGUUUGUGGGUAGAAAUUAAUGGUACCAAAGAAUCAGUCAUAAACUCUUUUGGUGACAAAGUCCAUCACUUAGGGUUAAAGUUUGAAGAAGGCGCUUCAUUUCCUAUGUCCAUUCAUGGACUUAAUAGAUUGCGUACCCUCUUAAUUUAUGACCAAAGUCCUUACAAUCCGUCUCUUAGUAGUAGCAUCCUUCCGGAGUUAUUUAAUAAAUUGGCGUGUUUAAGGGCAUUAGUUAUAAGGCAAUCGUACUUAUUAUUUUUGUAUCCUGAGGCAAAUAGGAUUAGAGAAAUUCCAGAAAAUGUCAGAAAAUUGAUACAUUUAAAAUAUCUUAAUUUGUCUGAAUUACACAUAGAGAGACUGCCUGAGACUUUGUGUGAAUUAUAUAAUUUACAAAAGCUAGAUAUUAGGCGGUGCCCAAAUCUUAGGGAAUUACCUGCGGGGAUUGGGAAGUUAAUGAACAUGAGGAGUUUACUGAAUGCUGAAACUCGUUCGUUGAAGUACAUGCCAAUAGGGAUUUCCAAAUUAACCAGUCUUCGAACAUUAGAAAAGUUUGUUGUGGGUGGAGGUGUUGAUGGUGGCAGCACGUGUAGGCUUGAAUCUCUGAAAAAUCUUCAACUCCUUCGUGAAUGUAGAGUAAAAGGGCUGAGUAAUGUAUCGCAUGUAGAUGAGGCUGAGAGGUUACAACUUUACAAUAAGAAAAACCUCCUUCGUUUGGGUCUUCAGUUUGGUAGAGUCGUAGAUGGGGAAGGCGAAGAAGGGAGGAGGAAGAAUGAGAAAGAUGAACAACUUCUUGAAGCCUUACAACCGCCUUUGAAUGUAGAGGAAUUAGAGAUUGAAUCCUACCGAGGCAACAUUUUUCCCAAAUGGUUGAAUUCACUAACCAAUCUAAGGAAUUUAUAUCUUUCCUCGUGUUUUAACUGUGAGCAUUUGCCUCCUUUGGGAAAAUUACCUCUGGAAAAACUCGAAAUCAUCCACUUGAAAAGUGUAAAAAGAGUGGGUAAUGAGUUUUUGGGAAUAAAAGAAAGCAGUGAGGAUGAGCCGUCUUCAUCUUCAUCAUCAUCAUCAGUUACUGCCUUCACCAAAUUGAAAUCUCUCAAUAUUUGGGACAUGGAAGAAUUGGAAGAGUGGAAUUACAGGAUUACGAGGAAGGAAAACAUCUCCAUCAUGCCCCGUCUUUCUUCCUUAACAGUUGGUUCUUGCAACAAAUUAAAGGCGCUGCCGGAUUACCUUCUUCAAACGACGGCACUACAGAAACUGAAUAUUAAUUGUUGUGAAAAUUUGGAAGAACUGCCCAUUCUAGAAGAUCACAGGACAACAAGUGUAGUCUGUUCCUUGAUGAUUUUGGAUUGCCCCAAAAUAAAGGUGCUGCCGGAUUACCUCCUUCGAACGACGACACUGCAGGAAUUGACAAUUGUGGGAUGUCCUCUUCUACAAGAACAUUAUAGAGAAGACUGGCAUAAGAUAUCUCACAUUCCCCACAUCAUGGUGCCGGUAAUUUCUCCUCCUCCGAUUUACUUCGUUGUUGCUUGCAAUAAAAUGAAUAAAAAUAAUUAUAUCUUUAAUUCUAUAUAGAAUCAAUCAUGGUAUAAAUAUGUAAAACUUCCUAGUUAUCAAAUCUGUUAAACUUGUUUCCUAAAGAUUAAAUAAAAAAAAAAACAAGUGUAGUCUGUUUAAAUUCGAUAAUUACUUUUAAAAAAAUAUGUGCUCUUUUGUAAAAUUUCAUGCAAUCUCAUAGAAAAUCCCAAUGCAAUUUAGUUUUUAAUGUACAAAAAUUUGUUAUGUGUAACUUCCUGAGAAACAAAAUCUCUGUGAUACAUUUGCAGUAAUGUUGAAAACUAAAUUAUCAAUUUUGCCUUGCAUACUGAUAAUCGUAUUUUUUUAUAUAUAAUUUAUGUGACAAUAAUUCGUUAAAGUAAUUGUGUAAUUGUUUUUAGUAGUACAUUAGCCCACUUUGUUUUAUUUCAUACGAGUUUAAUUAUGUUCAUCAGGGACUCGAGGAAAUGUCAGAACUACACUAGCAAUUCACAUCGUCAUCAUCGUCAUCAUCGGUUACUGCCUUCCCCAAGUUGAAAGCACUCAAAAUUAAUUAUUUGGAUGAACUGGAAGAGUGGAAUUACAGGAUUAGGAGGAAGGAAAACAUCUCCAUCAUGCCACGUCUUUCUUCCUUGUGGAUUCGGUAUUGCCCCAAACUAAAGGUGCUGCCGGAUUACCUUCUUCAAUUGACGACACUGCAGAAAUUAAGGAUUGAGCUAUGUCCUCUUCUGGAAAACCGUUAUAGGGAGGCGAAAGGAGAAGAUUGGCAUAAGAUAUCUCACAUUCCCCACAUCGAGAUAUCACCCGACGGUAAUUUCUUCUCCUCCUCUGAUUUACUCUGUUGUUGCUUGCAAUGAAAUUAAUAAAAAUAAUUAUAUUAUGAAUUAAAAUUCUGUAUAUUGCCAAUGUGUGACAGGAAUAUAUUAUAUAUUUCUAAUAUUUUGAUUUGCAUAUUGAAUUUAACUAUUUACUUCAGCCAUUAAUUUGCCAAUAAUUUAAUGGGUCACUCUAUGAUGCUGUUAUAAAAAUUAUAAAACCAAUCAUGGUAUAAAUAUGUACGGUUUGAUUUAAUCAAUAGUUCAUAAAUUUAAAAGUUAGUUAGGAUAAUAUUUUAAUUUUAUUUAUUUAAAAUUUAAACUUCUUAGUUAUCAAAUCUGUUAAACUAAUUUUCUAAAGAUUAAAUUAUUAAAAAAACUGUAAUCUGUUGAAAUUCCUAUAUUUUCUUUUAAAAAAUAAGUAGACUUUUAUAAAAUUUCAUACAACAUCAUGGAAAAUCCUAAUGUAAUUUAUUUUUUAAUGUACCAAAAUUUAUCAUGUGUAACUUCCUGAGAGACAAAAUCUCUGUGAUACAUUUGCGGUAACGUUGAAAACUAAAUUAUCAAUUUUAUCUUGUAUAAUGAUAAUCGUAUUUUUUUGUAUAUAAUUUAUGUGACAUUAAUUCUUUAAAGUAAUUGUGUAAUUUUUUUAGUAGUACAUGAGCCCACUUUGUUUUAUUUCAUACGAGUUUAAUUAUGUUCACCAGGGAUUCGAGGAAAUGUCCGGUCCAAUCUAAUUUCGUUUUAAUGAUGCAGGCAGGAGAGUAUGCUAAGAAAAUGAAAAGUUUAGCCAAAGGAUUGCUAAAAUGUUCUACAGGUAAUUCACUUGAUUUAUUUUAUAGAAUUUCAUUUCCAUCUUCUUCUAUUGAUAUCUUGUUGUGAAUAUACAAGAACAAAGAAGUAAAGAUAUAUCAAAAUUUACUAUUACGAUGAUGCUAAGGCAAGCUCAAGCUCAAGCAUUGCAUUUUAUAUUUUAUUUAGUUAAUAUAAUUUUCAUUUCCACCUGCAUUUCAUUUUUUGGUUGACUUUGAAGACUCUAUGGAGAACAUUGGGGUAACCAAGGAUUAUCACUGUGGUUAUUGUGCAACGUUUGGUUGCUGGACUUUGAAGAAGGAAGUGAUGGCCGGGUCUGCUCUGUUUCAAUUGAGGAUGGGUAGCUGCCUGAAAGACAUGAUGAUUAUUAUUGCGUGAUGUUAAGGUGCUGAGAUCAUCAUUGCUAUCUUGUUUCAUUCUUGGAAUCAUUUAUCCUGUAUAAACAUUUGUUUUAACAAAUGUUUCAAUGCCUGCUGUAGUAACAAUUUCAUAUCUUGCAUCUCUCGGGUGCAUCGUGAUCACGGGUUUGAGAAAGCAUUUGUGGUAAAGCUUCAAAGCUUGUACAAUGGCUGUGAAAAGGCACAUUCAAUUCGGUACGUUUGGUGCGGUCUCCUAAUGCUACUACCAUAUUUUGUAUAGCAAUUAAAAUUCAGGUAUACAAUCUUAAUAUGCAAUAAAUCAUUGAGUACAAAGUUAUCUAUUAAUUAUAUGGUAACUGAAAUUUUCAUUAUAAUUUUAAUUACAUAUUAAUAUUAAAAUUUUUUGUAACCCUCUUUUACUUUGCUUGUACAGAGUACCUGUUUUGGCUGAUAUGUCUAAUUCGUAGAAAUUCAUUUCCAUCGGUUUCCAUUGGUUUUAGCACAAACAGAAACAGAAAUCUGGGAAAAAGUUUUACUUCUUCUGGUAUUAUGCCUUUAUUUAUUCAUUCAUCAUAUUUGUUCGAAUUCAUGCUCUCAUUCAGAGAGCAGCCUUUUCCAGGCUACUUUGUAGCCAAAUUUUCAUGCCAUCGAUGCAUGAUUGUCAUUUAGAUUUUCCAAAUAAUUGUUAGAUUGAAGAAGAAUAAGAAGAUAUUGUUAAAAGGGUAUUUAAUUAGCACCCUCUGAAUUUAGUUGCCAAUAAUGCAUUGAAAUGGUUGGGGAAAGUUAUUGUCUCAAUUAAAUUACAGGUGACAAGAUGCUGCUCCAAUUUUGCAAGCAUCUCGUGUUUCGAGAUUUUGCCCACAUGAGAUGCUAUGAUUUUUGACAUCAGGGUAACAAAGGUCAAAUUUUAGCAUCAAUAGAUAUCAUCUUCUUUACUGUUCUGCUCGAAAUAUUAAACUUUAGGCAAGUUGUUUUUGUUUGUGUGAGUUAUCAGGUUAAGGAUACUAAGCAGCUUAUUAAGGCAAAUGUCAGAAUGAAGAUUUUUCACCGCACCUGGUAUGAAUGAUGGCGAGGAAGAUUAAUUGUUCACAAGCCAAUUUGAUCAGUGUUAGAUUCUUUUGCCUCCCUUCGAGAGAUAUCAUCAUCAAAUUUGAGAAGAGAGUUUUGUUUUGACAUUUCACUGUAGUGAAUUUUGGGAGCUUGAACCCACUUCAGUGAAAUAUUAGGGAAUACUGGGGAUAUGGGUUAUGAGUGAUCGUUAUCCUUCAAAUAUUUGUAAGCUCUCACUUGUUAGUAAAAUCAUCUUCGUAUAUUGACUUUGUUUCUUUGUUGUCAGGCCGAGUGUGAUCUUCAAGGUUUGAGAAAGUCUUCGCAGUAAAAUUUCCACCACGUGCAAUUGCUGUGAAGGGGCAUAUACAUUUGAGUAAUUCAGUUUCAGAUUUUCAAGGCGCGUUUGUUUAAUUAGUUUCGAUUAUAAUAUUUAGUCACUCAUUCUGAAUCUUUUCUAAUUUUCAAGUUCUUUAGGGCCGCCGACAGUUUUUUAAGUCUACAUGUGGUUGCAAAAAGAUUGAUGGUCAUCAAAUUAUCUUGAGCCUUGAGGCAUUGCGUUCGAGCACAAAAGGAAACAGAACUAAGGGAAAUGAAGACAGUAGGAGAUGCUCUGAAUAUAACAAAAGUAUAUUUCUACUUCUUGUGGUUAUUUUAAUUUUGUUUCUCCUGUCAUCAUAUUUAAUUAAUUCGUUUGAAUUCACACUCUCACACAUUAUUUAAAACCAUCUGCAGGUGGUUUGCAAGCUAGCUAAGUUAAUCCAAAAACAAUACUCUAGACAAAGAUGAGCAAAUUGAAGGCGACAAAUGCAAAUUGGAUUUCCAUGAAUAAUUGUUAGGCUGGUGGAGAUAUUCUUAAAAGGGCAUUAAGCUAUCUUAUGGAAUUGGAAAGUUAUUAUUGCUUGAAAGCAAGCAGCAUCUUCGUUGCGAAGGCUUUCCCCACCUGAUAAAAUGCUGAGAUUGUUACCGGCCCCUUAAUUAUUUAUUAACUCAGGUAUUUAUUAUCAAUACAUCAUCUUAUUCACCAUUUUGGCUAUAUAUAAAGAUUAAAAUUUCUAACAGUUGUUUCGGAUUCUUGUGUACUCAGGUUAAUAGGGCAAAUAUCAGAAUGAAGAUUGCUCAGUGCAACCGAUAGAGCAAGGAUGAUAGUUGUGAGAAAGAUUGUUGGCAAGACAAAUAGAGUCCUCCAUUUGGAGAAAUAUCAUCCUCAAAUUUGAAUUGUCGAGCAUGUGAGGUGAAGCUAAAGCCUUAAUAAUGAGACCUUCCUGUGGAAGUUUCAUUUGAAUGAAUUGAACGUUCUUAGUGAGUGAGAAAUUAAGUAUAUAUCAGCGAUUUUGGUCGUCUGUGAAUGUUUCCCUUCAAUAUUAAUACACUGGCAUUUCUUAGUAAAUUCGCUUCACGUCACUUCCUCCUUGUUGGUGGGACUAGUAAACAAAUGUCAUUUCUUAGUACAUUUUGAGAAUUUUGAUUCCCAAAUAAGCCUGCAGAACGGUGUAUGGUGGGAUUAGCUGCAGGAUUCUUUGCCAAAAUUCCUUUUUAUUCCUUUGUUCACUUAUUCGUUAUAAAUAAAGUAAAAUUAGAAUAUUGUUCCGUUUACUGUCUAAGCUGGUCUAACAUUUGUUUAAUUUGGGCAAUUUUUAAUGCCUAACAGGUUAUCUGUGACAAACCCAUCGGUCACUAACAAUUUUGAAGUUAUUGGAGUAGCACGGCUUUGAGGUCUCUCCCUCCCUCUUUUACGUAUUUGUCUAUCGAUCGACAUGUCUAUAUAUACAUUGAUAGACCAACUUACUCUUGUUUUAAUGUUUUGUUUGUUAAACUUGACUGGGGAAUGUUUAUUUGUCUCAUAUGAUGUCAAUGUGGUUCCAAUUGAAGUGUAUAGAUCUGUCACCUCAAAGUCUGAUUUCAAUUUUCCUUUACUUCAUCAACUAGCAUCCUUUCCAAGUCCAGAUACUUACCAAUAGUGAGACUUUGCUACGGAAGUACAAUUUCUCUUGUUUUACAGUUAAUUAUGUAAGAAUAGUUUUAAAUUUACAGAAUUUUGAAAUAGCUCUCUUAAGGAAAUGCGAGUGGUGAAUAUGGUUCCAACUUUUAAUAGGCUUAAUAGGCCCAUUUGUUAAGCCACAGUGAUUGCGGUCUAAAUUCUUCUUUACUGUCUAUAUGUGUUGGAGUUUGUCUAUUGUCCAACUUCUCAAAUCGAUUCCAUGCAGGGUUUUGAAUGUCUAAUUAGGAGAAAGAUUAACGGAUGACCUUUUGAAGAAGGCUUACACAACAGGCCAUCUCAGGAUGUCAUGGCUCAGCUCAAAAGUCCCCAGGUGGUUAAUGACAAUGUGCCAUUGUUUCUGGGCUUGGUCUCCUUGGCAUCAAACAAGAUAAUGUUGACUCUAUUAAAGGGGAAAUAAGGGCGACUAAAGCGCGAAGAAAGAGGAUAGUCCGGAGGAAGGUGACUGCAUAAAUUUGUUGGAGUUAAUGUAGUCAAUUGCCUAAUUUUGCUGCCUGUCGAAGAGACACAUCAUGGAAGUCCUCAUCAAACUCUGAGACACCUAAGAAAUAGUAUGAGGUGGUGGUAUUCCCCUGGUGUUAAUUUCCUGGCAAGUGUGGUUCACAGAUAGAGGGAUUCUUUUCUUGAUGUCUAAAUACCGUAUGUGAUACAACGUCGUAUAUUCUAAUUUUCCUUGAGUUAAAUUCUAGUCAGUUAGGAAAGUUAAUUUUGUUUUCGCUAUGGAUUGUUUCCUAGAUAAAAAUAGUUUCCAUGUUUCUUUGGGGUCUUAUUAACUCUCUGUAACCCAGUUCAAGUUUGCAAAUUCUAUUUCAGAUUUCUCAUAUAGUGUGCCUUUGUCACUUCUGUGAUACACUUUUGAUCACAAGUUUCCAUUUGAAGUAACCAAUAUUCUUUAUAGACUAAUUAUCUAAGGAUUAUUUUAUACAAAAAAUCAAAACUUUAAUUAAUUGAUCAUACUUAACUUGGCUUUUGUUUGAUAUUACUAGCUGUUGUGAGAACCAAAAAAAUAGCAGAAAGUUGACAAUGUGCAGUAAAUGUAUGACUUUUAAAUAAUAAUUUAAUAAAAUUAAUAAAGAUAUUAUAAAUUUUUUAAUAAUAAAGUAUGAGAUCAAAUCAAAUUAAUUUUUAAGUCAAAAUUGUUUAAUUAUGUAGUUUAAAAGUAUAGUAUCCAACCUCAACACAAUAGAGAGAUUUCUAUUUACCAAACUCUACCCAACUUUGGUUGUACUGACUCGAUCAUGCAAGUCCAUACUCGACGCGUUGACCAUACAAGAUGUUACUCAACUUUAACAAAUCUUACUCAAACUUUGCACGUUUAGCAUGCCGAAUGGAAUAUGAUAGUAGAUGAUGUGAUAGAUAUUAUAGGAAUAGUCGUAACAAAAUUAUAUUUAGUACUUUUUUAUAUUUUAUGUGAUGAACAGAUGUAGUAUAUGAAUGGAUUAUAUUACAAAUUUUAGUGUUAUCAUAAUUAAAAAAUUGAAUUAUUUUUUAUUAUUGAAAAACUGUAAUAUGUUAAAUAACAGUUAUUUUUAUUAAUUUUUUUUAAUGAAUUAUACUUUUAAAUUAUAAUCGAAAAUUCUUAUUACUGAACUAAUAAAAAAUUAAUUAGCUCAAGAGAUAAAUUCACUUAGUGUAGAACGAAAUGGUGUGUUAUUUUUAUGUGGGAUCCACAUCCUUUCCACAUCAACCUCAACAUCCAAACAUGAAAUUGGACUAAAAAUAGUUCUUUCCCAUGUAUUUACGUAACCUCCUCCCACUAAACGCAAAUAUUUAUUCUUGAUUUUACUAACAUAAUUUUCUCCCAUUUCCAUAUUGUCCGCGUUGAGUGCAUGUAAUCCACAAGUUUAAUUAAUUUUUUUUUUUUUGAGAGAGGUAUGUUAAAAUGAAUAUAUCACAUUUUUUUCUUUUUUCCUUUUUUUUGCGUGAGUGAUGGCUUCGUUGAAUGACAGUUGGCUGAUAAUAAGUUAUCUUUUAAUUUUGUUUUUGAUUUAAUAGAAACUAUUAAUUUUUGUAGUUUCGGUAGAUGAAAUUUCGAAUCAAAUAUUAAUAUUGUUAAAGUACGCAACCCAAUAUUUACUUAAAUUACAAAAAAGAUUAAUUGCUUUGCAUAAAAAAGAAGUGAUCACUUGAUUUAACUUCCUUUACUAAAUUUACGAUUUAAAAUCCAAAAUAAAAAAAAGAGUUUAUUAUUGAUUAUCUUUUUCCCAAAUUUAAGCUAAGACAGUAAUAUGUCCAAAAUACCCUCCACGUUAUCCUAAAACUUUAUGAAUUCCCCCGUUCCUCUCAACAUCAUCUCUUCCAAAUCUUUCUUCCCCAAAAAACCAGCCAUGGCUUCAUAUUUAGUUACCUCAACACUCCAAUAUUGGCUUGUAAACAGCAGCGGUUCAACCUCUAGGCAACUUAGGUGGUUGCAUAGGACUCCGCUUUAUAUGAAAGCCCUACAAGAUGAUUAUUUUGUAUAUAAAAGAGGAAAAUGAAUUUAAAAGUCAUUAUUAUUCAUUUAAUUUAUUAUUAUUUUGUAAUUAUCUUUUUCUAAAUAAACUAUCAAAUUCUUAUCAAGUUUAUUUAAUGUAGUACUUAAUUGUUUUAAUUUCUACAAAACCAAUAAAUUAAUAGUUUCAAUCCUAAAAAUUCUCUAUUUCAUUGUUAGAAUUAAUAAGUUAUAUUUCAAAAGUUUUAUAUUUAUUUUAAACCUCUAUAAAAACCCCACAUUUUAUUACUUAUCCAUUAAAUUUUUCGUUCAACAAUCAAGACAUCUUGGUGUUUGAGAGAAAGAAAGAGAGAGGGAAAAAAAUCUUGCUUCCUCUACUUUCUACUCUAGAAGAAAAAGAAAAAAUCAAAUAUUUUUCUCUAUUUUCUAUGACUAUUGGUUGCUACUCAAAUUUUCAAACAACAGCCUUAAUAUAAACAUAAGUUAAUUUAUGAUUUCAUCUCAAAUUUCUGAUUUUAUCUUUUUAUUAUUCUCUUAAUUAAUUGUGUUGUUAUUUGUUCUUAUUUCUUUUUAUAUAUUCUUUUCUUCAUCUACUUUUUUUGUGCUUGUUUUAUCUAUUUUGAAAUAAAACUAUAUCAAAAAAUUUUAGACAAUAGGAGAAUAAAAAAAUUAGAUUAAUUUAAAAAAAUAGUAAAAAAGAUAUAAUUUAACUUAAAAAAAAGUGAAAAUGUUAUAAUUGAAUUAAAAUUUUAUGACUUAACAACAAUAGAAUAAAUUUGUAUUUAAUAAUUUUAUAUUUUAAAGUAUUUAAAGAAUUAAUUUUUAAUAAAUAAUAUUAAUAUAUAUAUAUAUAUAUAUAUAUAUAUAUAUAAGUUACUUAUCUCUCCAUCCGCACUUACCUCUCCCUCACAUUCAUCCUCAACCACACAUCAACAUCAACAUCAACAUCACCUCUCAUUGGACCCCACAUCCUCAAGCCCAUCACAGCCGUCCAUAACCUCACCCUCCUCCUCCUCUCCCUCAUCAUGGCCGUUGUUUGCCCUCUCUCCAUCAUCCUCCAUUUACCGCACCUCCGUUACACCCUCUGUUUCCUCCUUACCAUUUCUCCGUCUGGCACGGCCUAAUUCCGACGGAAUCAACGACGGUCGUGAUGGGUUUUGGCUGCGACUAUUCGCGCUUCAAACGGCGGCGUUUCGGUUGGUUUUUGGCGACAGUGACGGUGGGAAAGUGAUGGCUGGCUCAGGAGCUUUCGUUGCUACCAUCCAUGGCCGGUGAGGUGGCCGAAAAUCGGAUAUAUGUCUGCGUCGGGUUCGCAGUUUUGGGUCGGGUUUUCCGGGUCAGUUUGACAGCUUCCUCUAUCCCUCUCCCCCAUAAAACAUUACCCAGCUUCCUCUUAUUAUUAUUUUUUUUUUCACAUACGUUACAGAACAUUAAUGAGAGAUGUUUAGUAGUAAGGACUAUUUUGAUAUUUCGAUGAGUAGUAAAAACUAAUGUUAAAAUUUUAUAGACGAAUGUAGAGUAAGAUGCUCAAAGUACUAGAACAUAUAUAAAUAAUCCCAGCUCUUAUAAAAUUUUGCCACAUAAUGAGUUUUAUCCCUUAAGCAAAACAUAUCGAUAAAGUAUACAAAAGCACAAUGCAUGAAUGAUGGUCUUACAAAGUUCGAAUAUAAAGUUUAUAAUCUAAAAUUAAUGAUGUGACAAUUAACCUAAUGGAGUAAGAAGGCCCAAAUAGAUUAUAUUUUGCUAAAGAAGUAAAUUCUACCAAGAAUACCUCUUUCUAUUGAAUUUAAAUGAUGAUUAUUUGUUUAUAUCAUAAAAACUAAAAUAACUGUGUGAGUAAUUUGAUUCUUUUACAGUAUAAAAAUAAAUUCAGAAAAUGUUAGGGCAUGUUCUGUGUUUUAUUUUUAAAUUUAUAUUAUGAGAAUGAAAAUGGUGUUUUCAAGUUGAUAAAUUUUCAAUUGAAAUAUGUGUUUGUUAUUAUUUCAUUUAUCCUAUAUUUUCAAAAUGAAAAUAACCGAUAGAUAAAGUUAAAAAUGAUAAAAUAAUGGAUAUAUUAAGCAAUUUUACUACAUGCAAAUUAUUUUCUGUGUUUAAAGUUCAUAUAAAGCUUGUUUAUUUUUCAACAUACCAACUUACAACAAUAAUAAUAAAAUUUUUGUGAUAUCCAAUAUUAACUUUUUAAAGUAAUUAUUUUUUGUUAAUGUGUCCGCUGUUCAAUCGAUCUUCCUACUUUCUAUGCUUGAGAUUAGAUCAUUUGCUUCAAAGAUUCGAACUGGACUUAUAGUAGGAAAAAGAAUUUUCUUCAAUAUGAACUCUAAUUCUCUUUUAUAUAUAUAUAUAAAAAAAUCUAAUUCUCCUUUCAACAUUUUAACAUUUUGAUGAAAUAAAAAAUUAUUGGCGAAAGAUUACAUGCUUCCUUACUUUAGAGAACCAAAUACUCAGAUAGGUAGUGUAAAUCUCUACUGAUCGUUGGUGAUUUUAUCAAAAUAAAAUUCAAUAAAAUGUAUAAGAACACUUAAAUCCGUCCAAAAAAAAAAAUGACCCAGCAAAUAAAGAAAAGUACUGUGAAGUAAAAAUUGAACAAACCUAGAAAGAAGAGAAGAAGAAGAAUGGAAGAAGGAGAUUCGGUUCAUAAAUCAUGGAGGGAGAUGAGACUUAAGAGAUAGGGUUAGUGAGACAGACGAGGUCCUAGAGUCUUAAAGAUGAAGACUAUCUAUUAUUAGUUACUUAUUAUAAUGAUGUUUAUUAUUAUAAUUUAUUUUACAAUUUUUUUUUAUGAAACAAGUAAAACAUGUUUAAGUUGUUUUGUAAUUUAUAACUGUUAGAGGCAAGUCAGAUUCUGUGUUUUACAAUUAAAUUUUAUGAGGACUACUGAACGCUUAUUUUACUUAGAUUUAUAAAACGAAAAUGAGAAUGGCCAGUAAAAAACAAUACCGAAUGCCCACUUACUUCAUCUCAUACUCUUAGGUCACAAAAAUAGCAAUAACUCUAACAAAUUUAUUAUUGAAUGUGAAUGGUUAUAUAUCGAUCAUUUGAUACGUAUUUUUCAAGACAGAACCUCAAUUCAAUGGACAAAAGCUCCUCUUAAUUUUUCUUUUCUAUUUAAAUAAAAGAACAAAAGAAAUUGAUUACAGAGCCAUUACUUUUCCAAGAAUUAAUAAACGAAAAGGCCCAUAAUUUUUGUAAACCCACCCCACUCUCAAGAAAUAAUUACAAUAAGUUCAAAUUAUUUUUUAAAAAUUGAAAUAAAGAAGAUGUAAUUACAAUAAUUUGGAGAUUGAAUCAAAUAAAAUAAAAGGGUUAUUUUUACAUACCUCCCCUGAGGUUUCACCUAAUAUCAGUUUAAUAGAAAGUAUCUCCGUAUUUUUACAUCCCUCCCCUACAGUUAGUAUAAAGUUAUGUAUAUCAUCAGUACACAAGGCUAAAAUCGUAAAAGCUCAUUUAAAAUUCGUUUUAAUCGUAUCAAGUGGCAUCGUAAUCAAAGCCAAUAAACCACCAGCCAUGGCUGCACUCACUCCCUGAAACGCCAUCACAGUUUUUGAAUCCGGCCUAAUCAUCAUCAUAUCACCCUCACGGUCACCAUAUUUCCUGCGCAAGAAACACCCAACUCCACCCCAAACAAGCCUUUGAGCAACGGAAUAAGACGCCCACCAAACUGCAUUUGAUGGUGCAUUUGUCAAGAUUGAAAUCCCGGAGCCCAUAUACAAUCCUCUAACCCCAUCAUUUCUAACAAUCUUCCUAAACAUAUCAACCCCAUUUACGUAUCUAGCAUCGGCCCCAUUAGCCACCAUAAGCCUCUGAGUCAAAACAUCAACUGGGGUCCAGACAAGCUGAGCAGCCAUGGCAGCACUCAAUCCACCAACAGCACUAGCGACCGCCGCCGCCGCAGUAAACCCUAAGUCACUAACAGCAAAGCUGCCAACUUUAGUUAAAUAAAAUUAAUUUAUUUGCUUUGAUUACGAUUAACAGAUGCAUAUCUUUGUGAAAACUUUGACCGGCAAGACCAUCACUCUCGAGGUGGAGAGCUCCGACACGAUCGACAAUGUCAAGGCUAAGAUCCAGGACAAGGAAGGGAUUCCACCGGACCAGCAGCGGCUGAUCUUCGCCGGAAAGCUCAUCUUUUAAUAAACUUUAGGAAAAGACCCCAUCACCAUCAUCGUGACCAUCUGCUUCCCUCCUUGUUUGUUGUUCCUUCAUUUUCUUUUUAUUUCUUCUUCGUGGAAUCGGUCUUAUUUUCUUCUUCUCUCACUAUUGUAGGUUGUUGUUGGCAGAGGGACGAAUUGUGUUUAUUUGCUUUUAGAAUUGGCUAAUUUAAUUGAUAUAAAUUGUUUUGGUUGUGCCGCGGACAUAAAUUGAAGUUUAGUCGACGGUGCUUUCAUAGCAACAUUUGGUGCUGUUAUUAUGGAUACCAAGCUAAAGUAAGAUGACGUUGGACAUGUUAUGAGGUUUAGUUUUUUUGAAUUGAUUUUUUAUUUGAAUUUUUGGGGAAAAAUAUCAAAAAUGGAAAGCUUGAUUUUAAGAAAACAAGGAUGUGGUUUUGUUGGCGAGGUGGUACAGGGGAUUUUAGUUUUUGUUGGAUGAAAGAAGACUGUCAACCUUGAAAGGGUAUUUUCAUCCUCUUGUUAGUCCACUAACGGUCAACUGACGGAAAUACUAACUGCAGGGGAGGGAUGUAAAAAUACGGAGAUACUUUCUAUUAAACUGAUAUUAGGUGAAACCUCAGGGGAGGUAUGUAAAAAUAACCCUAAAAUAAAAUACCCAAACUAUUAUAUACAAGAACUCUUGAUUUUUGGGGUAUUUUAGUCAUUUUAUAUUAUCAUGGUAAAUUAGUCAAAUAAAACUUAUCUUAAAGCAACCUAAACGGUCAAAGACACCUAAGUUAAAAAAAAAAUUAUACGAAUGAUUUAAUUUAUUGAUUGUCUAUACGUUUUAUUGAUUUAUAUAUUUUAAAAAUAGUAUGAACGUAUUACAAUUAUUUUCUGACAGCAAGGUAGAUUUGUAAAAUAAGUGGGUAGAAAAUAUCCCCGUCCUCAAACAAAUAAAUGAAUUAUCGGUGAUGCAUGCUUUUUUCCAACUUUUUUUUUUUUUCUUUUGGUUUUUUGUUUUUGUUUUAAAUGGCACUGGCCCGACCACUACAAAUUAAUUAGAGAAUAUUUACAAUUAUGUAUCACAGCUGUGGAGUAGAAUUGGGGAAAUUAAAAAUGCUAAAAUUAUUGACACGUAGGGUGGGCGACAAUAACCACAAACAUUUUUCGUGUAGUGUAAGAAGAAUGCAACAACUCGUUUCUUUCAGUAUUUUCGCAACAAAAGCACGUUGAACAACUUAUGAAAUUAUUUCUCUUUUUCUUUGCCAGAAUGGAUGUGAUCGCUUCCCCUCUCCCGGAGCAGCUGAACUCCUUUGCUGCUUGUGACUUACCAUAAAUCUUCAAGCCAUUCAAGCUGUGCUUGAAGAUGCAGAGAAGGCAAGUUGAUAUAAGAUUGUUGCAUGGAAUAAGCAGGGCAUCUUCCGAGGCUAGAAGUUGGGCUACGAGUAUUCGUUUUGGACAUAUAAUAUAGUUUCCAAGCUUGCGAUGAGUCGAACCAAAUGCAGAACAACCUAGGCUGUUAUGCUCUGCGAUUGAACUAAAAAUUUCACUUCUUUUAUAGUCGUUUUUUAGUUUUAAGAUAUUUUUCUAUUUUUCUUGAUUCUUCUAGGAUUUUUAUCAUUUUUUCUAGAUGUUGGAUUUAAGUGCCAUCUGUUUUCUUUCUCUUAUUUAGAUUCGAAGAAUUUUAUUAUCAUAUAAUAUUUUGAAUUUGCUUAGUUUGUUAAAUUUGCUAUAUUUAGGCUCCUAUAAAUGGGAUUAAAAACCCUAAUUUUGUUCAUUCAAAUUAUUCUCAAUAAAACUUAUUAUUCAAAUACUAGUUUAUAUUAUCUAAUAGCUUUUUAGUGUUUCUGCAUCAUCAGCUGGUAUCAGAGCAAGUUCACUUGUCAUCAUGGUGCGACCACACAAUCAAAGGAGCAACCAUCCCGGAGACGAUGUUCAAAUAUUAGGUUAUCUCUUGUAAGCCAUAUUCAUAAAUGUAUUGAAGGAAAGAUACUUUUUUCUUGUCUUAAAUGAUGUGUGGGAUGGACGUUACAAUUAAUGGGAACCAUUCUUUUGUUGUUUAAAGAAUAGUCUCUACGAUAGUCAAAUUUUGAUUACUACACGUAAUCAGUUAGUAGCAAGCAUGAUGAGAUCAACAAAUCUUACCUUUCUUAAGGAAUUAAUUGAAGAAGAAUGUUGGUCAUUGUUUAAGCAGGUAGCAUUUUUGGGUCAAUUCUUCAAGGAUCGUGAUCAAUCGAUCAAAAAAUUGCAUUUAAGUGCAAAGGCUUGCCUUUUGUUGCAAAGAUAAUAGGGAAAUUCUUACACUAUAAAUGACCAAUAGAAGAAUAGAAAAUAAUUUUAGAUAGUGGAAUGUGGAAGGUAGAAGAGUUUGGGAAAGGUCUUCUGGCUCCUUUGUCGUUAAGUUAUAAUGAUUUGUCGUCCAUAGUAAAACAAUAUUUCUCACAUUGUGCUAUCUUUUCAAAAGGUUACAAUAUGUGUAAAGAGGAACUAAUUACACUAUGGAUGGCUCAAAAUUACCUUAAAUGUAGAAAAAGGAAGAGAUGGAGAUCCAAUCCAAUCUGAUAGUAGUAGAUUAUUUUAAUUUUUAUUAAUUUGAUUUCAUAGGAGUAGUUUUCAUUGUUUUGUUGAAAGUUGGUAAAAAAAAAACUGAAAUGAGAUGAUUACUUUAAAACAAUCUUCAAGAACUAAAAUAAUUAAAAAAACUCAAAAUAAACAAAAAGGCUUAAAAAUAACCGUAAUCCGAACAUUGUUUGAAUCCAUCCUAACUAGCCCGAAUAUGAUUUUAACCCAAACCCAACCUAACUCGCUUAUAAUUAUAACCCAAUGCGAUCCAAAUUCAACUUGAAUAUUUGAUCCGAUCUAAUCCAAUUUGAAUAUUUUAACCCUAUCAACCAGAAACCCAAUUAGGUUGAUCUGAACCCACGUUUGUCCACUCCCAGAGGGGAUCAUGACCCCACAAGCUUUGAAAGUUUUUUGGAAUUUCUAAGUGAAUAUUAAAAAUUAUGUAUAAAAAGACUGAUUUGACCCCUAAACACUUGAUAUAGAAACUUUAUACAUACAAUAGAAAUUUAAUUUUAUAUUUUGUGAAAUAAAGUCAAAGUAACUGAAUUUUUUUUUAUUUUGUUAAUUAUUUUUCUACUAUGACAAAAUGACAAAUAGCCUUGUGCCUAGCUCUUUGACUUUUAUUUUGCUAAUUAUUUUUUUCAUUUCUCUUGCAACAGUAACUUCAAUUAUCAAUCAAAGUCGCCAAAUCAAAAUCUCUGCAGCCUGCAGCUACAAGCAAACUUCUCAAAUUUCGAAAUUCCUUAUGACUACAUAAUAGCUAUAAAUAGAAAAAGCGUCUAAAAUAACUAUGUUUUUCUAAGUUUGAGCUUGAACCCCCUGAAGAUUUACUCCAUACGUAACAAAAUAUUAGUUUUGCUAGUAAAAUUGCUAACUAUGUUUUUCUUUGUAUUUCCGCUCAAGGAUAAAGAAAUUUCCCUAGACUUUUGUGGUGAAUAUCUUACGAACAUAUGACAAUUUAAUCUUUGGCUGAGACUUGUUUAACAUAAGAGAUGACACUUUAAAGCAAUAGGAGAGAGAGAUAAUAAGCUUUGUUCCCCAAAAAAAUCUAUCAGAUAUAUUAUGCCCCCGGUUGCUAUUUCUAAAAAUAGUCAUAAUUACUAAAAAAUAAGUAAUUCUUUUUUCAUAUAUUAAAAUGGUAAACUGGUGGAUAAAAUUUAAAAUAACUUUUUAUCUGUUUUGACAUUCGAAUUUUAAGCUCGAGAAGUCAAGCAAUAAAUAAACCUUUUUGAGAGGCUAACUAAAUUCUUAGUAAUUUCAUAUAAUUUCAUUUCAUCAGAACAGUUUUAUCAAAAGCAAUUUUCUAAAUCUUUGUGGAAAGCUUUAAUCCUUAAUUAUCUUUCACAUAUUUUCUUUGUAAUAUGAGGUAAGCCAUGGACCAUAGUAUGGUAUUUAUUGUAAAUAAAAUCACUAUGAAACUGAUUUUAUUAUUAUUUUUUUCACAAACAAAGUAUCUAGCUAACUGCAGAUGUAAUGAAUUACUAAUUACCAUUAUUUGAUUCGCUCUCUAAAAUAGUGUUGUGUGUUGAUUCUGUUAUGCAUCUAGGAAUUUCAAAUGUUAUGACAUAAGUUGCAUUGGAUAUAUGUAUAUCAUAGAUUACAUUAUGAAGAAGACAAGAAAUGGAUCCAUACGUUAAAGCAAAAUUGAAAAAAAAAAAUUGCUAGGAGAUGAUUUUAUCUGAAAUUUCACCUGCACGGUAUUGGCCACAUAUAAAUUUGUGAUGAAAUUCAUAACGGAUUAAUAUAAUUGAACGAAAUUACUCUAUACAAUUUCAUAAGUAUGUAUUAUACAAUUAAAAAUCUAUUGAUAUUUUCAAUAAAAUAAUAUCUCUACUAUAAGUGAUGGGAUAUAUAUUUGUGGGGAAUGACAAAUGUAGAAAAUUGCAGUAAUAAAGGUGGAAGUGGAACUUUGUAAUAAUUAAUUAAUGUGUUUACAAUUCUGUAAGUAUAAUAAAAUAAUAGUAAUAGGUAAAUUGUAGAAAAUUAAUGUGUACUUUAAGGCACAUUACAAAUGUCUCUUUCCUAAAGAUAUUAUUUUUCCCACCAAUUCAGUGAUGCAUAUAGGCUAAACAAAUAUACCUCCGGGAUACAACGAAUCACUUAUUUGUUUGCUUGUGUUUUUCAUCGAUGAAAGCAAACUUGAAUACUUUUGAAUGUUGCAAGCUUGCCGAGAAUCAAUAUAUUAUUCCCGUAGUAAACAAUAUAUUAGAUAUUUGAUGCAUAUAGUAUAGAUGUUAUACAAUAAAAUUUGUUUCAGCAAAGAGGGUUGAGAAGAGAGUGAUGUAGUAUCAUUAUUUCCAUGUUUAAAAAUUAAUUCUAAAUUAACUACAACAUGCAAUCUUUUAAUAUUCACAUGUCCUAAAUGAAUAUGCUACAAAAAUAAUGAGUCAAUCAUGUAAGCAGAAGAAACAUUAAUUUUAUUAAUAUUGGGCUUGAACAUUCCCAAAUACAUGUAUCCUUUCCCAAUAAAGGUACCACCCUUAGACAAUGCAAAUUUGCUUUGACUCAAAUAAGGUACCACCCUAAUAUAGAUACAAGAUUUUUCCUACCUUUAGAUACAUGAUAAACAUCAAUAUGAGUUAAAGUUUUUCCACAAGUGAACUCUAGUUGCACAUUCCCUCUAAUUGUUGCAAUGGAGGAAUUUCCCAUCUAAAGAACACUUCAAUCAUCCAUUGCUUUGUAAGAUGUGAAAAGGCUACGAUUCUUGUACACAUACUUGAUUGCACCGGAAUCUAUUCACCAUGCAUUAUCAUGUUCAAGAAUAUUAAUUUAAGAUAUUAUGGCCAUAAAUUUUGUCCACAAAAUUUGUGUUCGAACACUUCUUUUCUUUCUUAAGAAGUUGAUAGUCUUUUUUAAAGUGGCUAGGCUUUUCACAUUGGUCACAUGUACACUUUUUUUUUUUUUGUUGGUUUGAUUUUAUUUGGAAUCAAAGUUUUGCUUUGACAGUCUUUUUAAAGUGGCUAGGCUUUUCACAUUGGUCACAUGUACACUUCUUUUUUUUAUUUUGUUGGUUUGAUUUUAUUUGGAAUCAAACUUUGGCUUUUGGUUAUUAAUGUGGUCAUUAGACUGCUUAAGCUUCUUCUCCUCCUCCACAACAUUAAUUUCACAGGACAUAGCAGUCUGUUCCUCAAGACUAUUAAGUCUAAGUUUCUAUUCAAUAUGAAGACUUUGCCAAGCCUUCCAGGCUAAUUUCCUCUUUGUUAUAUUUAAGACUUUUUUCAUAGUCUUUUCAAGAGGGGGGAAGUUUAUCAAUAAUUGAAGAAAUAAUAGUAAACUUAUUACUUUUCAUGUUGUGUUGGUUGAAUUGAUCAAGAAUGCAAAAAUUCUCAUUAUAUUGUUCAAUCACAAGUCUAUUAUCAAUCUUUUUAUAACUAAAAAAAAUUAGAAGUCAAGAAUUUCUUACUUGUGGUGUCUUCCAUUAGGGGUGGGCAAAAUCGGGUUCGGGUCGGGUUCGGGUCAAUCCGAUCGGGUUUCGGGUUGUUCGGGUUAGACAAAAAUUAAUCCGAACGUAACCCGAAUUAUGAACCCGACCCGAACUGACCCGAACUAAGUUCGGGUCAGGUCAAUUGUUAAAUGGAAUUGGAAUUCGUAUAUUUAAUCAAAAACUCCAAAUUAGAACCGUUAGAGAACCGAACUGAAAAAACUUGAAAAGAAUGAAUCUGGCUAUAUUUGUGAACCAGAAACAAGCCAGCGUUAUGCUUACGCCAUUUCAUUCUAUCCUGUCACCCAUAGACAAAAUGAAUCUAGAUGCAUUAUGGCUUUUCUCCUUAAACCUCAAGAGCAUUUUCGUCCUCUCAGUCAAGCGUGAAACUGCAUGUACGAACUGCUUCGCUUUCACGCACCGGUAGCUACAGCGGCAAGAGCAUUUUCGUCCUCUCAGUCAAGGGUGAAACUGCAUGUACGAACUGCUUCGCUUUCACGCACCGGUAGCUACAGCGGAAGACCCAGGCCGAGAUAAUUUAUUUCUUCCAACCACAAACUAUGUUUUGUUCACGAAUUACAAACUGUGCAGCUUGUGAUUUCUGCCGUUCUGCGUAUGUGAGUGCAGCAGCGAUAUGUGUAGUGUUAGGCUGUUAGCUUAGGUUUUUUUUUUUUUGGGAACCCGAUCAGGUAUUCGGAUCGGGUCGGGUUUGAUCCGAACCGAUCACAACCCGAUCGGGUUUGUAAAUUUCAAUCCGAUCGGGUUUCAAUCCCAACCCGAUCCGACCCGAACCCGAAAUUUAUCGGGUCGGGUCGGGUCGGAUCGGGUAAAAUGCCCACCCCUAUCUUCCAUCAUGUACUUAGACUCCAAUAAGUCCUAUAUUUCUUUUGCUGUGGAUUUUGUUGUGGUACUUAUCAAAACAAAGUACUAGACAUGGCAUUGUAAAUGUGUCCUAUGCACACGUAGACAUCUUGCUUCCACUUUUGCCACACUCGAGUUUCUCAUCCUCACGUUCUUCAGGCUUUGAUAUUGUAAGAACAUAAACAACAUUGAGGCUUGUCAACAAGAAAUGUAAUAUUUUUUGCCAACGUAUAAAAGUUGUGACCAUCAACUGCUCUAAUUUGAUAAAAUCUACCAUUGAAUUGCGGAUGAGAUGAGCACAGUGUCAUUGUUACAGAAAGAAUGUCUUAAGAAUGUUGGGAAUAUAUAUUUUUAGGGAAUGACAAACGUAAUAAUGGCAAAUGUAGAGAGUUGCAGUAAUAAUGAUUAUGCCACAAAGAUAAUGAGUCAAUCAUGUAAUAAUGGCAAACAUAGAGGGUUGCAGUAAUAAUGGUGGAAUUUUAUUCUAAUAAAAUAAUGAGUUUACUACUCUAUAGGUACAACGAAAAAAAUAGUAAUAAGUAAAUUGUAGAAAUUAAUGUGUAUUUCAAGGCACUUUACAAAUAUUACUUUCCUUAGACGUUAUUCGCCCCCACUAAUUGAGUGAUGAAUAUGGGUUAAACAAAUACGCAUCGACGAUACAAUGAAGUACUUAUUUGUUUGUUUGCAUUGUGUAUCGACGAAAGCAAACCUAAACACUCUUAAAUGUUGCAAGCUUGUCAAGAAUCAAUAUAUUAUUUGCUGAUAUAUUGUUCCCGCAGUAAACAAUAUGUUGGAUAUUUAAUGCAUAAAAUAUAGAUGUUAUAUGAUAAAAUUCGUUUUAGAAAGGAGAGUUUAGAAACGAUUGUUAUAGGAAUGUUAUGUUCAUGUCUAAAUGGCCUAAACAUGGCCUCUAUUUAUAAAUAUACUUGUGCCCUCCAUUUGGAUUGUCAUUUUUCAUGAUACCCAUUCAUUUAUGGUCAUUGGAUCAAGAUAUGAUUUUAAUCAAUUGUCUAAAUUGGUCCAUCACCAUUUCAAGUGAAAUUACAAUAUGAAAUGAUACAUUCUUAAGUGGAAAGAUACCUUUUAUAUGGGACAAUUACUUGGACAUGUUUUUAUAAUAAAACAUCAUUUAUUUUGAAAUUGUUACAGCACUAAGAUUAUUCUAGGUUAAGUUAAUCUAUUAUAUAUAACUUCAGAAGGUUCAUCGGUAGAUUGUUUUAAGUUUUUGUCGUAGUUUACAAAGAUUUUGUUACUUGUAAUGUAAGAAAUUUUAGAAAUGUUGGUGCUGAGUAAUCUGCAAAAUUAUUAUGAAUCAGAGAAACAGGGCAGAUGUUGUACAAUUAUUGUUGUGGUGGAGCGGAAAGGUAGCCCGAGAUGGUGACUGCUAUUGGGAUUUCUUUAAUUUGCAGCAUAAAAGCAUUUACAUUGACAUCGACUCAAGGGUAAAAAUUAAAUAUCUCAUGUAGCAUAAGAAGAAUGCAAAAAUGCUUGAAUGAGCAUUCUGACUCAAUACACAAAAGCUACUUUCCCUUGAGCACUUUCGCAACAAAAGCAAAUGUAAAAUUUAGCAUUUAAAUCUAACAUCAAAUGGCUGAUGCCAUCGUUUCCAUCCCUUGGGGAAACUGAAUUCCUCUACAUGAUAUUACAGUCUGGAGCGGCUCUUACCUUAGGCAACUUAGGAUAAUUUAGGCGGUUGCUCAGGACCCCACAUUUAACCUAGGACCCCAUUAUAAAUGAAGGUUUCUAAUUUAAUUCCUAAAUUAUAGUUAUUAAUUAUUGAUUUAUAUUUAUUAUUUAUAACUAUAUUUUCCAUAAACAAACUACUAGAUUCUUACAAAAUCCCCUUUUAACAUUAUAAUUAACAAUUUUAAUCCACUUAUUUCCUCCAUAUAUUUCAUUUAAAACUCUAUAAAGGCCACACCUUUUUUAAAUUAUUAUCCAUUAAUAUCUUUUUCCAAUAAAAAAAAACACAAAACCUUCAUUACUUUGGUGAAAAAACUACUUUCUCUACCUUACUUUUUGCAUAAGGAAGAAAAGAAAAUCAAUUGUUUUACUUUCUUUUGAUCAUUGUUGCUCAAAGUCUCAAUCCAUCAAAGUUAAAUUUCUCAAAUUUUCAAGUUUUAUCUUCCGAUUCUCUUAUUAAUUAAUUGUGUUAUUUAGGUGUUUUUGUUUCUUUGUAAAAAUAUUAUUCUGCUCAUAGGUUGUUUUCUUUUAAUUAUCUAGCAUAAUUGUUUGCAUGAUUACUCUUGUUUCCUUAGAAAAAAAAUGUCUACUAAAAACUAUGCAUCAUGAUACAAAAAACUUCAUAAAAGGAGAAGAAUACAAAAGUUAGCUUAAUCUAAAAACGUGCUAUUGAUAAAAAAUUAUUUAAGAUCAACCAUGUCAUAGGAAAGAUUAAAUAGGUUAACUAUAUUAUCUAUUGAGAAAGAUAUAUUAGCAAAAUUAGAAUAUAAAAAGUUGAUUAAUAAUUUUGCAUCUCAGAAAGUUAGAGAAAUUUAUUUUAAAUAAAUAAAACUUUAAUAAAAUUAAUACACAUAUUUCACCUCAAAUUUUUUGAAAGGUCUAAUUAAAUCAAUUUAUUUAAGACCUAAAAUAUGAUUGAGCCGCCUUGAAAUUGCAGUAAGAUAGAAAUGUGAAAUAGACAGAACACUUGCUCAUACGUUAAAGAUGCGACGAAUUUGAGAAUAUUUAUGUUUAUGUGCCAAAUUCCUAAUGUAUGGGAAUUUAAAAAUGUUAGUGCAGAACAUGUGUUCAUCGGUGGAGUAGAAUCAGGGAAAUUAAAGAUAAGCAUAAUUUUUGCAUCCAAUGCCAAAUUCCCCCAGGUAGAAAGUGGGGACUCCUUUGCAUAAAAGUUGAUAAAAGUUUGACUAAGAUCUUAUUAGAAAUUAAUAUAUUCUCUCUCCACAUAUUUCUGCACGAAAUAACAUGCAGAUAUAGUAUUUUAGGUUAUUGUUAAUAGUUUUACAAUAAUAAAAAUCAUUUUGUUAGAUCUUAAAAUGUACUCACACUCUAUUUUGUGCAAAAGUCUGCGAGAAAGGAUUUCAGAUUUACCUAACGGUGAAGUUGGGAACUUGCUUUUUUACCUAGGCUAAAAAUAUUUCAAUAAAUUCUGAUCGUGGAGACUAACAAGAGUUUUUUUAGUCAUAUAUAUAUUUAUUUUUUAGGGACUAAUAUGAAUAUUACUAAUUUCAUCGAGAUUAUUAAAAAAACAAUGUGCUAAUUUGCCAAUAUGAUUUCUCCAAUCUUUUUUCUUUUCGUCAUUUAUUCCUUUGUGAAUUUGAGUUAAUGCUUGAUAUUAUUUUUCUGCUCAUUUUUUAAAGUAGAAGAUUAAGAAGUCUACUGCUGUUUAGCUUGGUAGGCUAUAAAUAAAGAGGCGCAUAUAUAGAAGGCUUAGAAAUAACUCUCAUUCUCAUCAUUGCAAAAUGGCUUCUCUUCGUUUUCUCCUUGCAGCUGCUCUUGUAGUUGCAUUUGUGCUUGAGGGAUCAUAACCAGAUCAAGCUCAACUUUCUCCCUCUUUUUAUUCUUCCACAUGCCCUAAUGUAACCAACAUAAUUCGGGAGGUGCUUCAGAAUGCUUUCUUGUCCGAUAUUCGCAUCGGUGCCAGCCUCGUCAGGCUUCAUUUCCAUGACUGUUUUGUUAAUGGCUGUGAUGCAUCGAUUUUUCUGGACAAUACUACUACCAUAGAAAGCGAGAAAUUUGCUGGGCCAAAUAAUAAUUCAGCGAGGGGUUUUGAAGUUGUUGAUGACAUGAAAGCUGCCGUUGAAAGGGCCUGUCCAGGCGUUGUUUCCUGUGCUGAUAUUCUUACUAUUGCAGCUGAACAAUCUGUUGCUCUGUCAGGGGGUCCUUCAUGGACAAAUCUAUUGGGAAGAAGAGACAGCAGAACAGCAAACAGGACUCUUGCAAAUGAAAAUCUUCCAGUACCGAACAAUAGUCUUGAGAGGCUCAAAGAUAGAUUCAGAAAUGUUGGCCUCAACGAUAAUUUUGAUCUUGUUGCACUCUCCGGAGCUCACACAUUUGGAAGGGCUCAGUGCCGAACUUUUAGCGAUAGAUUAUUCAAUUUCAACAACACUGGCAAUCCAGACCCAACACUUAACACAACCCUCUUACAGCAACUUAGGCAACUAUGCCCACAAGGUGGAAACGGCAGCGUUCUAACUAAUCUUGAUGUCACAACACCUGAUGUGUUUGACAACAAAUACUUCUUCAAUCUUCAAAUACACAAGGGCCUUCUGCAGAGUGAUCAAGAGUUGUUUUCGACUCCCGGUGCCGAUACCGCUGCCAUUGUCAAUAACUUUGGCAGGAACCAGACUGCUUUCUUUGUAAACUUUGUGACUUCAAUGAUUAGAAUGGGCAAUUUGAAACCACUGACGGGAAAUCAAGGGGAGAUUAGAUUGAACUGCAGGAGGGUCAACGGAAACAGCAAUAUCGCAACAAGAUCAUCAUCAUCGGAGGGUGAUUUGAUCAGCUCUUUCUGAAUAAGCUAGUUUGCAGCUAACGCGAGAGAAAGAGUUUGUGGGUAACAAACUCAUGAAUUUACUCCUAUGUUUUGCCUGAAACAUGCUUUGUAUUUUCAAUAAACUAAAGUUGUGGUUGUGUAUUCACGUCCUGCUUUCUAUGUAUCAGAAAUCCUUGUCAUAUUGUAUGUGUUUCUUUUUCUUUUCUUUUUUUUCUCCCAAAGUCAUCGAUAUGUAUUUUCAUUUGAGUCACAAGUUUUUAAUACCCCACUUUAUCCUCUAGCUUUUAAAAAAAAAAAAGUAGAAGAUUAUGAAAAAGUGAACACACAAAAAGCAUAAAAAUCAUUAUUAGAUCCAAAUUUGUGCUAUUUUCAUACAUAACUUGAGAAUAUUUAUAAUUACGCAUCAGAACUAGUGGAGUAGAAUCAGGGAAAUUAAACAUUCUACAAUCAUUGACGUGUGGGGUUGGGAUAAGCAUAAGCUUUUUCUAUGCAGUAUAAAAGAAUGCAAUAACUCCUUUUCUUUCAGUAUCAUCGCAACAAAAGCACAUCUAAUAACUCUUCAGAAUUCUCGUCUUCUUUGUCAGAAUGGUUGAUGCGAUCGUUUCCUCUCUCCUGGAGCAGCUGAUCUCUGUUGCGGCUGAUGAAGCGAAACAACAGGUGAGGCUUGUGACUAGUGUCCGAGAAGAAGUGAAAAAGCUUACCAGCAAUCUUCAAGCCAUUCGAGCUGUGCUGGAGGAUGCCGAGCAAAGGCAAAUGCAGCAAGACAAAGUUGUUACUUUUUGGCUGGAUCAGCUCAAAGACGCGUCCUACGACAUGGAAGAUGUGUUGGACGAGUGGGUCUUUACAAGGCUCAAAUUGCAAAUUGAGGGCGUUGAUGAUGACAAUGCUUUUUCCCUUGCUCCUCACAAGAAGAAGGUACGUUCCUUCUUUCGUGCUGUAUCAAACUGCUUUGGUAGUUUCAAACAACUCGGUCUUCGUCAGGACAUUGCUGUCAAGAUUAGGGAAAUCAAUGAAAAGCCAGAUGAUAUUGCCUCCCAAAAAGAUAGGUUUAAAUUUGUUGAGAAUGUGAGUAACCAUGUUAAAAAACCGAAACAAGCGCGAACCACCUCCUUGAUUGAUGAGGGAGAGGUCUGCGGUAGAGUUGACGAGAAAAACGAGCUCUUAAGCAAGUUGUUGUUUGAAAGUAGUGAACAACAAAAAGGCCUUCAUGUCAUCUCACUAGUUGGGUUAGGGGGCAUGGGUAAAACACUCUUGCACAACUGGCCUAUAAUAAUGAUGAGGUGAAAAGAAAUUUUGAAAAAGUUAUAUGGGUGUGUGUAUCAGACACUUUUGAGGAGAUUAGGGUUGCCAAUGCAAUUAUUGAAGGUCUAGGUGAGUCAGCUUCUAGUUUAAGCGAAUUCCAAUCUCUUCUAAGCCAUAUCCAUAGAUCAAUUGAAGGAAAAAAAAAAUUUCUUGUCUUAGAUGAUGUAUGGGAUGGGGAUUAUAAUAAAUGGGAACCAUUCUUCCAUUGUCUAAAGCAUGGUCUCCACGGAAGUAAAAUUUUGCUUACCACACGUAAUGAGUCAGUUGCAUGUAUGAUGGGAUCAACAAAUAUUAUCUUCAUUGAGCAAUUGACUGAAGAGGAAUGUUGGUUGUUGUUCUAGCAGUUAGCAUUUUCCGGUCGCUCUUUCGAGGAUUGUGAAAAAUUAGAACCAAUCGGGCGAAAAAUUGCACGCAAGUGCAAAGGCCUGCCUCUUGCUGCAAAGGCAACAUGGAAUCUCUUACGCUCUAAAAGUACAAUAAAAGAGUGGCAAAAAACUUUAGAUAGUGAAAUGUGGAAAGUAGAAGAGAUUGGGCAAGGCCUUUUUGCUCCAUUGUUGUUGAGUUAUAAUGAUUUGCCCUCCAAUUCUAUGGUAAAACGAUGUUUUUCAUAUUGUGCUGUCUUUCCGAAAGAGUACAAUAUAAAAAAAAAGGAACUAAUUUCACUAUGGAUGGUUCAAGGUUACCUUAAUGCAGAAGAAGAUGAAGAGAUAGAGAUGACUGGGGAAGAGUAUUUCAACAUUAGCAGCACGCUCUUUCUUUCAAGAGUUUAAAAAAGAUGAUGAUGAUGAUGAUAUUAUGAGCUGUAAGAUGCAUGACAUAGUACAUGAUUUUGCCCAAUUUGUAAGUAGAAAAGAAUGUUGGUGGGUAGAAAUUAAUGGUACCAAAGAAUCAGUCAUAAACUCUUUUGGUGAUAAAGUCCGUCACUUAGGGUUAAAUUUUGAAGGAGGAGCUUCAUUUCCUAUGUCCAUUCAUGGACUUAAUAGAUUGCGGACCCUCCUAAUUUAUUUCCAAAGUCCUUCCAAUCCGUCUCUUAAUAGUAGCAUCCUUUCGGAGUUAUUUAGUAAAUUGGCGUGUUUCAGGGCAUUAGUUAUAGGGCAACAGAACUUUAUAUUUGAUCCUUACCCAAAUUUGAUUAGAGAAAUUCCAGAAAAUGUCAGAAAAUUAAUACAUUUAAAAUAUCUUAAUUUGUCUGAAUUAUGUAUAGAGAGACUGCCUAAGACUUUGUGUGAAUUAUAUAAUUUACAAAAGCUAGAUAUUAGGUGGUGCGAAGAUCUUAGAGAAUUGCCGGCGGGGAUUGGGAAGUUAAAGAACAUGAGGAGUUUACUGAAUGGUGGCACUCCUUCGCUGAAGUACAUGCCAAUAGGGAUUUCCAAAUUAACCAGUCUUCGAACAUUAGAAAAGUUUGCUAUGGGCGGAGGUGUUAAUGAUAUCAGUACGUGUAGGCUUGAAUCUCUAAAAAAUCUUCAGCUCCUUCGAGAAUGUGGAAUAGAAGGGCUGAGUAAUGUGUCACAUUUAGAUGAGGAUGAGAGAUUAGGACUUCACAAUAUGAAAAACCUCCUUCGUUUAUCUCUUGAGUUUGAUGAGGAAGGUGAAGAAGGGAGGAGGAAGAAUCAACAACUUCUGGAAGCCUUACAACCGCCUUUGAAUGUAAAAGAAUUAGGGAUUGUAUCCCACGGAGGCAACAUAUUUCCCAAAUGGUUGACUUCACUAACCAAUCUAAGGGAUUUAAGACUUAAAUCGUGCGUUAUCUGUGAGCAUUUUCCUCCCUUGGGAAAAUUACCGUUGGAAAAACUCACCCUUUAUGGCCUGUACGGUGUGAAAAGAGUGGGUAAUGAGUUUUUGGGAAUCGAAGGAAGCAGUGAGGAUGACCCAUCUUCAUCUUCAUCAUCAUCAUCAGUCAUUGCCUUCCCCAAAUUGAAAUCACUCCACAUUGGGGCAAUGGAAGAAUUGGAAGAGUGGAAUUAUAGGAUUACAAGAAAGGAAAACAUCUCCAUCAUGCCGCGUCUUUCUUCCUUGACGAUUUGGUAUUGCCCCAGAUUAAGGGUGUUGCUGGAUUACCUUUUUCAAUCGACGACAUUGCAGAAAUUGAGUAUUUCUUAUUGUCCAAUUAUGGAAGAACUGCGCAUUCUAGAAGAUCACAGGACAACAGACAUACCACGUCUUUCUUCCUUGGAAAUUGAGUAUUGCCCCAAAUUAAAGGUGCUGCCGGAUUACCUUCUUCGGCGACGACGCUGCAGCAAUUGAGUAUUCAGGGAUGUCCUCUUCUGGAAAACCGUUAUAGAGUGGAGAAAGGAGAAGACUAGCAUAAGAUAUCUCACAUUCCCUACAUCGAGUCCGAGUGGUAAAUUCUCGAAUGGUUGCAAUUACUAUCACCCACCGGUAAUUUCUCUCCCCUAUUUUACUUUGUUGUUACUUCAAACAACGACACUGCAAACAUUGACAAUUUGGGGUUACAGAGAAGGGGAAGGAGAAGACUGGCAUAAGAUAUCUCACCCUCCCCACAUCAUGCGGUCGGCGUAAGAUAUCACUCGCCGGUAAUUUCUCCUCCUCCUCUGAUUUACUCUGUUGUUGCUUGCAAUAAAAUUAAUAAAAAUAAUUAUAUUUUGAAUUAAAAUUCUAUAUAUUGCCCAAUGUCUGACAGGAAUAUACAAUAUUUUCUAAUAUUUUGAUUUGCAUAUCGAAUUUAACUAUUUACUUCAACCAUUAAUUUAUUGGGUCACUUUAUGAUGCUAUUAUAAAAAUUACAGAAUCAAUCAUAGUAUAAAUAUGUAGUGUUAAAUUUAAUCAAUAGUUCAUAAAGGUUAGUAAGAAUAAUACUUUAAUUUUAAUUAUUUAAAAUUUAAACUUCCUAGUCAUCAAAUUUGUUAAACUUGUUUUCUAAAGCUAAAAUAAUAAUAAAAUAAAGUAAAAAAAACAAGUGCAGUCUGUUGAAAUUUCUAUAAUUUCUUUUAAAAAAUAUGUAGUCUUUUGUAAAAUUUCAUACAACAUCAUAGAAAUAAUUUAUGUGUAAGUUCCUGAGAGACAAAAUCUCUGUGAUACAUUUGCAGUAAUGUUGAAAACUAACUUAUCAAUGUUAUCUUGUAUAAUGAUAAUCGUAUUUUUUUAUAUAUAAUUUAUGUGACAUUAAUUCUUUAAAGUAAUUGUGUGAUUGUUUUUAGUAGUACAUGAGCCCACUUUGUUUUAUUUCAUACGAGUUUAAUUAUGUUCACCAGGGAUUCGAGGAAAUGUCAGAACUACACUAGCAAUUCGCAGGUCCACGCUAAUUUGGUUCUAAUGAUGCACGCAGGAGAGCAAGAUUAUGAAAAUGAAUAGUUUAGCCAAAGGAUUGCUAAAAUGUUUUGCUGGUAAUUCACUUGCUUUUUUUUAUAGAAUUUCAUUUCCAUCUUCUUCUAUUGAUAUCUUGUUGUGAAUAAACAAGAACAGAGAAGUAACUAUAUAUAUAAAAAGUCCCUAUUAUGAUGAUGUUAAAGCAAGCUCAAGCUCAAACAUUGCAUUUUUAUUUUAUUUUAUUUAUAGAAUUUUCAUUUCUACCUGGAUUGCAUUUCUAUUUCAUUUUCAGGUUGACUUUGAAAACUCUAUGGAGCACAUUGGGGGGGUAACCAAGGAUUAUCAUUGUGGUUAUUGUGCAACGUUUGGUUGCUGGACUUUGAAGAAGGAAGUGAUGGCCGGGUCUGCUCUGUUUCAAUUGAGGAUGGAUAGCUGCCUGAAAGACAUGAUGAUUAUUAUUGCAUGAUGUUUAGGUGCUAAGAUCAUCAUUUCUGUCUUGUUUCAUUCUUUGAUCGGUUUAUCCUAUAUAAACAUAUGGAAUUAUGCUAAUAUUAUCAAUUUUUUCACCUAAUUUUCACUGUUGUUGUGAAAACAAUUUCAGGCUCUCAAAAGCUACAAAGCAAAGCAUUUGUAGGCUGAUCAUAUGUUUCAAUUGAGGAAGGAGCUUGGUGUUGGCAAUAUUGUCCAGGUAACCACAGCUGAUAAUUUCCACAAAUUUGCAUUAAACUUAGUUGUCACCAUCUCCUGCAAUUUCUCAUUCAUUCAAGAGUACUUCAAAAUUAGAUUUUCAGGGUUUGAAUGUUUAGUUGCGAUCAAAAUAUUUAGUCACUCAUUCGUAAUCUUUUCCGAUUUUCAAGUUCUUUAGGGCCAUAAACAGUUUUCCAACUCAUUCUUAAUUUUUAGGUUGAUUUCGAGUACCCUGUUGAGGACAUUCCUGAGACUAAGGAUUAGGCUGGCGAAGGAACUACUACCUCUGUUGUUAUUGUGCAAGGUUUGAUCAUUGGACCUUGAAUAAGAAUCCCUUACACGCAUUCUGUACUUCAAGCAUUCUCUAAAGGAAAAGAGCAGUAGAAGGGAUAGUGAUGGCCGGAUCCGCUCUAUUUUAGUUGAAGAUCUCUGUGAUGUCGAUGAACUUAAAGCAGUUGAUACUUCUUGAAAAUUGUUGUUACGGAUGAAUUGAUUCCUGAAGAUGGGUAUCCAAAGGCAUAUUUUCAUAAACUUCCUUUUUUUAACAAAUGCUCCAAUGCUUGCUGUAGUAACAAUUUCAUAGCUUGCAUCUCUCGGGUGCAUCAUGUUCACGGGUUGGAAAAAGCAUUUGUGGUAAACCUUCAAAGCUUGUAAAAUGGCUGUGAAAAGGCACAUUCAAUUCGGUAUGCUUUGGUGCGGUCUCCUAAUGCUAAUAUUAUGUUUCAAUGCUGGCUGUAGUAACAAUUUCAUAUCUUGCAUCUCUUGGGUGCAUCAUGUUCAAGGGUUUGAAAAAGCAUUUGUGGUAAUGCUUCAAAGCUUGUACAACGGCUGUGAAAAGGCACAUUCAAUUAGGUACGUUUUGGUGCGGUCUCCCAAUGCUAAUAUCAUAUUUUGUAUAGCAAUUAAAAUUUAGCUAUACAAUCUUAAUAUGCAAUAAAUCAUUGUAUACAAAGUUUUCUAUUGAUUAUAUGGUGACUGAAAUUUUAAUUAUCAUAUCAAUUUAAAGUUUUGGCUGAUAUGUCUAAUUCGUAGAAAUUCACUUCCAUCGGUUUCCAUUGGCUUUAGCACAAACAGAAACAGAGCUCUGGGGAAAAGUUUUACUUCUUGUGGUAUUAUGCCUUUGUUUCUUCAUUCAUCAUAUUUUUCGAAUUCAUGCUCUCAUUCAGAGGGUAAAGCCUUUUCCAGGCUGCUUUGUAGCCAAACUUUGACGCCUUUGAUGCAUGACUGUCAUUUAGAUUUCCCAAAUAACUGUUAGAUUGGAGAAGAAUAAAAAGAUACUGUUAAAAGGGUAUUUAAUUAGCGCCCUCUGAAUUUCUUGGAGUUAAUGUAGUCAAUUGCCCAAUUUUGCUGCCUGUCGAAGAUACACAGCAUGGAAGUCCUCAUCAAACUCUGAGACACCUAAUAAAUAGUAGGAUAGUAGGAGGGGGUGGUAUUCGCCUGGUGUUAAUUUCCUGGCAAGUAUAGUUCACAGAUAGAGGGGUUCUUUUCUUGAUGUCUAAAUACCGUAUGAGAUACAACAUCGUGUAUUCCAAUUUUUCUCUAGUUAAAUUUUAAUAAGUUAGAAAAGUUAAUUUUGUUUUAGCAAUGAAUUGUUUUCUUAAUAAUAAUAAUUGCCAUGUUCCUCUGAAGUCUUAUUAAUGCCAGACCAACAACUACUAGGUUCAUCUCUCGUUCACUUCCUCAGGGAAUCUCGAGGGCAUUCAUUGGCAGGUAGCCUUUCUUGUUGAGCUCCUGGAAUUACUUUUAAUUUAUCAUUUGUUGGGUUUUGCUUUUUGAUUGCUUUGGGAUUUGUGUUAUUAUCGCUUUGUCACUCAUUAAUCUUGGCUGUUUUGAAUCUGUGUUGGAUUUAGAAGUUUGGAGUUGAAAACAGUUAAAGCUUAGACUAGUAGAAGAGAUUUAUACAUUCAUUUAUCUUGGACAAAGUUUUUGGGGGAAAAAAAAAUUAUAAGUAUACACUUUCCAAUGGUUCGGUGAUGUUUGAUUGGUUUAAAGAUGUUGGAUCUCUCAUCAGAUUUCUUAUGUAUCGACUGUUGUUGCCACAGGAUGCUCGCAGAUCCUGCUUUUUUGUAUAAACUUCUACUAGAGCAGGCUGCAACAAUUGGUUGCACUGUUUUGUGGGAGUUGGAGAAUCAUAAGGAGAGGUGUGUUUUUUCUCUCAUAACAAAGGAACUCUCCCCUUCCUUUUUAUUUUCAUCUUAUAUAUUAAGCUAAUAAAUGUUUGUUUCUGUCGUGAUGGGAUAAAGCAAGAAUGGGAUCAGCUUGGUUUUGGUGCUUUCCUCGGACUAUAUGCAAACAUGAGAUAUCAACUAUUGUGUGGAUUUGAUAGAGCGGUCAUCAACCAUUUUGAUGUUACCAGGUUAUCUCUCCCUCUCCCUCUUCUACGUAUUUGUUUAUUGAUCUACAUCUCUAUAUAUAUUGAUAGACUAUUCUGGACGUACCAAAUUACCCUUGUUUUAAUGUUUUGUUUGUUAAACUUUGACUGGGGAAUCUGUUUAUUUGGCUGAUAAGAGGUUAGUGUGGUUUCUAUUGAAGUGUGUAGAUCUAUCACCAAGUAUUAUUUCAAUUUUUCUUUACUGAAUCAACUUGCAUCCUUUCCAAGUCCAGAUCCUUAACAAUAGUGCGACAUUGCUACCGAAGUACAAUUUCUCUAGUUUGACAGUUAAAUACGUAAGAAUGGUUUUAAAUUAACUGAACUCUGAGAUAGUUCUCUAAGGAAGUACAAGUGGUGAAUACGGUUCCAACUUUUAAGUGCCUUAAUAUAUCCAUUUGUUCAGCCCUGUGCAUAAAAAAUCAGUAAUUGCCGUCCAAAUUCUUCUUUACUGCCUAUAUGUGUUGGACUUUGUCUAUUCUUCAACUUCUCAAAUGGAUUUUUUGAAUGUCCAAUUAGGAGAAAGAUCAAGGCUUGCUUGGCUAGGAGUGGAAGCGGAUCCGCUACUUCAAUCAUAUGACCUUUUGAAGAAGGCUUACAACGGGGCGGCUCAGGAUGUCAAUGGCUCAACUCAAAAGUCCCCAAAGUGGUUGAUAUCAAAGAAUGCCAUUGUCUCUGGGCUUGGGCUCCUUGGGAUCAAACAAGGGAAUGCGACUCUGUUGAAGGGGAAGCACGGGCCCCUAAAGUGCGAAGAAAGAGGAUAGUCCGGAAGAAGGUGACCGCAUAAAUUUCUUGGGAGUUAAUCCUAGUCAAUAGCCCAAUUUUGCUGCCUGUCGAAGAGAUACAACACGGAAGUCCUCAUCAAACUCUUUGGGACAUCUAAGAACUAGUAGGGAGGUGGUGGUAUUCACUGUGUUUCCUGGCAAGUAUAGUUCACUGAUGGAUGGAUUCUUUUCUUGAUGUCUAAAUAUCAUAUGUGAUACAACGUCGUAUAUUCCAAUUUUUCUCCAGUAAAAUUCUAGUAAGUUAGAAAAGUUAAUUUUGUUCUAGCGAUGAAUUGUUUUCUUAGUAAUAAUAAUGGCCUGUUGCUUUGGAAUCUUAUUCACUCUCUGUAACCCAAUUAAAUUGUGCAAAUUCUACUGCGGAUUUGUCAAACAGAGCGUCUUUGUGAUUUCUUUGAUAGACUUUUGAUCGCUAGUUUAAGUUUGAAUCAUCUUGUAAUGCCAAAACAGAGCGCUUUUAAUUACUAGAUCGUACUCGAGUUUUUAUUCAGCUUUUAAUUACGAGAUCAGCUUUUAGUAUUAGCGAUAAUUAUAAUAUAAACGUUAAUUAUGAAACUCUUACCAAACAAGAUGUUACUCAAUUUUACUUAAUCUCACUCGUCUUUGAUUUGUAAAUUUUAUGCCUAAAUUUUUGUCAACAAAUUGGUCCCAGUUCCACGUUGAGUGCACGAGAUCCACAAGUUUGAUUGGGCAGAACGCAGAAGCAGCUAAAAAAAACUGAUGAAACCCACGUCCAAAGAUGCUGUUGUCGCGGAGGCCUAGACACGACUCCCCAUCCCCUUUUACCAUAUUUUAUAAUUGAAGAGGCCAUUAUUGAAUUGAAAAAUUAUGAUUCAACCGUUGGAAACCAACUCGGAAUUUUAAGUUGAUAUGAGAAAAGAUUUUUUCAUCAUCAUCAUCAUCAUUAUUAUUUCUUUUUAACAAAAAUUUAAGCUAAGACAACAAUAUAUGCCCAAAAUACCCCUCACAUUAUCCCAAACUUUCUAAACUCCCCCAUUCCUCUCAACAUCAUCUCUUCCAAAUCUUUCUUCCUCCAAAAAGCAGCCAUGGCUUCAAAUUCAAUCACCUCAACACUCCAAUAUUGGCUUGUAAACCACCCCCAAAUCCUCAACUUCACAUGGACUCAAAACCAAACCCCAGCUUCCUCCCCACACUUCCUCAUUCUCUCCAUCCUCACUUACCUCUCCCUCACAUUCAUCCUCUACCACAAAUUAACGCCAACGUCACCAUCAUCAUCACCUCUCAUUGGACCCCACAUCCUCAAGCCCAUCACAACCGUCCAUAACCUCACCCUCCUCCUCCUCUCCCUCGUCAUGGCCUUUGGUUGCACUCUCUCCAUCGUCCUCCAUUCACCCGACCUCCGUCACACCCUCUGUUUCCCCCCCACCAUUUCUGCCUCCGGUCCCCUCUUCUUCUACGCUUACAUCUUCUACCUCUCCAAAAUACUCGAAUUCCUAGACACCCUUUCGAUCAUUUUGUCAAACUCCAUCCAACGGCUUACAUUCCUCCACGUCUACCACCAUGCAACCGUCGUCGUAAUGUGCUACCUUUGGUUACAGACGAAGCAGUCUUUGUUUCCUAUCGCACUUGUCACCAAUGCAAGUGUGCACGUGAUCAUGUACGGGUACUAUCUAUUGUGUGUGAUGGGGUUGCGGCCAAAGUGGAAGAGAUUGGUCACUGACUGUCAGAUUGUUCAGUUCGUGUUUAGUUUUGUUGUUUCAGUUUUGAUGCUGUAUUAUCAUUUUGCGGGAUUUGGAUGCUCUGGGAUCUUGGGUUGGUGCUUCAAUGCUGUGUUUAAUGCUUCCCUCUUGACACUUUUUAUUAAUUUUCAUUCCAAGAGCUAUGCUAAGAAAAAGCAGGGAUGAUCAAAACAAAUCGUCGUUGUGAUUGUUCUCUGUGUGUGUGUGUUUUUUUUUUUUUGGUUAAUUAUGAAGGGUUGUGAUCGGUUCAUUGCAUUUGACAGAGAUGUUGAAGGGUUAUGUACUGGAAAAUAGAAAUUAAACCAACAUUAUCACUAUAACUGGUACAUUAUUACCAUCACAGAUCAAGAUCUGAAUGGACGCAUAGCAGCCAUCCUCAAAACCAAAGGAGGAGAAAAUUGAAAUAGAACAACCACCUUAAGGUGAAUAAGGCCAGAACAAGACACACAUCCUCAAAUCAUAAGGAAGAGGUGGGUGCAACCGAAAAAAAAAAGAAAAAAAGAAAUCAAGAAUCCACUGGAGAAGGCAAGAAAGAUAUUUGCCUCCGAAGAUUUGGUGAGGAAGAGAUGAGGAGUUAGAAAAGUUUUCGGAGAGAUCUACAGAUUAGCUUUAAAAGUGUGUUUUAAAGAAAAAGUUGUUGAGAACUUGAGAGGAUACAUGCGCAAUCAAUCCUUUACUCUUCAUGUUUGUGGAAUGUUUAUCCACUGAGUGUAAUCGUAAUCACACGGUUGAUAUUAGUUGGUUCUAUGUUGGAGUUGAUCCAUCAUAGCCGGAGCCUUUAAAUAAAAAACAUUACAACUAGAGAUGGCAAUGGGGCGGGGUGGGAGUGGGGAUGCCUACCUCAUUCCCCACCCCAUUAAAAAUUUUUGUCUCCAUUCCCCACCCUAUUCCCCAAUAAAUUUAGUGGGUUGAGGAUGAGGAAUCCCUACGUGGGGAAUGAUUCUCCCAUUCCCACCUCAUUCCCCAUUUACUUAUUUUAUAGUAGAUAUAAAAAUAUAAUUUUAGUAAAUUUAAAAUUAAAGACUUAAAAUAAAAACAUCAACAUAUUAUAAAGUAUUUAAAUUUUUUUGAAAAUCUCUAAAAGUUUGAAAUAAUAUCUUAAACUGAUAUUAAAAGUGAAAAAUAUUUAAAGAUAUUUAAAGAGAGCAGCACCUUAAAAGAGAAAAGAAAAUAUAAUAAUAUUUUUAAGUUAAAAAAUAUUGUAGGGUUUUCUUUUACUUAUAUCAUAUUUAUAUUACAUAAAAAUUAAAAAAUUAUUAAUUGACAUUAUAGUCGAUAAAAUAAAAAUUAAAAACAUAUUUAUAUAUAAUGGGGAUUGGGGUGGGGAUGGGGCGGGGAGUGCAAUACCAAACCCAACCCCAUUAACAAUUUGGGGAUUACUUUUCCCCCAAAAUUAUUAAAAAUUUUUUUCAUUUAGGGUGGGGCUCCAUGGGGCCCCAAACCCGUGGAGAAUUUUGUCAUCCCUAAUUACUUUGUCAUCCCUAAUUACAACUCAUGCAUCUAAGUACUUAAAGUUGGCUUGAGUGCAUGGGUUAUUGUCAGUUUUCUUCCUAAUUAAAUUAGGUUGGGAUAAAAUUAUCUCUUUAUUAAUAAGAAUAAAGUAGAUAUCUCUCUCGAUUUUCCUCUUAAUUAAACUGGAUAGGAGUAAAAUUAUCUUUUGAUUAAUAAGGAUGUAAUAUAUAUCUCUCUAAUAUUAUGUGAUGGUAGAAAUUUGGGUUGUACCGUAAUAGAAUUAUCAAGGAUAGUCUUGAUAGAAUUAAUGUAAAGAAUUAAGAUAAAGCCUCAAAGAUGGAACAGAGGUUAAAAAAAAAAAAGAGUACAAGACAAAGAAAUAAGGAAACAAAAGAAGACCAAGAAUAAAAGAAAAAAUAAUUUGGAAAACAAAAAAAUGGAUUGCAAUUUUAAAUUUUGAUUAAGGAUAAAUUGUAGUGGAUGCCAUUGUUGGUAAUUUAUUAUAUUUCAAAGCUCAAAUAAGGAAUAAAAUUAUUAUUAUUAUUAUUAUUAUUUUGCAAUAACUCGUUUCAAAUUUUAAAAGAUUAUAACUUUUUGUUUUUUAACAUUUUAAUCAUAAAUUAAAAAGGAGUUACUAUUCAAGAUUCCUAAGAAUACUGAAAAAAAUGAUAAAUAUUAUUCUAAGAAAAUGAUAUAUAUUGGAUAUACUAAAUAUUAUAAAUUAUUAAAUAUUUUACUAUUUUACCCCUUAGUUUGAUGUUUGGGGAAAAAAAAUACUAAAAUGGCUUUCAAUAAAAAGAAUUAUUAUUAAAAAAAUAAGAUUAAAAUUAUAACAAAUGAUAUUAAUAAGAAAGAAACUGAUAAAAAUUUGGGAUUAGAAAUAGGGGUUAAGGCUUCAGUCCUUGAAUUUCUCUAAAUUUUAUAUAUUUUUAAUUUUUAACCCGUCAAAUUACAUUAUUAAUGGAAUGUCAAUAAAUUUUGUGCGUUAAUUUUUGUUUUAGAUACUUUGAAAGGUAAAAUGGUAUUUUGGAUGGUAAAAGUCAACUAAUUAAUUAAAUAUUUAUAUUCUUCGCUCACCGGAUUUCUUAAAAAGUUUUCUGAACCUCCUAGCCAGCAUAUCCAUCUCUUCCUCAUCCAGCUCGCUUUCCUCAUCACUUUCAUGUUUCGAGGCUUUGAGAGCAAUGUUUUUCUUCUUCUCCUCAUUGCCUCUUUCGGCUUCUAAGUCUUCCUCAUAAGAAAUAAGAGAGCCAAUUAAAUCAUCAAUAGGUAAGAUAUUUAAAUCCUUGGCUUCUUCAAUGACAGUCCUUUUUGGUCUCCAUUCCUUAGGUAGCGACCUAAUAGUUUUCUUAACUUUCUCGCUAUUUGAAAAAGUAUUUCCUAGGGCUCCUAGAGUGUUCACUAUGUCCGUAAAUCUAGUAUACAUAGCAUACACACUCUCAUUUUGUUCCAUUUGGAACAAUUCAUAUUGCCGAGUGUACCUACUAAUUUUAGACUCUUUCACUUGAUUUGUGGCUUCAUAAACAACUUCAAGUUUGUGCCAAAUUUCAUUAGCACUCUCACAACUAGAUACUCUAUGGAAUUCUUUCUUAUCUAGUGCACAAAAUAAGGCAUUCAUAGCUUUGGAAUUUAGAGUAGCUUUUCUCUUUUCCAAUUCAUUCCAUUCCCGUGAAGGUUUUGGAAUAUCUUCCCCGACUUCGUUUCUAGUCAAAGGCAUAAAUGGACCAUCACAAACAAUUUCCCAAAUUUCAUAAUCUAAAGCUUGUAAAUAAAUUCUCAUCCUAGUUUUCCAAUAUGGGUAGUCAUUACCGUCAAAGAACGGUGGUCUAAUUGUGGAUUGUCCUUCCCUAAAGGUUGAAUCACUAUAGGUUGCCAUGGAUCUUUAACUCUACACGGUUAAGUCUACACAAGAGCACCUCGCUCUGAUACCAAAUGAAAUACUAACUAGGCAACCUAAGAGGGGGAGUGAAUUGGGUUUUUAAAAUUUAAGCUAAACAAACCACACAACAAUUUAAUCUAUUACCUUGAUCAAAUUGAAAACAAUAAAUUCAAUCAUGCACAAUAUUAAAAGAGUAAGGGAAGAGAAAACAAACACAAUGAUUUUUAUGUGGUUCGGCAAUCCCCGCUUACGUCCACGCUUCCAAGCUCACCGGGCUUGAGGAUUUCACUAAGCUAGCCUCCCAAGGCUUCAAAAGCUUACAAUUGACUUCCAAGGUGUCAAUGGACCUUUACAACAAGAGAUUAUCCCCAAUCUCUUAACCCAAGUGUAUCCCAACACUUACAAUCUUUUAACUUGAUUUUACAAAAAAAAGAUUACAAAUGAAUCUCUCUCACACAAUAUGUUUGAUCACAAGUGAAAGCUCAAUGUGUGAAUGAAUGAGAUGAAUACAAGAAUUUAAAGCUCAAUGAAAGUUGUAUUCUCAAUAUUUUGCUCAAUGAUGAUUGUUGGAAUCCUUCUUGUUUGAAUUGGAUUGAGCUUAUUUAUAGUUGGAGCUGAAAAACUAGCCGUUACAAACUGUCUGCCCGAAAACGGCUCGCCGUUAACCAUUAACGGUUAACCGUUUACGCUGGUCAAAAGUUACCGUUGGGCCAAAUUUCAAACAAACGGUUAACCGUUUAGGCUUACCCUUUUGCCGUUAAAUUCCAGAGACCAGCAAAACAAAUUUGAUUUAACCGUUCUUACUAAACGGUUCAAGGUUAGCAAUCUAGAAAUAAUCAGUUAACCGUUUUCAGUAAACGGUUCACCGUUAUUUUCCAGAAUCAUCAUUUUAACAAUACUUUGCAGAACAUGCUUUCUGGAAAUUAUCGGUUAGCCGUUUGCUACAGUGUAAUUACUACAGUGAAAUUAUUUUCCAAAAUUACAAUUUGACCCCAAAACUUUAUAAACUAUAGUAUGGCCCAACACGUUAUGAAACAUUGCACAUAGGUCCAAUUUCAUAAUUUCUAAGUAAUGCUUUGUUAAUCCCAAAACUUUUUGAAAUUAUGGUAUAGCCCAAAAUGCUAUGACACUUUUCAAAUAAGUCAUUCUCCAAAAUUUCAAGCAAUAUUUGUUUAUUUCAAAGUUUUCAAAAUUCUUUCAAUUAAACCAUAAACUUUGAAAAACAACCAAUUUCAUAAAAUCAUUUUUCCAUUAAAUAUGAAACAUUUAUAAUGUGAAAAUAAUGAUUUAUUUAAAAAGAAUAAAAACAAUCAAUUUCUUGAAAUCAUUUUUCCAUUAAAUAUAAAACCUUUAUAAUGUAAAAGUAAUGAUUUAUUUUAAAAUGUAUAAAAAAUAAUUUGAUCUUAAAAGAUUAAUCAUUCUUAAUCUUGUUUGUUAUCAUCAAAAUCAAUAUUAUGGAAACAUAUAUGUUAACAACAUAUACAUCCUUUACUUUAUAAUCUUUUACUUUUGCUCUUAAGCUAAAGCAUUAAAAGGCCCCAUAUCCACUCUUUAUAUAUAUAUAUAGGGAGAAUGACAAUUUUCUCCCAUACUGUAAUCAAUAUAUAUCAUUUACGUCCUACUUUUUUAUAAUAACCAAUAAUCCUUGGAUAGCAUAAUUUAACAAUAUUAUUUUUGGUUUAUUUUAAUUUUUGUUCAUUUGAUUUCAUAGUAGUAGUUUUCAUUUUUUUAGUUUAAAAUUUGUAAAAAUGAACUAAAAUGAGAUAAUUUUGAAUAAGAAUCAAAACAAAAAAAGGCCCAAAAUUACCCCUAUUCCGAACAUUAUCUGAAUCCAUCAUAAUUGACCCAAAUUCAAAUUUAACUCAAACCCAACCUCGGCCUCAUAUAAUUAUAACCUGAUCCGAUCUAGACUCAACCCCAAAGUUUUGAUUUGAUCUAAUCAAAUUCGAAUAUUCCAAGCCAAUCAACCUAAAACCCAAUCAAGUUCAUCCAAACCCAAAUUUGCGUACUCCUAGAGGGGACCAUCACCCUAUAAGCUUUGAAUUUUUUUUUGAGGUUUUUAAAUGAAAUAUUCAAAAUUAGGUAUAAAAUGACUGAUUUGCCCUUGAAUACUUGAUACAUAAACUUGAUACAUAUAAUGAAACUUUAAUUGUAUAUUUUGUGAAAUAAAAUCAAUUAAACCUGAUUUUUUUUAUUUGUUAAUUAUUUUUCAUAGCCUUUUUUAAAAGUUUGUAAGUUUGGGCCUACCUCUUUGAUUGUAUGUUGUUCAUUUUGCUUUCUCUUGCAACAAUAGUUUCAAAUAUCAGUCACAAAAUUCUCAAAUUUUGGAAUACCCUACAUACUAGCUAUAAAUAGAAAAAACUGAAUAAAAUUAAUCCCCAACUAACACUUGAAAUUUGAACUUGGGCCUCAUGAAGAUUUACUCUGAGCUCCGCCCCUGAUAUGCAAUAAAAUAUUAGUUUUGCUAGUGAAAUUUUCAAUUAUGUUUUUUUUUUUGUAUUUUCCGCUUAGGGAAGAAGAAAUUUCCUACAACUAUUGUGGUGAAUAUCUUGUGAAUUUAUGACAGUUUAAUCUUUAGUUUGCCACUUGCUUAAAAUGAAAAAGGGAAAAGGGUAUUUAUAUCUCUAAGGUUUGGAGAAAUAGUCACCAACACUACAAGUUUUCUAAAAAGGACAUCAAGACUCCUUUUUUACCAUAAUACCCUUUACUUUUAGUACCUCGAAAAAUUUAACUUGCAAAUGAAUAAAUACAAAUAUUAUAUAAAUAAUGUAAUCUACUUUGUAGAUUAAUAAUAUAAUCUACUUUGUAGAUUAAUAAUAUUUAAAUAUUUAAAUAAAUUUAAAUAUGUAAAUUAAUAAAUUUAUUUAAUAAUAUAUUUGUAUUUAUUGCAUUUUACAAUUAAAAAAGUCUCACAUACUAAUAAUGUUAAAAUUAUUAUUUUACAUAAUAAUUUAAAUUUUAAUACAUUUAUUUUAAUAUUAUGUUUACAUUUAUCAUAAAAUUUACUUUAACAUAAUAAAAUAUAUUAAUAGAUUGUAAAAUAUUAAAAUAUUUUUAAAUAUUGAAAUUAUUUUAAAAUGUAUAAAUUAUUACAUUUAUUUUAAUAUUAUAUUUCUCUUUACUAUAAAAAAUUAAAGUUAAUUUUUGGGAUAAUAAAGGUAAAGGGUAUUGCAGUAAGAAAGAAGUUUUAGUAUCUUUUAUUGAAAACUUAGGAGCAUUGGUAACCAUUUCUCCAAACUUUGGGGAUAUAAGUGUCUUUUUCCUAACAAAAAAUGACAUUUUUAAUAGGAGAUAUAAUAAGCUUUGUUCUAUAGAAAAAUCCAUCAGAUAUAUUAUGCCCCCGGUUGCUAUGUUAAAAAUAAGUAAUUCUUCUUUUUGUAUAUUAAAAUAGUAAAAGGGUGGAUAAUAUUUAAAUUUUCUUUUAACCUUUUAUCUUUUUUGACAUUCGAAUUUUAAACUCGAGAAAUAGACUUCCUGAGAGGUUAACUAAAUUCUUAGUAAUUUGAUAUAAUUUCAUAACCGUUCUCCAAAAGCAUUACGAUAUUUAUUAAAAUCAUUAUGGGACUGAUUUUAUUCUCUUUUUUUUUCUCAACAAAAUAUCCGACUGCAGAUGUAAUAAAUUACUCAUUACAAUUAUUUGAGUCCCCACUCUAAAUUAGAUUUUGAAGUUUGUCCUGACAUAAUAAAGUUACAUUUUCAAAUGACCAAAUCAAUUAAUGAGUCUGACAAAAAGAUGUUGUCGGCCAAGUUGAAAAAUAUAAUAAAUAAAUUGUCAGGAGAUGAUUUUUUCUGAAAUUUCAUUUUCAAGGUCCAGAACACAUUCAAAUUUCCGCUGAAAUUCAUAAUGGAUUCAUAUGAUCGGGCGAAAUUACACUAUACAAUUUCAUCAAUACCUAUUAAACGAUAAAAAGUUUAUUGAUUAUUUAUAAUUAAAAAAAAUCUAUCUACUAAGACUAUUCUAGAUCAAUAAUUAAUAUAUUAUAUAUAACUUCAGAAGGUUCAUCGGCGUAUUGAUCUAAGCCUUUUGUAGUAGUUUAUAAAUAUUUUGUUGCUUAUAAUGUAAGAAAUUUUACAGGAGUUGAUGCUGAGUAGUCUGAAUAAGAAAAUUAAUUAUAUUGUAAGUUAUUGGGUAUUUAUAAUAAAAUAAACAAUAAAAAAUGAAUAAAAAUUUAAAUACUUAAUUAAUUUUUAUCAAAUUCUUAUCAAAUAUUUAAAAUAUAUAUAAAAUCAAUUAAUUGAUGAUGUUGUUAAUUUUCAUGAUAUUUUUAAUAUUAUAUUAGUGAUUAUUAAAUUUAAUACAAUCAAUAAUGCUAUAAAUUAUUAAAUGGUUAAUUUUAUUGACAAAUUAUCAAAUAUGCAAAUAAUGAAAAAUUAAUCUCAAGAGUUGGUAGAAGUAAAGUUCCAAUUUAAUCAGAUAAUAAAUAAAAAUAAUUUUUAAGUAAAUUAUAAAUAAAAAAUAAUUAAUAUUAAGUAUAAAUAAACAAUAAUGAUAGAAAUUAAAGUCUCAUAAGAGCAUCUCCAAAAGACUCUUCAAAUAAGAUUCUACUUCUUAUUUGAAGAGCCAUGUCAAUAUUUUACACUCCAAAAGACACGUUAAUUUAAAUUCUUCAAAUAAAAUUUAUUUUUCACUCUUCAAUAUUGCCGAGUGAGUUUCUCCCUCUUCUAUUAAUAUUUUAUUAUUAUUUAUUGAAAAGAUAAGACUGCAAUAAUUAUUAUUUAUGUUUCUUUUAAAAAAUAUAAUAACAAUACAAUUUGAUAGUGGAAAAAUUUGAUUAAAAUAAUAUUAAUUUAUUCUUAUUUGGUGAGUCUUUUGGAGGGGAUUAUAUUUUUUUAUACACUUAUUUGCCACAUCAGUAAGCAAAUUGAAAUUUAAAGAGUAAAAUUUAAAGAUCCUUUUGGAGAUACUCUAAAUAGAUAACUUUUUUUCUUUAAUUUUAUCCCAACUAAAAUCAUGUGUAAAUUACAAUGAUUAAUCCCAUAAUUUUAGGAUGAAACUUAAAUUUAGUCCCCGAGUCCAAUUCAAUUAAUUUAACAAACAGGAGAUAAAUAUUUAAUAACAAAAUUAGUCCAAUUUCGUACUUAAUACUAGUAUAUGAACAUGGCCUGAUAAAAUAAUUUAGGUAAUAUGCUUCUAUGACUCACAAUUUAAAUAAAUUUGAGAAUUUAUAUAAGGGAUGGAAAAUUCAUAAUAAUCAUAACAUGUGCUAUCUUUUCUUCCUUUUCUUAAUUAAAUAAAAGAAAAAUAUUAAUCACAGAACCACUGCUGUUUAAAAUGACCCGAUGAUCGAUGAAGUCGCAUUCGCCUAUCUAAUAUUGCGCAAUCAGAUAAAUUCUCAAAUUUUAAAUGAAUUUAAUCUGCAAUUAGAUCAAUAACUACACAAUAAAGAUUAAAAAAUUUCAAAUUAUACUUGAGUUAAAAUUUGAUUCUUUUUUAUUAUUUAAAGUGAUUUAUUUAUAAUUAUUUUAACCCAAUUAGAUUUUUUUUUUUAAUGCUUGGUCUAUGACAGAAUUGAUCCUCAAAGUUUAAUUAAGCCUGAGAUGGAUACUCUCAGCAAUUUAUUAGAAUCUAACAGGAAAAGAGAGUUGCGAUUUGUAUGUGUAGAAAGAAAAUGUCAAAACGAAAUGUUAAUGUCACUUGUAGAGAGAGAGUUGGGACUGAUGAUCUGCAAUUUAGUCAUGAAAAAUUAGUGAUUAAAUACAACUAAAUUUCAGUUCUUUCUUUGGGAUCCAGAAAAAAAAUAAAAUUCCCCCUCAAUUUUCUGUUUGCAAGGGGGUAACUGUAAGCACAGUCUGAUUUUAUUUUCAGGGAAUAAUAUCGGUGAACCACCGUCGGGGAAAAUUUGAAGUCUAAACAGGUCAUUCACAGAUAAGGCCAAAGAGUAAAACAGGUCGUUCAUCGUGCAUUUGGAUUCCUUUCAUCUGGUUAAUUAUUGAAGACAAGAUGAAAACGCAACUAAUGUCAAUAUUUUAAUUUGGAAUGGGGGCCGUGUAUGGUGUAUAAAAUAGCAUUAAUUGUUGUCUGUGUUUGUUGUUUAAUAUAUAUAUAUAUAUAUAUAGGUCUAAACAGGUCAUUCACAGAUAAGUCUAAACAGGUCAUUCACAAACAGGUCAUCUUAUGAAUUAUUGAAGACAAGUAGCUGUUCGACGCCAGCACUUUUCAAAUCUGAAGAGCAAUUAGACAAUAUUUCUAUUUCAAAUUGGGGCCACACUCCAAAAAAAUUGCAAUAAUUCUCUGUUUUAUACCAAAUAUUGCGCAAUCAGAUAAAAAAAGGGUCGGCUGCAUGAUUUUUCCAACUUUUGUUUUAUUUUUUCUCUUUUCCACGGGCAUGUUAUAUUUAACAAUUCUCUUUUUGUCGUGACAUAAUGGACUAAAACGGAAUCACAACUUUUUCAAAUGACCAAAUGGCUUCGCCCUACCUGAUAAUAAAAGGCCAUAUAGAUGAGAAAUGGAUCCAUACGUUAAAGCUAUAUUAAAACAUAUAAUAAAUAAAUAGUCAGGAGAUGAUUUUUAUCAAAAAUUUCACUCGCACGGUCCCGACCAAAUACAAAUUUGUGAUGAUAUUCAUAAUGAAUUUAUACAAUUAGGCGAAAUUACUCUAUAUAGUUCCAUCGAUAUAUAUUAUACCAUUAAAAAUAUACUAAUAUUUAUAAUAAAAAAAAUUUAUGACUAUUCUAAAUCGACUGUAUUAUAUGUGAACUCACAAGAUUCAUCGAUAGAUUGCACUGAGCUUUUUGUUGCAGUUUACAAAUAUUUUGUUACUAAUUAUCUUAAGAGCGGCAAGUAACUAAAUACAAAUGUAAGAAAUUUUACAAGUGCUGAUGCUGUGUACUCCGCAGAAAGCUAGCCCACGACGGUGACUCCUGUUGGGACUCCUUCAAUUUGCAGCACAAAAGAACGUUCACAUUGACAUUGACUUGAGGGUAAAAAUUAAAAUAUCUCCAAUUAGUAUAAGAAGAAUCCAAACAUGCUUGAAUGAACAUUCUCUCAGAAUACAUAAAAGCUACUUUCCUCUGAGCAUUUUAGCAGCACGAAAAGCAAUUGCAGCAUUUACCAUUUGAUCUAAUAUCAGAAUGGCUCAUGCGAUCGUUUCCUCUCUCCUGGACCAGCUGAAUUCCAUUGCUCAAGAUCAGGUGAAAGAAAAGUGGAGGCUUGUGACGGGUGUCGAACAAGAAGUGGGAAAGCUUACCACCAAUCUUCAAGCCAUUCAAUCUGUGCUGGAAGAUGCAGAGCAGAGGCAAAUGAAGCAGGACAAAGCUGUUACUUUUUGGCUGGAUCAGCUCAGAGACACAUCCUACGACAUGGAAGAUGUGUUGGAAGAGUGGUUCACUGAAACACGGAAAUUGCAGCUUGAUGAGGGACGCGAUGAUGAUGAUGAUGAUAACGACGGUGCUUUUGUUACUUUUUUGACGAAGGUAUGUUCCUUCUUUCCUGCUGCCUCAAACUGCUUCGGUGGUUUCAAACAACUCAGUCUUCGUCAUCAUAUUGCUGUCAAGAUUAGAGAAAUCAGUGAAAAGCUAGAUGAUAUUGCCACUCGAAAAGAUAGGUUUAAUUUUGUUGAGAAUGUGAGUAACAAUGUUAGGAAUCCAGAGCGAGUGCGAACCAUCUCCUUGAUUGAUGAGGGAGAGGUUUGCGGUAGAGUUGAUGAGAAAAGUGAGCUCUUAAGCAAGUUGUUGGGUGAAAGUAGUGAACAACAAGAAGGCCUUCAUAUCAUCUCACUAGUUGGGUUAGGGGGUAUAGGUAAAACCACUCUUGCACAACUAGCCUAUAAUAAUGAUGAGGUGAAAAGAAAUUUUGACAAAGUUAUAUGGGUAUGUGUAUCAGACACUUUUGAGGAGAUUAGGGUCGCCAAAGCAAUCAUUGAAGGUUUAGGUGUGUCAGCUUCUGGUUUAAGCGAAUUCGAAUCUCUUAUGAAACAGAUUCAGGAAUAUAUUACAGGGAAGAAAUUUUUUCUUGUUUUAGAUGAUGUGUGGGAUGGAGAUUACAAAAAAUGGGACCUAUUCUUUUCUUGUCUAAAGAAUGGCCACCAUGAAAGUAAAAUUCUAAUUACCACACGUGAUAGGUCAGUUGCACUACAGUUGGGAUCAAUAGAUAUUAUCCCUGUCAAGGAGUUGGGUGAAGGGGAAUGUUGGUUACUGUUUAAGCAUAUAGCAUUUCUACGUAGGUCCUUUGAGGAUUGUGAAAAAUUAGAACCAAUCGGGAGAAAAAUAGCAUGUAAGUGCAAAGGCCUGCCUCUUGCUGCAAAGGUAAUAGGGAAUCUCUUGCGCUCUAAAAGUACAGAAAAAGAGUGGCAAAGAAUUUUAGAUAGUGAAAUGUGGAAAGUAGAAGAGAUUGGGCAAGGUCUUUUAGCUCCUUUGUUGUUGAGUUAUAACGAUUUGCCCUCCAAUUCUAUGGUAAAACGGUGUUUCUCAUAUUGUGCUGUCUUUCCAAAAGACUACGAGAUGGAUAAAGAGGAGUUGAUUGAUCUGUGGAUGGCUCAAGGUUACCUUAAUGCAGAAGAAGACGAAGAAAUGGAGAUGAUUGGAGAAGAGUAUUUCAACAUCUUAGCAACACGCUCUUUCUUUCAAGAGUUUAAAAUAUAUGAUGACGAUGAUGAUUUUACGAGUUGUAAGAUGCAUGACAUAGUACAUGAUUUUGCCCAAUUUGUAAGUAGCAAAGAAUGUUUGUGGCUAGAAAUUAAUGGUACCAAGGAAUCAGUCAUAAACUUUUUUGGUGACAAAGUCCGUCACUUAGGGUUAAAUUUUGGAGGAGGAGCUUCAUUUCCUAUGACCAUUUAUGGACUUAAUAGAUUGCGUACCCUCCUAAUUUAUGACCAAAGUUUUGUCAAUUUAUCUCUUAACAGUAGCAUCCUUCGGGAGUUAUUUAGUAAAUUGGCAUGUUUAAGGGCAUUAGUUAUAAGGCAAUCGACCAAGCUUUUGUAUGAAGACACAAAUUGGAUUACGGAAAUUCCAGAUAAUGUUGGAAAAUUGAUACAUUUAAAAUAUCUUAAGUUGUCUAAAUUGUAUAUAGCGAGACUACCUGAGACUUUGUGUGAAUUAUAUAAUUUACAAAAACUAGAUAUUAGGCGGUGCAAAUAUCUUAGAGAAUUGCCUGCGGGGAUUGGGAAGUUAAAGAACAUGAGGAGUUUACUGAAUGAUCAAACUGAAAAGCUGAAGUACCUGCCAAUAGGGAUUUCCAGAUUGACCAGCCUUCGAACAUUAGAAAAGUUUGUUGUGGGUGGAGGUGUUGAUGGUGGCAGCACGUGUAGGCUUGAAUCUCUGAAAAAUCUUCAACUCCUUCGAGAAUGUGGAAUAGAAGGGCUGAGUAAUGUAUCGCAUGUAGAUGAGGCUGAGAGGUUACAACUUUACAAUAAGAAAAACCUCCUUCGUUUGCGUCUUGAGUUUGGUGUAGUCGUAGAUGGGGAAGGCGAAGAAAGGAGGAGGAAGAACGAGAAAGAUAAACAACUUCUUGAAGCCUUACAACCGCCUUUGAAUGUAGAGGAAUUAUGGAUUGAAUCCUAUGGAGGCGUCAUUUUUCCCAAAUGGUUGACUUCACUAACCAAUCUAAGGAAUUUAUAUCUUUCCUUGUGUUUUAACUGUGAGCAUUUGCCUCCUUUGGGAAAAUUGCCUCUGGAAAAACUCAUCCUAUGCAAUUUGAUUGGUGUAAAAAGAGUGGGUAAUGAGUUUUUAGGAAUAGAAGAAAGCAGUUAUUGGGACGACCCAUCUUCAUCUUCAUCGUCAUCAUCAGUUAUUGCCUUCCCCAAAUUGAAAUCUCUCAAAAUUUGGUUCUUGGAUGAAUUGGAAGAGUGGAAUUACAGGAUUACGAGGAAGGAAAACAUCUCCAUCAUGCCACGUCUUUCUUCCUUGAAAAUUAAGCAUUGCCCCAAAUUAAAGGUGCUGCCGGAUUACCUUCUUCAAACGACGACGCUGCAGCACUUGAGUAUUCAGGGAUGUCCUCUUCUGGAAAACCGUUAUCGAGAGGGGAAAGGAGAAGACUGGCAUAAGAUAUCUCACAUUCCCCACAUCAAGUGGCGGUAAAUUCUCGAAUGGUUGCAAUUACUAUCACCCACCGGUAAUUGCUCUCCUCUAUUUUACUUUGUUGUUACUUCAAACAACGACACUGCAAACAUUGACAAUUUUAUAGAACGCAUUAGUACAUGUCAAUAACAAGACCAAUUAGAUUAUGGCAUUGCUUUAUUUUAUUUAUUUAUUUUUUUGAUUCUUUUGAAAUAAGAUCAAUUAAUUAGAUCAUGCUAGAAGUUAAUUUUUUUUUUUCAAAUGAAAAAGGAGCAGUCAUACAAAGUUUGAAUAUAAAAUUUAUAAUCUAAAACUAAUGAUGUGACAAUUAACAUGUUAUUAACCUAGCUAAUAGAGUUGGAAGUCCCAAAUACAUCAUAUUCUGCUCCAGAAAUCAAUUCCACCUAGAAUACUUCUUUCUAUUGAAAUUAAUGAUGAUUUGUUUGUUUGCAUCAUGAAAGUCAAAAAUAAUUUUAUGAGUAAUUUGAUUCUUUACGGUACAAAAAAUAAAUUUGGAAAGUACUAAUUUCUCUCAUACUUUUUGGGCUAAAAAAUAAAUGUAAGUCUAACAUAUUUAUUAUAUAAUGGUUCUAUAUAGAAUCAAUCAUGGUAUAAAUAUGUAAAACUUCCUAGUUAUCAAUUUUGUCUUGCAUAAUGAUAAUCGUUUUUUUUUAUAUAUAAUUUAUGUAACAUUAAUUCUUUAAAGUAAUUGUGGAAUUGUUUUUACUACAUUAGCCCUCUUUGUUUUAUUUCAUACGAGUUUAAUUAUGUUCACCAGGGAUUCGAGGAAAUGUCAGAACUACACUAGCAAUUCACAGGUCCAAUCUAAUUUGGUUUUAAUGAUGCAUGCAGGAGAGCAAGAUUAUGAAAAUGAAAAGUUUAGCCAAAGGAUUGCUAAACUGUUCUGCUGGUAAUUCACUUGCUUUAUUUUAUAGAAUUUCAUUUCCAUCUUCUUCUAUUGAUAUCUUGUUGUGAAUAAACAAGCACAGAGAAGUAAAUGAUUGAACCACGGAGAAGUAAAGAUAUAUCCAAAUUCGAUUAUUAUGAUGAUUAAAGCAAGCUCAAGCUCAAGCACUGCAUUUUUUUAUUUUAUUUAGUUUAUAGAAUUUUCAUUUCCACCUGCAUUGCAUUUUUACUUCAUUUUUAGGUUGACGUUGAAGACUCUUAUGGAGAACAUUGGGGUAACCAAGGAUUAUCACUGUGGUUAUUGUGCAACGUUUGGUUGCUGGACUUUGAAGAAGGAAGUGAUGGCCGGGUCUGCUCUGUUUCAAUUGAGGAUGGAUAGCUGCCUGAAAGAUAUGAUGAUUAUUAUUGCAUGAUAUUAAGGUGCUAAGAUCAUCAUUUCUAUCUUGUUUCAUUCUUGGAAUCAUUUAUCCUAUAUAAACAUAUUGAAUUGUGCUAAUAUUAUCAUAUGCGUCAAUGGAGGCAGGAAUUUGGUGUUGACACUAUUAUGCAGGUAACCACACUUCAUAGUUUGCACAAAUUUGCGUUGUCAGAAUAUCCUUUAAUAUUCAUUGUGUUUCUGUGUGUUAUCAGGUUAUCAUCUCCAAGGGUUUGAAAGAGCCUUUGCAGUAAAGUCAGUUUUCACCAGCUCGUGCAAUUGCAAAUUCAUUCAGAGUACUUCAAUAUUGGGUUUUCAAGUUUUGUAUGUUUAGUCGAUUAAAAUGUUUAGUCACUCAUUCUUAAUCAUUUCUGAUUUUCAAGUUCUUUAGGGCCAUAAACAGUUUUUCAAACUCAUUCUUAUUUUUUAGGUUGAUUUCCUACUCGUGGAGAACGUUGGGAAGUCCAAGGAUUAGGCUGGCGAUGGAACUACUACCUCUGUUGUUAUUGUACAAGGUUUGAUCGCUGGACCUUGAACAAGAAAGCCUUACACGCAUUCUGUAAUUGAAGCGUUCUCUAAAGCAAAAGAGCAGUAGAAGGAAUAGUGUUGGCCGGAUCUGUUCUAUCUUAAUUGAAGAUCUCUGUGAUGUUGAGGAGCUAAUGAUUGUUAAGGCAUAUUUUCAUGAACUUCCUUUCUUAACAAAUGUUUCAAUGCUGGCUGUAGUAACAAUUUCAUAUCUUGCAUCUCUCGGGUGCAUCAUGUUCUCGGGUUUGAAAAAGCAUUUGUGGUAAUGCUUCAAAGCUUGUACAAUGGCUGUGAAAAGGCACAUUCAAUUAGGUACGUUUUGGUGCGGUCUCUCAAUGCUAAUAUUAUAUUUUGUAUAGCAAUUAAAAUUUAGCUAUACAAUCUUAAUAUGCAAUAAAUCAUUGUAUACAAAGUUUUCCAUUAAUUAUGUGGUGACAGAAAUUUUAAUUAUCAUAUAUCAAUUUAAAUUUUUUUGUAACUCUCUCUUACUUUGCUUGUACAGAGUACCUGUUUUGGCUGAUAUGUCUAAUUCGUAGAAAUUCAUUUCCAUCGGUUUCCAUUGGCUUUAGCACAAACCGAAACAGAUCUCUGGGGAAAAGUUUUACUUCUUGUGAUAUUAUGCCUCUGUUUCUUCAUUCAUCAUAUUUUUCGAAUUCAUGCUCUCAUUCAGAGGGUAAAGCCUUUUCCAGGCUUCUUUGUAGCCAAACUUUGACGCCUUUGAUGCAUGACUGUCAUUUAGAUUUUCCAAAUAACUGUUAGAUUGGAGAAGAAUAAGAAGAUACUGUUAAAAGGGUAUUUAAUUAAUGUAGUCAAUUACCCUCUGAAUUUCUUGGAGUUAAUGUAGUCAAUUACCCAAUCUUGCUUCAAACUCUGACAUACCUAAUAAAUAGUAGGAGGGGGUGGUAUUCGCCUGGUGUUAAUUUCCUGGCAAGUAUAGUUCACAGAUAGAGGGGUUCUUUUCUUGAUGUCUAAAUACCGUAUGUGAUACAACAUCGUGUAUUCCAAUUUUUCUCCAGUUAAAUUUUAAUACGUUAGUAAAGUUAAUUUUGUUUUAGCGAUGAAUUGUUUUCUUAAUAAUAAUAAUUGCCAUGUUCCUCUGAAGUCUUAUUAAUGCCACGUCAUCGAUCCGUCUAUGCGAACAGUGUCGUGAACAGUACCAUACAUGUGAAUAGUACCGUACAUGUGAAUAGUGCCAUUUUUCCGUUUAUGCUCCUCCUAAGGUUUUCGACCGUCUUGAGUUCAAAAGUGAUGUCCGUUUUGCCGUCUGAUCUCUCGUUUAUUGUGAAAUGACCAUGAUACCCCUAAAAUACAUAAAAUACUUAAUUAAAAAUCAAACACACAUAAUUAAAUUGCAAGAAGCUUAAAUACAUAAAAGUAAGGGUUGUUAGUAAAACUUGAAAUGUAAAAUGAUGAUUUUCUCCUUUAUAAAUAUACAUUUUCUAACACUCAACACCGGCUUCUUAAUUAUUUGUUAAAUCAGGUUUUUCUUAUCAAGUACAUCAUCUUAUUCACCAUUUUGGCUAUAUCAGAAUUUGCUAUUACCAUGAUGUCAAAGCAAGCUCAAGCACUAGAUCCCUAAUAAUAAUGCAUUGCAUUUUCAUUUUAUUUUUAGGUUGGUUUGAAGACCCUAUGGAGAACAUUGGGGUAAUCAAGGAUUAGGCUGGUGAUCGAACUACUUCCACUGUGGUGUUGUGUGCAACGUUCAGUUGCUGGACUUUGAAGAAGAAAGUGAUGGCCAGGUCUGCUCUGUUUCAAUUGAGGAUGGAUAGCUGCCUGGAAGGCAUGAUGAUUUUUGUUGCAUGAUAUUAAGGUACUAAGAUCAUCAUUUCUAUCUUGUUUUUUUCUUUGAUUGGUUUAUCCUCUAUAAGCAAAUUCAAUUAUGGUAAUAUUACCAUUUUUUCACCCAAUUUUCACCGUUGGUUGUAAUAACAAUUUCACGUACUCAAAAGCUACAGAGCAAAGCACAUGUGGGCUGAUCAUAUGCUUCCAUGGAGGAAGGAAUUCGGUAUUAACACUAUUAUGCAGGUAACCACAGUUGUUAAUUUGCACAAAUUUUGCAUUGUCAGAAUGCCCUUUAAUAUUCACAGUGUUUCUUUUUGUUAUUCAGGUUACCAUGGCAUGUAGAGUAUCAUCUUUGAGGGUUUGUGAGAGCCUUUGCAGUAAAGUUACCGGCUCGAACAAUUGCACAUUCAUCGAGAACAAUUUUAGAUUUGCAAGGUUGCGAUUAGCAGGCUUAGUCACUCAUUCCUAAUCUUUUUUGAUUUUCAAGUUAUUUAGGUCCAUUAACCGUUUUCGCACAUGUUUCAAUGCUAGUUGUAAUAACAAUUUCUUAUCCUGCAUCUCUAAGGUGCAUCACGUUUGAAACAGCUUUUGCGGCAAAGUUUCAAUGCUUGUACAAUGGCCGUGAAGAGGUACAUUCAAUUCGGUACAUGUUGGUGCAGUCUUCUAAUGCUAAUAUCAUGUUGUGUAUAUUUAAUUUGCAAUUAAAACAUAGGUAUACAUUCUUAAUCUCCAAUAAAUCAUUGUGUACAAAGUUUUCUAUUAAUUAUAUGGUGACUAAAAGUUUAAUUAUCUUAAAAUUUUUUGUAACUCUCUUUUACUUUGCUUGUACAGAGUACCUGUUUUGGCUGACAUGUCUAAUUCGUAGAAAUUCAUUUCCAUCAGUUUCCAUUGGUGCUAGCACAUACAGAAACAGAGCUCUACUUCUUAUGGUAUUAUGCCUUUGUUUCUUCAUUCACCAUAUUUGUUCGUGUAAAAAACACAGAUUAGAAUGAAUAAUUUCUAUAUUUUAUUGAUGAUAAUUACUCCUCUUUAAAUAGAUUACAGGGGCAUAAAUCAAAUCCCACAAAAUCAGAGCUAUGACAUCUAGAAAUCUAAUUCUAAGGAAACAAAUCAAUAAACCUAUUUAAGGAAACAAAUCUUGCCAAAUAACAUAGAUCCUAAUAUAUACAAUUCUAAUUAUGUAUAAUUUUGAUUUCAUCCACACUCCCCCUCAAGCUUGGCUAUAGAUGUUGAUGAGACCAAGCCUGCCUUCAAGAAACUCAUGAGUAUGUUCUCAGAGUCCUUUGGUGAGGAUAUCAGCCAGUUGGUGAGAUGUAGGCACAUAUUCAAGCUUGAUAAUGUUUCCAUCAAGCUUUUCUUUAAUAAAAUGUCGAUCAACCUCCACAUGUUUAGUCUUAUCAUGAUGAACAGGAUUGUGAGAUAUACUAAUUGCUGACUUAUUAUCACAAUAGAGCAGCAUAGGUUCUUCAAAUCCAAUCUUUAAUUCCUUCAACACCCUUCUUAUCCAGAUAAACUCACACACUCCAUGUGCCAUUGCUCUAAACUCAGCUUCCGCACUACUUCUAGCAACCACUGACUGUUUUUUGCUACGCCAAGUCACCAGAUUUCCCCAUAGCAACGUGCAAUAACCAGAUGUUGAUUUAUGAUCAUUAAUUGAUCUAGCCCAAUCAGCAUCUGUGAAUGCUUUCACCUUUCGAUCAUUGGUCUUUGCAAAAAUAAGCCUUUUUCGGGUGUUCGCUUCAAGUAUCUCAGGAUUCUAUCUACUGCAUUCAAAUGACCUUGACAUGGUGCAUGCAUAUGUUGACUUACUAAACUCACUGCAAAGGCAAUAUCCGGUCUUGUAUGUGAGAGAUAGAUGAGCUUUCCAACUACAGGUGAUAAGAUGUUGCUUGAAUUCAGCAUCUUGUAUUGCGAUGAUUUUGCCCACAUGAGGUUCUGUGAUUCUUGACAUCAGGAUAACUCAGGUCAAUUUUUUGUAUCAGCAUAUAUCAUCUUGUUUACUGUUUUGCCUUCAAAGAAUAAACUUUAGUGAAGUUGUUUUUGUUUGUGUAAGUUAUCAGGUUAAGGAUACUAAGCAGCUUAUUAAGGCAAAUGUCAUAAUGAAGAUUGUUCACCACACCUGGCAUUUAUGAUGGCAAGGAAGAUUAAUUGUUCACAAGCCAAUUUGAUGAGUGUUAGAUUUUUGGCUUUAUAUAUUAUUAGAGCUCUCCCUUCUGAGAGAUAUCUCAUUAAAUUGAGUAGAGCUCUCCCAAUAAUCGCAAGCUUUCAUUUGUUUGUAAAAUCAUCUUCUUAUAUUGAUUGUGUUUCCUUGUGUUAUCAAGUAGAGUAUCAUCUUCAAGGGUUUAAAAAAGUCUUUGCAGUAAAGUUUCAACCAGUUGCUGUGAAGAGGCAUAUUCAUUUGAGUAAUUCAGUUUCAGAUUUUCAGGGCAUGUAUGUUUAAUUAGUUUUGAUUAUGCUCUAAAUCUAACAAAAGUAUAUUUCUACUUCUUGUGGUUAUUUUACUUUUGUAUUUUCUGUCAUCAUUUUGAUUAAUUCAUUCGAAUUCAGACUCUCAUUAUUUAAAACCAUUUUCAGGUGGCUUGCACGCUAAUUAAGAAAUUGGAAAGUUAUCAUUGCUUGAAUGAAAGCACCAUCUUCUUUUGUCAAGGCUUUCCCCACACGAUGAGAUUAUGUGCUUGUUAUCGGCCGCUUAAUUAUUUAUUAAAUCAGGUUUUUGUUAUCAAGUACAUCAUCUUAUUCACCAUUUUGGCUAUAUAUAAAGAUUAAAAUUUCUAACAGUUGUUUCAGAUUCUUGUGCACUCAGGUUAAUAGUGCAAAUGUCAGAAUGAAGAUUGUUCAGUGCAACCGGUAUAGCAAGGAUGAUAGUGGUGAGGAAGAUUGUAACACCCCAGUUCGAAAUCCAAGGGCAAAUAUGUCCACAACUCACAUAUGAUUUAAAUAACUCUUUACAAACAAUAAAAUUCGAGCCUCAAAUACAAAAGCCAGCAGAAUAACUUAAAAAUUUAGCCAAACCAUCUACUAUCUUCAACUUGUCACUCAUCACGAAAUAAUCCUGACUUCUGGAAACUGAAUCACAAUAAACUAUAAUGAGUACAAAACUCAGUAAGAAACUAGUUUUUCUUAUAGAAAAUACAUACAUACUUAUACAUAAUGCAAUGGAUGAUAUGCCAUGAUCUUUUGGAAAUAUUGUAAAAUAAAUUCAUAAAAAUCUCUUUCUGUCGCCUUCAAACUUUCUCAUUUUCUUUCGAUGAAAUACGUAUCCUGCAAUGUCGCACUUUGUGCUGUGCGUGGCACUUUGCGGCACUCUGGCCCUCAAGAGGUGGCCCCUGCAUAGUCUCAAGAGGUGGCCCCCCCACAACUUCAAGAGGUGGCCCCCAAUGUAAAAAUCUCAUAAAACAGAAAUUCCGUUUGCUAAAAUCCACUUUCUCAUUCAUAGAAAAUUCAAUGCAUUUUCGUGCUCAUGCCAAUGAACCAUCACACAUACAUAUGCCCAUGUACAUAAUCACGCCCAUUACAUAACAACACAUCACAUAAACACAUGAGCAGAGACAUAUAAAUCCAUAUUCGUACAUAUCAAAAUAGGCUUUUCAUACAAGUCAAACAUAUAUAUUAUUUAUUGUGAUUCGUUUUAAAGUCUAGUUCACUUACCUCUUGGCAUCCUCAUGUAACAAAUGUGUACUGAUACCAUCAACCUAAAAUCAUCAAUAAAUUCUCAUAAGAUAUAAUCAAAUCUCAAUCAUAAACUCUAAUGUCCUCAAAUAUCUCAAUUUAAACAACUCUUAAGCUCAACCUCAAAUGUCCUCAAUAAUCGGCCCUCAAAACAUAACAGUCCAUACUUCUCCGAUUUUUAAUAAAUUAUUCUCUUAUUGGAAGAAUCUCAAAUUUUACAGACCAUAUGCUGACACAUUGAAAGUUCAUUGAUAAAAAUUUCAUAACAUAAUUCCUUCCAAAACGAUUGAAAAUAAUUCACGUUUCAGACAUCAUCAAUACUGUCAAACAGUUUUCUGUUUUGAACACACUUGCUUUAAAAAUACAAAACAAUUUAUUUCUUUAUCAUAAAAUCAUGAAAAUUUCCAGAAUCAUACUAGACUUAUAUAAAACUCAUUGGUCCAAAUUUCAUAAGUUUGAAGAAGUCUAGAUAUGGUAGAAAUAAUUUCGUAAUUCACUGAAAUCAUAAAUUUCCAGGUUUUCAGACUUGACUUUGAAAAAUCAUAAUUAAUUGAAAUCUUAUCUGAUUAACUUGAAACAAGUUUCAAAACAUAUUAGACGAUGUCUAGUUUAACAUACCCAAAAAUCAGAAUCAAAAUCAAUUUUUACAAAUUACUAUGAUUUUCGUAAUAAUUCACUGUCAGCAUAUUUAUGUAAAAUCUUUGAUUUCUACUUCUAUUGCAAUCAUGCUUCUCCACAACAAUUUAAUAGAAACCAAUAAUUAAAACAUACCUCCAAAAAUUCUCCCAACAAUAACAACUUGAUCCAAUGUGUUGUCUAUGGCAAAACUAAGAAGAAGAAGAAGAGCUUCUUUUUUUUUUCUUUUCUCUCUUGUCUCUCCAUCUCUCUUUUUUAACCGAUCCCUCUUUUUCUCUCUCUUAUAAUGAAAAAGACAUCUUGUUCUAUUUAUACUAGGGUAAAAAGGAUCACUAAAAAUUAAAAAGACUUAAAUACCCUUAGGAGAUUUGGGGUAUUACAAAGAUUGUUGGCAAGCCAAAUAGAUCCCUCCAUUUUGAGAAAUAUCAUCCUCAAAUUUGAAUUGCUGAGCAUGUGAAGUGAAGCUAAAGCCUUAAUAAUGAGACCUUCCUGUGAAAGUUUCAUUUGAGUGAAUUGAACGUUCUUGGAGUGAGUGAGAAAUUAAGCAUAUAUCAGCGAUUAGUGAAUUUUUUUCUUUAACAUUAGUACACUCUUAUUUCUUAGUAAAAUUCUCUUCCCGUCUCUGACUGUGACGUAGACCAAAAGCUUAACAAUGUAAAAUUAUAUUGUUAUUUCCUUAUGCUUGUUUUGCUAUAUAUCAUUUCUGUGCAAUCAAGAAUGUAAUUUUGUAAUUAUUUAAUUCUGCUUCCGCAAACAUGCCGUAUUACAAGUGAUAUCUUGCAGAAUUUUCCCCCCCUUUUUUCUUUCUGCAUUAAAACUGCAACAAAUGGAAGUGACUGGCUUGAUUUUAGCUCCUGUAAAAAAGUGCUUGCGGCAAUGUCUUUUGUAUCAGCAAGUCAUCAAACAUCAUUUUACGCUUGAAGUUGGGCCUUCUGAAGAUUUACCCCAUAUGGAACAAAAUAUUGGUUUCGCUACUAAAAUUGCGAACUAUGUUUUUCUUUGUAUUUUCCGCUCAACUGUUGUGCUGAAUAUGUUGCGAACAUAUGACAAUUUAAUCUUUGGCUGAGACUUGUUUAAAAUAAAAAAUGACACUUUAAAGCAAUAGGAGACUUUUAUAUAUUAAAAUGGUAAACGGGUGGAUAAAACUCAAAAUAAAUUUUUGACAUUUUAUCUAUUUUGACAUUCGAAUUUUAAACUUUAGAAGUCAAGCAAUGAAUAAACCUUUUUGAGAGGCUAAUUAAAUUCUUAGUAAUUUCACAUAAUUUCAUUUCAUCAGAACAGUUUUAUCAAAAGCAAUUUUAUAAAUCGUUGUUGAAAGCUUUAUUCCUUAAUUAUCUUUCACAUAGUUUCUUUGUAAUGUGGGUAAGUCAUAGACCAUGGUAUGAUAUUUAUUAAAUAUCAAAAGAUACCUCUUCUAUGGCAAAGUUAAUUAGACAUGUCUUUAUAAUAAAACAUCAUUUAUUUUGAAAUUGAUCCAACACUAAGAUUAUUGUAGAUCAAAUUAGUCUAUUACAGAUAACUUCAGAAGGUUCAUCAGUAGAUUGUUCCAACCUUUUUGUCGUAGUUUACAAGUAUUUUGUUACUUAUAAUACAAGAAAUUUUACAAGUGCUGAUGCUGAGUAGUCUGAAUAAUUAUUAUGAAUCAUAAAAACAGGGCAGAUGCUGUACAAAUUUUACAAAUAUUUUGUUACUUAUAAUGUAAGAAAUUUUACAAGUGCUGAUGCUGAGUAGUCUGCAUAAUUAUUGAGGUGGUGGAGCAAAUGCUCAGUAGUCUGAAUAAUAAUUAUGAAUCGGAAAAAUAGGGCAGAUGCUGUACAAUUAUUGAGGUGGUGGAGCAGAUGCUCAGUAGUUUGAAUAAUUAUUAUGAAUCGGACAAACAGGGCAGAUGCUGUACAAUUAUUGACGUGGUUGAACAGAAAGCUAGCCCCAGACGGUGACUCCUGUGGGGACUCCUUUAAUUUGCAGCACAAAAGAACGCUCACAUUGACAUUGACUCACGGGUAAAAAUUAAAUAUCUCAUAUGGUAUAAGAAGAAUGCAAACAUGCUUGAAUCAACAUUCUCUCAGAAUACAUAAAAGCUACUUUCCUCUGAGCAUUUUAUCAAGAAAAGCAAUUGCUGCAUUUACCAUUUGAUCUGAUAUCAGAAUGGCUCAUGCGAUCGUUUCCUCUCUCUUAGACCAGCUGAUCUCUGUUGCGGCUGAUGAAGUGAAACAGCAGGUGAGGCUUGUGACGGGUGUCGAACAUGAAGUGGGAAAGCUUACCACCAACCUUCAAGCCUUUCAAGCUGUACUGGAAGAUGCAGAGCAGAGGCAACUGGAGAAGGAAAAGGCUGUUACUAUUUGGCUGGAUCAGCUCAGAGACGCAUCCUACGACAUGGAAGAUGUGUUGGAUGAGUGGAUCACUGCAAGGCUCAAAUUGCAGAUUGAGGGCAUUGAUGAUGACAAUGCUCUUGCUCUUGCUCCUCAUAAGAAGAAGGUACGCUCCUUCUUUUGUGCUGUAUCAAAUUGUUUUGGUAGUUUCAAACAACUUAGUCUUCGUCAUGACAUUGCCGUCAAGAUUAGGGAAAUCAAUGGAAAGCUAGAUGAUAUUGCCUCCCAAAAAGAUACGUUUAAAUUUGUUGAGAAUGUGAGUAACAAUGUUAAGAAACCAGAGCGAGUGCGAACCACCUCCUUGAUUGAUGAGGGAGGGGUUUGUGGUAGAGUUGAUGAGAAAAAUGAGCUCUUAAGCAAGUUGCUGUGUGGAAGUAGUGAACAACAAAAAGGCCUUCAUGUCAUUUCACUAGUUGGGUUAGGGGGUAUAGGUAAAACCACUCUUGCACAACUGGCGUAUAAUAAUGAUGAGGUGAAAAGAAAUUUUGAAAAAGUUAUAUGGGUGUGUGUAUCAGACACUUUUGAGGAGAUUAGGGUCGCCAAAGCAAUCAUUGAAGGUCUAGGCGUGUCAGCUUCUGGUUUAAGCGAAUUCGAAUCUCUUAUGAAACAGAUUCAGGAAUAUAUUACGGGGAAUAAAUUUUUUCUUGUUUUAGAUGAUGUGUGGGAUGGAGAUUACAAAAAAUGGGACCUAUUCUUUUCUUGUCUAAAGAAUGGCCACCAUGAAAGUAAAAUUCUAAUUACCACACGUGAUAGGUCAGUUGCACUACAGUUGGGAUCAAUAGAUAUUAUCCCUGUCAAGGAGUUGGGUGAAGGGGAAUGUUGGUUACUGUUUAAGCAUAUAGCAUUUCUACGUAGGUCCUUUGAGGAUUGUGAAAAAUUAGAACCAAUCGGGAGAAAAAUAGCAUGUAAGUGCAAAGGCCUGCCUCUUGCUGCAAAGGUAAUAGGGAAUCUCUUGCGCUCUAAAAGUACAGAAAAAGAGUGGCAAAGAAUUUUAGAUAGUGAAAUGUGGAAAGUAGAAGAGAUUGGGCAAGGUCUUUUAGCUCCUUUGUUGUUGAGUUAUAACGAUUUGCCCUCCAAUUCUAUGGUAAAACGGUGUUUCUCAUAUUGUGCUGUCUUUCCAAAAGACUACGAGAUGGAUAAAGAGGAGUUGAUUGAUCUGUGGAUGGCUCAAGGUUACCUUAAUGCAGAAGAAGACGAAGAAAUGGAGAUGAUUGGAGAAGAGUAUUUCAACAUCUUAGCAACACGCUCUUUCUUUCAAGAAUUUCAGAAAAAUGAUGAUGAUGAUUUUACGAGUUGUAAGAUGCAUGACAUAGUACAUGAUUUUGCCCAAUUUGUAAGUAGCAAAGAAUGUUUGUGGCUAGAAAUUAAUGGUACCAAGGAAUCAGUCAUAAACUUUUUUGGUGACAAAGUCCGUCACUUAGGGUUAAAUUUUGGAGGAGGAGCUUCAUUUCCUAUGACCAUUUAUGGACUUAAUAGAUUGCGUACCCUCCUAAUUUAUGACCAAAGUUUUGUCAAUUUAUCUCUUAACAGUAGCAUCCUUCGGGAGUUAUUUAGUAAAUUGGCAUGUUUAAGGGCAUUAGUUAUAAGCCAAUCGACCAAGCUUUUGUAUGAAGACACAAAUUGGAUUACGGAAAUUCCAGAUAAUGUUGGAAAAUUGAUACAUUUAAAAUAUCUUAAGUUGUCUGAAUUACACAUAGAGAGACUGCCUGAGACUUUGUGUGAAUUAUAUAAUUUACAAAAGCUAGAUAUUAGGCGGUGCCCAAAUCUUAGGGAAUUACCUGCGGGGAUUGGGAAGUUAAUGAACAUGAGGAGUUUACUGAAUGGUAAAACUUAUUCGUUGAAAUACAUGCCAGUAGGGAUUUCCAAAUUAACCAGUCUUCGAACAUUAGAAAAGUUUGUUGUGGGUGGAGGUGUUGAUGGUAGCAAUACGUGUAGGCUUGAAUCUCUGAAAAAUCUUCAACUCCUUCGAGAAUGUGGAAUAGAAGGGCUGGGUAAUGUGUCCCAUUUAGAUGAGGCCGAGAGAUUACAACUUUACAAUCAGCAAAACCUCCUUCGUUUGCGUCUUCGGUUUGGUGGAGUCGUAGAUGGGGAAGAUGAAGAAAGGAGGAGGAAGAAUGAUAAAGACAAACAACUUCUUGAAGCUUUACAACCGCCUUUGAGUGUAGAGGAAUUAGGGAUUGAAUCCUAUGGAGGCGACAUUUUUCCCAAAUGGUUGACUUCACUAACCAAUCUAAGGAAUUUAACACUUUCCUCGUGCGCUAACUGUGAGCAUUUGCCUCCUUUGGGAAAAUUGCCUCUGAAAAAACUCGAACUACUCGACUUGGAAAGUGUAAAAAGAGUGGGUAAUGAGUUUUUGGGAAUAGAAGAAAGCAGUGAGGAUGACCCAUCUUCAUCUUCAUCGUCACCAUCAGUUAUUGCCUUCCCCAAAUUGAAAUCACUCGAAAUUGACGGAAUGAAAGAACUGGAAGAGUGGAAUUACAGGAUUACGAGGAAGGAAAACAUCUCCAUCAUGCCCCGUCUUUCUUCCUUGCAAAUUAUGAAUUGCCGCAAAUUAAAGGCGCUGCCGGAUUACCUUCUUCAAACGAUAGCACUGCAGAAACUGGGUAUUUAUUAUUGUGAUCUUCUAGAAGAACUGCCCAUUCUAGAAGAUCGCAGGACAACAGACAUACCACGUCUUUCUUCCUUGGCGAUUUGGUAUUGCCCCAAAUUAAAGGUGCUGCCGGAUUACCUCCUUCGAACGACGACGCUGCAGGUAUUGAGUAUUAUGGAAUGUCCUCUUCUAGAAGGACAUUAUAGAGAGGGCAAAGGAGAAGACUGGCAUAAGGUAUCUCACAUUCCCUGCAUCAUGUGGUUGCCGUCGUUGUAAGAUAUCACUCGCUGGUAAUUUCUCCUCCUCCUCUGAUUUACUUCGUUGUUGCUUGCAAUGAAAUUAAUAAAAAUAAUUAUAUUUUGAAUUAAAAUUCUAUAUAGAAUCAAUCAUGGUAUAAAUAUGUAAAACUUCCUAGUUAUUAAAUCUGUUUAACUUGUUUUCUAAAGAUUAAAUUAAAAAAAAGUGUAGUCUGUUGAAAUUUCUAUAUUUACUUCUAAAAAAUAUGUGCUCUUUUGUAAAAUUUCAUACCACAUCAUAGAAAAUCCCAAUGUAAUUUAUUUUUUAAUGUACAAAAAUUUGUUAUGUGUAACUUCCUGAGAGGCAAAAUCUCUGGGAUACAUUUGCAAUAAUGUUGAAAAAUAAAUUAUCAAUUUUAUCUUGUAUAAUGAUAAUCAUAUUUUUUUAUAUAUAAUUUAUGUGACAUUAAUUCUUUAAAGUAAUUGUGUAAUUGUUUUUAGUAGUACAUUAGCCCACUUUAUUUUAUUUCAUAUGAGUUUAAUUAUGUUCACCAGGGAUUCGAGGAAAUGUCAGAACUACACUAGCAAUUCACAGGUCCAAUCUAAUUUGGUUUUAAUGAUGCAGGCAGGAGAGCAAGACUAUGAAAAUGAAAAGUUUAGCCAAAGGAUUGCUAAAAUGUUCUGCUGGUAAUUCACUUGCUUUAUUUUAUAGAAUUUCAUUUCCAUCUUCUUCUAUUGAUAUCUUGUUGUGAAUAAACAAGAACAGAGAAGUAAAUGAUUGAACCACAGAGAAGUAAAGAUAUAUCCAAAUUCGAUUAUUAUGAUGAUUAAAGCAAGCUCAAGCUCAAGCAUUGCAUUUUUUAUUUUAUUUAGUUUAUAGAAUUUUCAUUUCCACCUGCAUUUCAUUUUUAUUUCAUUUUUAGGUUGACGUUGAAGACUCUAUGGAGAACAUUGGGGUAACCAAGGAUUAUCACUGUGGUUAUUGUGCAACGUUUGGUUGCGGGACUUUGGAGAAGGAAGUGAUGGCCGGGUCUGCUCUGUUUCAAUUGAGGAUGGACAGCUGCCUGAAAGACAUGAUGAUUAUUAUUGCACGAUGUUAAGGUGCUAAGAUCAUCAUUUCUAUCUUGCUUCAUUCUUGGAAUCAUUUAUCCUAUAUAAACAUAUUGAAUUGUGCUAAUAUUAUCAUAUGCGUCAAUGGAGGCAGGAAUUUGGUGUUGACACUAUUAUACAGGUAACCACACUUCAUAGUUUGCACAAAUUUGCGUUGUCAGAAUAUCCUUUAAUAUUCAUUGUGUUUCUGUGUGUUAUCAGGUUAUCAUCUCCAAGGGUUUGAAAGAGCCUUUGCAGUAAAGUCAGUUGUCACCAGCUCGUGCAAUUGCGCAUUCAUUCAUAGUACUUCAAUAUUGGGUUUUCAAGUUUUGUAUGUUUAGUCGAUUAAAAUGUUUAGUCAAUCAUUCUUAAUCAUUUCUGAUUUUCAAGUUCUUUAGGGCCAUAAACAGUUUUUCAAACUCAUUCUUAUUUUUUAGGUUGAUUUCCUACUCGUGGAAGUCCAAGGAUUAGGCUGGCGAUGGAACUACUACCUCUGUUGUUAUUGUGCAAGGUUUGAUCGCUGGACCUUGAACAAGAAAGCCUUACAUGCAUUCUGUAAUUGAAGCGUUCUCUAAAGCAAAAGAGCAGUAGAAGGAAUAGUGAUGGCCGGAUAUGCUCUAUCUUAAUUGAAGAUCUCUGUGAUGUUGAGGAGCUAAUGAUUGUUAAGGCGUAUUUUCAUGAACUUCCUUUCUUAACAAAUGUUUCAAUGCUGGCUGUAGUAACAAUUUCAUAUCUUGCAUCUCUCGGGUGCAUCAUGUUCACAGGUUUGAAAAAGCAUUUGUGGUAAUGCUUUAAAGCUUGUACAAUGGCUGUGAAAAGGCACAUUCAAUUAGGUACGUUUUGGUGCGGUCUCCCAAUGCUAAUAUUAUAUUUUGUAUAGCAAUUAAAAUUUAGCUAUACAAUUUUAAUAUGCAAUAAAUCAUUGUAUACAAAGUUUUCUAUUAAUUAUAUGGUGACUGAAAUUUUAAUUAUCAUAUCAAUUUAAAUUUUUUUGUAACUCUCUUUUACUUUGCUUGUACAGAGUACCUGUUUUGGUUGAUAUGUCUAAUUUGUAGAAAUUCAUUUCCAUCGGUUUCCAUUGGCUUUAGCACAAACCGAAACAGAGCUCUGGGGAAAAGUUUUACUUCUUGUGAUAUUAUGCCUUUGUUUCUUCAUUCAUCAUAUUUUUCGAAUUCAUGCUCUCAUUCAGAGGGUAAAGCCUUUUCCAGGCUGCUUUGUAGCCAAACUUUGACGCCUUUGAUGCAUGACUGUCAUUCUUUUUCUUGGUUAUUCAAACUUUCAGUUAUAUAUUAUGUGAAAGAUUCUUUUUCUUAUUAAAGUACAUUGUUGGUUUUUUCUUUUUCCUUCAUUUUGUCUGAAUUAAAGCUAAAAUUGUAAGUUUUUUUUUAAUUGGAAAAUAUUAAUAUUUCAUUAAACAAAUAACAACAAUACAACUACUUGCAGUACAUCACUAGUUCACAUUACAAAGAUUAAAAUACAGAGAUCUGUUUUAGUUACAGAGAUCUAUUACAGUAAUCAAUUGAAUUAACCCCUAAAAGUUUAUUAAAGAAUAGGAAGAAACACAUGUACACUAAAAGAAAAACUUCCAUUCGUAAUGCACAUAUAAUUCAAGCUCCAUUUGGGGUUCCAUGGCUCUUUCGAAAUUAUCUCCACCACCAUAUUUAUGCUUUCCAGCUAGUACCAAAAUAGAUUUACCGUAAAAAUUGAUUCACACCCUCUAACUUUACAAACAUGAGAAACAUAGACUCUAGAUCUAAAAGUUGAAGGGUUAUGUACUGGCAAAUAGAAAUUAAACCAACAUUAUCACUAUAACAGAUACAUUAUUACCAUCAAAGAUCAAGAUCUGAAUGGAUGCACAGCAGCCAUCGUCAAGACCAAAAGAGGAAGAAAUUGAAAUAGAACAACCACCUUAAGGUGGAGAAGGCCAGAACAAGACACCCAUCCUCAAAUCAUAUGGAAGAGGUGGGUGCAACCAAAAAAAAAAAAAAAGAGAGAAUCCACUGGAGAAGGCAAGAAAGAUUUCUGCCUCCAAAGAUUUGGUGAGGAAGAGAUGAGGAAUUUGGAGAGGAAAAGUUUCGGAGAGAUCUAGAGUUUGGCUUUAAAAAUGUGUUUUAAAGAAAAAGUUGUUGAGAGGAAACGAGACCAAUUAGAUCAUGCAAGAAGUUAAUUUUUUUUAAAUAAAAAAGGAGAAAUGAUGAUCUUACAAAGUUUGAAUAUAAAGUUUAAAAUCUAAAAUUAAUGACUUGACAAUCGAUGCAUUAUUAGCCUAAUAGAGUAAGAAGUCCCUGCUAAAGAAUUCAAUAUUCUACCCAGAAUACUUCUUUCUAUUGCAAUUAAAUGAUGAUUAUUUGUUUUUAUCAUGAAAGCUAAAAUAACUUUGUGAGUAAUUUGAUCCUUUUGCAGUAUAAAAAUAAAUUCAGAAAUGGGCACCAUUCUUCCUUUGUUUAAAUCAUGGUCUCCACGGAAGUAAAAUUUUGGUUACUACACGUAAUGAGUUAGUUGCACGUAUGAUGGGAUCAACAAAUAUUAUCUUCAUUGAGCAAUUGAUUGAAGAGGAUUGCUAGUCGGUUUUCAAGCGAUUAGCAUUUUUCGGUCACUCUUUCGAGGAUUGUGAAAGAUUAGAACCAAUCGGCCGAAAAAUUGCACGCAAGUGCAAAGGCCUGCCUCUUGCUGCAAAGGUAAUAAGGAAUCUCUCGCGUUCAAAAAGUGCAAUAAACGACUGGCAAAGAAUUUUAGAUAGUGAAAUGUGGAAGGCAGAAGAGAUUGGGAAAGGUCUUUUGACUCCUUUAUUGUUGAGUUAUAAUGAUUUGUCGUCCAAUUCUAUGGUAAAACAAUAUUUUUCAUUUUGUGCUGUCUUUCCGAAAGACUACAAUAUGUAUAAAGAGGAGCUAAUUUCACUAUGGAUGGCUCAAGGUUACCUUAAUGCAGAAGAAUAUGAAGAGAUGGAGAUGACUGGGGAAGAGUGUUUCAACAUUUUAGCAACACACUCUUUCUUUCAAGAGUUUGAGAAAAAUGAUGAUGAUGAUAUUAUGAGUUGCAAGAUGCAUGACAUAGUACAUGAUUUUGCUCAAUUUGUAAGUAGCAAAGAAUGUUUGUGGCUAGAAAUUAAUGGUACCAAAGAAUCAGUCAUAAACUCUUUUGGUGGGAAAGUCCGUCCCUUAGGUUAAAGUUUAAAGGAGGCGCUUUAUUUCCUAUGUCCAUUCAUGGACUUAAUAGAUCGCGUACCCUCCUAAUUGAUUAUGAAAGUCCUUCCAAUUCGUCUCUUGAUAGUAGCAUCCUUCCUGAGUUAUUUAGUAAAUUGGCAUGUUUAAGAGCAUUAGUUAUAAGGCAAUCAUUCUUGCUUUGUCGUCCUGACCCAAAUUUGAUUAGAGAAAUUCCAGAAGAUGUCGGGAAAUUGAUGCUUUUAAAAUAUCUUAAUUUGUCUGAAUUACACAUAGAGAGACUGCCUGAGACUUUGUGUGAAUUAUAUAAUUUACAAAAGCUAGAUAUUAGGGGGUGCCGAAAUCUAAGAGAAUUGCCUGCAGGGAUUGGGAAGUUAAAGAACAUGAGGAGUUUGCUAAAUGGUCUUACUUGUUCGUUGAAGUACAUGCCAAUAGGAUUUUCCAAAUUAACCAAUCUUCGAACAUUAGACAAGUUUGCUGUGGGUGGAGGUGUUGAUGGUGGCAGUACGUGGAGGCUUGAAUGUCUGAAAAAUCUUCAACUCCUUCGAGAAUGUGGAAUAGAAGGGCUGAGUAAUUUGUCACAUGUAGAUGAGGCUGAGAGAUUAGAACUCAAAAAUAUGGAAAACCUCCUUCGUUUGUAUCUUUUGUUUGAAGUUGUAGAUUGGGAAGAUAAAGAAGAGGAUGAAGAUGAAGGUGGGGAAGAUGAAGGUGAGGAUGGGGGAUAUGAAGAAGAAGAAGGAGGUGAAGUUGUAAAUGGGGAAGAUGAAGAAAGGAGCAGGAAGAAUGAGAAAGAUGAACAACUUCUUGAAGCCUUACAGCCGCCUUUGAAUGUAGAGGAAUUAUGGAUUUUAUUAUAUGGAGGCAACAUUUUUCCCAAAUGGUUGACUUCGCUAACCAAUAUAAGGAAUUUAUUUCUUCACAGGUGUCUUAACUGUGAGCAUUUGCCUCCUCUGGGAAAAUUGCCUCUGGAAAAACUCGCCCUGCAAAAUUUGAAUAGUGUAAAAAGAGUGGGUAAUGAGGUUUUGGGAAUAGAGGAAAGUAGUGAUGAUGACCCGUCUUCAUCUUCAUCAUCAUCAUCAGUUAUUGCCUUCCCCAAAUUGAAAUCACUCAAAAUUUGGGACAUGGAAGAAUUGGAAGAGUGGGAUUACACGGUUACGAGGAAGGAAAACAUCUCCAUCAUGCCACGUCUUUCUUCCUUGGAAAUUGAUUGUUGCCCCAAAUUAAAGGUGUUGCCAGAUGACCUUCUUCAAACGUCGACACUGCAGGAAUUGAGUAUUGGGGGAUGUCCUAUUCUAGAAGACUGGCAUAAGAUAUCUCACAUUCCCCACAUCGAGUUUUAAAUUCUCGAACGGUUGCAAUUACUAUAACCCGCCGGUAAUUUCUCCUCCUCCUCUGUUUUGCUUCAUUGUUACUUGUAAUGAAAUUAAUAAUAAUAAUGAUAAUAAUUAAAUUUUGAAUUAAAUUUCUAUAUUUUGCCAAUGUCUCAUAGGAAUGUGCAAUAUUUUCUAAUAUUUUGAUUUUUGUAUUGAAUAUAACUAUUUACUUCAGUGUACGAUAAUUUGUUACGUGAAACUUCUUGAGAGACUGAAUUUCUGGGGUACUUUGUAGUAAUGUUGAAAACUAAGUGAUGGCUGGGUCUGCUCUGUUUCAGUUGAGGAUGGAUUGCUGCCUGGAAGACAUGCUGAUUAUUAUUGCAUGAUAUUAAGGUGCUGAGAUCAUCAUUUCUAUCUUGUUUCUUUCUUUGAACGGUUUAUCCUCUAUAAGCAUAUGGAAUUAUGUUAGUAUUAUCACUUCUUCACCCAAUUUUCACUGUUGGUUGUAAUAACCAUUUCAGGUUCUCAAAAGCUACAAAGCAAAGCAUCUUUGGGCUGAUCAUAUAUUUCAAUUGACGAAGGAAUUCGAUGUUGGCACUAUUAUGCAGGUAACCAGAGUUGAUAAUUUGUACAAAUUUGCAUUGUCAGAAUACCCUUCAUAUUCACCGUGUUUCUUUGUGUAGGUAUGUAGAGUAUCAUCUUCAAGGGUUGUAAGAGCCUUUGCAGUAAAUUUAGCUGCUAGUGCAAUUGCUCAUUCAUCGAAGUACAAUUUUGGAUUUUCAAGGUUUGUAUGCUCAGUUGUAAUUAAAAUGCUUAGUCACUUAUUCCUAAUCUUUCUGAUUUUCAAGUUAUUUUAGGUCCAUAAACAGUUUUCACACAUGUUUCAAUGCUUCUUGUAAUGACAAUUUCAUAUCUUGCAUCUCUAAUGUGCAUCAUGUUUGAAACAGCUUUCGCGGUAAAGUCUUCGAUGCUUGUACAAUGGCUGUGAAGAGGCACACUAAAUUCGGUACAUUUUGGUACGGCCUCCUAAUGCUGGUAUAAUGUUGUGUAUAUUUAGUUUGCAAUUAAAACUUAGGUAUACAAAUCUUAAUCUGCAAUAGAUCAUAGUGUACAAAGUUUCUAUUAAUGAUAUGGUGACUGAAAGUUUAAUUAUCUUAAAAUUUUUCUAUGACUCUCUUUUACUUUCUUUGUACAGAGUACUUGUUUUGGCUGAUGUGUCUAAUUCAUAGAAAUUCAUUUCCAUCGGUUUCCAUUGGUUUGAGCACAAACAGAAACAGAGGUCUGAGGAGAAGUUUCACUUCUUGCGGUAUUAUGCCUUUGUUUCUUUAUUCACCAUAUUUGUUCGAAUUCAUGCCCUCAUUAAGAAUUUAAAGCCUUUUCCAGGCAGCUUUGUAGCCAAAUUUUGAUGCCAUAAAUGCAUGAUUGUCAUUUAGAUUUUCCGAAUAUUUGUUAUUUGGAGAAAUAUUGUUAAAAGGGCAUUUGAUUAGCUACUUACCCUAUGAAUUUAGUUGCCAAUAAUAGAUUGAAAUUGAGUAGGCUAAUGGUUGAGGAAAGUUAUUGUCUUAAUUAAAUUACAGGUGAUAAGAUGUUGCUUGUGUAAUCAGAUAAAUGGGGCAAAUGUCAGAACAAAGAUUGUUCAGUGCUGCUGGUAGGGCAAGGAUGAUGAUGGUGAGGAAGAUUGUUCACAAGCCAAGUAGAGCCCUCCAUUUUGAGAAAUAUCAUCCUCAAAUUUGAAUUGUUGAGCAUAUGAAGUGAUGCUAAAGCCUUAAUAUUAAGUCUUUCUGAAAGUUUCAUUUGAAUGAAUUUUCGGAGAUUGAAUGUUCUUAGCGUGAGUAAGAAAAUUAAGCACAUAUCUGCGAUUUGGAUCGUCGGUGAAUGUUUUCCUUUAAUAUUUGUACAAACCCGUUUCUUAGUAAAAUUUUCUUCAUGUCUUUUACUAUGACAUAGGCUAAUAGCCGUACCACAUAACAUUAUCUUCUUAUUUCUUUAUGCUUGGUUUUGCUACAUAUAAGAAUGCAAUUUUGUAACUACUUAACUCUGCUUCGGCAAAGUUAAGUAGUUACAAAAAUUUUUUUUUUUCGUUUUUCUUUCUCCGAUAAAAUUGCCACAAAUGGAAGCGAUUGGCUUGAUUUUUGCUUCUGUAAAAAGUGGUGGGAGCAAUGUCUUGUGUACCCGCAAGUUAUAAAUCGUCAUAGUUUAAAUGACGAAUCCCGAGUUGCCAUCCAAACUAAAGAAAUUGCAAAUUAAGUAGUUCAUUACAAAUGAUAUAUUUUGAGUUGCUAAUUAUUAAGUAUUUCAUUCAAAAAUGUUCUCGUUCCCACAGUUUCUAAUGUUUAAAGUGCAUCAUUGCUCUACUUCCGUCAUAACAGCAUAAGAGAAUUUAACAUAAUACUGAGAAAAUGAUUAUUUUACCCUAAAUGUAAAUGAUUAUUCUACCCUUAACAUAAAAUAACUAAUUUGCCCUAAUUUAAUAACGAAAAAAAUAGAUGACUGCAAUAUAGAUAUUAAAUAAUAAAUAAAAUAAAAAAUAAGAAUUAAAACUAAAAUAAUUAAAAGAGAGCUCAAGAGAAAACGCACUUUAAUCUGGUACCUGUACCCGUGGAUCGUGGCGAUGGCGGAUUGGGGCUUAUUACCAAGUCGUUUAAGAAUUUUAAACUUUCAAAUUUUUUUUAAACCUUGAAUUUUUUAGUUUAUUGGUUAAGUGAUAAAAUUUGGUGGUAGUUUGAUACUGUGUUGUAUGUUGUGUUAUUUUAGCUCAUUAACUUUGUUAUGUAAUUCUUCUUUAAAUACGACGUCGUUUUUGUCCAUUAAGAGUCCAAUGACAAGUUUAUCAUUCUGACAUGAGUAAAAUUCUAACGGCGUGAUGACAAUAGUGUAGAAAUGAUAGAUUUUGUAAACAUCAGGUGGAAUUGUUAAAAAAAAAAAUGUGGUCGUGUAUUUUUUAUAAAGUCUAAAACAUCAAGUGAUUAGAGAAUAUUUGUGCUUAAGUAUUUGAUUCAAAAAAAUUUCCACUCCUAGACUAUUUAAGUUGUAACCAAAACUGAGAAUUUUUUUUUUUUUUUGCAUGAUGAAUCUCGAUAUUUAGGAUGAAUAUUUUAAUAUUUAAGCUUAAUGGUCACCCACUAUUGGUAGAAGAAUUUUUAUUCUAACACUAUACAAUUUUCGUGUGAGGUGGUCUUGGGCUUAUCUCAACCUUAAAAGUCAAAAGCUAGCUCAAUAAGUGAGAUUUUUUUCUCACACUUAUGAAAUCACCACGAGCUCCUCCCACAACCAAUGUGGGAUAAUCCCAACAAUCUCCCCUCACUCAUCGAGCCUUGGGUUGGAAGCAUAAACAUCAAUUCUCCCUAUUAGAUUGUUGGUUGAGUUGUUGGUGAACCUGAGCUUUGAUACUAAUGUUAGAUGGUCUUGGGCUUCUCUCGACUUCAAAAGCUAGCUCAAAGAGAGAGAUAUUCCCUCACAUUUAUGAGGUCAUUAUCAGCCUCUUCCACAAUCGAUGUCGGCUAACCCGACAUUUCUCUCUCUAUAUAAUACAUAAGUUGGAUAAUAAAUUUAUAUCUCAAUCUAGGUAUAAACAUUAAUUUUAUUUCUUUUUAUCAAUCAUUAUCCUAUUGGGUCUAUCGACUCACCGUACAAAAUGUUGUAAAACUUCCCCGCCGAAGAGACUUUGGUAGCUUUGAGUUUGUAAAUCAAGUUCCUAUCCGUCGUCCCUCCUAAUCCAUUCUUCGGCCAAGUACGCCUGACAUUCUUGUACCUUACAACGUCAUAUUUGGCACAAAAUUCAUGAAACUUAAACCAAACACUAAACUAUUAUUAGUUCUCAACAUUUUAUAUCAUUCGACGUUUUGUGUCAGAAUAAAUAUUUUAUCUUUGAACUUCUCAAGCACUUAUUCAUGGCUUAUUUCUCAACUCACUAUGGAUUAAUGAUGCUGAUGAAAUUGUGGAUUAACCAGACAAUAUUGUAAUUAUUACACAUACACACAAGCACACGUACAUACGUACAAAAGCAUAUAGGAGUUGACCUUGCUCAGGAUUUAAAAAAAAUGAAUAAAAUUUUCCAAUAAUUAAUUAAGAUAAAAAAGAUCAUUAAAACCCGAGUACCCCUCGCAAUUGUGUCACUUGAAUUCUCUGUAUUUAUGCACAUAUAAUAUUUUGAAUGAAUCUAUAAUGAUGUUAAUUUUUUAAUGAACUUAAUCUUAAAUUAAAAUUUUCUUUUGAAAAAAAAGAAGAAAUCUUAAAUAUUAUAAAAUAUAGAUCAGUUGGAAAACUAUUCCUAGAAAUGCAUCUUAGUUUUAUUCUUGGAAAAUGUUUCCUUUCGCACUUGCGAGGAAUUAGAAAUUGAACAAUAAUUUUUAGACUUUUCAUUGUCUUUGUGGUUAUAUGGUUGUCUUUAAUAUAAAUAUAUGAUCCCGGAGGCCAAAUGUCUAAGUCACAUGCAUUUACCUAAUACUUUUUUCUUUUUUCUUUGUUUUUCGGAUAGGGCAAUUAUUUAAUACCUUGAAGAAAGAGAGAUAAAAUAUAAUGCAUGCCAAUUUGUUGCAACAAAGCUUUCAUAUCAAGCGUUGGCAUAAAUUAUUAUGCCAAUUUGUUCAAGACAAUAUCUUUAGUUGGCAUGUAAGUUUCAUUAGCCGGCGUCUACUCUUAAUUUAUGUCAAAUUAAGUAAUCGCUCCGCCCCAAUAAUGUUGCCUUUGAUCUCUCAGCCCCAGUAAAAGAAUUGGCUAAAAGAGAAUGUUGGUCACUGUUUAAGCAAGUAUGCUUUUGGCGGUCCUUUGAGGAUCUUCAAAAUUUAGAACUAAUAACCAAUCAAAUGAAAAAUUGCAUACAAGUGUAAAAGCUUACCCCUUAAUGCAUAGGUAAUAGGAAUUCUCUUGCUCAACAUAUACACCCUUUUCUUUAUAAUCUUUUACUUUUGCUCUUAAGCUAAAGCAUUAAAAGGCCCAAUAUCCACUCUUUAUAUAUAGUAGUUUCUGGUCCGGGAUCAUAAAGUGCGGGAAAUAUUCGGAAAAAUUUUAAAAUCGUGGGGUUUUAAAUGCUUAAAACUUAAAGUGCUUAAACUGAACGGUUAAUAUGUUUUCCUGGACGUUCCCGCAUUUUAAAAUUCCGGACUGUAACAUUUCUCUCUCUCUCUCUCUCUUUAUAUAUAUAUAUAUAUAUAUAUAUAUAUAUAUAUAUAUAGGGAGAAUGCCAAUUUCCCCCCAUAUUGUAAUCAAUUUAUAUCAUUUAUGUCCUACUCUUAUAUAAUAGCCAAUAACUCCUGGAUAGCAUAAUAUAACAAUAUUAUCUUUAAUUUUAAAUACACUUUUAUUUAUAUUUAUUAUAAAUUAAAUAAAACAUGUGAAUGAAAACUAAAAUAAAUAUUAAAUAUUAAAAACAAUAAAUAUAUGUUUUGAUGUGAAUAAAAAAUUAAUAGUAAAAUAUUUUUCUUGUACUUCUUUUAUUUACAAACAUUUUCUAAUAAUACAUAUAUAAGAAAAUUAUUAUAAAAUAAUUAUAAAUUAAUAUAAAUUAAUAAUAAAAUAGUAUAAAAUUAAUAAUAAAAUAUUUUUCUUGUACUUUUGUAUUUUAUAUAUUUAUUAUAAGAAAAUGUUUAUAAAACAAAAAUACAAAAAAAUUUAUUAUUAAUUUUUUUAUUCACAUCAAGACGUAUAUUUCUUGUUUUUAAUAAAUUUUUUUUUUACCAUUCAAUAUGAUUUGUUUAAUGUAUAAUAAAUAUGAAUAAAGGUGUAUUUGAAAAUAAAAAUAAUAUUGUAGGAAACAUUUACCAUUUUCUAAGAGAAGCUUAAGAGUGAGUAAAGGCUUGUUUAAACCAGAUAUUUUGAGCCAUAUAUUUUAAAAUACCUCAAGGCACCCUCAUUGUUAAAUAUGCUAUAUUUCUACUCUUACUUUUUCUUUCCUUUUAUAAUAUUACCCUUGCAACAAUAUUCUAACCUUUUUGAGGAUAUCAAUGAAAGAAAAAAAAUUAAUUUAUCAAAAUUUGCCUUAAAAGUAACAUAAAAAAUUCCACAAAUUUUUAUGUUAUUAUUUUACUUUUAGGAUUAAUUUGGUAAAUUAAUUUUUUAUAAAAUAACUAUUAGUAAAAUUGUUGCAAAUAUAUUAAACAUUUCUUUAAGUUGGAUAAUAUUGAUUUAUUUAUAAAUAAAUUAUUGGCAAUUAGUUCUUUCAUACUGAAAUUUAUUAGUUAAUUUGCUAAUCAAUAAUUAUUGGUUAAUACGCUAAUAAACUUUUAUAGAUAAAUUAAUUAAUGUCAAGAAUAUUAUUGCAAGGUAUUAUUAUAAAAGCAAAUAGAAAGUAAGUGCAAGAAUGUAAUAUAUUUAAUUAUAAAGGUAUUUUGAGAUAUUUUUGAAAUUAUAAGAACUAAACAAGCAUUUACCAGUUGAGAGAAGAUGAAAUGGGAAAAAUUCAAGGGUUAGGAUAUAUGAUGAGUUAAGGAUUAGGUCUUGUAAAAUCUUGAUUUGGGGAGAUGAUUUUGGAGUGUUUCAACCCUAAAUUCAUUUGGGAAGACUCAUUGACGUACACAUUAAAGGUGGAAAGUGUAGAGAGAGAGAGAAGGAGAAAGUGUGUGUUUAGAGUGAGAGAUGUGUAAUUCAAGUAAACAAGUUGGAUACUUGGAUUUCUCACUAAAUAGAGUAAGAUUUCCAUCAUUCUAUCAUUAUUUAUGCUAAAUUUAAUUUAAAGAUUUGUUUAUUUUAUUUAAAUUAAUGUUUCCAACAUAUGGUAAAGUGGUACGAAGAUAAAUUUUGUAAUUUGUGGAUUACUUUAGGUGCACACAGCACCAACAAGGCAUUGUAGAGCCAAAAAGACUUAGCACUUGAUGUUUCUGGUUCGAUAUAUAAAUAGCUAAUAAUUGUGUAUUAUGUUUAUGUAGUUUAUGGUUAGUAAUGAGAUUGGUGGUAAUGUAGCUCUAUAAUUAACUAUUUAUUUCCAAAACUAAGGAACUUCAUAUCGUAUUUUCUUCCAAAACUAAGGAGCUUCAUAUCAUGUAUUUCAUUAAAAAAUAGUCUCACUCUUAGACUUUAUGAGUUGCUGUGAAAAAUAAAUGAUGAUAAAUUUUCAUACAAAUUUAUUUUUAUAAAUUGAUACGACAUUAGUUCAUUGGUUGCAUGAAAUAUAAAAGCAGGUAGCAGUUGGUCCUUUGAGGAUCAUAAAAUUUAGAACCAAUCGGUCUAAAAAUUGCAUGCAAGUGCAAAGGUCUGCUCUUGUUGCAAAGGUAAUAGAGAAUCUCUUAUUCUCUAAAAGAGUAGUAGAAGAAUAGAAAAGAAUUCUAGAUGGUGAUAUGUGGAAGCUAGAAGAGAUAAGGAAAGGUCUUUUGGCUCCUUUAUUGUUGAGUUAUAUUGCUAUGCCAUCCAUGGUAAAAUGAUUUUUCUCAUAUUGUGCUGUCUUUUCAAAAGACUACAACAUGUAUAAAGAGGAACUAAUUACCCUAUGGAUGACUUAAAGUUACCUUAGUAUAACUAAUUACCCGGCGUCGGAGGGUUUACACCGGGAAAACACUCGGCGUGCUCUGACUUGUCUCUGUGUACGCAGGAGUUUGCGGAGAAGAAGCCUUACGAGGAGAGAUCCUGAUCGUGGUCGAGUUGGUUGAGGAGAGAGCUUGGUCGUGGUCGAGCAGGGAACCAAAAUCUCGCAUCAACACAGUUUCUGUUGCAAUUGUAUUGGCCUGGGUUUAGGGAACUGUCAACUUUCAGAAGAAGAUGGAGUUUCUCAAACCAAAUCUAAGAAGAUAUCUCACAUUCCCCACAUGGUCUCAACGCACAGGUAAGUUCUUCUCUAGCUCUGUUUUUCAUUGUUUGUUAUUUUUAAUGUAACUAAGAAGCAGAGUUAAUCUCUUAUCUUGUCCUUGCUUUGAGAAAACCUGCUUUUACAUCUAUUUUUAAUUCACAUGUCCACAGUAAUUUCAUUUUAGUUUGAGCUGAGUGAUAACUGUUCAAGGCUCACUUACUCAUUGGGAGAAGCUGCAUGACGCAGGCUGCAAGGAUUUAGAUUUUCAUUCGAAGGCUCACUUACUCAUAGUGUGCAUGUUUCGUUACGAUUAAAAUGAUUAGUCUCUUGUUCUUAAGUAUACAAUUUCCAAUGGAUUUGAUAGAGCGGUCAUCAACCAUAUUGAUGUUAUUGGAGUAGCACUGUUCUUAAGCACUGCUUUGAGGUCUCUCCCUCUCUAUAUACAUUGAUAGACUAUUCUGGUCGUACCAAAUUAUCCUUGUUUUAUUGUUUUGUUUGUUAAACUUUGACUGGGGGAAUCUGUUUAUUUGUCUGAUAUGAUGUUAGUGUGGUUUCGAUUGAAGUGUGUUGAUCUAUCACCAAGUAUUAUUUCAAUUUUUCUUUACCUAAUCAACUUGCAUACUUUCCAAGUCUAGAUCCUUAACAAUAGUGAGACUCCGCUACAGAAGUACGAUUUCUCUAGUUUUGUAGUUAAAUACGUAAGAAUAGUUUUAAAUUAACAGAACUCUGAGAUAGUUCUCUGAGGAAAUACAAGUGGUGAAUAUGGUUCCAACUUUUAAGUGCCUUAAGAUUCCCAUUUGUUCAGCCCUGUGCGUAAACAAUCAGUAAUUUCUGUCCAAAUUCUUCUUUAAUGCCUAUAUGUGUUGGACUUUGUCUACUGUUCAACUUCUCAAAUGGAUUCCAUGCAGGGUUUUGAAUGUCCAAUUAGGAGAAAGAUCAAGGCUUGCUUGGCUAGGAGUGGAAGCGGAUCCACUACUUCAGUCAGAUGACCUUUUGAAGAAGGCUUACAACAGGCCGUCUCAGGAUGUCAAUGGCUCAACUCAAAAGUCCCCAAAGUGGUUGAUAUCGAAGAAUGCCGUUGUCUCUGGGCUUGGGCUCCUUGGCAUCAAACAAGGGAAUGUCGACUCUGUUGAAGGGGAAGCAAGGGCUCCUAAAGUGCGAAGAAAGAGGAUAGGCCGGAAGAAGGUGACCGCAUAAAUUUCUUGGGAGUUGAUCCUAGUCAAUAGCCCAAUUUUUUUGUCAAAACAUUGGUCCCGAUUCCAGCAAAACAGUAACUUCCAUUCAAAAGGGUUCAGCGUUGAGUGCAUGUAAUCUGCACAAGUUUGACAAAAAAUAACCGAAAAAAAAAAAAGAAACCCACGUCCAAAGAUGCCGUUGAAAAAAGUUAUUGGGUAUUCAUAAUAAAAUAAACAAAUAAAAAAAUGAAUAAAAAUUUAAAUACUUAAUUAAUUUUUAUCAAAUUCUUAUCAAAUAUUUAAAAAAGUAUAUAAAAUGAAUUAAUUGAUGGUAUUAUUAAUUUUCAUGAUGAUUUUUAAUAUUAUAUUAGUGAUUAGUAAGUUUAAUACAAUCAAUAAUGCAAGAAAUUAUUAAAUGGUUAAUUUUAUUGGCAAAUUUUAUCAAAUACGCAAGUAAUGAAAAAUUAAUCUCAAGAGUUAGUAGAAGUAAAGUUCUAAUUUAACCAGAUGAUAGAUAAUAAAUACAAAUAAAUUUUAAGUAAAUCAUAAAUUAAAAAUAAAUAAAUUAAUUAAUAUUAAGUAUAAAUAAAAAAUAAUGACAUAAAUUAAAGUCUCAUAAAUGGAUAACUUUUUUUCUUUAAUCUUAUCCUAAGUCCCAACUAAAGGAAUGUGUAAAUUAGGAUUAUUAAUCCCAUAAUUUUAGGAUUAAACUUAAAUUUAGUCCCUUAGUCCAAUUCAAUUAAGCUUACCAAAUAUGAUAUAAAUAUAUAAUCACAAAAUUAGUCCAAUUCCAUACUUAAUCCUAGUAUUCGAACAUGGCCGGAUAAAAUAGUUUAGAUAAUAUACUUCUAUGGCUCACAAUUUAAAUAAAUUUGAGAAUUUAAAUAAGGGAUGGAAAAUUCACAAUAAUCAUACCAUGUACUGUCUUUUCUUCCUUUUCUUAAUUAAAUAAAAGAAAAAAAAUUAAUGACAGAACCACUGCUGUGUGAUAUCGAUGAAGUCGCAUUCGCCUACCUAAUAUUGCGCAAUCAGAUAGAAAAAAGGGUCGGCUGCAUGAUUUUUCCAACUUUUGUCUUAUUUUUCUCUUUUCCACUACAAAUUAAUUUGAGAAUGUUAUAUUUUCCAAUUCUCUUUUUGUCGUGACAUAAUAGACUAAAGCGGAAUCACAUACUUUUUCAAAUGACCAAAUGGCUUUGGCCUACCUGAUAAUAAAAGGAAUGGAUCCAUACGUUAAAGCUAAAUUGAAAAAUAUAAUAAAUAAAUUGUCAGGAGAUGAUUUUAUCAAAAAUUUCACUCGCACGGUCCCGACCAAAUACAAAUUUGUGAUGAUAUUCAUAAUGAAUUUAUACCAUUAGGCGAAAUUACUCUAUAUAGUUUCAUCGAUAUAUAUUAUACCAUUACAAAUAUACUAAUAUUUAUAAUAAAAAAAAUUUAUGACUAUUUUAAAUCGACUGUAUUAUAUGUGAAUUCACAAGAUUCAUAGAUAGAUUGCACUGAGCUUUUUGUUGCAGUUUACAAAUAUUUUGUUACUAAUUAUCUUAAGAGCAGCAAGUAACUAAAUACAAAUGUAAGAAAUUUCACAAGUGCUGAUGCUGUGUACUCUGCAGAAUUAAUAAUGGAUUAUUAUGAAUCAGAGAAACAGGGCAGACGCUGUACAAUUAUUGACGUGGUGGAGCAGAAAGCUAGCCCCACAUGGUGACUCCUUUAAUUUGCAGCACAAAAGAACGUUCACAUUGACAUUGACUCGAGGGUAAAAAGAAUGCAAACAUGCUUGAAUGAACAUUCUCACAGAAUACAUAAAAGCAAGAAAAGCAAUUGCAGCAUUUUCCAUUUGAUCUAAUAUCAGAAUGGCUCUUGCGAUCGUUUGCGCUCUCUUGGACCAGCUGAAUUCCAUUGCUCAAGAAAAGUGGAGGCUUUUGACGGGUGUCGAACAAGAAGUGGGAAAGCUUACUACCAAUCUUCAAGCCAUUCAAGCUGUGCUGGAAGAUGCAGAGCAGAGGCAAAUGAAGCAGGACAGAGCUGUUACUCUUUGGCUGGAUCAGCUCAGAGACGCAUCCUACGACAUGGAAGAUGUGUUGGAUAAGUGGAUCACUGAAACACGGAAAUCGCAGCUUGAUGAGGGCGGCGAUGAUGAAGAUGAUGAUAACGACAAUGCUUUUGUUACUCUUUUGACGAAGGUAUGUUCCUUCUUUCCUGCUGCCUCAAACUGCUUUGGUUGUUUCAAACAACUCAGUCUUCGUCAUCAUAUUACUGUCAAGAUUAGAGAAAUCAGUAAAAGGCUAGAUGAUAUUGCCAGACAAAAAGAUAGUUUCAAAUUUGUUGAGAAUGUGAGUAACAAUGUUAAGAAACCAGAGCGAGUGCGAACCACCUCCUUGAUUGAUAAGGGAGAGGUUUUUGGUAGAGUUGAUGAGAAAAAUGAGCUCUUAAGCAAGUUGUUGUGUGACAGUAGUGAACAACACCCUCAUAUCAUCUCAUUGGUUGGGUUCGGGGGUAUAGGCAAAACCACUCUUGCACAACUAGCCUAUAAUGAUGAUGAGGUGAAAAUAAAUUUUGAAAAAGUUAUAUGGGCGUGUGUAUCAGACACUUUUGAGGAGAUUAGGGUCGCCAAAGCAAUCAUUGAAGGUCUAGGCGAGUCAAAAAAAGCUUCUGGUUUAAGCGAAUUCCAAUCUCUUAUGAGCCAUAUCCAUAGAUCAAUUGGGGGAAAAAAAUUUUUUCUUGUCUUAGAUGAUGUAUGGGAUGGGGAUUCCAAUAAAUGGGAUCCAUUCUUCUUUUGUCUAAAGAAUGGUCUCCACGGAAGUAAAAUUUUGGUUACCACACGUAAUGAGUCAAUUGCACGUAUGAUGGGAACAACAGAGUCAGAUACUAUCUCCAUUGAACAACUGGCUGAAGAGGAAUGCUGGUUGUUUUCCAAGCAGUUAGCAUUUUUCGGUCGCUGUUUCGAGGAUUGUGAAAGAUUAGAACCAAUCGGGCGAAAAAUUGCACGCAAGUGCAAAGGCCUGCCUCUUGCUGCAAAGGUAAUAGGGAAUCUCUUGCGCUCUAAAAUUACAGUAAAAGAGUGGCAAAGAAUGUUAGAUAGUGAAAUGUGGAAAUUAGAAGAGAUUGGGCAAGGUCUUUUGGCUCCUUUGUUGUUGAGUUAUAACGAUUUGCCCUCCAAUUCGAUGGUAAAACGGUGUUUCUCAUAUUGUGUUGUCUUUCCAAAUGACUACAGUAUGAAUAAAGAAGAAUUGAUUAGUCUGUGGAUGGCUCAAGGCUACUUUAACGCAGAAGAAGACGAAGAAAUGGAGAUGAUUGGAGAAGAGUAUUUCAACAUAUUAGCAGCACGCUCUUUCUUUCAAGAGUUUAAAAAAGAUUAUUUCAAUGGUGAUUUUAUGUGGUGUAAGAUGCAUGACAUAGUACAUGAUUUUGCCCAAUUUAUAAGUAGAAAAGUAUGUCUGUGGCUAGAAAUUGAUGGUACCAAAGAAUCAGUCAUAAACUCUUUUGGUGACAAAGUCCGUCACUUAGGGUUAAAUUUUCAAGGAGGAGCUUCAUUUCCUAUGUCCAUUCAUGGACUUAAUAGAUUGCGUACCCUCUUAAUUUAUGAUAGAAGUCAUUUCAUUCCAUCUCUUAGUAGUAGCAUCCUUUCGGAGUUAUUUAAUAAAUUGGUGUGUUUAAGGGCAUUAGUUAUAAGGCAAUUUAACCUUUAAGUUUGCAUCCUGUGCCAGAUAGGAUUAGAGAAAUUCCAGAAAAUGUUGGAAAAUUGAUACAUUUAAAAUAUCUUAAUUUGAAUGGACUAUGUAUAAAGAGACUACCUGAGACUUUGUGUGAAUUAUAUAAUUUACAAAAGCUAGAUAUUAGGUGGUGCCGAAAUCUUAGAGAAUUGCCUGCGGGGAUUGGGAAGUUAAUGAACAUGAGGAGUUUACUGAAUUACGACACUCGUUCGUUGAAAUACAUGCCAAUAGGGAUUUCCAGAUUGACCAGCCUUCGAACAUUAGAAAAGUUUGUUGUGGGUGGAGGUGUUGAUGGCGGCAGCACGUGUAGGCUUGAAUCUUUGAAAAAUCUUCAACUCCUUCGUGAAUGUCGAGUAGAAGGGCUGAGUAAUGUAUCGCAUGUAGAUGAGGCUGAGAGGUUACAACUUUACAAUAAGAAAAACCUCCUUCGUUUGAAUCUCAAGUUUGGUAUAGCCGUAGAUGGGGAAGGCGAAGAAGGGAGGAGGAAGAAUGAGAAAGAUAAACAACUUCUUGAAGCCUUACAACCGCCUUUGAAUGUAGAGGAAUUACGGAUUUUGUCCUACGGAGGCAACAUGUUUCCCAAAUGGUUGACUUUGCUAACCAAUCGAAGGGAACUAAGGAUUGAUUUUUGUGAAAAUUUGCAAGAACUGCCAAUUCUAGAAGAUUGCAGGACAACAGACAUACCGCAUCUUUCUUUCUUGAUUAUUCAGAAUUGCCCCAAAUUAAAGGUGCUGCCGGAUUACCUUCUUCGGACGACGACGCUGCAGAAAUUGACAAUUUGGCGAUGUCCCCUUUUGGAAAACCGUUAUAGAGAGGGGAAAGGAGUAGACUGGCAUAAGAUAUCUCACAUUCCCCACAUCAAGUUGUCGCUGUGGAUGCCGUAAGAUAUCACUGGACGGUAAUUUCUCCUCCUCUGAUAUACUUCGUUGUUGCUUGCAAUGAAAUUAAUAAAAAUAAUUAUAUUUUGAAUUAAAAUUCUAUAUAGAAUCAAUCUUGGUAUAAAUAUGUAAAACUUCCUAGUUAUCAAAUCUGUUAGACUUGUUUUCUAUAUUUAUUUACUUUAAAAAAAUAUGUGCUCUUUUGUAAAAUUUGAUACAACAUCAUAGAAAAUCCCAAUGUAAUUUAUUUUUUAAUGUACGAAAAUUUGUUAUGUGUGACGUCCUGAGUGACAAAAUCUCCUUGAUACAUUUGCAGUAAUGUCGAAAACUAAAUUAUCAAUUUUAUCUUGUAUAAUGAUAAUCUUAUUUUUUUAUAUAUAAUUUACGUGACAUUAAUUCUUUAAAGUAAUUGUGUAAUUGUUUUUACUACAUUAGCCCACUUUGUUUUUUUUCAUACUUGUUUAAUUAUGUUCACCAGGGAUUCGAGGAAAUGUCAGAACUACACUAGCAAUUCACAGGUCCAAGCUAAUUUGGUUUUAAUGAUGCAGGCAGGAGAGCAAGACUAUGAAAAUGAAAAGUUUAGCCAAAGGAUUGCUAAAAUGUUCUGCUGGUAAUUCCCUUGCUUUAUUUUAUAGAAUUUCAUUUCUAUCUUCUUCUAUUGAUAUCUUGUUGUGAAUAAACAAGAACAGAGAGUAAAUGAUUGAACCACAGAGAAGUAAAGUAAUAUCAAAAUUCGCUAUUAUGAUGAUUUUAAAGCAAGCUCAAGCUCAAGCUUGCAUUUUUAUUUUAUUUUAUUUAUAGAACUUCCAUUUCCACCUGCAUUUCAUUUUUAUUAGACUCUAUGGAGCACAUUGGGGUAACCAAGGAUUAUCACUGUCGUUAUUGUGCAACGUUGGGUUGCUGGACUUUGAAGAAGGAAGCGAUGGCCGGGUCUGCUCUGUUUCAAUUGAGGAUGGAUAGCUGCCUGAAAGACAUGAUGAUUAUUAUUGCAUGAUGUUAAGGUGCUGAGAUCAUCAUUUCUAUCUUGUUUCAUUCUUGGAAUCGUUUAUCAUAUGCGUCAAUGGAGGCAGGUAUUUGGUGUUGACACUAUUAUGCAGGUAACCACACUUGAUAAUUUGCACAAAUUUGCGUUGUCAGAAUACCCUUUAAUAUUCAUUGUGUUUCUUUGUGUUAUCAGGUUAUCAUCUCCAAGGGUUUGAAAGAGCCUUUGCAGUUGUCAGAAUACCCUUUAAUAUUCAAUUAGGUACGUUUUGGUGCGGUCUCCCAAUGCUAAUAUCAUAUUUUGUAUAGCAAUUAAAAUUUAGCUAUACAAUUUUAAUAUGCAAUAAAUCAUUGUAUACAAAGUUUUUUAUUAAUUAUAUGGUGACUGAAAUUUUAAUUAUCAUAUCAAUUUAAAUUUUUUUGUAACUCUCUUUUACUUUGCUUGUACAGAGUACCUGUUUUGGCUGAUAUGUCUAAUUCGUAGAAAUUUAUUUCCAUCGGUUUCCAUUGGCUUUAGCACAAACAGAAACAGAGCUCUGGGGAAAAGUUUGACUUCUUGUGGUAUUAUGCCUUUGUUUCUUCAUUCAUCAUAUUUUUCGAAUUCAUGCUCUCAUUCAGAGGGUAAAGCCUUUUCAUGGCUGCUUUGUAGCCAAACUUUGACGCCAUUGAUGCAUGACUGUCAUUUAGAUUUUCCAAUAACGGUUAGAUUGGAGAAGAAUAAGAAGAUAUUGUUAAAAGGGUAUUUAAUUAGCGCCGUCUGAAUUUAGUUGCCAAUAAUGCAUUGAAAUAGUUGGGGAAAGUUAUUGUCUUAAUUAAAUUACAGGUGAUAAGAUGCUGCCUCAAUUUUGUAAGCAUCUCGUAUUGAGAAGAUUAAUUGUUGACAAGCCAAAUUUUAGGCAAAUUUUACCGUGAUUCUUGACAUCAUGGUAACACAGGUCAAAUUUUAGUAUCAAGACAUAUCUUCUUCUUUACUGUUCUGCCUCUAAAUAUUAAACUUUAGGCAAGUUGUUUUUGUUUGUGUAAGUUAUCAGGUUAAGGAUACCAAGCAGCUUAAUUGUUCACCACACCUGGUAGGAAUGAUCGCCAGGAAGAUUAAUUGUUGACAAGCCAAUUUUAUCAGUGUUAGAUUUUUUGCCUCCCUUUGAGAGAUAUCAUCAUCAAAUUUGUGUAGAGAAUCUUUGAAGAGAAUUUUGUUGUGAGAGUUUCACUGUAGUGAAUUUUGGGAGCUUGAACUCACUUGAGUGAGAUAAUAGAGUGUAUUGGGGAUUUGGGUUAUGAGUAAUCGUUAUCCUUCCAAUAUUUGCAAGCUCUUACUUGUUAGUAAAAUCAUCUUCGUAUAUUGACUCUGUUUCUUUGUUCCUUAUUUAAUUAGUUUCGAUUAUCAUAAUUAGUCACUCAUUCUGAAUUUUUCUAAUUUUAAAGUUCCUUAGGUCCGCCACCAGUUUUUCAAGUCUGCAUAUGGCUGCAAAAGAUCGAUGGUCAUAAAAUUAUCUUGAGCCUUGAGGCAUUGCGUUCGAGCUCACACUGUAACAGAGAUAAAGAUAAAGAAGACAGUAGAAGAUGCUCUAAACAUAACAAAAGUAUAUUUCUACGUCUUGUGGUUGCUUUAAUUUACUUUUGUUUCUUCUGUCAUCAUAUUUGAUUAAUUCGUUCGAAUUCACACUCUCACAUUAUUUAAAACUAUUUGUAGGUGGCUUGCAAGCUAGUUACGUUAAUGCAAAAACAAUACUCUAGACAAAGAUGAGCAAAUUAAAGGUGAUAAAUGCAAAUUGAAUGUCCAUGAAUAAUUGUUAGGCCGGUGCUGAUAAAUUGCUUCAAAGCAAGCAGCAUCUUCUGCUGCGAAGGCUUUCCCCACAUGAUAUGUUGUGAUUGUUACCGGCCCCGUAUUUAUUAACUCAGGUCAGUAUUAUCUUCUUCAUCAUUUUGGCUAUAUAUAAAGAUUAAAAUUUUGAACACUUGUCUCGGUUUCUUGUGUAAUCAGGCUAAUAGAGCAAAUGUUUACUGUCUAAGCACUAAUGCGACAAUCCCAUCUGUAAAUUUGGGCCAUCUUUGAUGUCUGACAGGUAAGCUGUGACAAUCCCAUCUGUAAGUACUAAUGCGCUUGGUUAUAGUGCUUUCAUUGGACUAUAUGCAAACAUGAGAUAUCAACUAUUGUGUGGAUUUGAUAGAGCGGUCACCAACCAUUUUGAUGUUAUUGGAGUAGCACUGUUCUUAAGCACGGCUUUGAGGUCUCUCCGUCUCUCUUUUACGUAUUUGUCUAUUGAUCGACAUCUCUAUAUAUACAUUGAUAGACCAAAUUACUCUUGCUUUAAUGUUAAUGUGGUUCCUAUAAAAGUGUAUAUAAAUCUAUCACCUCAAAGUCUGAUUUCAAUUUUCCUUUACUUAAUCAACUAGCAUCCUUUCCAAGUCCAGAUACUUACCAAUAGUGAGACUUUGCUACGGAAGUACAAUUUCUCUUGUUUUAUAGUUAAGUAUGUAAGAAUAGUUUCAAAUUUACAAAUUUCUGAUAUAGUUCUCUACGGAAAUGCGAGUGGUGAAUAUGGUUCCAACUUUUAAUAGGCUUAAUUGGCCCAUUUGUUCAGCCACAGUGAUUGCGGUCUGAAUUCUUCUUUACUGUCUCUAUGUGUUGGAGUUUGUCUAUUGUCCAACUUCUCCAAUGGAUUCCAUGCAGGGUUUUGAAUGUCUAAUUAGGAGAAAUCAACGGAUGACCUUUUGAAGAAGGCUUACACAACAGGCCAUCUCAGGAUGUCAUGGCUCAGCUCAAAAGUCCCCAGGUGGUUGAUACCAAAGAGUGCCAUUGUUUCUGGGCUUGGGCUCCUUGGCGUCAAACAAGAUAAUGGGAAAUAGGGGCAACUAAAGCGCGAAGAAAGAGGAUGGUCUGGAGGAAGGUGUCUGCAUAAAUUUGUUGGAGUUGAUGUAGUCAAUUGCCCAAUUUUGCUGCCUGUCGAAGAGACACAGCAUGGAAGUCCUCAUCAAACUCUGAGACACCUAAGAAAUAGUAUGAGGUGGUGGUAUUCCCCUGGUGUUAAUUUCCUGGCAAGUGUGGUUCACAGAUAGAGGGAUUCUUUUCUUGAUGUCUAAAUACCAAAUGUGAUGCAACGUCGUAUAUUCUAAGAUAUUAAAUUCUAUUUCAGAUUUCUCAUAUAGUGUCGUUGUCACUUCUGUGGUACACUUUUGAUCGCAAAUUUCCAUUUGAAGUAGCCGAUAUUCUUUACAGACUAAUUAUCUAAUGAUUAUUUUGUACAAAAAAAAUCAAAACUUUAAUUAUUUGAUCAUACUCAACUUAGGUCUUAUUCGAUAUUACUAGUUGUUAAUGUGUAAUAAAUGUAUGACUUUUAAAUAAUAAUUUUAAUAAAAAUAAUAAAGAUAUUAUAAGUUUUUUUUUAUAAUAAAGUAUGAGAUCAAAUCAAAUUAAUUUUGAAGUCACAAUAGCAAAUGUUUACCAAAACUAUUUAAUUAUAUGACUUAAAAGAUAUAGUUGUCCAAUCCCAACAAUAUAUAUAAAGAUUUACCAAACUUUACCCGACUUUAGUUGUACCCACUUGAUUAUGUAAGUCCAUUCUCCACGCGCUUGACCAUAUGAGAUGUUACUCAACUUUAACAAAUCUUACUUAAACUUUGCACGUUUGACAUGUUGGAUGAAAUAUAGCAUAUGAUGUGAUAGAAUACAAUAGGAAUGGUUGUAACAAGAUUAUAAUUAGUACUAGUUUGUAUUUUAUGUGAUGUAGAACGCAUUAUAUUACAACUUUUAGUGUUAUACUAAUUAAAAAUUUGAAUUAUUUUAUUAUUGUAAAAAUUUAAUAUCUUAAAUAACAGUUAUUUUAAUUAAGUAUUUUUGUUGCAAUGAAUUAUACUUUUUUAAAUAUAAUUGAAAAUUCUUAUUACUAAACUAAUAAAAAAUUAAUUAUUUGAGUUAUCUCCUAAACUACUUAGCUUACGAGAUAAAUUCACUUUGUUUAGAAUGAAACGGAUUACAUUUAGUACUAUUUUGUAUUUUAUGUGACGUAGUGUAUGAUUCAAUUAUAUUACAAAUUUUAUUGUAAUAAAAAAAUUUUGAAUUAUUUUAUUAUUGUAAAAAUACAAUAUCUUAAAUAACAAUUAUUUUUAUUAAGUAUUUUUUAAUGAUUUAAAAUAUAAUUGUAAAUUCUUAUUAUUAAACUAAUAAAAAAUUAAUUAUUUGAGUCAUCUCCUAAACUACUUAUUUCACGAGAUAAUUUCACUUAGUUUAGGAUGAAACGGUGGGUUAUUUUUAUGUGGGAGCCACAUCCUUUCCAUAUGAGAUGUUACUCAACUUUAACAAAACUUACUCAAACUUUGCACGUUUGGCAUGCCGGAUGGAAUAUGAUAGUAUAUGAUGUGAUAGAAUAUUAUAUGAUUAGAUGUAAUAGGAUUAUAUUUGGUCUUGUUUUAUAUUUUAUGUGAUCUAGUAUAUGAAUGGAUUAUAUUACAAAUUUUAUUGUUAUAAUAAUUAAAAUUUUGAAUUAUUUUAUUAUUGAAAAAAUAAAUAACAGUUAUUUUGAUUAAGUUUUUUUUUUCUGUUGAAUUAUAGUUUUAAAAUAUAAUCCAAAAUUUUUAUUACUAAACUAAUAAAAAAUUAAUUAUUUGAGUUAUGUCCUAAACCAACUUAGCUCACGAGAUAAAUUCACUUAUUUUAGAACGAAACGGCGGGUUUUAUGUGGGAAGCCACAUCCUUUCCAUAUCAACCUCAACAUCCAAACAUGAAAUUGGACUAAGAAUAGUUCUUUCCCAUGUAUUUACGUACCCUCCUGCCACUAAACGUAAUUGUAUAUUUUGGACCUUAUUUGACUUGAUUUUAUUAACUUAAUUUUCUCCAAUUUCCAUUGUCGACGUUGAGUGCAUGUAAUUAAUCCACAAGUUUUGAUUGAGCAGAAAUAGCCAAAAAAAACUGAUGAUAUGAUAAUAGCAAAAAAUCUAAUGACACCCACGUCCAAAGAUGCCGUUGUCACAAAGGCCUGGACGCCAUACCUCGAACCCAUCCCCUUUUACCAUGAGUGAUGAUACAGCCACAAACUCUUAUACAAACUUAUUUUAUACAAACUAAUGUGACAUCAAUUCAAUGGUUGAAUGAAAAUAUAAAAUAAUGAAAGUAAAUCAUGUGGGCCAAGAGAUAUUUAAUUUAACCAAUAAAUUGACGCCACAUAAGUUUGUACAAAAUAAAUUUGUAUAAGAGUUUGUGGCUGUAUUACUGUAUUAUUACUCUUUUACCAUAUUUUAUAAUUAAAGAGGUCAUUGUUUGAAAGAAAAGAAUGACAUGUUGGUAUGAAAUUACGUUAAAAUGAAUAUAUCACUUUUUUUUUUGUGUGAGUGAUGGCUUCGUUUAAUGACAAUUGGCAGACAAUGAAUCAUCUUUUAAUUUUAGUUUUGAUUUAAUAAAAAAUAUUAAUUUUUGUAGUUUCGGUAGAUGAAAUUUCGAAUCAAAUAUUAAUAUCGUUAAAGUACGCAACUCAAUAUUUACUUAAAUCAGAAAAAAGAUUAAUUGCUUUACAUGAAAAAGAAAAGAAAAGAAAAGAGUGAUCACUUGAUUUAACUUCCUUUACUAAAUUUACGAUUUAAAAUCUAAAAUGGAAAAAGGAAAACAAGUUUUGGAAACACACUCGGAGUUUUAAAUUGAUAUGAAAAAAGAGUUUAUUAUUGACAAUCUUUUUCCCAAAAUUUAAGCUAAGACAACAAUAUGUCCAAAAUACCCUCCACAUUAUCCCAAAACUUUAUAAACUCCCCCGUUCCUCUCAACAUCAUCUCUUCCAAAUCUUUCUUCCCCCCAAAAACCAGCCAUGGCUUCAUAUUCAAUUACCUCAACACUCCAAUAUUGGCUUGUAAACCACCCCCAAAUCCUCAACUUCACAUGGACUCCGAACCAAACACUAGCUUCCUCCCCACACUUCCUCAUUCUCUCCAUCCUCACUUACCUCUCCCUCACAUUCAUCCUCUACCACGCAUCAACAUCAACAUCACCACCUCUCAUUGGACCCCACAUCCUCAAGCCCAUCACAGCCGUCCAUAACCUCACCCUCUUCGUCCUCUCCCUCAUCAUGGCCGUUGGUUGCACUCUCUCCAUCAUCCUCCAUUUACCCUACCUCCGUUACACCCUUUGUUUCCCCACUACCAUUUCUCCGUCUGGCCCUCUCUUCUUCUACGCUUACAUCUUCUACCUCUCCAAAAUACUCGAAUUCUUUGACACCCUUUUGAUCAUUUUAUCAAACUCCAUCCAACGGCUCACGUUCCUCCACGUCUACCACCAUCAACCGUCGUUGUAAUGUGCUUCCUUUGGUUACAGACGAAGCAGUCUUUGUUUCCUAUUGCAAUUGUCACCAAUGCAAGUGUGCAUGUGAUCAUGUACGGGUACUAUCUAUUGUGUGUGAUGGGGUUGCGGCCAAAGUGGAAGAGAUUGGUCACUGAUUGUCAGAUUCUUCAGUUUGUGUUUGGUUUUGCUGUUUCGGUUUUGAUGCUGUAUUAUCAUUUCACGGGUUUUGGUUGCUCUGGGAUUUGGGGAUGGUGCUUCAACGUUGUGUUUAAUGCGUCCCUUUUGGCACUUUUUGUUAAUUUUUAUUCCAAGAGCUAUGCUAAGAAAAAGAAGCAGGGAUGAUCAAAGUGCUAUGAUUGUUUUGUGUUUUCUUUUUUAAUUUAUUUGAUUUUGGUUAAUUAUGAAUGGUGGUAAUUGGUUGAAUGCAAUUGAAGAGAUGCUUUCAGUUGCCUAAACUUUGUUUUUUCAAUUUUUGUUAUAGAUGUCAUAUGUCACCACAUUUUUUUAGUCUCUCCCUUUAAAAUUCCCUCACACAAACUUCGGAUUUGUAUUUUGUAAACUAGAAUUUUUCAUUUUCGUUAAUGUGUUAGCUGUUAUUAUCUACAAUUAUGUCAUACGACACACAUGUCACAUCAACUAAAAUUAGAUUAUGAAUUUUGGGCACAGGGCCAAGUCCCACCGUUUGGUAGGAAAUAAGUGUUGGAUCAUAAACUUGAUCCAAGAUAAAUAAAUUCAACCUUAACUCAUGGAAGGUUCCAUGAGUAGGUAUGGUUAGUGAGGUUUGAAUUAUUUGUGUUAGGUGUGGUAGGUGUGGUUGGUGAAGUAGGUGAGUGGUAGGUUUUAAUGGAUGGUGAGUAUUUGUGUAUUAGUUGAAUAAAUGAAUGGUUGUGAUUAGUUUGUUUCAUGGAUAAAUACCCCCUCUCCCCUUUGGUUUAAAUAUCAAGUGAAAUAACAAAAUCUCUAAGGUGUAGAGAGUGAAAAAUAAGAGUUGUAAUUAGUGAGGAGUGUUGUUGAAGAAAUAAAAUAGUGUGUUUUAUUUGUUAACUCUCCAACAAAGUGGUAUCAAAGCUAGUGCUUGAUGCUAUAUAUUGUCAUAUAGCAUAUCAAAUCGAAGAUCUCGAUGAGAGGAACGUGACGCCGCAAAAAUCAUCCUGACCAAAGACCAGACGCGCCCAAGCUCGCCGUCAGAAUUUUUCUGUCCUGAAGCUGAGUCGACUCACCGAGUUGAACCAACCUGAGUCGAGCCGAACUGAACCGAAUCAAGUCGAACCAAGCCAACUGGAGUUGAACCAAUCCGGACCGAACCAAGACUACUAAGCCAACGCUGACCGUUGACUGAAAGUUGACUCAAGUUCUUCCCAAGGCUUUUCGACGUGCCGGAUCCAUCUGUGCUUUCAGAAUCUCCAAAUUCUCACUCAAUUUGUGAGUUAUGGAAAACGGUGGUCUGAUGUCAUUUCAAGUUCCACAAUUAAAGAGAAGUAAGUUUGACAAUUGGAGUAUUAAAAUGAAGGCUCUAUUGGGUGCACAUGACGUAUGAGAUAUCAUGGAAAAAAAGCUUUAUUGAGCCAGAAAAUGAAGCCACUUUAACUGCGGCAUAGAAUGAGAAUUUAAAAGACUUGAAGAAGAAAGAGAAUAAAGCAAAGUAUCUCAUCUUUCAAUCAUUAGAUGAAGAUGCCUUUGAAAAGAUUGCUGGUAAAACGUGAGAAACUAGAGACCUCUUACAAAGGAGCGAAGAAAGUUAAGAAGGUUCAUCUCCAAAUAUUCCGAGGAGAAUUUGAGUCCUUACACAUGAAGGCGUCGGAGUCAAUUUCUGAAUACUUUACUUGGGUUGUGACCAUUUCUAAUGAAUUAAAAAGAAAUGGCGAGGAGUUAAAAGAGGUAAGGAUCAUUGAAAAAAUACUUCGAUUAGUAUACUCGAAGUUUGACCAUAUUAUUGUGACAAUUGAGGAAACAAGAGAUCUAGAGGAUAUGACGAUCGAGCAACUUUAAGAAAGGUUGCAAGUCUAUGAAGAAAAACAAAAAAAGAAGCAAGGAAUCGAAGAACAACUUCUCAAGAUGGAGGUCAAUCCAAAGAAAAGAAAAGAAAGCUCCGACAACGGAAGAAGGCAUAUUUAUCUCCCAAGAAAGCUAUACAAAGGAGAUUCUAAAAAAGUUCAAGAUGAAUGAUUGCAAGCCUAUAAGCACGCCAGUGGAAUGUAGAGUCAAGUUAUCUAAACAUGAUGAAGGGGAAGAUAUAGAUCCAACAUUCUUUAAAAGUUUAGUCGGAAGCCUACGUUAUUUGACAUGCACCAGACCAGAUAUCCUUUAUGUUGUUGGACUUGUGAGCCGAUACAUGAAGAAUCCAAAGACCACCCAUUUUAAAGCUGCAAAAAGAAUCCUUUGCUACAUCAAAGGUACAACUAAUUUUAGCUUGUUAUACUCAUUUUCUAAUGACUCCAAGCUUGUUGGAUAUAGCGAUAGCGAUUGGGGUGGAGAUGUAGAUGAUCGAAAGAGCACCACAGGAUUUGUGUUCUUCAUGGGAGAUACUGCUUUCACAUGGAUGUCAAAGAAGAAAACAAUUGUCCUGCUAUGCACCUAUGAAGCUGAAUAUGUAGCUGCCACAUCAAGUGUUGAUAAUAAUUUGGCUCAGAAAUUUGUUGAAGGAAUUAGGUUUGCCACAAAAAGAGCCAACCGAGAUUUGUGUUGAUAACAAAUCAGCAAUUGCCCUAUCCAAGAAUCCAAUCUUUCAUGAUUGAAGCAAACACAUAGACACUUGCUAUCAUUUCAUAAGAGAAUUUAUUACAAGAAAAGAAGUGCAAGUCAAGUAUGUAAAAUCACAAGAUCAAGCAGCUGAUAUCUUCACUAAGCCACUCAAGCAAGAAGACUUCGUAAAAUUCAGAAGUUUGCCUGGUGUCACAGGAUCAAGUUUAAGGGGGGGUGUUGGAUCAUAAACUUGAUCCAAGAUGAAUAAAUUCAAGCCCAACUCAUGGAAGGUUCUAUGAAUAUGUAUGGUUGGUGAGGUUUGAAUUAUUUGUGUUAGGUGUAGUAGGUGUGGUUAGUGAAGUAGGUGAGUGGUAGGUUUUAAUAGAUGGUGAGUAUUUGUGUAUUAGUUGAAUAAAUGAAUGGUUGUGAUUAUUUUUGUUUCAUGUAUAAAUCUCUAAGCUGUAGAGAGUGAAAAAUAAGAGUUGUAAUUAGUGAGGAGUAUUGUUGAAGAAAUAAAAUAAUGUGAUUUUUGUGUGUUUUAUUUGUUAAUUCUCCAACAAUAAGGAGCAUUAAUGAAAUAUGUUUAAUUAAGUAAUAAUUUGUUAUUUUAGAGUGAAAAAUAAGGGUAAAUUGUAUUCUACCCCAUAUUAGAUUGACAAACUUCAAUUUACCCCUUAAAAGUACAAAAACUUCAACUUAUCUCCAAAUACCAUUUUCUUCCCGUUAAAUUUAACUAUCGAAAGUAUAAAAUUAUAGUCUUACAUUCUCUCAACAGUCAACUCAUGGAUAAGAAGUCAAAACAUAUAUAUAAGGUAAUUUCCAUAAAACCCAAUGUAGGGGCGGGCAAUUGUUUGGUUUAGAAGUUAGGAACCGAAUGGUUUGAAAACAAAUGAACUGAUUGGUUUAUAUUUGGUUUACUUUGAACUGACAAACCGAUUGGUUCGCUUAAACUUAAUUAAAAAUACAUUUAUUUUAAAAUAUAAAUGCUUAAAAUAAUUUUUUUUUUCAUUUUUCAGUUUCCUAAUCUAAAAAUGUUUCAUAACCCUAAAUCAGCCGCCAUCUCUCUCAAGGUCGACGGCGGCACAACAAGCUCUCUCGGUCUCUCCCUCGCAAUCUCAUGGUGAUUGAUUUCUCGUGAUGUCUCCACUUUUGUUUCUUGUUCUUGUGUGAUCGAAUUCUCUCUAUACACACAUAGCCUAGCCUCUUGUUUUUUGGCUCAAUGGAGUUUCGUUUCUUUUCUCUCAGUUUCUUUCCUGUUGAAUUCUCGUGAUGUUUCUAUUUUUUUCUUUUUUUUUAGACAUGUUUUCGAAAUUGGCAUAAUACGAACCAAACCUGAACUGAAUUUCAAAAUCAAAUCGAAUUGAACCAAACUGAAAUUUUUAUGUUCGGUUUGGUUCGAUUAAAAAAUUUGGUAUGCGUUCGGUUCUCUUUCUUACGAACCAUUGGGUUUUAGUUCGGUUCGGUUUUGGUCUAGAAAAGAACUAACUAGAACCGAACCAAACCAAACCAAACCAAACCAUUUACUGGCCACCUUGCUCAUAUGUUUCAACAAAUUUCAAUGCACACUUAAACAUUUCAAUAAAAUUCGCUUUGUACCCAAAUUGAUAAUUUUUACUUUUUAAUUAGUUAAUUGUUAACUGCAGAAGUAUAAAAAAUUAUUUCUUUUUAAAAUAAGAAAAAUAAUUUUUUUCUAACUUUUUUCCUUUUUUAUUUUCUAGUUAAUUUCUUUAUCUGGUUCGGUUCAUUUUUCCCUUUUUUAUUUCUUACUGUUUUCCGCAUGUUCUCCACGCUUGAACUUUGCCAAGCAUCAUAAGGCCACAGUAGCCAUGCCAGCAACUUGCAACUAGGGGUGGGCAAAAAAACCGUAGUCUUAAAAAAACCGAACCGAACCGACGGUUUUUUCUAAUUCGGUUCGGUUUUUAUUUUUUUAAAAAACCGAAUAUACCGUUUGUAAAAAAAACCGAAAUGUCGGUUCGGUAUUCGGUUCACUUAGCUGAACCGAAAAACCGAACCGAAAAACCGAAUUAUUUUUUGAUUUUAUUCAAAUCAAACAUGUGUUAAUAAUUUUAUUCAAAUCAAACAUGUGUUAUUUCUCUUUAUAACAUUAUGAUUAUGUUUAUAUAGAUGGAGUAUUGGAGUUUGGUUAUAUAUUUUGAAAUUUUAAUAUUUCAUAUAUUUGGGAGUAUCUUAUUAAUAGUUAGUAAGAUAUUAGUGAUAAAAUGUGUUUUGAAUACUUUGUAUUUAUUGUUAAUAUUUGUAAUAAAAUUAGGAUAAAUUAAUUGUUGAAAAAAAUUAUUACAUUUAUGAGGCCCAAUGGGCUAAAAAUUUUAAAAUUCAAAAUAGGCCUAAUAGGCCCAGAACCGAAAAAACCGAACCGAACCAAACCGAUCUGAAAAGAACCGUUUGAGUUCGGUUCUUAUUGAGUUUGGUUCUUAUUCGGUUCUUUUUAUAAAAUAACCGAUUUAAAUCGGUUCUACUUAAUUUCGAACCGAACCGAACCGAACCGAACCGAACCGUGCCCACCCCUACUUGCAACAAAGUUUAGAGCUGCGCGAUGGUUGCAGCAACGUUAACGCCGCUAUUCCAAGUCUUGGCCCAUCAUCUCCUUUUCAACAAAUCUUAGCUUCUUCCCAAAUUCAUCAAUGAACCCCAAAACCAGAAUAAUCAUUAAAAUUAUUAACAACCAUUUGCUUGGAUCAAUGUAUGCUUGGCAUGUCUAUGGGCUUACUUGGAAUGGUCGCUGAUGGCCAUGGGCUUGCUUGGAUUGGCCGCGCACAGCCAUGGGCUUGCUUGGAAUGCCGGUACCCGUUUGCCACGGUUUUGCUAGCGUAUCCAUGGGUUUUGUUGGACAUGGCAGUGCGAGGCCAUGGGUGUUGCCGGACAAUGGACAUGGGUUUUGCUGGGCUGAUUAGGAAUUAACAGAGGCUAUGGAGUUGUUCAGUGUGUGAAAGAGAAAAAAACAUGAACGAAGAAGAAUAUGAACAGGGAAUAGAACGAAGAAGAUGAAGAAAGUAGAAGAGAGGGAAAAAAUAUUUUGCUUUUUUAUAAAUUUUCGGAUUUUUAUUUCAAAAUUUAUAAUUUUUGUUUAAAUUUGAGAAUCUUAAGGGUAAGAUUUUCUUUGUAACUAUGUGUAGAAGGAGGUUUUCAGAUGGUUUUUGGUUGGGUUAACAUGAAAUAUGCUUGUUUUAUGAAAUAUUAUUAUUGAGGUUUUGUUUUAUUUUCUAAAAAAUAGAUUAGAGGAUGAUUUUCAUUAAUGACACCCAUAAAGUUUGAAUUAGUUAUAUUAUAGAAAUAGUAGGGAUUUAAAUGAUAUAUCUUUUCAACAUAAAUAUAUCAGUAACAUAAGUUAUUCUAUAAUUAACAGGGUAUUAUCGUAUUUUAGUGAGUCAUUAUUGGUUGAUAGUUAUAUUUAACAGAUUUUAGACAGUAAAUUGAAGUUUAUUUUUUUUAUUUUUGAGUAAAUUAAAAUAUGUCAAUCUCAUAAGGGGUUAAAAUAUAAUUUAUCCAAAAAUUAGUGUUAAAAUUUUAUAGAUGAGUGUAUAUUAAGAUGUUCAAAGUAUUAGAACAUAAAUAAUCUUAGUUUUAAUAAAAUUUUGCCACAUAGUGAAUAUUAUCCUCAACCUCAAGAGAAACAUAUCAAUAAAAUAUACAAAAAUAGAAUGCAUUAGUACAUGUCAAUAACAAGACCAAUUAGAUCAUGUCAUAUUUGUUAUGUAGUUAUUUAAGCUAAUAGAGUAAGAAGUCCCAAAUACAUGUACAUCAUAUCUUGGUGAAGAAAUCGGUUCUACCCGAAAUACUUCUUCGUAUUGAAAUCAAUGAUGAUUGCUUGUUUAAAUAAUGAAAGUUAAAAUAAUUUUGUAAAUAAUUUCAUUCUUUAAUUUACGGUAUACAAAUAAAUUCAAAAAAUGUUAAUUUCUCUCAUACUUUUAGGACCCAAAAAAUAACAAAAAGUCUUAACAUAUUUAAUGGUUAUAUAUAAAUCAUCCGUACGUAUUUUUCUUGAGAGAAGCUCAAUUCGAUAGACAAUGCUCCCCUUAAUUUUCUUUUCUAAUUAGAUAAAAGAACAAGAGAAAUUGAUUACAAGAAUAACAAACUUUAAUUUACUUCUUAAAGGGUAAAAACCUUAAUUUACUUCUUAAAGGGUAAAAACCUCAAUUUGUCCUUAUAUUUGUUCAAAAGAUACAUUUUGUCUUCUUAAUAUAAACAAGUUAAAUUGAUGUUUCACAUCUUUUAGAAAUAAAUUAAAGAUUGUUAUUUUAAGUAGGAGGUAAAUUUCAAAUAAAACAUGUGUUCAUAUGAUAGAUGUGCAUUUUACAAUAAUUAAUAAACAAAAGGGUAGUGAUAUUUUCAACCUGUAAUUUUUGUAAAUCCACCCCCACUCCCAAGAAAUAAUUACAAUAAAUUCACAUAACUUUUUUAAAACUCAAAUAAAGAAAAAUUUUGGAGAUUUAAACUAUUGUAUACAAGAGGAUAAGAGUAAAUAUUUUUCAUGCAGUAUAAAAAGAAUGCGACAGCUCCUUUUCUUUCGGUAUUUUCACAACAAAAGCACACUUAAUAACUCAUCAAAUUAUUUCUCCUUUUCUUUGAUCGCUUCCCCUCUCCUGGAGCUGCUGAACUCCUUUGUUGCUGAUGAAGGGAACAAGUGAGGCUUUUCAAAAGAGGGCAAAGAGAUGGUGAUUCGAUUUGAUUCGAUAAUAGUAGUUUAUUUUAAUUGUUAUUCAUUUGAUUUCAUAGAAGUAAUUUUUAUUUUCAUUUUUUUGUUGAAAAUUGGUAAAAACGAACUAAAAUGAGAUAAUUACAUUAAAACAAUCUUCAAUGACUAAAGUAAUUUGAAAAAAUAAAAAUAAAAAUAAACAAGCUCAAAAUUUACCCCUAAUCCGAACAUUAUCCGAAUUCAGCCUAAUUGACCCAAAUCUAAUUGUAAUCCAAACUUGACAUGACCCGCAUAUAAUUAUAACCCGAUCAGAUCCAAACUCGACCUGAAUUUUUAAUUCAAUACGAUCCAAUCCAAAUAUUCCAAUCCCAUCAAAAUGAAACUUGAUUGGGUUGAUCCGAACCCGAAUUUGCCACUUCCGGAGGAGACCAUGACCCUAAAGGCUUUGAAAUAAUCUUUGCGGUUUCUUAAUGAAAUAGUAAAAGUUAUGCGCAAAAAGACUGUUUUGACCCUAGAAUACAUGAUAUAUAAAUUUCAGACAUUAUAUUCUGUGAAAUAAAGUCAAAGUAAACUGGUUGUUUGAUUUUUUAUUAAUUAUUUUCCAUUAUGACAAAAUGACAAAUAGACUUUAUUAAAAGUUUAAUAAAGUUUGGGCCUAACUCCUUGAUUUUUAUUUUUUUUAAUUAUUUUUCAUUUUGUUUUUUACUUGCAACAUUAGCUUUAAUUAUCAAUAGUCUCCAAAUCAAAAUGACUGCAACCUGUAGCUACAAGCAAAAUUCUCAAAUUUUGAAAUUUCUAACGACUACAUAAGAGCUAUAAAUAGAAAAAUCAUCUAAAAUUAAUCCUCCUUCAGAGGCAGAUUAAAUUCUUAGUAAUUUCAUAUAAUUUCAUUUCAUCAGAACAAUUUUCCAAAAGCAAUUUUAUAAAUGGUUGUCGAAAGCUUUAUCCCUUAAUUAUAUGUCACGUAUUUUCUUUGUGAUAUGAGGCGUGUCCAUAGACCAUAGUAUGAUAUUUAUUGUAAUUAAAAUCAUUAUGGAACUGAUUUUAUUCUUGUUUCUCAAACAAAAUAUCUAACUGCAGAUGUAAUAAAUUACUAAUUACCAUUAUUUGAGUCGCACUCUUUGAAUUGGAUCUUGGAGUUUCGAAUGACCAAAUGAAUUAGUGAGAUAAUGGCUUUUGCUUUUGUCUACCUGAUAAUAAAAUUUGUCCACCAUAUAGACAAGAAAUGGAUCGGAUCCAUAUGCUAUAGCUAAAUUGAAAAAUUUAUGUGGAGUUUUAUUGUAAGACAUUUUUAUCUGAAUAGAAAAAAUAAAUUUUUUUUAUUUUUAUCUAAAUGAUAAAAUAUCUGAAUAAAAAAUCAGUUUUCUUCUCACAAAUACCCUCAUUAAAUAUAUUUAUUUUCUACUUAGCUAUUAGAUGUCAUAUUAGAAUUUCCUUUGAUCUCAGAUUUUACUUGGUAUUAAAUACUUAAUCUGCGUUCGAUUCGAAUUUAGACAAAUUCUUUUGUCAUUAGAUAACAACGUUUUUACUGAAUUUGAUGUUCAUACAGAAACAGUCAAGUCCUUGUUGACUGAAAUUGGCAUUUCUCUUGUCUCUGCUCCUAUCAUUUGGUGUGAUAACCAAAGUGCAGCUGCCUUAGCAAGUAAUCCUAAAUUCCAAGAACUUAAAUUUAACUCUAAUAAAAGCUCAAAGUUAGUUAUGUUCCAAGUUCUCAUAAGUCAUAACUCAUCUGAUAUCCUUACUAAAGCUUUAGCUUAUCACCCUUUUCAUUAUCUGAGAGACAAGCUCACCCUGACUUCACUAGGCUGAGCUUGAGGGGAGAUGUUAAGAGUAUAAGCUGAAGCUGCUGAGCUGGCUGGUGACGUGCUGACGGUGUUGAGUUGACUAAUGUUUUGUAACUAAGUUGCUGAGCUGGAUUGGGUUGUUAUUUGCACUGAAUAAGUUGUAACGAAUUGUCCAGCUGGCUUGUUAUGAUUGGAAGGCUAAUUAGUUUGUUAAUAUUGCAGCUUUGAGCUCUGUUUCUGUAAUCAGUUUUGAGUGUAACUAUAAAUAUCACGCUCAUAAUGUAUGAUUUCAGCUUUAAUCAAUAAGAAUCUGUGAUUGUUCCAGAAACUUCAUAGUCAAAUUUUCUUUCUUAAUUUUCUUUCACUUUCUCUCGUGCCAAACACCUUAUUGAUUCAAAUAAAACUCCAUCCAAAGGCUCACGUUCCUCCACGUCUAUCACCAUGCAACCGUCGUCGUAAUGUGCUACCUUUGGUUACAUAGUAACCAUGUUAAAUUGGAUUUUCUAUAUGAUAUUAUCGUUAGCUUCAUUGUUUAAAUAUACCGUUAGUGAAAGAAUCGUUCGUGAUUAGGUACUUUACAACUACAACACGAUAAGCAAUCAAAGUUACAUGAAAGAAUCAGUAAUUAGUAGUUAGGUUAGAGGUGAAACGUGCAUGUUACAGGGAAGUAGAAAACAUGUCAAGUUGUUAUCAUAAAGUGAAUAUCCAAUUUAAGAAGAUAAUAACUGGAUUUUGAAUUCAAUUUCACUCUGUUUUAGUAGUAUGUAUUAUAUCUCACGAAUAUGAUAUCAGUGAAAAAUGUAUAAGUUAUGGGCUUUGAAUUUAUAUUAAUGCAUAUAUACUAGCUAUGAAAAUGACGAAUUCUAAACAGAUUUUGCUAUUUAACAAGUAAUUAAGAGGUCUAGCAAUCAAUUAAUAAAAAAGUAAUUCAAUAUAACAUUGCUACAAAGAAAUUAAACUAUAUAUAACAACUAUUUCAAUGAGACUAAUGAUAAUUAUAUCUAAGGUUUGAUCGAACAAACGGGCAAGAACAGCAAAAGCUAAUCUUAAUUUAGAAAUUUUUAUAAGGGGGGAGGAUUGUAAUAUACGCACUUGGACUUUCUUAAUAAAGUGCUGAUUUUUAUUUUCCUCUUCUCUAUUAAUUUUUAAUUUCGUCACUAUAGUUUAAUUGGGAUAAAUUGAGCUCGAUUAUACGCGCCGAUGGUCGGAUUUUAUUUUCGUAACGGGUCUGAAAUUCGCUUAAUUUGUAUUAAGCUUAAAAAAAAAAAAAAAAAAAAAAAAAAAAAGAGGGGCAGAAUUGUAUAACUGGAAAGAGGGAAACGGGUUUUCCAUUUUAGAGAGAAAGAACCCGAGAAGAGAGAGAAAGAUAGAGAGAGAAGUCAGACCCGUUGACCCGAGAACCCGACCCAGUAACCCGCGGAUUGACCCGACGAUUUCUCCCAACUCCAGCCACUUUACCGGCCGUGCUUGGUACCGAUCUGAAGCUUGGAAGCAGACCAUCGUAUCCCUGCUGUUAUCGUCGCCGGAAACUGGCCAGAACGCCGGUGAUCGAGCUCGAAAAGUCGCGGCUUCGACCCGUUUUCGUUGCCGUUGAUCCCGCCGGAGUUGUGACGCGCCACCACUUGGAACUGGUUCCUCACAUCCCCAGCAACAUUUCCCGACCAGCAACGACCGCCGGGGACGCCCGGAACUCGCCGAAUGAUCUCCGAAAAUUUGCGGAACUUUGGAACUUCGAUCCGCCGCCGGUAGCGCGCGUGGCGACUCACUGCCACCACCGUUGGAUUCAUCGAGGCCGGAACUAGCAGACCUAAGCUCCCCGUCAUCGUUGACUGAAGUCCGGUCACCGUUGACCGGCAGGGGCAAUUCGGUAAAUUCAUGAAACUUUGGGGUGAAUUUGUAAUUUUAUGUAAUCAGUGGACAUUUCGGUAAUUUUAUGCCCUGAGGGUAAUUUCGUAAUUUCGGACAAUGUGAUUAAUUUAUGUAAUCUGAAUUGAGGACAAUAUGGGUAUUAACGAAUAUGAGGAUAAUUUGGUAAAAUCAUGAAGUUUGAGGAUAAGUUGGUAAAAUAUUGAUGUUGGGGUAUUUUGGUAAUUUUGGCCUAUAGGGGCAUUUUGGUAAUUUUAUACAUGCGGGACUAGUUUAUCGUUAAUAGAUAUUUGUUUCGAGAUUUAUUAUAUUAAUUGGUUUUUACGGAGAAUAAUUAUGGUGUUUUCCGUGAUUAGGAGGAUCCGCAUCCGCGAACGAGAAUCUACCCGCGGACGUUGUUGAUACUGAGUCUAGACAUCAUCACUGUGAGUGGAAUAUACAAAACCUAUUUUCAUAGUAUAUGCUGAUUUUCUUAUAUAGUACAGUAUGUUUGAGAAAUAAAUGUUUAAUGCGUUGAUUUAAUGAUUUUCCAGCGAAUUGACUUUUAUUUAUGUGUUGAUAUUUAUUAUGAUUGAGAAUGAGUUCGAUUUAUGAUUUUAUUAGCGUUUUUGAGUAAAAGCAUGAUAUUAGAAUUGAGCAGACUUGAGAUAUGUUGAAUAGAAAGAAAAUGAGAUUUCAGAUGGGAUCAUAUGUUUACUAUCAGUUUUGAAAUCAUUAGACAGUACCCUUCCCUCCAGAUACAGAGAUACAGAUAAAAAGAGAUACAGAUAAGAGAUACAGAUAAGAUGAGAUAGAGGCCUUUGGGGCCCGUCGGGACACACAUAGAGGCUUUGGGCCGUGUGUUCGGGCGCUUUUGCCUUUUGGGGGCUUAUGCAUGCACAGUACAGAUAUAUGAGAUAAGAGAUAUGAGAUAUGAGAUGAGAUCGUCCCCAUCUAUCCGUUGUGGCUCCGGGGCGUGACGUUACCCAGAUAGUGCGUUAUUGCCUGGCCGUUGUAGCCCGGAUAUGAUCAGAUUAUCCCCUGGGUACUUGUUUGAUGACAGUUUUUAGUAUUCAGUAUUUAAUAUGAGUAUGGUGAUUCCAUCGAUUUUAUGCAGAUUUAUUAUUGCAGUUAUUCAAUUUGAAUUAAAUGAGUUUAUGAUAUUUUGAGAAAUUGAUUUGAGAAUUGAUUUACGAAAUUGAAAUUGAUUUAAGAAAAGAUUUGAGAAAGAUUAAAUGAUUUUGAAUAAUUUAUUAAAGUAUCAGCACCUACUAUCCACUCACUGAGCUCACUGAGUUUUAUACUCACCCCUCUUUUAUUAUAUUUUUCCCCCCACAGGAGAUUUACAGGUACAUCAGUCAACCCAGUAGUGAACGUUAGUUUGAUAUUGUGGUCACGUGAUGGUGCUAGAAGUCGUGGAUUUUAUUAUUAUAUUCGAAAUUUGUGUUAUUAUUUUAUGUUAUUAAGGAUAAUCGUUGUAUUUUAAUAUUCGGAUGAUUUUGGUGAUAUUUGAGAAGUUGGUUUGAGAAGUUGGUUAUGGAGGAUGUUUGGUUAUUAAAUUAUUUCGGGAGUGUUAUUUUGUCAAUUGCAGGGUUGGAUAUGUUUUAUUUAUAAGGGAGACUCUGCCGAAAUUUUUAUAGAUUUGUUAUUAAUUCGAUUUUACGAGUUUAGAUAGACUCGCCCUGGGGGAGGUUGCGGGGCGGGUCGUUUCAGUUGGUAUCAGAGCAUGGUUUUAGAUUCUGUAGACUUUAUGGUCGUAAAUAGAAUAAGUUUUGAUUAUUAAGUCGGAUUUACUAUUUUGUAGGCACCAUCAUAAUUAAAUUAGUUAGAAGUAAAAUUAUCUCUCUAGUAUUAUGCAAGGGUAGAAAUUUGGGUUGUACCAUGUUAUAAUUAUCAAGGAUAGUUUUGAUAGAAUUCUAAUUGUAAUAUAUGACUGUAUAAAAAAAAAAGAACAUUAAUGAAAGAUGUUUAGGUAAGGACUAUCUUGGAAUAGAAUUUUGAUUGUAAUAUAUCAAUAUAUAAAAAAAAAAUUUAUGAAAAAUGUUUAACAAGGACUGUUUUGAUAUUUUAAUGAGUAGUAAAAAUUAAUGUUAAAAUUUGAUAGAACAUAUAUAAAUAAUCCUAGCUCUAAUAAAAUUUUGCUACAUAAUUAGUUUAUCCCUUAAAGAAACAUAUCAAAAAAAUAUACAAAAACACAAUGCAUGAGUACAUGUCAAUCACAAAUGAAAGCAAUUAAGAUAAAGAAUAUGAUUUAUUUUAUUUUAUUUUAGUUAUUUUUUUGUUUCUUUUGAAACAAGACCAAUUAGAUCUGCAAGAAGUAAUUUUUUAAAAAAAUAAUAAAAAAAGGAGAAAUGAUGAAACCCACGUCCAAAGAUGCCGUUGUCGCGGAGGCCUAGAUCUCACUACACCCCAUCCCCUUCUACCAUAUUUUAUAAUUGAAGAGGCCAUUAUUGAAUUGAAAAAUUAUGAUUCAAAUAUCCAAAAGUAGAAAAAGAAAAGCAAUUGUUGGAAACACACUCGGAGUUUUAAAUUGACAUGAGAAAAGAAUAUAUUCAUCAACCUCAUACGUUAAUGAUGCGACGAGUUUAAGAAUAUAUUCCUAACGUGUGGGAAUUUAAAGACGUUACUACAAAACAUGUGUUCGUCGGUGGAGUAGAAUCAGGGAAAUUAAAGAUGCUACUACAACCACUAACGUGUGGGUGGAGAUAAGCAUAACUUUUUUCAUCAAAUGCCAAAUCCCCCCAGGUGGAGAGUGGGGACUCCUUCGCAUAAAUGUUGAUAAAAUUUUGACUAUGAUGUUAUUAGGAAUUAAGGGAAACUGUGGUGCAAUUGUGGUAUCGUGUCACAGUUGUAUUUGGUCGUUGGAUGUCAGUAGACCCUACCCAUAUAAGUGUAUCUAAUGGCUAAAUGUAAUUAUAACACGGUACCGCAAUUGCACCGUAGCCGAACCCUAAAAAUUAAGAUAUUCUCUCUCUACGUAUGCCUGCACGAAAUAAAUAAUAUGCAAAUAUAGUAUUUUAGUUUAUUAUUAAUAGUUUUACAAUAAUAAAAAUCAUUUUGAUAGACUGGAAAAUGUCAUAUUCGCAUUUUAUUUUGUACGGACGUCUGCGAGAAAGAACAUAUAUAUAUAUAUAUAUAUAGAGGAACGUGUAUUUAAGAUUUAGCUAGUGUGAAGUUGGGAAAUUUUUUUUUUGAACCCAGGCUAAAAUUAUUUCAAUAAAUUUUGAUCAUGGAGACUAAUAAGAUUUUUUUAGUUAUAUUUAUUAAUUUUUUAGGGACUAAUAAAUUUUGAUCAUGGAGACUAAUAAGAUUUUUUUAGUUAUAUUUAUUAAUUUUUUAGGGACUAACAUGAAUAUUAAUAAUUUUAUUGAGAUUAUUAAAAAAACAAUGUGCUAUUUUACAUCUAUGACUUUUCCAAUCUUUUUUUCUUUCGUUAUUUAUUCCUUUGUGAAUUUUAGUUAAUGCUUGAUAUUAUUUUUUUGCUCAUUUUUUAAAGCAGUAAUUAAAUCUGAACCCUUACAGUAGAAGAUUAUGAAAAAGUAAAGACACAAAAAUCAUAAAAAUCAUUAGUACGUCCAAAUUGUGCUAUUUUCAUACAUAACUUGAGAAUAUUUAUAAUUACGCAUCAGAACUAGUGGAGUAGAAUCAGGGAAAUUAAACAUUCUACAAUCAUUGACGUGUGGGGUGGGGAUAAGCAUAAACCUUUUCUAUGCAGUAUAAAAGAAUGCAAUAACUCCUUUUGUUUCAUAUCUUCGCAGCAAAAGCACAUCUAAUAACUCUUCAGAAUUCUCGUCUUCUUUGUCAGAAUGGUUGAUGCGAUCGUUUCCUCUCUCCUGGGGCAGCUGAGCUCUGUUGCGGCUGAUGAAGUGAAACAGCAGGUGAGGCUUGUGACUGGUGUCCGACAAGAAGUGACAAAGCUUACCAGCAAUCUUCGAGCCAUUCGAGCUGUGCUGGAAGAUGCAGAGAAAAGGCAAAUGCAGCGCGACAAUGCUGUUACUUUUUGGCUGGAUCAGCUCAAAGACGCAUCUUACGACAUGGAAGACGUGUUGGAGGAGUGGACCACUGCAAGGCUCAAAUUGCAGAUUGAAGGCGUUGAUGAUGACAAUGCUCUUGCUCUUGCUCCUCAUAAGAAGAAGGUACGCUCCUUCUUUUGUGCUGUAUCAAACUGGUUUGGUAGUUUCAAACAACUUAGUCUUCGUCAUGACAUUGCCGUCAAGAUUAGGGAAAUCAAUGGAAAGCUAGAUGGUGUUGCCUCCCAAAAAGAUACGUUUAAAUUUGUUGAGAAUGUGAGCAACAAUGUUAAGAAACCAGAGCGAGUGCGAACCACCUCCUUGAUUGAUGAGGGAGAGGUUUGCGGUAGAGUUGAUGAGAAAAAUGAGCUCUUAAACAAGUUGUGUGAAAGUAGUGAACAACAACAAGGCCUUCAUGUCAUCUCACUAGUUGGGUUAGGGGGUAUAGGUAAAACCACUCUUGCACAACUAGCCUAUACUAAUGAUGAUGUGAAAAGAAAUUUUGAAAAAGUUAUAUGGGUGUGUGUAUCAGACACUUUUGAGGAGAUUAGGGUCGCCAAAGCAAUCAUUGAAGGUCUAGGCAUGUCAGCUUCUGGUUUAAGCGAAUUCGAAUCUCUUGUGAAACAGAUUCAGGAAUAUAUUACGGGGAAGAAAUUUUUUCUUGUUUUAGAUGAUGUGUGGGAUGUAGAUUACAAAAAAUGGGACCCAUUCUUUUCUUGUCUAAAGAAUGGCCACCAUGAAAGUAAAAUUCUAAUUACCACACGUGAUAGGUCAGUUGCACUACAGUUGGGAUCAAUAGAUAUUAUCCCUGUCAAGGAGUUGGCUGAAGAGGAAUGCUGGUCGUUGCUCGAGCGGUUAGCAUUCUUCCGUCGUUCUGUUGAUGAUCAUGAAAAAUUAGAACCAAUCGGGCGAAAAAUUGCACACAAGUGCAAAGGCCUGCCUCUUGCUGCAAAGGUAAUAGGGAAUCUCUUGCGCUCUAAAAUUACAGUAAAAGAGUGGCAAAGAAUUUUAGAUAGUGAAAUGUGGAAAGUACAAGAGAUUGGGCAAGAUCUUUUGGCCCCUUUGUUGUUGAGUUAUAACGAUUUGCCCUCCAAUUCUAUGGUAAAACGGUGUUUCUCAUAUUGUGCUGUCUUUCCAAAAGACUACGAGAUGGAUAAAGAGGAGUUGAUUGAUCUGUGGAUGGCUCAAGGUUACCUUAAUGCAGAAGAAGACGAAGAGAUGGAGAUGAUUGGGGAAGAGUGUUUCAACAUUUUAGCAGCACGCUCUUUCUUUCAAGAGUUUGAGAAAAAUGAUGAUGAUGAUGAUAUUAGGAGUUGCAAGAUGCAUGACAUAGUACAUGAUUUUGCCCAAUUUGUAAGUAGAAAAGAAUGUUUGUGGGUAGAAAUGUAUGAUAACAAAGAAUCAGUCAUAAAGUCUUCUGGUGUCAAAGUCCGUCACUUAGGGUUAAAUUUUCAAAGAGGAGCUUCAUUUCCUACGUCCUUUUUUGAAUUUGAUAGAUUGCGUAGCCUCUUAAUUUAUGAUAGAAGUUAUUCCAAUCAGGUUCUUAAUAGUAAAUUGGCGUGUUUAAGGACAUUAGUUAUAAGGCAAUCGUUCCAAUAUUUUUAUCCUAUUUCUCUUGACUCAAAUGCGAUUAGAGAAAUUCCAGAAAAUGUUGGAAAAUUGAUACAUUUAAAAUAUCUUAAUUUGUCUAAAUUAGCCAUAGAGAUACUACCUGAGACUUUGUGUGAAUUAUAUAAUUUACAAAAGCUAGAUAUUAGGGAGUGCCGAUAUCUUAGGGAAUUGCCAGCGGGGAUUGGGAAGUUAAAGAACAUGAGAAGUUUACUGAAUGAUAAAACUUAUUCAUUGAAGUACAUGCCAAUAGGGAUUUCCAGAUUGACCAGCCUUCGAACAUUAGAAAAGUUUGUUGUGGGUGGAGGUGUUGAUGGUGGCAGCACGUGUAGGCUUGAAUCUCUGAAAAAUCUUCAACUCCUUCGUGAAUGUAGAGUAGAAAGGCUGAGUAAUGUAUCGCAUGUAGAUGAGGCUGAGAGGUUACAACUUUACAAUAAGAAAAACCUCCUUCGUUUGCGUCUUUGGUUUGGUGGAGUCGUAGAUGGGGAAGGCGAAGAAGGGAGGAGGAAGAAUAUUGAGAAAGAUAAACAACUUCUUGAAGCCUUACGACCGCCUUUGAAUUUAGAGGAAUUAGGGAUUGUAUCCUACCAAGGCAACAUUUUUCCCAAAUGGUUGACUUUGCUAACCAAUCUAAGGAAUUUAUUUCUUUCCUCGUGCGUUAACUGUGAGCAUUUGCCUCCUUUGGGAAAAUUGCCUCUGGAAAAACUCAAACUAUGGAAAUUAAAAAGUGUAAAAAGAGUGGGUAAUGAGUUUUUGGGAAUAGAAGAAAACAGUGAGGACGACCCAUCUUCAUCUUCAUCGUCAUCAUCAGUUAUUGCCUUCCCCAAAUUGAAAUCACUCGAAAUUUGGGACAUGGAGGAAUUGGAAGAGUGGAAUUACAGGAUUACGAGGAAGGAAAACAUCUCCAUCAUGCCCCGUCUUUCUUUCUUAAAAGUUGUUUUUUGCAACAAAUUAAAGGCGCUGCCGGAUUACCUUCUUCAAACGACGGCACUGCAGGAACUGCGUAUUUUUUCUUGUGAUCUUCUAGAAGAACUGCCCAUUCUAGAAGAUCGCAGGACAACAGACAUUCCACGUCUUUCUUCCUUGCGAAUUUCGGAUUGCCCCAAAUUAAAGGUGCUGCCGGAUUACCUUCUUCGGACGACGACGCUGCAGGAAUUGACUAUUGACGAAUGUCCCCUUCUGGAAAACCGUUAUAGAGAGGGGAAAGGAGAAGACUGGCAUAAGAUAUCUCACAUUCCCCACAUCGAGUGGUAAAUUCUCGAAUGGUUGCAAUUACUAUCACCCACCGGUAAUUUCUCACCUCUAUUUUACUUUGUUGUUACUUCAAACAACGACACUGCAAACAUUGACAAUUUGUACAUAUCAAUAAAAUGUACAAAGUUAAAAAUAUAGAAUGCAUUAGUACAUGUCAAUAACAAGACCAAUUAGAUUAUGGCAUUGCUUUAUUUUAUUUAUUUAUUUUUUUGAUUCUUUUGAAACAAGAUCAAUUAAUUAGAUCAUGCUAGAAGUUAAUUUUUUUUUUCAAAUGAAAAAGGAGCAGUCAUACAAAGUUUGAAUAUAAAAUUUAUAAUCUAAAACUAAUAAUGUGACAAUUAGCAUGUUAUUAACCUAUCUAAUAGAGUAGGAAGUCCCAAAUACAUCAUAUUCUGCUCCAGAAAUCCAUUCCACCUAGAAUACUUCUUUCUAUUGAAAUUAAUGAUGAUUUGUUUGUUUGCAUCAUGAAAGUUAAAAAUAAUUUUAUGAGUAAUUUGAUUCUUUACGGUACAAAAAAUAAAUUUGGAAAGUACUAAUUUCUCUCAUACUUUUUGGGCUAAAAAAUAAAUGUAACUCCAACAUAUUUAUUAUUUAAUGGUUCUAUAUAGAAUCAAUCGUGGUAUAAAUAUGUAAAACUUCCUAGUUAUCAAUUUUGUCUUGCAUAAUGAUAAUCGUUUUUUUUUAUAUAUAAUUUAUGUGACAUUAAUUCUUUAAAGUAAUUGUGGAAUUGUUUUUACUACAUUAGCCCUCUUUGUUUUAUUUCAUACGAGUUUAAUUAUGUUCACCAGGGAUUCGAGGAAAUGUCAGAACCACACUAGCAAUUCACAGGUCCAAUCUAAUUUGGUUUUAAUGAUGCAGGCAGGAGAGUAUGCUAAGAAAAUGAAAAGUUUAGCCAAAGGAUUGCUAAAAUGUUCUGCUGGUAAUUCACUUGCUUUAUUUUAUAGAAUUUCAUUUCCAUCUUCUUCUAUUGAUAUCUUGUUGUGAAUAAACAAGAACAGAGAAGUAAAGAUAUAUCAAAAUUAACUAUUACGAUGAUGCUAAAGCAAGCUCAAGCUCAAGCAUUGCAUUUUUAUUUUAUUUAAUUUAUAGAAUUUUCAUUUCCACCUGCAUUGCAUUUUUAUUUAUUUUUAGGUUGACUUUGAAUACUUCAUGGUGAAAAUGACGAGUUCAGCCAAAGGAUUGCUAAAUGUUCUGCUGGUAAUUCACUUGCUUUAUUUUAUAGAAUUUCAUUUCCAUCUUCUUCUAUUGAAUCUUGUUGUGAAUAAAGAAGAACAGGUAAGUAAAUGAUUGAACCACAGAGAAGUAAAGGUGUAUCAAAAUUCGCUAUUAUGAUGAUGUUAAAGCAAGCUCAAGCACAAGCAUUGCACUUUAUAUUUUAUUUAGUUAAUAGAAUUUUCAUUUCCACCUGCAUUUCAUUUUUAGGUUGACUUUGAAGACUCUAUGGAGAACAUUGGGGUAACCAAGGAUUAUCACUGUGGUUAUUGUGCAACGUUUGGUUGCUGGACUUUGAAGAAGGAAGUGAUGGCCGGGUCUGCUCUGUUUCAAUUGAGGAUGGAUAGCUGCCUGAAAGACAUGAUGAUUAUUAUUGUGUGAUGUUAAGGUGCUGAGAUCAUCAUUGCUAUCUUGUUUCAUUCUUGGAAUCAUUUAUCCUGUAUAAACAUUUGUUUUAACAAAUGUUUCAAUGGCUGCUGUAGUAACAAUUUCAUAUCUUGCAUCUCUCGGGUGCAUCAUGAUCACGGGUUUGAGAAAGCAUUUGUGGUAAAGCUUCAAAGCUUGUACAAUGGCUGUGAAAAGGCACAUUCAAUUCGGUACGUUUGGUGCGGUCUCCUAAUGCUACUACCAUAUUUUGUAUAGCAAUUAAAAUUCAGGUAUACAAUCUUAAUAUGCAAUAAAUCAUUGAGUACAAAGUUAUCUAUUAAUUAUAUGGUAACUGAAAUUUUCAUUAUAAUUUUAAUUAUCAUAUUAAUAUUAAAGUUUUUUGUAACCCUCUUUUACUUUGCUUGUACAGAGUAUCUGUUUUGGCUGAUAUGUCUAAUUCGUAGCAAUUCAUUUCCAUCGGUUUCCAUUGGUUUUAGCACAAACAGAAACAAAAAUCUGGGGAAAAAGUUUUACUUCUUGUGGUAUUAUGCCUUUAUUUAUUCAUUCAUCAUAUUUGUUCGAAUUCAUGCUCUCAUUCAGAGAGCAGCCUUUUCCAGGCUACUUUGUAGCCAAAUUUUCAUGCCAUCGAUGCAUGAUUGUCAUUUAGAUUUUCCAAAUAAUUGUUAGAUUGAAGAAGAAUAAGAAGAUAUUGUUAAAAGGGUAUUUAAUUAGCACCCUCUGAAUUUAGUUGCCAAUAAUGCAUUGAAAUGGUUGGGGAAAGUUAUUGUCUCACUUAAAUUACAGGUGAUAAGAUGCUGCUCCAAUUUUGCAAGCAUCUCGUGUUGCGAAGAUUUUGCCCACAUGAGAUGUUAUGAUUUUUGACAUCAGGGUAACACAGGUCAAAUUUUAGCAUCAAUAGAUAUCAUCUUCUUUACUGUUCUGCUCGAAAUAUUAAACUUUAGGCAAGUUGUUUUUGGUUGUGUGAGUUAUCAGGUUAAGGAUACUAAGCAGCUUAUUAAGGCAAAUGUCAGAAUGCAGAUUGCUCACCACACCUGGUAUGCAUGAUGGCCAGGAAGAUUAAUUGUUCACAAGCCAAUUUGAUCAGUGUUAGAUUUUUUUCCUCCUUUCGAGGGACAUCAUCAUCAAAUUUGAGUAGAGAAUCUUUGAAGGGAAUUUUGUUGUAAGAGUUUCACAGUAGUGAAUUCUAGAAGCUCGAACUCACUUGAGUGAGAUAUUAGGGAGUAUUGGGGAUUUGGGUUAUGAGUAAUCAUUAUCCUUCCAAUAUGUGUAAGCACUCACUUGUUAGUAAAAUCAUCUUCGUAUAUUGACUAUGUUUCUUUGUUAUCAGGUAGAGUGUGAUCUUCAAGGGUUUGAGAAAGUCCUUGCAGUAAAGUUUCCACCACAAGUAAUUGCUCAGUUUCAGAUUUUCUAGGCGUUUAAUUAGUUUCGAUUAUAAUAUUUAGUCACUCAUUCUGAAUCUUUUCUAAUUUUCAAGUUCCUUAGGGUCACAAUCAUUUUUUCAAGUCUGCUGUGGCUGCAAAAAGAUUGUUGGUCAUAAAAUUAUCUUGACCCUUGAGCCAUUGCGUUUGAGCACAAACAGAAACAGAGCUAAAGGAAAAGAACUUGACGCAAGAAGAUGCUCUGAAUAUAACAAAAGUAUAUUUCUACUUCUUGUGGUUAUUUACUUUUGUUUCUCCUGUCAGCAUAUUUGAUUAAUUCGUUCGAAUUCACACUCUCACACAUUAUUUAAAACCAUUUGUAGGUGGCUUGCAAGCUAAUUAAGUUAAUGCAGAAGCAAUACUCUAGACUUUAGUGAAGUUGUUUUUGUUUGUGUAAGUUAUCAGGUUAAGGAUACUAAGCAGCUUAUUAAGGCAAAUGUCAGAAUGAAGAUUGUUCACCGCACCUGGUAUGAAUGAUGGCGAGGAAGAUUAAUUGUUCACAAGCCAAUUUGAUCAGUAUUAGAUUCUUUUGCCUCCCUUCGAGAGAUAUCAUCAUCAAAUUUGAGAAGAGAGUUUUGUUUUGACAUUUCACUGUAGUGAAUUUUGGGAGCUUGAACCCACUUCAGUGAAAUAUUAGGGAAUACUGGGGAUAUGGGUUAUGAGUGAUCGUUAUCCUUCAAAUAUUUGUAAGCUCUCACUUGUUAGUAAAACCAUCUUCGUAUAUUGACUUUGUUUCUUUGUUGUCCGGCCGAGUGUGAUCUUCAAGGUUUGAGAAAGUCUUCGCAGUAAAAUUUCCACCACGUGCAAUUGCAGUGAAGGGGCAUAUACAUUUGAGUAAUUCAGUUUCAGAUUUUCAAGGCGCGUUUGUUUAAUUAGUUUCGAUUAUAAUAUUUAGUCACUCAUUCUGAAUCUUUUCUAAUUUUCAAGUUCUUUAGGGCCGCCAACAGUUUUUCAUGUCUACAUGUGGCUGCAAAAAGAUUGAUGGUCAUCAAAUUAUCUUGAGCCUCGAGGCAUUGCAUUCGAGCACAAAGGGAAACAGAGCUAAGGGAAAUGAAGACAGUAGGAGAUGCUCUGAAUAUAACAAAAGUAUAUUUCUACUUGUGGUUAUUUUAAUUUUGUUUCUCCUGUCAUCAUAUUUAAUUAAUUCGUUUGAAUUCACACUCUCACACAUUAUUUAAAACCAUCUGCAGGUGAUAGAAUAUGGGAGACGUUGUUAAUGGAAAAACAGUACUCUAGACAAAGAUGAGCAAAUUGAAGGCGACAAAUGCAAAUUGGAUUUCCAUGAAUAAUUGUUAGGCUGGUGGAGAUAUUCUUAAAAGGGCAUUAAGCUAUCUUAUGGAAUUGGAAAGUUAUUAUUACUUGAAAGCAAGCAGCAUCUUCGUUGCGAAGGCUUUCCCCACUUGAUAAGAUGCUGAGAUUGUUAUCGGCCCCUUAAUUAUUUAUUAACUCAGGUAUUUAUUAUCAGUACAUCAUCUUAUUCACCAUUUUGGCUGUAUAUAAAGAUUAAAAUUUCUAACAGUUGUUUCGGAUUCUUGUGUACUCAGGUUAAUAGGGCAAAUGUCAGAAUGAAGAUUGCUCAGUGCAACCGAUAUAGCAAGGAUGAUAGUUGUGAGGAAGAUUGUUGGCAAGCCAAAUAGAGCCCUCCAUUUGGAGAAAUAUCAUCCUCAAAUUUGAAUUGUUGAGCAUGUGAGGUGAAGCUAAAGCCUUAAUAAUGAGACCUUCCUGUGGAAGUUUCAUUUGAAUGAAUUGAACGUUCUUAGUGAGUGAGAAAUUAAGCAUAUAUCAGCGAUUUUGGUCGUCAGUGAAUGUUUUCCUUCAAUAUUAAUACACUGGCAUUUCUUAGUAAAUUCCCUUCACGUCACUUCCUCCUUGUUGGUGGGAUUAGUAAACAAAUGCCAUUUCUUAGUACAUUUUGAGAAUUUUGACUCCCAAAUAAGCCUGCAGAGCGGUGUAUGGUGGGAUUAGCUGCAGGAUUCUUUGCCAAACUUCCUUUUUAUUCCUUUGUUCACUUAUUCGUUAUAAAUAAAGUAAAAUUAGAAUAUUGUUCCGUUUACUGUCUAAGCUGGUCUAACAUUUGUUUAAUUUGGGCAAUUUUUAAUGCCUAACAGGUUAUCUGUGACAAACCCAUCAGUGAGUGUAUGCAACUAUUGCGUGGAUUUGAUAGAGUGGUCACCAACAAUUUUGAAGUUAUUGGAGUAGCACGGCUUUGAGGUCUCUCCCUCCCUCUUUUACGUAUUUGUCUAUUGAUCGACAUGUCUAUAUAUACAUUGAUAGACCAACUUACUCUUGUUUUAAUGUUUUGUUUGUUAAAAUUUGACUGGGUUAUGUUUAUUUGUCUCAUAUGAUGUCAAUGUGGUUCCUAUUGAAGUGUAUAGAUCUGUCACCUCAAAGUCUGAUUUCAAUUUUCCUUUACUUCAUCAACUAGCAUCCUUUCCAAGUCCAGAUACUUACCAAUAGUGAUACUUUGCUACGGAAGUACAAUUUCUCUUGUUUUACAGUUAAUUAUGAAAGAAAAGUUUUAAAUUUACAGAAUUCUGGUAUAGCUCUCUUAAGGAAAUGCGAGUGGUGAAUAUGGUUCCAACUUUUAAUAGGCUUAAUAGGCCCAUUUGUUGAGCCACAGUGAUUGCGGUGUAAAUUCUUCUUUACUGUCUAUAUGUGUUGGAGUUUGUCUAUUGUCCAACUUCUCAAAUCGAUUCCAUGCAGGGUUUUGAAUGUCUAAUUAGGAGAACGAUUAACGGAUGACCUUUUGAAGAAGGCUUACACAACAGGCCAUCUCGGGAUGUCAUGGCUCAGCUCAAAAGUCCCCAGGUGGGUGAUAUCAAAGAAUGCCAUUGUUUCUGGGCUUGGUCUCCUUGGCAUCAAACAAGAUAAUGUUGACUGCAUAAAUUUGUUGGAGUUAAUGUAGUCAAUUGCCCAAUUUCGCUGCCUAUCGAAGAGACACAUCAUGGAAGUCCUCAUCAAACUCUGAGACACCUAAGAAAUAGUAGGAGGUGGUGGUACUUGCCUGGGGUUAAUUUCCUGGCAAGUAUAGUUCACUGAUAGAGGGAAUCUUCUCUUGAUGUCUAAAUACCGUAUGUGAUACAACGUCGUAUAUUCUAAUUUUCCUUGAGUUAAAUUCUAGUCAGUUAGGAAAGUUAAUUUUGUUUUCGCUAUGGAUUGUUUCCUAGAUAAUAAUAGUUUCCAUGUUCCUUUGGGGUCUUAUUAACUCUCUGUAACCCAGUUCAAGUUUGCAAAUUCUAUUUCAGAUUUCUCAUAUAGUGUGCCUUUGUGACUUCUGUGAUACACUUUUGAUCACAAGUUUCCAUUUGAAGUAGCCAAUAUUCUUUAUAGACUAAUUAUCUAAGGAUUAUUUUAUACAAAAAAUGAAAACUUUAAUUAAUUGAUCAUACUUAACUUAGCUCUUGUUUAAUAUUACGAGCUGUUGUGAGAACAAAAAAAUAGCAGAAAGUUGACAGUGUGCAGUAAAUGUAUGACUUUUAAAUAAUAAUUUAAUAAAAUUAAUAAAGAUAUUAUAAGUUUUUUAAUAAUAAAGUAUGAGAUCAAAUUAAAUUAAUUAAUUUUGAAUUAUUUUAUUAUUGUCAAAAUGUAAUAUCUUAAAUAACAGUUAUUUUUAUUAAGAAUAUUUUUUUGGUAAUGAAUUAUACUUUUUAAAAUAUAAUUGAAAAUUCUUAUUAAUGAACUAAUAAAAAAUUAAUUAUUUGAGUUAUCUCCUAAACUACUUAGCUCACGAGAUAAAUUCACUUAGUUUAGAACGAAGCGGUGGGUUUUAUGUGGGAAGCCACAUCCUUACCACAUCAACCUCAACAUCGAAACAUGGAAUUGGACUAAAAAUAGUUCUUUCCCAUGUAUUUACGUAACCUCCUCCCAGUAAACGCAAAUAUGUAUUCUUGAGUGCAUGUAAUCCACAAGUUUGAUUGAGUAGAAGAUGUCGUUGUCACAAAGGCCUGGACGCCAUACCUCGAAUGAUAUGUUAGUAUGAAAUUAUGUUUUUUUUUUUUUUUUUGAGAGAGGUAUGAAAUUAUGUGAAAAUUAAUAUAUCACUUUUUUUUUCUUUUUUCCUUUUUUGCGUGAGUGAUGGCUUCGUUGAAUGACAGUUGGCAAAUAAUAAGUUAUCUUUUAAUUUUGGUUUUGAUUUGAAAAAAAUAUUAAUUUUUGUAGUUUCGGUAGAUGAAAUUUCGAAUCAAAUAUUAAUAUUGUUAAAGUACGCAACCCAAUAUUUGCUUAAAUUACAAAAAAGAUUAAUUACUUUGCAUAAAAAAAAAGUGAUCACUUGAUUUAACUUCCUUUACUAAAUUUACGAUUUAAAAUCCAAAAUAAAAAAAAGGAAAACAAUUUUUGGACACACACUCGGAGUUUUAAAUUAAUAUGAAAAACGAGUUUAUUAUUGAUAGGAAAACAAUCAAGUGAUCACUUGAUUUAACUUCCUUUACUAAUUUUACGAUUUAAAAUCUAAAAUAAAAAAUUGUUUAUUAUUGAUUGUCUUUUUCCCAAAAUUUAAGCUAAAACAGUAAUAUGUCCAAAAUACCCUCCACGUUAUCCUAAAACUUUAUAAACUCCCCCGUUCCUCUCAACAUCAUCUCUUCCAAAUCUUUCUCCCCCAAAAAACCAGCCAUGGCUUCAUAUUUAGUUACCUCAACACUCCAAUAUUGGCUUGUAAACAGUAGUGGUUCGACCUCUAGGCAACUUAGGUGGUUGUAUAGGACUCCGCUUUAUAUGAAAACCCUACGAGAUGAUUAUUUUGUAUAUAAAAGAGGAAAAUGAAUUUAAAAGUGAUUAUUAUUUAUUUAAUUUAUUAUUAUUUUGUAAUUAUCUUUUUCUAAAUAAACUAUCAAAUUCUUAUAAAGUUUAUUUAAUGUACUACUUAAUUGUUUUAAUUAAUUUCUACAAAACCAAUAAAUUAAUAGUUUCAAUCCUAAACAUUCUCUAUUUCAUUGUUAGAAUUAAUAAGUUAUAUUUCAAAAGUUUUAUAUUUAUUUUAAACCUCUAUAAAAGCCCCACAUUUUAUUACUUAUCCAUUACAUUUUUCCUCCAACAAUCAAGACAUCUUGGUGUUUUAGAGAAAGAAAGAGAAAGAAGGAAAAAAAUCUUGCUUCCCCUACUUUCUACUCUAGAAGAAACAGAAAAAAUCUAAUAGUUUUCUCUAUUUUCUAUGACUAUUGGUCGUUACUCAAAUUUUCAAACAAUAGCCUUAAUAUAAAUAUAAGUUAAUUUAUGAUUUCAUCUCAAAUUUUUGAUUUUAUCUUUUUAUUAUUCUCUUAAUUAGUUGUGUUUUAUUUGUUCUUAUUUCUUUUUAAUAUAUUCUUUUAUUCAUCUAAUUUUUUUUUGUGCUUGUUUUAUCUAUUUUGAAAUAAAACUAUAUCAAAAAACUUUAGACAAUAGAAGAAUAGAAAAAUUAGUUUAAUUUAAAAAAAAAAGUAAAAAGAUAUAAUUUAACUUAAAAAAAUAAAUGAAAAUGUUAUAAUUGAAUUAAAAUUUUAUGAAUUAACAUCAAUGGAAUGAAUUUUUAUUUAAUAAUUUUACAUUUUAAAGUGUUUAAAGAAUUAAUUUUCAAUAAAUAAUAUACGUUAUAUACCUUCUAGAAGAUAUAUAACGUAUUUCAAUAAAUAAUUGUACAUUAUGAAUUAACAUCAAUGGAAUGGAUUACCUUCUUCAAACGACGGCACUGCAGGAACUGAGUAUUUCUUAUUGUCCAAUUAUGGAAGAACUGCCCAUUCUAGAAGAUCACAGGACAACAGACAUACCACGUCUUUCUUCCUUGCGAAUUUGGAAUUGCCCCAAACUAAAGGUGCUGCCGGAUUACCUUCUUCGGACGACGACGCUGCAGAAAUUGACAAUUUGGGGAUGUCUCAUUCUGGAAAACCGUUAUAGAGAGGGGGAAGGAGAAGACUGGUAUAAGAUAUCUCACAUUCCCCACAUCAAGUGAUCGCCGUAAUUUAUCACUCGCCGGUAAUUUCUCCUCCGCCUCUGAUUUACUUCGUUGUUGCUUGCAAUGAAAUUAAUAAAAAUAAUUAUAUUUUGAAUUAAAAUUUCUAUACUUAUUUACUUUUAAAAAAUAUGUGCUCUUUUGUAAAAUUUCAUGCAAUGUAAUUUAUUUUUUAAUGUACGAUAAUUUGUUGUGUGUAACUUCCUGAGAGACAAAAUCUCUGUGAUACAUUUGCAGUAAUGUUGAAAACUAAAUUAUCAAUUUUAUCUUGUAUAAUGAUAAUCUUAUUUUUUUAUAUAUAAUUUAUGUGACAUUAAUUCUUUAAAGUAAUUGUGUAAUUGUUUUUACUACCAGUUUAUGUUUCAUUUUAAUUAUGUUCACCAGGGAUUCGAGGAAAUGUCAGAACCACACUAGCAAUUCACAGGUCCAAUCUAAUUUGGUUUUAAUGAUGCGGCAGGAGAGCAAGACUAUGAAAAUGAAAAGUUUAGCCAAUGGACUGCUAAAAUGUUCUGCUGGUAAUUCACUUGCUUUAUUUUAUAGAAUUUCAUUUCCAUCUUCUUCUAUUGAUAUCUUGUUGUGAAUAAACAAGAACAGAGAAGUAAAUGAUUGAACCACAGAGAAGUAAAGAUAUAUCCAAAUUCGAUUAUUAUGAUGAUUAAAGCAAGCUCAAGCUCAAGCAUUGCAUUUUUUAUUUUAUUUAGUUUAUAGAAUUUUCAUUUCCACCUGCAUUGCAUUUUUAUUUCAUUUUUAGAUUGACUUUGAAGACUCUAUGGAGAACAUUGGGGUAACCAAGGAUUAUCACUGUGGUUAUUGUGCAACGUUUGGUUGCUGGACUUUGAAGAAGGAAGUGAUGGCCGGGUCUGCUCUGUUUCAAUUGAGGAUGGAUAGCUGCCUGAAAAACAUGAUGAUUAUUAUUGCAUGAUGUUAAGGUGCUAAGAUCAUCCUUUCUAUCUUGUUUCAUUCUUGGAAUCAUUUAUCCUAUAUAAACAUAUUGAAUUGUGCUAAUAUUAUCAUAUGCGUAAAUGGAGGCAGGAAUUUGGUGUUGACACUAUUAUGCAGGUAACCACACUUGAUAAUUGGCACAAAUUUGCGUUGUCAGAAUAUCCUUUAAUAUUCAACGUGUCUCUUUGUGUUAUCAGGAGUAUCAUGUCCAAGGGUAAAGGUGCUGCCGGAUUGGUGGAUGCCCCAAAUUAAAGGUGCUGCCGGAUUACCUUCUUCAAUCGACGACACUGCAGAUAUUGAGUAUCUUUUUGUGAAAAUAUGGAAGAACUGCCCAUUCUAGAAGACCGCAGGACAACAGACAGAUCACUUGCCCCAAAUUAAUGAUGCUGCCGGAUUACCUUCUUCAAACAAUGACACUGUGGAUAUUGAGUAUUUAUGAAUGUCCUAUUCUGGAAAAACGUUACAGAGAGGGGGAUGGAGAAGACUCGCAGAAUGUUAAGGUGCUAAUAUCAUCAUUUCUAUCUUGUUUCAUUCUUGGAAUCAUUUAUCCUAUAUAAACAUAUUGAAUUGUGCUAAUAUUAUCACUUGUGUCAAUGGAGGCAGGAAUUUGGUGCUGAAACUAUUAUGCAGGUAACCACACUUGAUAAUUUGCACAAAUUUGCGUUGUCAGAAUAUCCUUUAAUAUUCAUUGUGUUUCUUUGUGUUAUCAGGUUAUCAUGGUAUACAGAGUAUCAUUUUCAAGGGUUUGUAAGAGCUUUCGCAGUAAAGUUAGUCAUCACCACCUUGUGCAAUUGCACAUACAUUCAGAGUACUUCAAUAUUAGAUUUUCAAGGUUUGUAUGUUUAGUUGCGAUUAAAAUUUUUAGUCACUCAUUCUUAAUCUUUUCUAAUUUUCAAGUUCUUUAGGGCCAUAAACAGUUUUUCCAACUCAUUCUUAUUUUUUAGGUUGAUUUCGAGUACUCUGUGGAGAACAUUAGUGAGACAAAGGAUUAGACUGGCGAUGGAACUGCUGCCUCUGUUGUUAUUGUGCAAGGUUUGAUCACUGGACCUUGAACACGAAAGCCUUACACGCAUUCUGUAAUUCAAGCGUUCUCUAAAACGAACGAGCAGUAGAAGGAAUAGUGAUGACCGGAUCUGCUCUAUUUUAAUUGAAGAUCUCUGUGAUAUUGAGGGGCUUAAAGUAGUUGAUGCUUUUUGAAAAUUGUUAUUACGGAUGAAUUCAUUCCUGAAGACGAGUAGCUAAUGAUUGUUAAGGCUUAUUUUCUUAAAGUUCCUUUCUUAACAAGUGUUUCAAUGCUGGCUGUAGUAACAUUUUCAUAUCUUGCAUCUCUCGGGUGCAUCAUGUUCACAUGUUUGAAAAGGCAUUUGUGGUAAAGCUUCAAAGGUUGUACAAUGGCUGUGAAAAGGCAUAUUCAAUUCGGUACGUUUUGGUGUGGUCUCCUAAUGCUAAUAUGAUAUUUUGUAUAGCAAUUAAAAUUUAGGUAUACAAUCUUAAUAUGCAAUAAAUCAUUGUGUACAAAGUUUUCUAUUAAUUAUAUGGUGACUGAAAUUUUAAUUAUCAUAUCAAUCUUAAAUUUUUUUGUAACUCACUUUUACUUUGCUUGUACAGAGUACCUGUUUUGGCUGAUAUGUCUAAUUCGUAGAAAUUCAUUUCCAUCGGUUUCCAUUGGCUUUAGCGCAAACAGAAACAGAGCUCUGGGAAAGAGUUUGACUUCUUGUGGCAUUAUGCCUUUGUUUCUUCAUUCAUCAUAUUUUUCAAAUUCAUGCUCUCAUUCAGAGAGUAAAGCCUUUUCCAGGCUGCUUUGUAGACAAACUUUGACUCCAUUGAUGCAUGACUGUCAUUUAGAUUUUCCAAGAAACUGUUAGAUUGGAGAAGAAUAAGAAGAUAUUGUUAAAAGGGUAUUUAAUUAGCGCCCUCUGAAUUUAGUUUCCAAUAAUGCAUUGAAAUAGUUGGGGAAAGUUAUUGUCUUAAUUAAAUUACAGGUGAUAAGAUGCUGCUUCAAUUUUGGAAGCAUCUCGUAUUGCGAAGAUUUUGCCCACAUGAGAUCCCGUGAUUCUUGACAUCAGGGUAACGCAGGUCAAAUUUCACUUUCAAUAUAUAUCUCUUCUUUACUAUUCUGCCUCUAAAUAUUAAACUUUAGGCAAAUUGUUUCUUGUUUGUGUAAGUUAUCAGGUUAAGGAUACUAAGCAGCUUAAUAGUUCGCCACACCUGGUAUGAAUGAUGGCCAGGAAGAUUAAUUGUUCACGAGCCAAUUUGAUCAGUGUUAGAUUUUUUGCCUCUCUUUGAAAGAUAUGAUCAUCAAAUUUGAGUAGAGAAUCUUUGAAGAGAAUUUUGUUGUGAGAGUUUCACUGUAGUGAAUUUUGGGAGCUUGAACUCACUUGAGUGAGAUAUUAGAGCGUAUUGGGUAUUCGGGUUAUGAGUAAUAGUUAUCCUUCCAAUAUUUGCAAGCUCUCACUUAUUAGUAAAAUCAUCUUCGUAUAUUGACUCUGUUUCUUUGUUGCCAGGAAGAGUGUGAUCUUCAAGGGUUUGAGGAAGUCUUUGCAGUAAAGUUUCCACCACGAGCAAUUGCUACAAAGAGGCAUAUACAUUUGAGUAAUUUGGUUUCAGAUUUACAAGGCGUGUAUAUUUAAUUAGUUUUGAUUAUCAUAUUUAGUCACUCAUUCUGAAACUUUUCUAAUUUUCAAGUUCCUUAGGACCACCACCAGUGUUUCAAGUCUGCAUAUGGCUGCAAAAUAUUGAUGGUCAUAAAAUUAUCUUGAGCCUUGAGGCAUUGCAUUUGAGCACACACAGAAACAGAGCUAAAGGAAAAGAAGACAAUAGAAGAUGCACUAAAUAUAACAAAAGUAUAUUUCUACUUGUGGUUAUUUUAAUUUUGUUUCUCCUGUCAUCAUAUUUGAUUAAUUCGUUUGAAUUCACACUCUCACACAUUAUUUAAAACCAUCUGCAGGUGGCUUGCAAGCUAGUUAAGUUAAUGCAAAAACAAUACUUUAGACAAAGAUGAGCAAGUUGAAGGCAACAAAUGCAAAUUGAAUUUCCAUCAAUAAUUGUCAGGCUGGGGCAGAUAUUCUUAAAAGGGCAUUAAGCUAUCUUAUGAAAUUGGAAAGUUAUCAUUGCUUGAAUGAAAGCACCAUCUUCUGUUGUCAAGGCUUUCCCCACACGAUGAGAUUCUGUGCUUGUUAUCGGCCCCUUAAUUAUUUAUUAAAUCAGGUUUCUGUUAUCAAGUACAUCAUCUUAUUCACCAUUUUAGCUAUAUAUAAAGAUUAAAAUUUCUAACAGUUGUUUCGGAUUCUUGUGUACUCAGGUUAAUAGGGCAAAUGUCAGAAUGAAGAUUGUUCAGUGCAACCGGUAUAGCAAGGAUGAUAGUGGUGAGGAAGAUUGUUGGCAAGCCAAAUAGAGCCCUCCAUUUUGAGAAAUGUCAUCCUCAAAUUUGAAUUGUUGAGCAUGUGAAGUGAAGCUAAAGCCUUAAUAAUUAGACCUUCCUGUAAAAGUUUCAUUUGAGUGAAUUGAACGUUCUUAGUGAUUUUGGUUGUCAGUGAAUGUUUUCCUUUAAUAUUAAUACACUGUCAUUUCUUAGUAAAUUCUCUUCAUAUCACUUCCUCCUUGUCGUUCUUAUGGAAAUACCUUCCUGUUUGACUUGCAAAAUACAUUACAAAAGCUCCCAAACAGUAUAUUUGAACAGAGUUACCCAUUUUGAGAAUUUUGACUCCCAAAUAAGCCUGCAGAGUGGUGUAUGGUCGGAUUAGCUGCAGGAGCAGUGCAAGAUUCUUGUCAAACUAUCUGGCUGGUAAAAAGACUGUUGUCAAACUUCCUUUUUAUUCCUUUGUUUACUUAUUCGUUAUAAAUAAAGUAAAAUUAGAAUAUUGUUCCGUUUACUGUCUAAGCCGGUCUAACAUUUGUUUAAUUUGGGCAAUUUUUAAUGCCUGACAGGUUACUUCAUAUGCGGCACAAUUUUUACAUUAUUUUUAAUGGCAAUUUUUAAUUCAAUAAAGAAAAGUAUUGUGAAGUAAAAAUUGAAAAGUACAAUCCGUCGAUCAUUUGAUACGUAUUUUUCUUCACAGAACCUCAAUUCAAUAGACAAAAGCUCCUCUUAAUUUUUCUUUUCUAUUUAAAUAAAAGAACAAAAGAAAUUGAUUACGGAGCCAUUAAUUUCCAAGAAUUAAUAAAUGAAAAGGCCCAUAAUUUUUGUUAACCCACCCCACUCUCAAGAAAUAAUUACAAUAAGUUCAAAUUAUUUUUUAAAAAUUGAAAUAAAGAAGAUGUAAUUACAAUAAGUUUGGAGAUUGAAUCAAAUAAAAUAAAAAACCUAAACUAUUAUAUACAAGAACUCUUGAUUCUUGGGGUAUUUUAUUCAUUUUAUAUUAUCAUGGUAAAUUAGUCAAAUAAAACUUAUCUUAAAGCAACCUAAAUGGUCAAAGACACCUAAGUUAAAAAAAUAAAAAAUUAUAUGAAUGAUUUAAUUUAUUGAUUGUCUAUACCUUUUAUUGAUUUAUAUAUUUUAAAAAUAGUAUGAACGUAUUACAAUUAUUUUCUGACAUCAAGGUAGAUUUGUAAAAGAAGUGGGUAGAUUUGUAAAAGAAGUGGAUAGAAAAUAUCCCCGUCCUCAAACAAAUAAAUGAAUUAUCGGUGACGCAUGCUUUUUCCCAACUUUUGUUUUUUACAAUUAUGUAUCACAGUUGUGGAGUAGAAUCAGGGAAAUUAAAAAUGCUAAAAUUAUUGACGCGUGGGGUGGACGACAAUAACCAUAAACAUUUUUCGUGUAGUGUAAGAAGAAUGCAACAACUUGUUUCUUUCAGUAUUUUUGCAACAAAAGUACGUUGAACAACUUUUGAAAUUAUUUCUCUUUUUCUUUGCUAGAAUGGAUGUGAUCGCUUCCCCUCUCCCGGAGCAGCUGAACUCCUUUGCUGCUUGUGACUUACCAUAAAUCUUCAAGCCAUUCAAGCUGUGCUUGAAGAUGCAGAGAAGGCAAGUUGAUAUAAGAUGGUUGCAUGGAAUAAGCAGGGUAUCUUCCGAGGUUAGAAAUUGGGCUACGAGUAUUCGUUUUGGACAUAUAAUAGAGUUUCUAAGCUUGCGAUGAGUCGAACCAAAUGCAGAACAACCUAGGCUGUUAUGCCCUGCGAUUAAGCUAAAAAUUUACUUCAUUUAUAGUCGUUUUUCAGUUUUAAGAUAUUUUUUUAUUUUUCUUGAUUCUUCUAGGAUUUUAAAAUAUUAGAUUUAAGUGCCAUCUAUUUUCUUUCUCUUAUUUAGAUUCGAAGAAUUUUAUUAUCAUAUAAUAUUUUGAAUUUGCUUAGUUUGUUAAAUUUGCCUCCUUUUAGGCUUCUAUAAAUGGGAUUCAAAACCCUAAUUUUGUUCAUUUAAAUUAUUCUCAAUAAAACUUAUUAUUCAAAUCCUGGUUUAUAUUAUCUAAUAGCUUUUUAGUGUUUCUGCAUAAUCAGCUGGUAUCAAAGAAAGUUUGCUUGUCAUCAUGGUGCGAUCACACAAUCAAAGGAGCAAACAUCCCGAAGACAAUGUUUAAGGGAUGUAGGCAACGACUGUGGAGGUUAUCAGAUAGAUGGUCAAAGGAGCAAUCUUGCAAGUCAUGCAGGACGCAUAUAACCUGAGAAUGGUAGCAGACAAAUAUUAGGUUAUCUCUUGUAAGCCAUAUUCAUAAAUGUAUUGAGGGAAAGAUAUUUUUUUCUUGUCUUAAAAGAUGUGUGGGAUGGACGUUACAAUUAAUGGGAACCAUUCUUCUGUUGUUUAAAGAAUGGUCUCUACGAUAGUCAAAUUUUGAUUACUGCAAGUAAUCAGUUAGUAGCAAGCAUGAUGAGAUCAACAAAUCUUACCUUUCUUAAGGAAUUAAUUGAAGAAGAAUGUUGGUAAUUGUUUAAGCAGGUAGCAUUUUUUGGUCAAUUCUUCAAGGAUCGUGAUCAGUCGAUCAAAAAAUUGCAUGUAAGUGCAAAGGCUUGCCUUUUGUUGCAAAGAUAAUAGGGAAAUUCUUACACUAUAAAUGACCAAUAGAAGAAUAGAAAAAAAUUUUAGAUAGUGGAAUGUGGAAGGUAGAAGAGUUUGGGAAAGGUCUUUUGACUCCUUUCUUGUUAAGUUAUAAUGAUUUAUCGUCCAUAGUAAAACAAUAUUUCUCACAUUGUGCUAUCUUUUCAAAAGGUUACAAUAUGUGUAAAGAGGAACUAAUUACACCAUGGAUGGCUCAAAGUUACUUUAAAUGUAGAAGAAGGCAUUGUUUAAAGCAUGGUCUCCACGGAAGUAAAAAUUUGGUUUCCACACGUAAUGAGUCAGUUGCACGUAUGAUGGGAUCAAAAAAUAUUAUCUUCAUUGAGCAAUUGACUGAAGAGGAAUGUUGGUUGUUGUUCAAGCAGUUAGCAUUUUCCGGUCGCUCUUUGGAGGAUGGUGAAAAAUUAGAACCAAUCGUGCAAAAAAUUGCACGCAAGUGCAAAGGCCUGCCUCUUGCUGCAAGGUAACAGGGAAUCUAUAGGGUAUGAUAAAUGCAUAUAUAGUGGCCAAGUCACUCAUUACAUUUCAUCUUGUUGAAAAGUCAGAAGCAAAUGCCAACUUUGCAACUGUUAGCAUGAAGGCUUUGAAGAAGCAAAAUCCAAUUCGGUUUUUGUUAGCCGAAAAGAAAGAAUGGAAAAAGGGGAUGUAUUGAAAAUAAUAAUAAUUAUUUAUUAUAUUUUCAAUUAUUUUAUUCUUUGCAUAGUGCCAACAUUUUUCCUAUAAAUAGUUAAGGAUUUCAUUCAUUUGAAAUCAUCCCAAAAUUGUUAAGCUUAGUUUCUAAGCUUUUGAGAGAAGUGAGAGAAGUGUGUCUGGGGAAUGUAUUUUUCCUGCAGAGUGUGAGAGUACUGGGUAUAUUUGGGUUUCUGGGAAGUGAGAUUCGUUACUCAAAUAUUGUAUUCUAUUAAUUGUUUUGUUAAAUAAACAAUUAUUCUUUCUUGCCUCCGUGGAUGUAGGUUUAAUUACCGAACCACGUAAAUUCUUGUGUCCUUUAUUUUUCAGUAAUUAUUUGGUGCGCUUGAUUCCGCAUUCCGCGCGCACAACAAGUGGUAUCAGAGCCGAAGGUUCGUACUUAGGGGGGAUACGGUACUGUUCAUGUAUACGGUAUUAUAUCCGUAUAUAGUACUAUUCACGUAUAUGGUAUUCUUCACGUAUACGGUACUAUUCACGUAUAUGGUACUGUUCACAGAGGUACUAUUCACGAAUACGGUGGAGACGGCCAUUUGUACUUGGGAGACAGUCUAUUGUAAGUAGUGUGUAUUUUUGCAUGUCUAGGAAAGUUCUGUCAAAAAGGCGAUAAGAGUCUAAGGAUUCUGGUUUUUAAUUGGGACCGGGUUCCCGUCCAGUUUCCUGGGAACUUUCCUGGUGCAUUUAUUCACGCGAAAUUAACAUCAUAGAGGCUGUUUUUCAAGUGGAAAUAGUUCAUUGAGAAAAAUGGUAGAAGGUGAAACUUCCAGAAUUGGGGAGAGAUCUACCGAGACUAUUUCAGGAGACACUUCAGGUGGGAGGCGAGAUUUGUCAAAUCGCUAUUCAGCACCUGUUAUGGGAGGCCAGAAGAUCGAUGUUGAAAAAUUUGAUGGGAAAAUCAACUUCGGCAUGUGGAGGCGCGAAGUUAUGGAUGCCCUUAUUCAAAUCGAUCUUGAUGUUGUUCUGAAAAAUAAAAGACACUUGUAUGAUGAAGAAAUUUGGGAUCGUAUGAAUGAAAAAGCCUGUGGUCAGAUCAGAUCUUGUUUGACCAAGGAGGUGAAAUACUUGGUGAAAGAUGAGGAGUGUGCGAUGACUUUAUGGCUUACAUUGGAGGAGAAGUACCUGGUGAAAAGUCCUGAAAAUCGCCUUCAUGCAAUGAGCCAAGUAUAUGGUUUUCGAAUGAAGCAUGGGGUGUCAAUGCACGAUUAUGUGUCAAGAUUUGAAAAGUUACUUGCUGAUUUGAAGAAUCUUGAUGAAGAUAUUAAAGAUGAAGUCAAGGCUAUGAUUCUGUUACACUCACUACCAGAGGAAUAUAGCCAGUUUGUGACUACUUUGAUAUAUGGGAAGAGUGUGAUCGUCUUCAAAGACGUUUGCACAACAUUGACUAGUUUGGAGAUUCGGAAUAAUGAUAAAAAUUCUGAACGAGCAUCGUCUGAAGCUUUGGUGAGCAGAGAUUGGGCGAUGGAGAAAAAGAAGAAGCGUGGUGGAAAGAAUUCUCGAUCCAAAUCGAGAAGCAGAAAUCUAGCUCGUGAUGAGUGUGCCUUUUGUCAUGAAAAGGGCCAUUAGAGGAAAGAUUGUCCAAAGGCUAAAAAGAGAGAUGGGAAGAAACCAGCAGCAGCAAACAUGGCACGGAAAGAUGAGGAUUCUGAUUAUUCACUAAGUAUCACUCCUGCAGCAUGUGUGGCUAAUUCGAGCGAGUGGAUACUUGAUACUGGAGCAACCUAUCAUUUGUGUCCUAUUAAGGAAUGGUUUGCAGAUUUUCGUAAUCUAGAAUCCGGUGCAGUUGUGAUGGGGAAUGAUAAACCUUGUCGCACAAUGGGGAUAGGAACAAUUCGGCUCAAAAUGUUUGAUGGAAUGGUCAGGGAACUCAAAGAGGUUAGAUUUGUUCCAGAGAUAAAGAAAAAUCUAAUUUCUGUGGGUGCUUUGGAAGAUAAAGGCUACAAGGUUACCAUUGAAGAUGGUACAAUAAAGUUUACACAUAGAGUUAUGGUGAUUCUGCAAGGGGUUCGGCGUCACAAUCUGUACUAUUUGAAGGGAGGUACACCUGAUGAAGCAAAUGUUGUUGAGGCGCACAGUGACACCACCAAGCUAUGGCAUGUACGACUGAGACAUGCAGGAGAGAAGUCUUUGCAAAAUCUGAUGAGGCAUGGACUCUUAAAAGGUACCAAAACCUGUAAAUUAAAUUUCUGUGAGCAUUGUGUAGUAGGCAAGAAAACAAGGGUCAAGUUUGGUACAGCUAAUCACGAAACUCGUGAGAUCCUUGAAUAUGUUCAUAGUGAUGUAUGGGGACCAACCAAGACUGCAUCAAUUGGUGGAAGCCAUUAUUUUGUUAUAUUUGUUGAUGAUUUCUCUAGAUGUGUAUGGGUGUACACCAUGCGAGCAAAGGAUGAGGUUCUAGAGAUUUUCGUGAAAUGGAAGAAAUUGGUGGAGACUCAAACUGGCAAAAAGAUCAAAGUAUUACGAUCUGAUAAUGGGGGUGAAUAUACUUCUGAUCCAUUCUUGCAAGUAUGCCAGAACGAGGGUAUUAAAAGACAUUUCACGGUGAGACAUACUCUGCAACAGAACGGUGUGGCUGAGCGUAUGAAUCGUACUUUACUGAAGAAGGUACGGUGUAUGUUAUCUAAUGCUGGUUUAGAUAAAAAGUUUUGGGCUGAAGCUGUGAGCUACGCAAGUCACUUGGUAAACCGAUUGCCUUCUGCUGCAAUUGGAGGUAAAACUUCUAUGGAAAUGUGGUCUGGAAAGCAUGCACAAGACUAUGAUUCCCUUCGUAUAUUCGGGUGUCCAGCUUAUUAUCAUGUCAAAGAUGGUAAACUGGAUCCUCGUGCAAGAAAAGCUAUCUUUGUGGGAUUCAAAGGUGGAGUAAAGGGCUUCAAGCUUUGGGAUCUCGAAGACAAAAAGUUUGUGUGUAGUAGAGAUGUCACAUUUGAUGAAGCUUUAAUGAUAAAAGCUUCAAGUUCUCAGCAGGUGGAGAACAAGACCACAGAGGUAUUGCAGCGGGUGGAGUUUGAUGCAACUCCAUAUGUACUAGUUAGUUCUACAUCAAAGAAUAGUUCAACUAUGGAGGUGACACCUAGAGUUAAAGAAGAGGUUGUUUCUUCUGAUGUCCCACAAAAUGAAGAAACAAUUGAUGAUGAUUUUAUAGCAACAAGGAGGCCAAGAAGAGAGAUAAAGAAACCCGGAUGGCUUACUAAAGAUAUGGUGGUAGCCUAUGCACUUCCAGUUAUUGAUGAUGACAUCCCCAACACUUUCGGUGAAGCAUUACGCAGCAGUGAAAGUGAUCAGUGGAAGCUAGCCAUGGAGGAAGAGAUGAAAUCUCUCCAUCAAAAUCAGACUUGGGAACUUGUAAAGUUACCAAAGCGGAAAAGGGCUAUUGGCAAUAAAUGAGUCUACACCAAAAAGCAAGGAUCUCCGAAUCAAACAACUCCUCGAUAUAAGGCAAGGCUCGUGGCAAAAGGUUUUGCUCAAAAGGAAGGUAUUGACUACAAUGAAGUUUUCUCUCCAGUUGUAAAACAUACUUCCAUUCGUAUCCUACUUGCCUUAGUUGUAGAAUAUGAGUUAGAGUUGGCUCAGUUGGAUGUGAAGACGGCGUUCUUACAUGGAGAUUUGGAGGAGGAAAUCUAUAUGAUUCAGCCUUGUGGUUUCAAAGUUGCUGGAAAAGGAAAAUCGUGUUUACCGAUUGAGUAAAUCUUUAUACGGAUUAGUAUGAACUACGGUUGGCUUGAUCCCAAACUUUGGGUACGUAGGCAGUCGGAUAGAUGCAGCCAAUGUGGAUCCUUUUGAGGAUCAUGUGGGGGAUGUUUGGAACUACGGUAGGCUUGAUCCCAACCUUGGGGUACGUAGGCAGUCGGAUAGAUGCCAGCCAAUGUGGAUCCUUUUGAGGAUCAUGUGAGGGUUCGUUGGUAGUCGGCUCAGAUUUGGCUAAAUCUUCGCCGAGGUGGAGAAUUGUUGAAAAGUCAGAAGCAAAUGCCAACUUUGCAACUGUUAGCAUGAAGGCUUUGAAGAAGCAAAAUCCAAUUCGGUUUUUGUUAGCCGAAAAGAAAGAAUGGAAAAAGGGGAUGUAUUGAAAAUAAUAAUAAUUAUUUAUUAUAUUUUCAAUUAUUUUAUUCUUUGCAUAGUGCCAACAUUUUCCCUAUAAAUAGUUAAGGAUUUCAUUCAUUUGAAAUCAUCCCAAAAUUGUUAAGCUUAUAAGUUUCUAAGCUUUUGAGAGAAGUGAGAGAAGGGUGUUUGGGGAAUGUAUUUUUCCUGCAGAGUGUGAGAGUACUGGGUAUAUUUGGAUUUUUGGAAAGUGAGAUUCGUUACUCAAAUAUUGUAUUCUAUUAAUUGUUAAAUAAACAAUUAUUCUUUCUUGCCUCCGUGGAUGUAGGUUUAAAUUACCGAACCACGUAAAAUUCUUGUGUCCUUUAUUUUUCAGUAAUUAUUUGGUGCGCUUGAUUCCGCAUUCCGCGCGCACAACACAUCUCUCAUAUGAACAUGAUUCUGAAUUUGAAUUUCCAUGAAUAAUUGUUGGGCUGGUGCAGAUAUUCUUAAAAGGGCAUUAAAGCUACCUCAUGAAAUUGGAAGUUAUCAUUGUUGAAUGAAAGCACCAUCUUCUGUUUNNNNNNNNNNNNNNNNNNNNNNNNNNNNNNNNNNNNNNNNNNNNNNNNNNNNNNNNNNNNNNNNNNNNNNNNNNNNNNNNNNNNNNNNNNNNNNNNNNNNNNNNNNNNNNNNNNNNNNNNNNNNNNNNNNNNNNNNNNNNNNNNNNNNNNNNNNNNNNNNNNNNNNNNNNNNNNNNNNNNNNNNNNNNNNNNNNNNNNNNNNNNNNNNNNNNNNNNNNNNNNNNNNNNNNNNNNNNNNNNNNNNNNCCAAAUAGAGCCCUCCAUUUUGUAAAAUAACAUCCUCAAAUUUGAAUUGUUGAGCACAUGAAGUGAUGAUAAAGCCUUGAUAAUAAGACCUUCCAAUGAAAGUUUCAUUUGAGUGAAUUAUGGGAGAAUGAAAGUUCUUGGAAUGAGUGAGAAAUUAAGCAUAUAUCAGCGAUUUGGGUUGUCAGUGAAUGUUUUUCUUUAACAUUAGUACACUCUUAUUUCUUAGUAAAAUUCUCUUCACGUCUUUGACUGUGACGUAGACCAAAAGCUAAACAAUGUAAAAUUAUAUUGUUAUUUCCUUAUGCUUGUUUUGCUAUAUAUCAUUUCUGUGCAAUCAAGAAUGUAAUUUUGUAAUUAUUCAACUCUGCUUCCGCGAACAUGCGGUAUCUUGCAGAUUUUUUUUCUCCCUUUUUCUUUCUGCGUUAAAACUGCAACAAAUGGAAGUGACUGGCUUGAUUUUAGCUCCUGUAAAAAAGUGCCUGGGGCAAUGUCUUUUGUAUCAGCAAGUUAUCAAACAUCAUAGUUUAAAUAUAGAAUCCUGAGUUGCUAUCGAAAAUUCCAGGUCUUUCACCUCUCAGUUUCUUAAAAGCUACAAAGCUUGAUAGAUAUUGACAAAGCAAACCGUCUGCGGGCUGAAAUGCUUCCACGGAUCAGGAAGGAAUUUGGUGUUGACACUAUAUGUUAUGCGGAUAACUACAGUUGAUAGUUUUGACCCAAAAUAUGUCACAGUUGACAAUUGACUUACAGUGUUUCCUUGUGUUACCAGGCUCUCAUGUGUGAAUUGAAAGAUUAAGAAAGAUUAAUUCUUACUGACUUAUGCAAUUGAAGAUUAUGAAAAAGCAUUUGCACUAAAGUUCCCAGCUUGUUUAAUUGCUGUGAAGAGGCACAUUCAUUCUGAGUACUUGAGUUUCAGAUUUCCAAGAUGUGUAAUUUUAGUUGCCAUUGAAGUAUUUAGUCGCUCAUUCUUAAAAAUCUGUUCCAAUUUUCCUGUUAUUUUGGGCCAUAAACAGUUUAACAAGUCUGCAUGUGGUUUCUAAAGAUUGAUGGUUAUGAUAAAUAUUGUGAGGUAUGAAAUAUUAAAUUGCUAUAAAUAUGUGUACAAAUUUUUCCUAUUACAUUGGGAAUGAAAUUGUAACUUGCGGGUCAAAAGAAAUCCUAAUUUGCUUUAGGUAAGAAAUCUUAAUUUGCUUAAGUGUCUGCAUUUGUGUACAAAGGAAAAAUAAGAAAUUCUGCUACAUGGGGACCGAAAAUUUAAUUGGCAGGGUCUUCAUCAAAUGUUUGUUAUCAAUACUGAUCCCGGAAUGUAUGGAACACCGUGAAAAGUUUUUCAUAGUUUCGUGAAGAAGGCUGAUUUAUCUGAUUCAUAGAUUUGUUAAAAGCGCAUCGGGCGGGGGACAAAAGAAGUGUUGAAAUUGAAAAGGUUAAUGGUUGAAGCAUGCAGUGUUGCAAUUAAGUUAUUAUUGUCUUGAAAUAACAGGAGAUGAUAAGAUGCUGCUUAAAGCAUGCAGUUUCUGUUACAAUUGUAUUGGCCUGGGUUUAGGGAACUGUCAGAACUUUCAGAAGAAGAUGGAGUUUCUCAAACCAAAUCUAAGAAGAUAUCUCACAUUCCCCACAUGGUCUCAACGCACAGGUAAGUUUCUUCUCGAGCUCUGUUUUUCAUUGUUCGUUAUUUUUAAUGUAAAUAAGGAGCAGAGUUAAUCUCUUAUCUUGACUUUGCUUUGAGAAAACUACUAUUAUAUCUAUUUUUAAUUCACAUGUCCACAGUAAUUUCAUUCUAGUUUGAGCUGAGUGAUAACUGUUCAAGGCUCACUUACUCAUUGGGAGAAGCUCCAUGAUGCAGGCUGCUAGGAUUAGCUUGUACAAUUGCUGUGAAGAGGUACGUUUGGUUGCGAUCAAAAUUAUUAGUCUCUUGUUCUUAAUGUUUUCUGAUUUUCCAGUUCUUUAGGGGCCAUAAACAGUUUUCCAAGUACUGCAUGUGGCGGCAAAAGAUUGAUGGUGAUAAUUCUAUCUUGUGGCAUGUGUGUUGCAUUUGAGCACACGCAGAAACAGAGCUCAAGGGAAAGAAAUUGGAAGAUGCUCUAAAUAUAACAAAAGUAUAUCUCUACUUGCGGUCAAUUUAUAUUUGUUUCUUGUGUCAUUAUGCAGAUUAAUUUAUUCGAAUUUAUCCUAUCUCAUUCAUUUAUUUUGGACAUAAGUUCGAAAAAAAAAAAUUUUAAGCAUACAGUUUCCAAUGGAUUUGAUAGAGUGGUCACAUGGCAUUUUGAUGUUGUUGGAGUAGCACUGUUCUUAAGCACGGCUUUGAGGUAUCUCCCUCUCUCUUUUACGUAUUUGUUUAUCGAUCUACAUCUCUAUAUGCAUUGAUAGACUAUUCUUGCCGUACAAAAUUACUCUUGUUUUAGUGUUUUGUUUGUUGAACUUUGACUGGGGAAUCUGUCUCUUUGUCUGAUAUGAUGUUAGUGUAUUGAAGUGUGUUAGAUCUAUCACCGAGUAUUAUUUCAAUUUUUCUUUACUUAAUCAACUUGCAUCCUUUCCAAGUCCAGAUCCUUAACAAUAGUGAGACUUCGCUACAGAAGCACAAUUUCUCUUGUUUUACAGUUAAAUAUGCAAGAAUGGUUUUAAAUUAACAGAACGCUUGAGAUAGUUCUCUGAGGAAAUGCAAGUGGUGAACAUGGUUCCAACUUUUAAGAGCCUUAAUAUACCCAUUUGUUCAGCGCUGUGUGUAAACAAUCAGUAUUGCGGUUUACAUUCUUCUUUACUGCCUAUAUGUCUUGGACUUUGUCUCAAAUGGAUUCCAUGCGGGGUUUUGAAUGUCCAAUUAGGAGAAAAAUCAAGGCUUGCUUGGCCAGGAGUGGAAGCGGAUCCGCUACUUCAGUCAGAUGAACUUUUGAAGAAGGCUUACAACAGGCCAUCUCGGGAUGUCAAUGGCUCAACUCAAAAGUCAUUGAUGUCAAAGAAUGCCAUUGUCUCCGGGCUUGGGCUCCUUGGCAUCAAACAAGGGAAUGUCGACUCUGUUGAAGGGGAAACAAGGGCUCCUAAAGUGCGAAGACAGAGGAUAGUCCGGAAGAAUUAAGGUGACCGCAUAAAUUUCUUGGAGUUAAUCUUGUCAAUUGCCCAAUUUUGCUGCCUGCCGAACAGAUACAACGCGGAAGUCCUCAUCAAACCUUUGAGACAUCCAAGAACUAGUAGGAGGAGGUGGUAUUCACCCUGUUUCCUGGCAAGUAUAGUUCACUACUUCACUGAUAGAGGGAUUCUUUUCUUGAUUUCUAAAUACCAUAUGUGAUACAACGUGGUAUAUUCCAAUUUUUCUCCAGUUAAAUUCUAGUAAGUUAAAAAAGUUAAUUUUGUUUUUGCGACGAAUUGUUCUCUUAAUAAUAAUAAUUGCAUGUUGCUUUGGAAUCUUAUUCACUCUCAGUAACCCAAUUAAAUUUUGCAAAAUUUACUGCAGAUUUGUCAAACAGUGUCUUUGUGAUGACACUUUUGAUCGCAAAUUUCAAUUUGAAGUAUCAUGUAACACCAAAAAACCAUAACUUGUAAUUACUUGAUCAUACUUGACUUCCUAUUUAGGUUCUGUUUGGAAUUGAAGUGUUGUAGCUACAACUAUCUUGUGGAAAAAAAAAAGUUAGAAUUAUGAAACAAAAGUUAAUAAUAUGUAGUAAAUAUAAAUUUUAAAUAAUUAUUUUGAUAAAAUUAUUAAAGAUAUAAUAGAUUUUCCAUCAUAUAAGUGAAAAAUUAGAUCAACAUAACUUCUAAAUUAUAGCAAUUAGUGUUUACCAAAUACUUUAGUACUGUAACUUUUAAGUUACAGUUGUACAAUUUCAAUUCCAAACACGCCCUUAGUACUACUGUGUUGUAGUUAUAGUUAUUGUGAAAAAAGAACUAAAACUAUAAUAUAAAUGUUGAUCGUGUGUCAUAUAUAUGAUUUUUAAAUAAUAAUUUUGACAAAAUUAAUAAAUAUAUUAUUGAUUCUUUUAUACUCCCGGUUUAAUUUUUAAGUCACAAUAUUAAAUAUUUAUUAAAUAUUUUGAUACUGUAACUUAAAAACUAUGCUCUACGACACUCUUAUCUAAUUUUAUUUGUACUUUCUAGCUCGAUUAUACAAAUCCUUACUUGAUGUACUUGACCAUACAAGAUGUUACUUAACUUCACUUAAUCUUACUCGACUUUAAUUGUAUAUUUUAUACCGAAAUUUUUGUCAAAAAAAAUUGGUCCCAAUUCCAUGCUCCUUCGGGGAUCCCAGCAAAACAGUAACUUCCAUUCAAAAGGGUUCCAUGUUGAGUGCAUGUAAUCUACACAAGUUUGAGAAGAAAUAACCAAAAUAAAUAAAUAAAAGAAACCCACGUCCAAAGAUGCCGUUGAAAGUUGAAACAAAAAUUUAUUAUUGAUACGAGAAAAGAGUUUAUUAUUUUCUUAACAAAAAUUUAAGCUAAGACAAAAAUAAUGCCCAAAACACCCUUCUCAUGAUCCCAAACUUUCUAAACUCCCCCAUUCCUCUGAGCAUCAUCUCUCCCAAAUCUUUCUUCCCCCACAACCAGCCAUGGCUUCAAAUUCAAUUAGCUCAACACUCCAAUGUUGCUUGUAAGCCACCCACAAAUCCUCAACUUCACAUGGACUCAAAACCAAACCCUAGCUUCCUUCCCACACAUCCUCAUUAUCUUCAUCGUUACUUACCUCCCUCACAUCCAUCCUCUGCCACACAUCAACAUCAACAUCAACAUCACCAUCAUCAUCACCUCUCAUUGGACCCCACAUUCUCAGAUCCAUCACAGCCAUCCAUAAUCUCACCCUCCUCCUCUUCUCCCUCAUCAUGGCCGCUGGUUGCACCCUCUCGAUCAUCCUCCACUCACCUCACCUCCACUACUUCCCCUGUUUCCCCCCUACCAUUUCUCCCUCCGGCCCCCUCUGCUUCUACGCUUACGUUUUUAACUCUAAAAAAUACUCGAAUUCCCAGACACCCUUUUGAUCAUUUUGUCAAACUCCAUCCAACGGCUCACGUUCCUCCACGUCUACCACCAUGCAACCGUCGUUGUAAUGUGCUACAUUUGGUUACAGACGAAGCGGUCUUUGCUUCCUAUUGCGCUUGUUACCAGUGCAAGUGUGCAUGUGAUCAUGUACGGGUACUAUCUAUUGUGUGUUCUGGGGUUGCGGCAGAUUGGUCACUGAUUGUCAGAUUGUUUAGUUUUGCUGUUUUGGUACUGAUGCUGAAUUAUCAUUUCACGGGAUUUGGUUUCCCUGGGAUUUGGGGUUGGUGCUUCAAUGCUGUGAUUAAUGCCUCCCUUUUGGCCCUUUUUGUUAAUUUUCAUUACAAGAGCAUAGAAGUAAAUAAUUGAAUUAACUAUUAUUAUCUACAUUAAUGUGAUGGAACACAAGCCACAUCAACUAGAAUUAGAUUAUGAAUUUUAGCAGCCCCAGCAAAAAACAUUUAUGAAAGANNNNNNNNNNNNNNNNNNNNNNNNNNNNNNNNNNNNNNNNNNNNNNNNNNNNNNNNNNNNNNNNNNNNNNNNNNNNNNNNNNNNNNNNNNNNNNNNNNNNNNNNNNNNNNNNNNNNNNNNNNNNNNNNNNNNNNNNNNNNNNNNNNNNNNNNNNNNNNAUGGGCCUAAGUCUUUGAUUUUUUAUUUUGUUAAUUUUUUUUUAUUUUUUACUUGCAAUAGUAACUUCAAUUAUGAAUCAAAGUCGCCAAAUCAAAAUCGCUGCAGCCUGUAGCUACAAGCAAAAUUCUCAAUUAUUGAUCAGAAAGCUAGCCCCAGACGGUGACUCCUGUGGGGACUCCUUUAAUUUGCAGCACAAAACAACGUUCACAUUGACAUUGACUUGAGGGUAAAAAUUAAAUAUCUCCUAUUAGUAUAAGAAGAAUGCAAACAUGCUUGAAUCAACAUUCUCACAGAAUCACUAAAUUCUCAAAUUUUGAAAUACCUAACAAUUACAUACUAGCUAUAAAUAAAUAAAUAAAAAAUUGUCUAAAAUUAAUUCCCAGCUAACACUUGAAAUUUGAAUUUGGGCCUCAUGAAGAUUUACCCCGAGCUCUACCCCUGGAUAUGGAACAAAAUAUUAUUAGUUUUGCUAGUGAAAUUGCCAAUUAUGUUUUUGUUUUGUAUUUUCCGCUUAGGGAAGAAGAAAUUUCCUACAAAUUUUGUGGUGAAUAUCUUGUGAAUAUAUGACAGUUUAAUCUUUAGUCACCACUUGUUUAAAAUAAAAAAGAGAAAAGGAUAUCUAUAUCCCCAUGGUUUGGAGAAAUAGUCACCAACACCCCAAGUUUUCUAAAAAUGACAUCAAGACUCUCUUUUGACCAUAAUACUCUUUACCUUUAGUAUCCCGAAAAAUUUAACUUGCAAAUUUUUAGUAAACACAAAUAUUAUAUAAAUAAUGUAAUCUAUGUAGUAGAUUAAUAAUAUUAAAAUAAAUUUAAAUAUGUAAAUUAUUAUAUUUAUUUUAAUAAUAUAUUUGUAUUUAUUGUAGAGAUUUUAAAUAAAUAUUUGCAUUAAAUACAUUUUACAAUUAAAAAAGUCUCACAUACUAAUAAUAUUAAAAUUAUUAUUUUUCAUAAUAAUUUAAAUUUUAAUACAUUUAUUUUAAUAUUAUAUUUCUAUUUAUUAUAAAAAAAAUUAAAGUUAACUUUUGGGAUAAUAAAAGUAAAGGGUAUUGUAGUAAAAAAUGAGUUUUAGUGUCUCUUUUUGAAAACUUAGGACUUGGAAGCGUUGGUAACUAUUUUUCCAAAAUUUGGAGAUAUAGAUAUCCUUUUCCUAACAAAAAAUGACAUUUUUGAUAGGAGAUAUAAUAAGUUUUGUUCCUUAAAAAAAUCCAUCAGAUAUAUUAUGCCCCCGGUUGCUAUUGUUAAAAACAAGUAAUUCUUCUUUUUGUAUAUUAAAAUAGUAAAAGGGUGGAUAAUAUUUAAAAUAUUUUUUUAACCUUUUAUCUUUUUUGACAUUCGAAUUUUAAACUCGAGAAGUCAACCAAAUAGACUUCUUGAGAGGUUAACUAAAUUCUUAGUAAUUUAAUAUAAUAUCAUAACCGUUCUUCAAAAGCAAUUUUAUAAAUCAUUGUGGAAAAAUUUUAUUCCUUAGUUAUCUUUCGCAUAUUUUAAUUCUUUGUAAUAUGAGGUAAGUCCGUAGACAAUAGUAUGAUAUUUAUUAAAAUCAUUAUGGGACAGAUUUUAUUCUUUUUUUUUUUCUCAACAAAGUAUCCGACUGUAGAUAUAAUAAAUUACUAAUUAAAAUUAUUCGAGUCACACUCUAAAUUAGAUUUUAAAGUUUGUCAUGACAUAAUAAAGUUACAUUCUCAAAUGACCAAAUCAAUUAAUGAGAUAAUGGCUUUUGCUUUUGCCUACCUGACAAAAAGAUGUUGUCGGCCAAGUUGAAAAAUAUAGUAAAUAAAUUUCACUUGCACGUUCCAGAUCGAUCACAUACAAAUUUGUACUGAAAUUCAUAAUGGAUUAAUAUGAUUGGGCGAAAUUACUCCAUAUAAUUUCAUCAAUACCUAUUAAACGAUAAAAAAUUUAUUAAUAUUUAUAAUUAAAAAAAUCUAUCCACUAAGACUAUUCUAGAUCAACAAUUAAUAUAUUAUAUAUAACUUCAAAAGGUUCAUCGGUGGAUUGAUUUAAGCCCUUUGUUGUAGUUUAUAAAUAUUUUGUUGCUUAUAAUGUAAGAAAUUUUAUAGGAGCUGAUGCUGAGUAGUCUGAAUAAGAAAAUUAAUUAUAUUUAUAAGUUAUUGGGUAUCCAUAAUAAAAUAAACAAAUAAAAAAUGAAUAAAAAUUUAAAUACUUAAUUAAUUUUUAUCAAAUUCUUAUCAAAUAUUUAAAAAAGUAUAUAAAAUCAAUUAAUUGAUGGUAUUAUUAAUUUUCAUGAUGAUUUUUAAUAUUAUAUUAGUGAUUAUUAAAUUUAAUACAAUCAAUAAUGCAAGAAAUGAUUAAAUGGUCAAUUUUAUUGACAAAUUAUCAAAUAUGCAAAGUAAUGAAAAAUUAAUCUCAAGAGUUAGUAGAAGUAAAGUUCCAAUUUAAUCAGAUGAUAGAUAAUAAAGUUCCACUACUGUGUGAUAUCGAUGAAGUCGCAAAAUUAGUCUAAUUCCAUACUUAAUCCUAGUAUCCGAACAUGGCCUGAUAAAAUAGUUUAGGUAAUAUACUUCUAUGACUCACAAUUUAAAUAAAUUUGAGAAUUUAUAUAAGGGAUGGAAAAUUCACAAUAAUCAUAACAUGUGCUAUCUUUUCUUCCUUUUCUUAAUUAAACACGAUGAAGUCGCAUGAAGUCGAUGAAGUCAAUAACCACUGCUGUGUGAUAUCGAUGAAGUCGCAUUCGCCUACCUAAUAUUGCGCAAUUAGAUAGAAAAAACGGUCGGCUGCAUGAUUUUUCCAACUUUUGUCUUAUUUUUCUCUUUUCCACGACAAAUUAAUUUGAGAAUGUUACAUUUUCCAAUUCUCUUUUUGUCGUGACCUAAUAGACUAAAACGGAAUCACAUACUUUUUCAAAUGACCAAAUGGCUUUGGCCUACCUGAUAAUAAAAGGAAUGGAUCCAUACGUUAGUAUGGAUAAAUUGAAAAAUAUAAUAAAUAAAUUGUCAGGAGACGAUUUUAUCAAAAAUUUCACUCGCACGGUCCCGACCAAAUACAAAUUUGUGAUGAUAUUCAUAAUGAAUUACUCUAUACAGUUUCAUCGAUAUAUAUUAUACCAUUAAAAAUAUACUACUAUUUAUAAUAAAAAAAAAUUAUGACUAUUCUAAAUCGACUGUAUUAUAUGUGAAUUCACAAGAUUCAUAGAUAGAUUGCACUGAGCUUUUUGUUGCAGUUUACAAAUAUUUUGUUACUAAUUAUCUUAGGAGCGGCAAGUAACUAAAUACAAAUGUAAGAAAUUUUACAAGUUGCUGAUGCUGUGUACUCCGCAGAAAGCUAGCCCCAGACGGUGACUCCUGUGGGGACUCCUUCAAUUUGCAUCACAAAAGAACGUUCACAUUGACAUUGACUUGAGGGUAAAAAUUAAAUAACUCCUAUGGUACGUAUAAGAAGAAUGCAAACAUGUUUUUUUUUUUUUUUUGAUUACAUGAGACUAUUGCUCAAAUUACAGUUCAAAUUACAACUCAUAUUACAUGAGAGUAUAAUUGAUAUGUACAAUCAUAUAUUUAUACUGAGCCCUAUUGAUAUGAAUACUGAUAUGACAUCGCUCAGAUUUUUAACCCUCUCAAAUAUUCGAGGGAUGUCAAACUCCCAUCCUGGGAGAAAGACUGUCUUCACUCGAGCUCAAGGGCUCCAAGAAAGAAUAUUUAAAUUAAACCCCUACAAUGCGACUGCGGAGGCUCGAACCCCUUCCCUCACAUUUGUGAGGGAGGGGCUCUAGCCACUUGGGCUAAGCCCAAGUGGUUAGAAUGCAAACAUGCUUGAAUGAACAUUCUCACAGAAUACAUAAAACCUACUUUCCUCUGAGCAUUUUAGCAGCAAGAAAAGCAAUUGCAGCAUUUACCAUUUGAUCUAAUAUCAGAAUGGCUCAUGCGAUCGUUUCCUCUCUCCUGGACCAGCUGAAAUCCAUUGCUCAAGAUCAGGUGAAAGAAAAGUGGAGGCUUGUCACGGGUGUCGAACAUGAAGUGGGAAAGCUUACCACCAAUCUUCAAGCCAUUCAAGCUGUGCUGGAAGAUGCAGAGCAGAGGCAAAUGAAGCAGGACAAAGCUGUUACUUUUUGGCUGGAUCAGCUCAGAGACGCAUCCUACGACAUGGAAGAUGUGUUGGAAGAGUGGAUCACUGAAACACGGAAAUUGCAGCUUGAUGAGGGAGGCGAUGAUGAUGAUGAUGAUGAUAACGACAGUGCUUUUGUUACUUUUUUGACGAAGGUAUGUUCCUUCUUUCCUGCUGCCUCAAACUGCUUUGGUGGUUUCAAACAACUCAGUCUUCGUCAUCAUAUUGCUGUCAAGAUUAGAGAAAUCAGUAAAAGGCUAGAUGAAAUUGCCACUCGAAAAGAUAGGUUUAAUUUUGUUGAGAAUGUGAGUAACAAUGUUAGGAAUCCAGAGCGAGUGCGAACCAUCUCCUUGAUUGAUGAGGGAGAGGUUUGCGGUAGAGUUGAGGAGAAAAAUGAGCUCUUAAGCAAGUUGUUGUGUGAAAGUAGUGAACAACAAAAAGGCCUUCAUGUCAUUUCACUAGUUGGGUUGGGGGGUAUAGGUAAAACCACUCUUGCACAAUUGGCGUAUAAUAAUGAUGAGGUGAAAAGAAAUUUUGGCAAAGUUAUAUGGGUGUGUGUAUCAUACACUUUUGAGGAGAUUAGGGUCGCCAAAGCAAUCAUUGAAGGUCUAGGCGUGUCAGCUUCUGGUUUAAGCGAAUUCGAAUCUCUUAUGAAACAGAUUCAGAAAUAUAUUACGGGGAAGAAAUUUUUUCUUGUUUUAGAUGAUGUGUGGGAUGGAGAUUACAAAAAAUGGGACCCAUUCUUUUCUUGUCUAAAGAAUGGCCACCAUGAAAGUAAAAUUCUAAUUACCACACGUGAUAGGUCAGUUGCACUGCAGUUGGGAUCAAUAGAUAUUAUCCCUGUCAAGGAGUUGGGUGAAGGGGAAUGUUGGUUACUGUUUAAGCAGAUAGCAUUUCUACGUAGGUCCUUUGAGGAUUGUGAAAAAUUAGAACCAAUCGGGCGAAAAAUUGCAUGUAAGUGCAAAGGCCUGCCUCUUGCUGCAAAGGUAAUAGGGAAUCUCUUGCGCUCUAAAAGUACAGUAAAAGAGUGGCAAAGAAUUUUAGAGAGUGAAAUGUGGAAAGUAGAAGAGAUUGGGCAAGGUAUUUUGGCUCCUUUGUUGUUGAGUUAUAACGAUUUACCCUCCAAUUCUAUGGUAAAACGGUGCUUCUCAUAUUGUGCUGUCUUUCCAAAAGACUACAAUAUGAAGAAAAGGGAAUUGAUUAGUCUAUGGAUGGCUCAAGGUUACCUUAAUGCAGAUGAAGAUGAAGAAAUGGAGAUGAUUGGAGAAGAGUAUUUCAACAUCUUAGCAACACGCUCUUUCUUUCAAGAGUUUGAAAAAUAUUAUGACAAUGAUGAUAUUAUGAGUUGCAAGAUGCAUGACAUAGUACAUGAUUUUGCUCAAUUUGUAAGUAGCAAAGAAUGUUUGUGGCUAGAAAUUAAUGGUACCAAGGAAUCAGUCAUAAACUCUUUUGGUGACAAAGUCCGUCACUUAGGGUUAAAUUUUCAAGGAGGCACUUCAUUUCCUAUGUCCAUUCAUGGACUUAAUAGAUUGCAUACCCUAUUAAUUUAUGACCAAAGUCCUGUCAAUUCGUCUCUUAACAGUAGCAUCCUUCGGGAGUUAUUUAGUAAAUUGGCAUGUUUAAAGGCAUUAGUUAUAAGCCAAUAUAACACUUUAGGUUUGCAUCCUGAGACAGAAAGGAUUAGAGAAAUUCCAGAAAAUGUUGGAAAAUUGAUACAUUUAAAAUAUCUUAAUUUGUCUGAAUUAGUCAUAGAGAGACUACCUGAGACUUUGUGUGAAUUAUAUAAUUUACAAAAGCUAGAUAUUAGGCUGUGCCGAAAUCUUAGAGAAUUGCCAGAGGGGAUUGGGAAGUUAAUGAACAUGAGGAGUUUACUGAAUGCUGAAACUCGUUCGUUGAAGUACAUGCCAAUAGGGAUUUCCAAAUUAACCAGUCUUCGAACAUUAGAAAAGUUUGUUGUGGGUGGAGAUGUUGAUGGUGGCAGCACGUGUAGGCUUGAAUCUCUGAAAAAUCUUCAACUCCGUGGUAAAUGUAGUGUACAAGGGCUGAGUAAUGUAUCGCAUGUAGAUGAGGCUGAGAGGUUACAACUUUACAAUAAGAAAAACCUCCUUCGUUUGCAUCUUGAGUUUGGUAGAGUCGUAGAUGGGGAAGGCGAAGAAGGGAGGAGGAAGAAUAUUGAGAAAGAUAAACAACUUCUUGAAGCCUUACAACCGCCUUUGAAUGUAGAGGAAUUAUGGAUUAUAUUCUACGGAGGCAACAUUUUUCCCAAAUGGUUGACUUUGCUAACCAAUCUAAGGGAACUAAAACUCUUCUCGUGCGUUAACUGUGAGCAUUUGCCUCCACUGGGAAAAUUGCCUCUGGAAAAACUCGAACUAUACAAUUUGAAAAGUGUAAAAAGAGUGGGUAAUGAGUUUUUGGGAAUAGAAGAAAGCAGUGAGGAUGGCCCGUCUUCUUCUUCAUCAUCACCAUCAGUUAUUGCCUUCCCCAAAUUGAAAUCACUCAUAAUUGAGGAAUUAGAUGAAUUGGAAGAGUGGAAUUACAGGAUUACGAGGAAGGAAAACAUCUCCAUCAUGCCACGUCUUUCUUCCUUGCAGAUUUCUUAUUGCCCCAGAUUAAAGGUGCUGCCGGAUUACCUUCUUCAAUCGACGACACUGCAGGAAUUGAGGAUUGAGCGAUGUCCUCUUCUGGAAAACCGUUAUAGGGAGGCGAAAGGAGAAGAUUGGCAUAAGAUAUCUCACAUUCCCCACAUCCAUAUAUCACCCCACGGUAAUUUCUUCUCCUCCUCUGAUUUACUCUAUUGUUGCUUGCAAUGAAAUUAAUAAAAAUAAUUAUAUUUUGAAUUAAAAUUCUGUAUAUUGCCAAUGUGUGACAGGAAUAUAUAAUAUAUUUCUAAUAUUUUGAUUUGCAUAUUGAAUUUAACUAUUUACUUCAGCCAUUAAUUAAUGGGUCACUCUAUGAUAUUGUUAUAAAAAUUAUAGAAUCAAUCGUGUUAUAAAUAUGUACUGUUAGAUUUAAUCAAUAGUUCAUAAAGUUAAAAGUUAGUUACGAUAAUAUUUAAUUUCAGUUAUUUAAAAUUUAAACUUCCUAGUUAUCAAAUCUCUUAAACUUGUUUUCUAAAGAUUAAAUAAUUAAAAAAAAAACAAGUGUAGUAUGUUGAAAUUUCUAUAUUUUUUAAAAAAAAAUAUGUAGUCUUUUGUAAAAUUUCAUACAACAUCAUAGAAAAUCCUAAUGUAUUUUAUUUUUUAAUGCACGAAAAUUUGUUAUGUGCAACUUCCUGAGAGACAAAAUCUCUGUGAUACAUUUGCGGAAAUGUUGAAAACUAAAUCAUCAAUUUUAUCUUGUAUAAUGAUAAUCGUAUUUUUUUAUAUAUAAUUUAUGUGACAUUAAUUCUUUAAAGUAAUGGGGUAAUUGUUUUUACAACAUUAGCCCACUUUGUUUUAUUUCAUACGAGUUUAAUUAUGUUCACCAGGGAUUCGAGAAAAAAUCAGAAUAUCCCUCCUUGUUGUUCAGGCGGGAUCUGCUCUAUUGGGUGAGUUUAAAGCAGUUGAUACGUCUUGAAAAUUGUUAUUGCGGAUGAAUUCAUUCCUGAAGACGGGUAUCCAAAGGCGUAUUUUCAUAAACUUCCUUUUUUAACAAAUGUUCCAACGCUUGCAUCUCUCGGGUGCACCAUGUUCACGGGUUAGAAAAAGCAUUUGUGGUGAAGCUUCAAAGCUUGUAAAAUGGCUGUGAAAAGGCACAUUCAAUUCGGUAUGCUUUGGUGCGGUCUCCUAAUGCUAAUAUUAUAUUUUAUAUAGCAAUCUUAAUAUGCAAUAAAUCAUUGUGUCCAAAGUUUUCUAUUAAUUAUAUGGUGACUGAAAUUUUAAUUAUCAUAUCAAUCUUAAAAUUUUUUGUAACCCUAUUUUACUUUGCUUGUACAGAGUACCUGUUUUAGCUGAUAUGUCUAAUUCCUAGAAAUUCAUUUCCAUCGGUUUCCAUUGGUUUUAGUUCAAACAGAAACAGAGAGCCCUGGGAAAAAGUUUUACUUUUUGUGGUAUUAUGCCUUUGUUUCUUCAUUCAUGAUAUUUGUUUCGAAUUCAUGCUCUCAUUCAGAGAGUAAAGCCUUUUCCAGGCUGCUUUGUAGCCAAAUUUUGAUGCCAUCGAUGCAUGAUUGUCAUUUAGAUUUUCCAAAUAAUUGUUAGAUUGGAGAAGAAUAAGAAUAUAUUGUUCAAAGGCUAUUUAAUUAGCACCCUCUGAAUUUAGUUGGCAAUAAUGCAUUGAAAUGGUUGGGGAAAGUUAUUGUCUUAAUUAAAUUACAGGUGAUAAGAGGCUGCUUCAAUUUUGCAAGCAUCUUGUACUGCGAAGAUUCUGCCCACAUGAGAUGCUGUGAUUCUUGACGUCAGGAUAACACAGGUCAAAUUUUAGUAUCAAUAUAUAUCAUCUUCUUUACUGUUCUGCCUCUAAAUAUUAAACUUUAAUCAAGUUGUUUUUGUUUGUGUAAGUUAUCAGGUUAAGGAUACUAAGCCGCUUAUUAAGGCAAAUGUCAGAAUGAAGAUUGCUCACCACACCUGGUAUGCAUGAUGGUCAGGAAGAUUAAUUGUUCACAAGCCAAUUUGAUCAGUGUUAGAUUUUUUGCCUCCUUUCGAGGGACAUCAUCAUCAAAUUUGAGUAGAGAAUCUUUGAAGGAAUUUUGUUGAAAGAGUUUCACAGUAGUGAAUUCUGGGAGCUCGAACUCACUUGAGUGAGAUAUUAGGGAGUGUUGGGGAUUUGGGUUAUGAGUAAUCAUUAUCCUUCCAAUAUGUGUAAGCACUCACUUGUUAGUAAAAUCAUCUUCGUAUAUUGACUAUGUUUCUUUGUUAUCAGGUAGAGUGUGAUCUUCAAGGGUUUGAGAAAGUCCUUGCAGUAAAGUUUCCACCACAAGCAAUUGCUGCGAAGAGGCAUAUACAUUUGAGAAGUUCAGUUUCAGAUUUUCUAGGCGUGUAUGUUUAAUUAGUUUCGAUUAUAAUAUUUAGUCACUCAUUCUGAAUCUUUUCUAAUUUUCAAGUUCCUUAGGGCCACGACCUGUUUUUCAAGUCUGCAUGUGGCUGCAAAAAGAUUGAUGGUCAUAAAAUUAUCUUGACCCUUGAGCCAUUGCGUUUGAGCACAAACAGAAACAGAGCUAAAGGAAAAGAAUUUGACGCAAGAAGAUGCUCUGAAUAUAACAAAAGUAUAUUUCUACUUCUUGUGGUUAUUUACUUUUGUUUCUCCUGUCAGCAUAUUUGAUUAAUUCGUUCGAAUUCACACUCUCACACAUUAUUUAAAACCAUUUGUAGGUGGCUUGCAAGCUAAUUAAGUUAAUGCAGAAGCAAUACUCUAGACAAAGAUGAGCAAAUUGAAGGUGAUAAAUGCAUAUAUGGCGGCCAAAUCGCUUAUUAUAUUUCAUCUCUCAAUCUAAUAUGAUUCUGAAUUUUAAUUUCCAUGAAUAAUUGUUAGGCUGGUACAGAUGUUCUUAAAAGGGCCAUUAAACUACCUUAUGAAAUUGGAAAGUUGCUAUUGCUUGAAUGAAAGCACCAUCUUCUGUUACCAAGGCAUUCCCCACAUGAUGAGAUUAUGUGAUUGUUACCGGCUUCUUAAUUAUUUGUUAAAUCAGGUUUUUCUUAUCAAGUACAUCAUCUUAUUCACCAUUUUGGCUAUAUCAGAAUCUGCUAAUUCCAUGAUGUCAAAGCAAGCUCAAGCACUAGAUCCCUAAUAAUAAUGCAUUGCAUUUUCAUUUUAUUUUUAGGUUGACUUUUAAGACCCUAUGGAGAACAUUGGGGUAAUCAAGGAUUAGGCUGGUGAUGGAACUACUUCCACUGUGGUGUUGUGUGCAACGUUCAGUUGCUGGACUUUGAAGAAGAAAGUGAUGGCCAGGUCUGCUCUGUUUCAAUUCAGGAUGGAUAGCUGCCUGGAAGGCAUGAUGAUUAUUAUUGCAUGAUAUUAAGGUACUAAGAUCAUCAUUUCUGUCUUGUUUUUUUCUUUGAUCGGUUUAUCCUCUAUAAGCAAAUUCAAUUAUGCUAAUAUUACCCUUUUUUCACCCAAUUUUCACUGUUGGUUGUAAUAACAAUUUCAGGUAUUCAAAAGCUACAGAGCAAAGCACAUGUGGGCUGAUCACAUGCUUCCAUGGAGGAAGGAAUUCGGUAUUGACACUAUUAUGCAGGUAACCGCAGUUGUUAAUUUACACAAAUUUGCAUUGUCAGAAUGCCCUUUAAUAUUCACUGUGUUUCUUUUUGUUACUCAGGUUACCAUGGUAGAUAGAGUAUCAUCUUCGAGAGUUUGUAAGAGCCUUUGCAGUAAAGUUACCUGCUCGAGCAAUUUUACAUUCAUCGAGUACAAUUUUGGAUUUUCAAGGUUUGUAUGUUUAGUUGCGAUUAGCAGGCUUAGUCACUCAUUCCUAAUCUUUUCUGAUUUUCAGGUUAUUUAGGUCCAUUAACAGUUUUCACACAUGUUUCAAUGCUAGUUGUAAUAACAAUUUCUUAUCUUGCACCUCUAAGGUGCAUCACGUUUGAAACAGCUUUUGCGGUAAAGUUUCAAUGCUUGUACAAUGGCCGUGAAGAGGUACAUUUAAUUCGGUACGUUUUGGUGCGGUCUUCUAAUGCUAAUAUCAUGUUGUGUAUAUUUAGUUUGCAAUUAAAACUUAGGUAUACAAUCUUAAUCUCCAAUAAAUCAUUGUGUACAAAGUUUUCUAUUAAUUAUAUGGUGACUGAAAGUUUAAUUAUCUUAAAAUUUUUUGUAACUCUCUUUUACUUUGCUUGUACAGAGUACCUGUUUUGGCUGACAUGUCUAAUUAGUAGAAAUUCAUUUCCAUGGGUUUCCAUUGGUUUGAGCACAUACAGAAACAGAGCUUUACUUCUUGAGGUGUUAUGCCUUUGUCUCUUCAUUCACCAUAUUUGUUCGAUUACGUUGUCUCAUUAAGAAUUUAAAGCCUUUUUCUAGGCAGCUUUGUGGCCAAUUUUUUAUGCCAUCAAUGCAUGAUUGUCAUUUAGAUUUUCCAAAUAAUUGUUAGGUGGGGAAGAUAUUGUUAAAAGGGCAUUUAAUUAGCUACGUCCCCUAUGAAUUUAGUUGCCAAUAUUACAUUGAAAUUGAGAAGGAUCAUAGUUGAGGAAAGUUAUUGUCUUAAUUAAAUUACAGGUGAUAAGAUGUUGCUUGAAUUCAGCAUCUUGUAUUGCGAUGAUUUUGCCCACAUGAGGUUCUGUGAUUCUUGACAUCAGGAUAACUCAGGUCAAUUUUUUUGUAUCAGCAUAUAUCAUCUUCUUUACUGUUUUGCCUUUAAAGAAUAAACUUUAGUAAAGUUGUUCUUGUUUGUGUAUGUUAUCAGGUUAAGGAUACUAAGCAGCUUAUUAAGGCAAAUGUCAGAAUGAAGAUUGUUCACCACACCUGGCAUGUAUGAUGGCAAGGAAGAUUAAUUCUUCACAAGCCAAUUUGAUGAGUGUUAGACAUUUUCAGAUUUUUGGCUUUAUAUAUUAUUAGAGCUCUCCCAAUAACUGCAAGCUUUCAUUUGUUUGUAAAAUCAUCUUCUUAUAUUGAUUGUGUUUCCUUGUGUUAUCAGGUAGAGUAUCAUCUUCAAGGGUUUCAAAAAGUCUUUGCAGUAAAGUUUCAACCAAUUGCUGUGAAGAGGCAUAUUCAUUUGAGUAAUUCAGUUUCAGAUUUUCAGGGCGUGUAUGUUUAAUUAGUUUUGAUUAAAAUAUUUAGUCACUCAUUCUGAAUCUUUUCUAAUUUUCAAGUUCCUUAUGGCCACAACCAGUUUUUCAGGUCCGUAGGAACUAUCUUGAGCGUUGAGGAAUUGCGUUUGAGCACACACAGAAACAAGGCUAAUGGAAAAGAACUUGACAGAAGAAUUAUGCUCUAAAUCUAACAAAAGUAUAUUUCUACUUCUUUUGGUUAUUUUACUUUUGUGUUUUCUGUCAUCAUAUUUGAUUGAUUCGUUCGAAUUCAGACUCUUUCUCAUCAUUUAAAACCAUUUUCAGGUGGCUUGCACGCUAAUUAAGUUAACGCAGAAGCAAUACUCUAGACAAAGAUGAGCAAAUUGAAGAUGAUAAAUGCAUAUAUAGUGGCCAAGUCGCUCUUUACAUUUCAUCUCUCAUACGAACAUGAUUUUGAAUUUGAAUUUCCAUGAAUAAUUGUCAGGCUGGUGUAGAUAUUCUUAAAAGGGCAUUAAGCUACCUUAUGAAAUUGGAAAGUAAUUUUGUAAUCAUUUCUGUGCAAUCAAGAAUGUAAUUUUGUAAUUAUUCAACUCUGCUUCCGCGAACAUGCGGUAUCUUGCAGAUUUUUUUCUCCCUUUUUCUUUCUGCGUUAAAACUGCAACAAAUGGAAGUGACUGGCUUGAUUUUAGCUCCUGUAAAAAAGUGCUUGGGGCAAUGUCUUUUGUAUCAGCAAGUUAUCAAACAUCAUAGUUUAAAUAUAGAAUCCUGAGUUGCUAUCGAAAAUUCCAGGUCUUUCACCUCUCAGUUUCUUAAAAGCUACAAAGCUUGAUAUAUAUUGACAAAGCAAACCGUCUGUGGGCUGAAAUGCUUCCACGGAUCAGGAAGGAAUUUCGUGUUGACACUAUAUGUUAUGCGGAUAACUACAGUUGAUAGUUUUUACCCAAAAUAUGUCAGAGUUGACAAUUCACUUACAGUGUUUCCUUGUGUUACCAGGCCCUCAUGUGUGAAUUGAAAGAUUAAGAAAGAUUGAUUCUUACUGACUUAUGCAAUUGAAGAUUAUGAAAAAGCAUUUGCACUAAAGUUCCCAGCUUGUUUAAUUGCUGUGAAGAGGCACAUUCAUUCUGAGUACUUGAGUUUUAGAUUUCCAAGAUGUGUAAUUUUAGUUGCCAUUGAAAUAUGUAGUGGCUCAUUCUUAAAAAUCUGUUCUAAUUUUCCUGUUAUUUUGGGCCAUAAACAGUUAAAAAGUCUGCAUGUGGUUUCUAAAGAUUGAUGGUUAUGAUAAAUAUUGUGAGGUAUGAAAUAUUAGUUUGCUAUAAAUAUGUGUACAAAAUGUUUCUAUUACAUGGGGACUGAAAUUGUAACUUGCAGGGUCAAAAGAAAUCCUAAUUUGCGUAAGUGUCUGCAUUUGUGUACAAAGGAAAAAUAAGAAAUUCUGCUACAUGGGGACCGAAAUUUUAAUUGGCAGGGUCUUCAUCAAAUGUUUGUUAUCAAUACUGAUCCCGGAAUGUGUGGAACACGGUGAAAAGUUUUUCAUAGUUUUGCGAAGAAGGCUGAUUUAUCUGAUUCAUAGAAUUGUGAAAAGGGCAUCGGGCGGGGGACAAAAGAAGUGUUGAAAUUGAAAAGGUUAAUGGUUGAAGCAUGCAGUGUUGCAAUUAAGUUAUUAUUGUCUUGAAAUAACAGGAGAUGAUCAGAUGCUGCUUAAUGCAUGCAGUUUCUGUUGCAAUUGUAUUGGCCUGGGUUUAGGGAACUGUCAGAACUUUCAGAAGAAGAUGGAGUUUCUCAAACCAAAUAUAAGAAGAUAUCUCACAUUCCCCACAUGGUCUCAAUGCACAGGUAAGUUCUUCUCUAGCUCUGUUUUUCAUUGUUUUUUAUUUUUAAUGUAAAUAAGGAGCAGAGUUAAUCUCUUAUGUUGACCUUGCUUUGAGAAAACUGCUUUUACAUGUAUUUUUAAUUCAGAUGUCCACAAUAAUUUCAUUUUAGUUUGAGCUAAGUGAUAACUGUUGAAGGCUCACUCACUCAUUGGGAGAAGCUCCAUGACGCAGGCUGCUGGGAUUAGCUAGUGCAAUUGCUGUGAAGAGGCACAUUCAUUGGGAGAAAUUAAAUUUUAGAUUUUCUUAGUGUGUAUGUUUGGCUGCGAUUAAAAUGAUUUCUCUCGUUGUUAAUGAUUUCUGAUUAUCCCGUUCUUUAUGGCCAUAAACAGUUUUCCACGGGCUGCAUGUGGCGGCAAAAGAUUCAUGUUGAUAAGGCUAAUGCUAAGUUACAUGCAUGUAACUUAGGGAGAUCCUGUUGAUAAUUAUAUCUUGUGGUAUGUGUGUUGCAUUUGAGCACAUGCAGAAACAGAGCUGAAGGAAAAGCAAUUGACCCUAGAAGAUGUUGCAAAUAUAACAGAAGUAUAUUUCUACUUGCGGUCAAUUUACAUUUGUUUCUUGUGUCAUCCUAUCUCAUUCAUCAUUUUGGACAGAGUUUGGAAAAAAAAAAUUAUACGUAAAUCACUUUCCAAUGGUUCAGUGAUUUUUGAUUGGUUGUAAAAUGUUGAACCUCUUUUCAGAUUUCCAAAUAACUGUUAGAUUGGAGAAGAAUAAGAAGAUAUUAUUAAAAGGAUAUUUAAUUAGCGCUCUCUGAAUUUAGUUGCCAAUAAUGCAUUGAAAUAGUUGGGGAAAGUUAUUAUCUUAAUUAAAUUACAGGUGAUAAGAUGCUGCUUCAAUUUUGCAAGCAUCUCGUAUUGUGAAGAUUUUGCCCACAUGAGAUGUCGUGAUUCUUCUGCUUCAAUACAGGUCAAAUUUUAGUAUCAAUAUAUAUCUUCUUCUUUACUGUUCUGCCUCUAAAUAUUAAACUUUAGGCAAGUUGUUUUUGUUUGUGUAAGUUAUCAGGUUAAGGAUUCUAAGCAGCUUAAUCAAAUUUGACUAGAGAAUCUUUGAAUAGAAUUUUGUUGUGAGAGUUUCACUGUAGUGAAUUUUGGGAGCUUGAACUCACUUGAGUGAGAUAAUAGAGUGUAUUGGAGAUUUGGGUUAUGAGUAAUCGUUAUCCUUCCAAUAUUUGCAAGCUCUCACUUGUUAGUAAAAUCAUCUUCGUAUAUUGACUCUGUUUCUUUAUUGCCAGGAAAGUGUGAUCUUCAAGGGUUUGAGGAAGUCUUUGCAGUAAACUUUCCACCACGAGCAAUUGCUGCGAAGAGGCAUAUACAUUUGAGUAAUUUAGUUUCGGAUUUACAAGGCGUGUAUAUUAAAUUAGUUUCAAGUUCCUUAGGGACACUACAGUGUUUCAAGGCCGCAUAUGGCUGCAAAAGAUUGAUGGUCAUAAAAUUAUCUUGAGCCUUGAGGCAUUGUGUUUGAACACACACAGAAACAGAGCUAAAGGAAAAGAAGACAGUAGAAGAUGCUCUAAAUAUAACAAAAGUAUAUUUAGAGCAUUUAAUUAGCUACGUCCCCUAUGAAUUUAGUUGCCAAUAAUAACUUGAGUGUCGAGGAAUUGCGUUUGAGCACACACAGAAACAAGGCUAAUGGAAAAGAACUUGACAGAAGAAUUAUGCUCUAAAUAUAACAAAAGUAUAUUUCUACGUCUUGUGGCUGUUUUGCUUUUGUUUCUUCUGUCAUCAUAUUUGAUUAAUUCGUUCGAAUUCACACUCUCACACAUAUUUAAAACCAUAUGUAGGUGGCUUGCAAGCUUGCUAAGUUUACGCAAAAACAAUACUCUAGGCAAAGAUGAGCAAAUUAAAGGUGAUAAAUGCAAAUCGAAUUUCCAUGAAUAAUUGUUAGGCUGGUGCUGAUAUCCUAAAAGGGCAUUAAGCUACCUUAUGGAAUUGGAAAGUUAUUAUGCUUCAAAGCAAGCAGCGUCUUCUGUUGCGAAGGCUUUCCCCACAUGAUGAGAUGCUGUGAUUGUUACCAGCCCCGUAUUUAUUAACUCAGGUCAGUAUUAUCAACUACAUUAUCAUUUUGGCUAUAUAUAAAGAUUAAAAUUUUGAACACUUGUCUCGGUUUCUUGUGUAAUCAGGCUACUAGAGCAAAUGUUUACUGUCUAAGCACUAAUGCGACAAUCCCAUCUGUAAAUUUGGGCCAUCUUUGAUGUCUGACAGGUUAGCUGUGACAAUCCCAUCUGUAAGUACUAAAGCGCCUGGUUAUGGUGCUUUCAUUGGACUAUAUGCAAACGUGAGAUAUCAGCUAUUGUGUGGAUUUGAUAGAGCGGUCACCAACCAUUUUGAUGUUAUUGGAGUAGCACUGUUCUUAAGCACGGCUUUGAGGUCUCUCCGUCUCUCUUUUACGUAUUUGUCUAUUGAUCGACAUCUCUAAAUAUACAUUGAUAGACCAAAUUACUCUUGUUUUAAUGUUUUGUUUGUUGAACUUUGACUGGGUUAUUUGUUUAUUUGUCUCAUAUGAUGUUAAUGCGGUUCCUAUAAAAGUGGAUAUAGAUCUAUCACCUCAAAGUCUGAUUUCAAUUUUCCUUUACUUAAUCAACUAGCAUCCUUUCCAAGUCCAGAUACUUACCAAUAGUGAGACUUUGCUACGGAAGUACAAUUUCUCUUGUUUUACAGUUAAGUAUGUAAGAAUAGUUUCAAAUUUACAGAAUUCUGAUAUAGUUCUCUAAGGAAAUGCGGGUGGUGAAUAUGGUUCCAACUUUUAAUAGGCUUUAAUAGGCCCAUUUGUUCAGCCACAGUGAUUGCGGUCUAAAUUCUUCUUUACUGUCUAUAUGUGUUGGAGUUUGUCUAUUGUCCAACUUCUCCAAUGGAUUCCAUGCAGGGUUUUGAUGGUCUAAUUAGGAGAAAGAUCAACGGAUGACCUUUUGAAGAAGGCUUACACAACAGCCCAUCUCAGGAUGUCAUGGCUCAGCUCAAAAGUCCCCAGGUGGUUGAUACCAAAGAGUGCCAUUGUUUCUGGGCUUGGGCUCCUUGGCGUCAAACAAGAUAGUCCGGAGUAAGGUGACUGCAUAAAUUUCUUGGAGUUAAUGUAGUCAAUUGCCCAAUUUUGGUGCCUGUCGAAGAGACACAGCAUGGAAGUCGUCAUCAAACUCUGAGACACCUAAGAACUAGUAGGAGGUGGUGGUAUUCACCUGGUGUCUAAAUACUAUAUGUGAUACAACGUUGCAUAUUCCAAUUUUUCUCCAGUUAAAUUCUAGUGAGUUAGGAAAUUUAAUUUUGUUUUAGCUAUGAAUUAUUUCCUAGAUAAUAAUAAUUGCCAUGUUCCUUUAGAGUCUUAUUUACUCCAACUUUAGGAAAUUCUAGUGAGUUAGGAAAUUCUAGUUAGGAAAUUAUGUACCAUCAACCAGUUUUUUCUAACUUUUUUAAAAAUACACUAUUCUUAUUUGACUGACUUGAUUUUACUGACAUAAUUUUCUCCCAUUUCUAUAUUAUCGACGUUGAGUGCAUCUAAUCCACAAGUCUGAUUGAGCCAAAAGUCUAAUGACAAUCACGUCCAAAGAUGCCGUUAUCACAAAGCCCUGGAUAAUUAAAGAGGUCAUUGUUCGAAAGAAAGAAUGAUUUGUUGGUAUGAAAUUACGUUAAAAUGAAUAUAUCACUUUUUUUUUUUGGCGUGAGUGAUGGCUUCGUUUAAUGACAGUUGGCAGACAAUGAGUCAUCUUUUAAUUUUAGUUUUGAUUUAUUAUAAAAUAUUAAUUUUUGUAGUUUCAGUAGAUGAAAUUUCGAAUCAAAUAUUAAUAUCGUUAAAGUACGCAACUCAAUAUUUGCUUAAAUCAUAAAAAAAAUAAUUGCUUUACAUUAAAAAAAAUAACAAGUGAUCACUUGAUUUAACUUCCUUUACUAAAUUUACGAUUUAAAAUCCAAAAUAGAAAAACGAAAACAAUUUUUGAAAUCACACUCGAAGUUUUAAAUUGACAUGAAAAAAGAGCUUAUUAUUGAUUAUCUUUUUCCUAAAAUUUAAGGUAAGAUAACAAUAUGUCCAAAAUACCCUCCGCAUUAUCCCAAAACUUUAUAAACUCCCCCGUUCCUCUGAACAUCAUCUCUUCCAAAUCUUUCUCCCCCAAAAAACCAGCCAUGGCUUCAUAUUCAAUUACCGCAACACUCCAAUAUUUGCUAUAAACCACCCCCAAAUCCUCAACUUCACAUGGACUCAGAACCAAACACUAGCUUCCUCCCCACACUUCCUCAUUCUCUCCAUCCUCACUUACCUCUCCCUCACAUUCAUCCUCUACCACACAUCAACAUCAACAUCACGACCAUCAUCACCUUUCAUUGGACCCCACAUCCUCAAGCCCAUCACAGCCGUCCAUAACCUCACCCUCCUCCUCCUGUCCCUCAUCAUGGCCGUUGGUUGCACUCUCUCCAUCAUCCUCCAUUUACCCCACCUCCAUUGCACCCUCUGUUUCCCCCCUACCAUUUCUCCGUCUGGCCCCCUCUUCUUCUACCCUUACAUCUUCUACCUCUCCAAAAUACUCCAAUUCUUAGACACCCUUUUGAUCAUUUUGUCAAACUCCGUCCAACGGCUCACGUUCCUCCACGUCUACCACCAUGCAACCGUCGUCGUUAUGUGCUUCCUUUGGUUACAGACGAAGCAGUCUUUAGCUUCUUCCCAAAUUCAUCAAUGAACCCCAAAACCAGUCUAAUCAUUAAAAUUAUUAACAACCAUUUGCUUGGAUCAAUGUACACUUGGCAUGUCUAUGGGCUUACUUGGAAUGGUCGCUGAUGGCCAUGGGCUUGCUUGGAUUGGCCGGGUACAGCCAUGGGCUUGCUUGGAAUGCCCGUACCCAGCUGCCAUGGUUUUGCUAGCGUAUCCAUGGGUUUUGUUGGACAUGGCAGUGCGAGGCCAUGGGUGUUGCCGGGCAAUGGACAUGGGUUUUGCUGGGCUGAUUUGGAAUUAACGGUGGCUAUGGAGUUGUAAGUGUGUGAAAGAGAAAAAAAAAAUGAACGAAGAAGAAGAUGAACAGGGAAUAGAACGAAGAAGAUGAAGAAAGUAGAAGAGAGGGAAAAAAUAUUUUACUUUUUUUAUAAAUUUUCCGAUUUUUAUUUCAAAAUUUAAAAUUUUUGUUUAAAUUCGAGAAUCUUAAGGGUAAGAUUUUCUUUGUAUCUAUGUGUAGAAGGAGGUUUUUAGAUGGUUUUUGGUUGGGCUAACAUAAAAUAUGCUUGUUUUAUGAAAUAUUAUUAUUGAGGUUUUGUUUUAUUUUCUAAAAAAUAGAUUAGAGGAUGAUUUUCAUUAAUGACACACAUAAAGUUUGAAUUAGUUAUAUUUUAGAAAUAGUACGGAUAUAAGUGAUAUAUCUUUCCAACAUAAAUAUAUCAGUAACAUAAGUUAUUCUAUAAUUAACAGGGGUAUUAUCGUAUUUUAGUGAGUCAAUAUUUUUUUUAUUUUGUAUCAAUAUUGGUUGAUAGUUAAAUUUAACAGAUUUUAGAGAGUAAAUUGAAGUUUUUAUUUUUUAUUUUUGAGUAAAUUAAAAUAUGUCAAUAUUGGUUGAUAGUUAAAUUUAACAGAUUUUAGAGAGUAAAUUGAAGUUUUUAUUUUUUAUUUUUGAGUAAAUUAAAUUGAAGUAUUUCGGUUCUACCCGAAAUACUUCUUUGUAUUGAAAUCAAUGAUGAUUGCUUGUUUAAAUAAUGAAAGUUGAAAUAAUUUUGUAAAUAAUUUCAUUCUUUAAUUUACGGUAUACAAAUAAAUUCAAAAAAUGUUAAUUUCUCUCAUACUAAUUUUAGGACUCAAAAAAUAACAAAAAGUCUUAACAUAUUUAAUGGUUAUAUAUAAAUCAUCCGUACGUAUUUUAUUUAAGCUAAUAGAGUAAGAAGUCCCAAAUACAUGUACAUCAAUUCGAUAGACAAUGCUCCCCUUAAUUUUCUUUUCUAAUUAGAUAAAAGAACAAGAGAAAUUGAUUACAAUAAUUCACGGCGAAGUCACCUUGGUCUACCUGAUAUAUAUUACAGAGGUUAGCUUCUUUUUAAUGCCAAACUUGAAUAACAAACAUUAAUUUACUUCUUAAAGGGUAAAAACCUCAAUUUGUCCUUAUAUUUGUUCAAAAGAUACAUUUUGUCUUCUUAAUAUAAACAAGUUAAAUUGAUGUUUCACAUCUUUUAGAAAUAAAUUAAAGAUUGUUAUUUUAAGUAGGAGGUAAAUUUCAAAUAAAACAUGUGUUCAUAUGAUAGAUGUGCAUUUUACAAUAAUUAAUAAACAAAAGGGUAGUGAUAUUUUCAACCUGUAAUUUUUGUAAAUCCACCCCCACUCCCAAGAAAUAAUUACAAUAAAUUCACAUAACUUUUUUAAAACUCAAAUAAAGAAAAAUUUUGGAGAUUUAAACUAUUGUAUACAAGAGGAUAAGAGUAAAUAUUUUUCAUGCAGUAUAAAAAGAAUGCGACAGCUCCUUUUCUUUCGGUAUUUUCACAACAAAAGCACACUUAAUAACUCAUCAAAUUAUUUCUCCUUUUCUUUGAUCGCUUCCCCUCUCCUGGAGCUGCUGAACUCCUUUGUUGCUGAUGAAGGGAACAAGUGAGGCUUUUCAAAAGAGGGCAAAGAGAUGGUGAUUCGAUUUGAUUCGAUAAUAGUAGUUUAUUUUAAUUGUUAUUCAUUUGAUUUCAUAGAAGUAAUUUUUAUUUUCAUUUUUUGUUGAAAAUUGGUAAAAACGAACUAAAAUGAGAUAAUUACAUUAAAACAAUCUUCAAUGACUAAAGUAAUUUGAAAAAAUAAAAAUAAAAAUAAACAAGCUCAAAAUUUACCCCUAAUCCGAACAUUAUCCGAAUUCAGCCUAAUUGACCCAAAUCUAAUUGUAAUCCAAACUUGACAUGACCCGCAUAUAAUUAUAACUCGAUCAGAUCCAAACUCGACCUGAAUUUUUAAUUCAAUACGAUCCAAUCCAAAUAUUCCAAUCCCAUCAAAUUGAAACUUGAUCGGGUUGAUCCGAACCCGAAUUUGCCACUUCCGGAGGAGACCAUGACCCUAAAGGCUUUGAAAUAAUCUUUGCGGUUUCUUAAUGAAAUAUUAAAAGUUAUGUGCAAAAAGACUGAUUUGACCCUAGAAUACAUGAUAUAUAAAUUUCAGACAUUAUAUUCUGUGAAAUAAAGUCAAAGUAAACUGGUCGUUUGAUUUUUUUAUUAAUUAUUUUCCAUUAAGACAAAAUGACAAAUAGACUUUUUUAAAAGUUUAAUAAAGUUUGGGCCUAACUCCUUGAUUUUUAUUUUUUAAUUAUUUUUCAUUUUGUUUUUUACUUGCAACAUUAGCUUUAAUUAUCAAUCAGUCUCCAAAUCAAAAUGACUGAAACCUGUAGCUACAAGCAAAAUUCUCAAAUUUUGAAAUUUCUAACGACUACAUAAUAGUAAUAAAUAGAAAAAUCAUCUAAAAUUGAUCCUCCUUCAGAGGCAGAUUAAAUUCUUAGUAAUUUCAUAUAAUUUCAUUUCAUCAGAACAAUUUUCCAAAAGCAAUUUUAUAAAUGGUUGUCGAAAGCUUUAUCCCUUAAUUAUAUUUUAGUUAUUUUCUUUGUGAUAUGAGGCGUGUCCAUAGACCAUAGUAUGAUAUUUAUUGUAAUUAAAAUCAUUAUGGAACUGAUUUUAUUCUUUUUUCUCAAACAAAGUAUCUAACUGCAGAUGUAAUAAAUUACUAAUUGCCAUUAUUUGAGUCGCGCUCUUUGAAUUAGAUCUUGGAGUUUCAAAUGACCAAAUGAAUUAGUAAGAUAAUGGCUUAUCGUUCCAAGAGCUAUGCUAAGAAAAAGCAGGGAUGAUCAGAACAAAUUCUGUUCAUUGCAAUUGACAGAGAUGUUUUCAGUUGCCUAGACUUCGUAUUUUCAGUUUUAGUAAUACAUGUCGUUUUUCACCACAUUUGUUUAGUCUCUCCCUUUUAAAUCCCCUCACACACAAAAAAUUAGGAUUUGUAUUUUGUAAACUAAUAUUUUUCAUUUUGUUAAUGUAUUAAUUAUUAUUAUCUACAUUUAUGUGAUAGGGCACAUGCCACAUCAACUAAAAUUAAGUUAUAAAAUUUUGCAGCCCCUGAGCACUCAAUGUUUGUUGGCACAAGUUCAAGUCCCACCAUUUGUUAGGAUUUAAAUAAAGAACAUUAUAACCAUGCGUCCAAGAACUUAAAGUUAGCUUAAGUGCAUGGAUUUUCGAGUCCUAGUUAUUGUUGGAAUUCGAUUUCCUUUCUAAUUAAAUUGGGUAGGGGUAAAAUUAUCUCUCAAUUAAUAAGGACAAAGUAGAUAUCUCUCUCGAUUUUCCUCCCAAUUAAAUUAGUUAGAAGUAAAAUUAUCUCUCGAUUAAUAAGAGUAGAAUAAAUAUCUCUCUAGUAUUAUGCAAGGGUAGAAAUUUGGGCUGUACCAUGUUAGAAUUAUCAAGGAUAGUUUUGAUAGAAUUCUAAUUGUAAUAUAUGAGUGUAUAAAAAAAAUGAACAUCAAUGAAAGAUGUUUAGGUAAGGACUAUCUUGGAAUGGAAUUUUGAUUGUAAUAUAUCAGUAUAUAAAAAAAAUUAUGAAAAAUGUUUAACAAGGACUAUUUUGAUAUUUUAAUGAGUAGUAAAAAUUAAUGUUAAAAUUUGAUAAACGAGUGUAUAGUAAGAUGUUCAAAGUGUUAGAACAUAUAUAAAUAAUCCUAGCUCUAAUAAAAUUUUGCUACAUAAUUAGUUUAUCCCUUAAAGAAACAUAUCAAAAAAAUAUACAAAAACACAAUGCAUGAGUACAUGUCAAUCACAAAUGAAAGCAAUUAAGAUAAAGAAUAUGAUUUAUUUUAUUUUAUUUUAGUUAUUUUUUUAAUUAUUUUUUGUUUCUUUUGAAACAAGACCAAUUAGAUCAUGCAAGAAGUAAUUUUUUUUUUAAAAUAAAAAAAAGGAGAAAUGAUGAAACCCACGUCCAAAGAUGCCGUUGUCGCGGAGGCCUAGAUCUCACUACACCCCAUCCCCUUCUACCAUAUUUUAUAAUUGAAGAGGCCAUUAUUGAAUUGAAAAAUUAUGAUUCAAAAACCCAAAAAUAGAAAAAGAAAAGCAAUUGUUGGAAACACACUCGGAGUUUUAAAUUGACAUGAGAAAAGAAUAUAUUCAUCAACCUCAUACGUUAAUGAUGCGACGAGUUUGAGAUUAUGAGCCAAAUUCCUAACGUGUGGGAAUUUAAAGAUGUUACUACAAAACAUGUGUUCGUCGGUGGAGUAGAAUCAGGGAAAUUAAAGAUGCUACUACAACCACUAACGUGUGGGUGGGGAUAAGCAUAACUUUUUUCAUCAAAUGCCAAAUCCCCCCAGGUGGAGAGUGGGGACUCCUUUGCAUAAAUGUUCAUAAAAUUUUGACUAUGAUGUUAUUAGAAAUUGGGGAAACAUGUGGUGCAAUUGUGGUAUCGUGUCACAGUUACAUCCAGCCGUUGGAUGUCAGUGGACCCUACUCAUGCAAGUGUAUCCAAUGGCUAGAUGCAACUAUGGCACGGUACCACAGUUGCACCGUAGUCGGGUCCUAGAAAUUAAGAUAUUCUCUCUCUACGUAUGUCUACACGAAAUAAUAUGCAAAUAUAAUAUUUUAGUUUAUUAUUAAUAGUUUUACAAUAAUAAAAAUCAUUUUGAUAGACUGAAAAAUGUCGUAUUCACAUUUUAUUUUGUACGGACGUCUGCGAGAAAGAAUAUAUAUAUAUAUAGAGGAACGUGUAUUUAAGAUUUAGCUAGUGUGAAGUUGGGAAACUUUUUUUUUUUUUUGAACCCAGGCUAAAAUUAUUUCAAUAAAUUUUGAUCAUGGAGACUAAUAAGAUUUUUUUAGUUAUAUUUAUUAAUUUUUUAGGGACUAACAUGAAUAUUAAUAAUUUUCUUGAGAUUAUUAAAAAAACAAUGUGCUAUUUUACAUCUAUGACUUUUCCAAUCUUUUUUUCUUUCGUUAUUUAAUCCUUUGUGAAUUUUAGUUAAUGCUUGAUAUUAUUUUUUUGCUCAUUUUUUAAAGUAGUAAUUAAAUCUGAACCCUUACAGUAGAAGAUUAUGAAAAAGUAAAGACACAAAAAUCAUAAAAAUCAUUAGUAGGUCCAAAUUUGUGCUAUUUUCAUACAUAACUUGAGAAUAUUUAUAAUUACGCAUCAGAACUAGUGGAGUAGAAUCAGGGAAAUUAAACAUUCUACAAUCAUUGACGUGUGGGUUGGGGAUAAGCAUAAACCUUUUCUAUGCAGUAUAAAAGAAUGCAAUAACUCCUUUCUUUCAUAUCUUCGCAACAAAAGCACAUCUAAUAACUCUUCAGAAUUCUCGUUUUCUUUGUCACAAUGGUUGAUGCGAUCGUUUCCUCUCUCCUGGAGCAGCUGAGCUCAGUUGCAACUGAUGAACUGAAACAACAGGUGAGGCUUGUUACUGGUGUACGACAAGAAGUGAAAAAGCUUACCAUCAAUCUUGAAGGCAUUCGAGCUGUGCUGGAAGAUGCAGAGAAAAGGCAAAUGCAGCACGACAAAGCUGUUACUCUUUGGCUGGAUCAGCUCAAAGACGCAUCUUACGACAUGGAAGAUGUGUUGGAGGAGUGGACCACCUCAAGGCUCAAAUUGCAGAUUGAGGGCGUUGAUGAUGACAAUGCUCUUGCUCUUGCUCCUCAUAAGAAGAAGGUACGUUCCUUCUUUUGUGCUGUAUCAAACUGCUUUGGUAGUUUCAAACAACUCUGUCUUCGUCAUGACAUUGCUGUCAAGAUUAGGGAAAUCAAUGGAAAGCUAGAUGAUAUUGCCUCCCAAAAAGAUAAGUUUAAAUUUGUGGAGAAUGUGAGUAACAAUGUCAAGAAACCAGAGCGAGUGCGAACCACGUCCUUGAUUGAUGAGGGAGAGGUUUGCGGUAGAGUUGAUGAGAAAAAUGAGCUCUUAAGCAAGUUGUUGUGUGAAAGUAGUGAACAACAAAAAGGCCUUCAUGUCAUCUCACUAGUUGGGUUAGGGGGUAUAGGUAAAACCACUCUUGCACAACUAGCCUAUAAUAAUGAUGAGGUGAAAAGAAAUUUUGAAAAAGUUAUAUGGGUGUGUGUAUCAGACACUUUUGAGGAGAUUAGGGUUGCCAAAGCAAUCAUUGAAGGUCUAGGCGAGUCAGCUUCUAGUUUAAGCGAAUUCCAAUCUCUUAUGAGCCAUAUCCAUAGAUCAAUUGAAGGAAAAAAGUUUUUUCUUGUUUUAGAUGAUGUAUGGGAUGGGGAUUACAAUAAAUGGGAACCAUUCUUCCUUUGUCUAAAGAAUGGUCUGCAAGGAAGUAAAAUUUUGGUUACCCCACGUAAUGAGUUAGUUGCACGUAUGAUGGGAUCAACAAAUAUUAUCUUCAUUAAGCAAUUGGCUGAAGAGGAAUGUUGGUCGUUGUUCAAGCGGUUGGCAUUUUCCAGUCGCUCUUUCGAAGAUUGUGAAAAAUUAGAACCAAUCGGGCGAAAAAUUGCACUGAAGUGCGAAGGCCUGCCUCUUGCUGCAAAGGUAAUAGGGAAUCUCUUGCGCUCUAAAAUUACAGUAAAAGAGUGGCAAAGAAUUUUAGAUAGUGAAAUGUGGAAAGUAGAAGAGAUUGGGCACGGUCUUUUAGCUCCUUUGUUGUUAAGUUAUAACGAUUGGCCCUCUAAUUCUAUGGUAAAACAGUGUUUCUCAUAUUGUGCUGUCUUUCCAAAAGACUACAAUAUGAAGAAAAGGGAAUUGAUUAGUCUAUGGAUGGCUCAAGGUUACCUUAAUGCAGACGAAGACGAAGAAAUGGAGAUGAUUGGAGAAGCGUAUUUCAACAUCUUAGCAACACGCUCUUUCUUUCAAGAGUUUGAAAAAGAUUAUGACGAUGAUGAUAUUAUGAGUUGCAAGAUGCAUGACAUAGUACAUCAUUUUGCUCAAUUUGUAAGUAGCAAAGAAUGUUUGUGGCUAGAAAUUGAUGAUAACAAAGAAUCAGUCAUAAACUCUUUUGGUGACAAAGUCCGUCACUUAGGGUUAAAUUUUGAAGGAGGCGCUUCAUUUCCUAUGUCCUUUUUUGAAUUUGAUAGAUUGCGUAGCCUCUUAAUUUAUGAUGAAAGUCUUUCCAAUCCGUCUCUUAGUAGUAGCAUUCUUUCGGAGUUAUUUAGUAAAUUGGCGUGUUUAAGGGCAUUAUUUAUAAGGCAAUCGUCCUUUCAUUUGCGUACAGAUCCAAAUAAGAUUAGAGAAAUUCCAGAAAAUGUUGGAAAAUUGAUACAUUUAAAAUAUCUUAAUUUAUCUAAAUUAUGCAUAGAGAGACUACCUGAGACUUUGUGUGAAUUAUAUAAUUUACAAAAGCUAGAUAUUAGGGGGUGCGAAUAUCUUAGAGAAUUGCCUGCGGGGAUUGGAAAGUUAAUGAACAUGAGGAGUUUACUGAAUGAUAACACUCGUUCGUUGAAGAACUGCCAAUUCUAGAAGAUCGCAGGACAACAGACAUACCGCGUCUUUCUUCCUUGCGAAUAUGGUUUUGCCCCAAAUUAAAGGUGCUGCCGGAUUACCUCCUUCGAACGACGACGCUGCUGGAAUUGAAUAUUAUGGAAUGUCCUCUUCUAGAAGAACAUUAUAGAGAGGGGAAAGGAGAAGACUGGCAUAAGAUAUCUCACAUUCCCCACAUCCAGAUAUCUCACAUCACGUGGCAUUAGUGGUAAUUUCUCCUCCUCCUCUGAUUUACUUCGUUGUUGCUUGCAAUGAAAUUAAUAAAAAUAAUUAUAUUUUGAAUUAAAAUUUCUAUAUUUAUUUACUUUUAAAAAAUAUGUGCUCUUUUGUAAAAUUUCAAGCAAUGUACGAAAAUUUGUUGUGUGUAACUUCCCGAGAGACAAAAUCUCUGUGAUACAUUUGCAGUAAUGUUGAAAACUAAAUUAUCAAUUUUAUCUUGUAUAAUGAUAAUCUUAUUUUUUUAUAUAUAAUUUAUGUGACAUUAAUUCUUUAAAGUAAUUGUGUAAUUGUUUUUAGUAGUACAUUAGCCCACUUUGUUUUACUUCGUACGAGUUUAAUUAUGUUCACCAGGGAUUCGAGGAAAUGUCAGAACCACACUAGCAAUUCACAGGUCCAAUCUAAUUUCUCUCAUACUUUUUGGGCUAAAAAAUAAAUGUAACUCCAACAUAUUUAUUAUUUAAUGGUUCUAUAUAGAAUCAAUCGUGGUAUAAAUAUGUAAAACUUCCUAGUUAUCAAUUUUGUCUUGCAUAAUGAUAAUCGUUUUUUUUUAUAUAUAAUUUAUGUGACAUUAAUUCUUUAAAGUAAUUGUGGAAUUGUUUUUACUACAUUAGCCCUCUUUGUUUUAUUUCAUACGAGUUUAAUUAUGUUCACCAGGGAUUCGAGGAAAUGUCAGAACCACACUAGCAAUUCACAGGUCCAAUCUAAUUUGGUUUUAAUGAUGCAGGCAGGAGAGUAUGCUAAGAAAAUGAAAAGUUUAGCCAAAGGAUUGCUAAAAUGUUCUGCUGGUAAUUCACUUGCUUUAUUUUAUAGAAUUUCAUUUCCAUCUUCUUCUAUUGAUAUCUUGUUGUGAAUAAACAAGAACAGAGAAGUAAAGAUAUAUCAAAAUUUACUAUUACGAUGAUGCUAAAGCAAGCUCAAGCUCAAGCAUUGCAUUUUUAUUUUAUUUAAUUUAUAGAAUUUUCAUUUCCACCUGCAUUGCAUUUUUAUUUAUUUUUAGGUUGACUUUGAAUACUUCAUGGUGAAAAUGACGAGUACAGCCAAAGGAUUGCUAAAUGUUCUGCUGGUAAUUCACUUGCUUUAUUUUAUAGAAUUUCAUUUCCAUCUUCUUCUAUUGAUAUCUUGUUGUGAACUGUGAAUAAAGAAGAACAGGGAAGUAAAUGAUUGGACCACAGAGAAGUAAAGGUGUAUCAAAAUUCGCUAUUAUGAUGAUGCUAAAGCAAGCUCAAGCACAAGCAUUGCACUUUAUAUUUUAUUUAGUUAAUAGAAUUUUCAUUUCCACCUGCAUUUCAUUUUUAGGUUGACUUUGAAGACUCUAUGGAGAACAUUGGGGUAACCAAGGAUUAUCACUGUGGUUAUUGUGCAACGUUUGGCUGCUGGACUUUGAAGAAGGAAGUGAUGGCCGGGUCUGCUCUGUUUCAAUUGAGGAUGGAUAGCUGCCUGAAAGACAUGAUGAUUAUUAUUGCGUGAUGUUAAGGUGCUGAGAUCAUCAUUGCUAUCUUGUUUCAUUCUUGGAAUCAUUUAUCCUGUAUAAACAUUUGUUUUAACAAAUGUUUCAAUGCAUGCUGUAGUAACAAUUUCAUAUCUUGCAUCUCUCGGGUGCAUCAUGAUCACGGGUUUGAGAAAGCAUUUGUGGUAAAGCAAUUCAAUUCGGUACGUUUGGUGCGGUCUCCUAAUGCUACUACCAUAUUUUGUAUAGCAAUUAAAAUUCAGGUAUACAAUCCUAAUAUGCAAUAAAUCAUUGUGUACAAAGUUAUCUAUUAAUUAUAUGGUAACUGAAAUUUUCAUUAUAAUUUUAAUUAUCAUAUUAAUAUUAAAAUUUUUUGUAACCCUCUUUUACUUUGCUUGUACAGAGUACCUGUUUUGGCUGAUAUGUCUAAUUCGUAGAAAUUCAUUUCCAUCGGUUUCCAUUGGUUUUAGCACAAACAGAAACAGAAAUCUGGGGAAAAGUUUUACUUCUUGUGGUAUUAUGCCUUUAUUUAUUCAUUCAUCAUAUUUGUUCAAAUUCAUGCUCUCAUUCAGAGAGCAGCCUUUUCCAGGCUACUUUGUAGCCAAAUUUUCAUGCCAUCGAUGCAUGAUUGUCAUUUAGAUUUUCCAAAUAAUUGUUAGAUUGAAGAAGAAUAAGAAGAUAUUGUUAAAAGGGCAUUUAAUUAGCACCCUCUGAAUUUAGUUGCCAAUAAUGCAUUGAAAUGGUUGGGGAAAGUUAUUGUCUCAAUUAAAUUACAGGUGAUAAGAUGCUGCUCCAAUUUUGCAAGCAUCUCGUGUUGCGAAGAUUUUGCCCACAUGAGAUGCUAUGAUUUUUGACAUCAGGGUAACACAGGUCAAAUUUUAGCAUCAAUAGAUAUCAUCUUCUUUACUGUUCUGCUCGAAAUAUUAAACUUUAGGCAAGUUGUUUUUGGUUGUGUGAGUUAUCAGGUUAAGGAUACUAAGCAGCUUAUUAAGGCAAAUGUCAGAAUGAAGAUUGCUUACCACACCUGGUAUGCAUGAUGGCCAGGAAGAUUAAUUGUUCACAAGCCAAUUUGAUCAGUGUUAGAUUUUUUUCCUCCUUUCGAGGGACAUCAUCAAAUUUGAGUAGAGAAUCUUUGAAGGGAAUUUUGUUGUCAGAGUUUCACAGUAGUGAAUUCUAGGAGCUCGAACUCACUUGAGUGAGAUAUUAGGGAGUAUUGGGGAUUUGGGUUAUGAGUAAUCAUUAUCCUUCCAAUAUGUGUAAGCACUCACUUGUUAGUAAAAUCAUCUUCGUAUAUUGACUAUGUUUCUUUGUUAUCAGGUAGAGUGUGAUCUUCAAGGGUUUGAGAAAGUCCUUGCAGUAAAGUUUCCACCACAAGUAAUUGCUCAGUUUCAGAUUUUCUAGGCGUUUAAUUAGUUUCGAUUAUAAUAUUUAGUCACUCAUUCUGAAUCUUUUCUAAUUUUCAAGUUCCUUAGGACCACGAUCAUUUUUUCAAGUCUGCUGUGGCUGCAAAAAGAUUGAUGGUCAUAAAAUUAUCUUGACCCUUGAGCCAUUGCGUUUGAGCACAAACAGAAACAGAGCUAAAGGAAAAGAACUUGACGCAAGAAGAUGCUCUGAAUAUAACAAAAGUAUAUUUCUACUUCUUGUGGUUAUUUACUUUUGUUUCUCCUGUCAGCAUAUUUGAUUAAUUCGUUCGAAUUCACACUCUCUCACACAUUAUUUAAAACCAUUUGUAGGUGGCUUGCAAGCUAAUUAAGUUAAUGCAGAAGCAAUACUCUAGACUUUAGGAAAGUUGUUUUUGUUUGUGUGAGUUAUCAGGUUAAGAUUACUAAGCAGCUUAUUAAGGCAAAUGUCGGAAUGAAGAUUGUUCACCGCACCUGGUAUGAAUGAUGGCGAGGAAGAUUAAUUGUUCACAAGCCAAUUUGAUCAGUGUUAGAUUCUUUUGCCUCCCUUCGAGAGAUAUCAUCAUCAAAUUUGAGAAGAGAGUUUUGUUUUGACAUUUCACUGUAGUGAAUUUUGGGAGCUUGAACCCACUUGAGUAAAAUAUUAGGGAAUACUGGGGAUAUGGGUUAUGAGUGAUCGUUAUCCUUCAAAUAUUUGUAAGCUCUCACUUGUUAGUAAAACCAUCUUCGUAUAUUGACUUUGUUUCUUUGUUGUCAGGCCGAGUGUGAUCUUCAAGGUUUGAGAAAGUCUUCGCAGUAAAAUUUCCACCACGUGCAAUUGCAGUGAAGGGGCAUAUACAUUUGAGUAAUUCAGUUUCAGAUUUUCAAGGCGCGUUUGUUUAAUUAGUUUCGAUUAUAAUAUUUAGUCACUCAUUCUGAAUCUUUUCUAAUUUUCAAGUUCUUUAGGGCCGCCAACAGUUUUUCAUGUCUACAUGUGGCUGCAAAAAGAUUGAUGGUCAUCAAAUUAUCUUGAGCCUUGAGGCAUUGCAUUCGAGCACAAAGGGAAACAGAGCUAAGGGAAAUGAAGACAGUAGGAGAUGCUCUGAAUAUAACAAAAGUAUAUUUCUACUUCUUGUGGUUAUUUUAAUUUUGUUUCUCCUGUCAUCAUAUUUAAUUAAUUUGUUUGAAUUCACACUCUCACACAUUAUUUAAAACCAUCUGCAGGUGGUUUGCAAGCUAGCUAAGUUAAUGCAAAAACAAUACUCUAGACAAAGAUGAGCAAAUUGAAGGCGACAAAUGCAAAUUGGAUUUCAAUGAAUAAUUGUUAGGCUGGUGGAGAUAUUCUUAAAAGGGCAUUAAGCUAUCUUAUGGAAUUGGAAAGUUAUUAUUGCUUGAAAGCAAGCAGCAUCUUUGUUGCGAAGGCUUUCCCCACUUGAUAAGAUGCUGAGAUUGUUACCGGCCCCUUAAUUAUUUAUUAACUCAGGUAUUUAUUAUCAGUACAUCAUCUUAUUCACCAUUUUGGCUAUAUAUGAAGAUUAAAAUUUCUAACAGUUGUUUCGGAUUCUUGUGUACUCAGGUUAAUAGGGCAAAUGUCAGAAUGAAGAUUGCUCAGUGCAACCGAUAUAGCAAGGAUGAUAGUUGUGAGGAAGAUUGUUGGCAAGCCAAAUAGAGCCCUCCAUUUGGAGAAAUAUCAUCCUCAAAUUUGAAUUGUUGAGCAUGUGAGGUGAAGCUAAAGCCUUAAUAAUGAGACCUUCCUGUGGAAGUUUCAUUUGAAUGAAUUGAACGUUCUUAGUGAGUGAGAAAUUAAGCAUAUAUCAGCGAUUUUGGUCGUCAGUGAAUGUUUUCCUUCAAUAUUAAUACACUGGCAUUUCUUAGUAAAUUCUCUUCACGUCACUUCCUCCGUGUUGGUGGGAUUAGUAAACAAAUGCCAUUUCUUAGUACAUUUUGAGAAUUUUGACUCCCAAAUAAGCCUGCAGAGCGGUGUAUGGUGGGAUUAGCUGCAGGAUUCUUUGCCAAACUUCCUUUUUAUUCCUUUGUUCACUUAUUCGUUAUAAAUAAAGUAAAAUUAGAAUAUUGUUCCGUUUACUGUCUAAGCUGGUCUAACAUUUGUUUAAUUUGGGCAAUUUUUAAUGCCUAACAGGUUAUCUGUGACAAACCCAUCAGUGAGUGUAUGCAACUAUUGCGUGGAUUUGAUAGAGUGGUCACCAACAAUUUUGAAGUUAUUGGAGUAGCACGGCUUUGAGGUCUCUCCCUCCCACUUUUACGUAUUUGUCUAUUGAUCGACAUGUCUAUAUAUACAUUGAUAGACCAACUUACUCUUGUUUUAAUGUUUUGUUUGUUAAACUUUGACUGGGUUAUGUUUAUUUGUCUCAUAUGAUGUCAAUGUGGUUCCUAUUGAAGUGUAUAGAUCUGUCACCUCAAAGUCUGAUUUCAAUUUUCCUUUACUUCAUCAACUAGCAUCCUUUCCAAGUCCAGAUACUUACCAAUAGUGAGACUUUGCUACGGAAGUACAAUUUCUCUUGUUUUACAGUUAAUUAUGUAAGAAAAGUUUUAAAUUUACAGAAUUCUGGUAUAGCUCUCUUAAGGAAAUGCGAGUGGUGAAUAUGGUUCCAACUUUUAAUAGGCUUAAUAGGCCCAUUUGUUGAGCCACAGUGAUUGCGGUGUAAAUUCUUCUUUACUGUCUAUAUGUGUUGGAGUUUGUCUAUUGUCCAACUUCUCAAAUCGAUUCCAUGCAGGGUUUUGAAUGUCUAAUUAGGAGAAAGAUUAACGGAUUACCUUUUGAAGAAGGCCACUGUUUCUGGGCUUGGUCUCCUUGGCAUCAAACAAGAUAAUGUUGACUCUAUUAAAGGGGAAAUAAGGGCAACUAAAGCGCGAAGAAAGAGGAUAGUCCGGAGGAAGGUGACUGCAUAAAUUUCGCUGCCUGUCGAAGAGACACAUCAUGGAAGUCCUCAUCAAACUCUGAGACACCUAAGAAAUAGUAGGAGGUGGUGGUACUCGCCUGGGGUUAAUUUCCUGGCAAGUAUAGUUCACUGAUAGAGGGAAUCUUCUCUUGAUGUCUAAAUACCGUAUGUGAUACAACGUCGUAUAUUCUAAUUUUCCUUGAGUU
rnacentral:lncRNA from 1 species